GGAUGGAACCAAUUAGCUGGUUGUCGCUAAGAGCAAUCCGUUGCAAUGAAGAUAUGCUGAAGACCGAGGAAGGUAUGGAGCCUGAAAGCUGAUUGCCGCCCAAAUAUAAAAAUCUCAAGCUAGAAAGAUUUCCGAUUUCCACAGGGAUACGUCCUUGCAGAUUGUUGUUAUACAAGCUCAAUAACUCUAGUUUUGACAAAGAGCACAAAGAAGAUGAGAUAUCUCCCACGAAGUUAUUACCGGCCAAACUCAAGUUUUGAAGUUUAGAGAAGAAACCAAACCAAGAUGGGAUUUCUCCGUUGAAAUUGUUGUUUCUCAACAGUAGAGAUUUCAACCGGCACAAAUUAGCCAACUCGAUGGGCAACGAACCAUGAAAACUGUUGUUUCCAAUGCCAAGGAAAGCAACGAAAGACAGAUUUCCCAUGUCUGGUGGUAUGGUUCCAUAGAGAUUCAUGCCAAAUAGAUCCAAAGCAAUGACUCUGUGGUGUCGAGAUCCACAAGUGACACCAACCCAAUUGCAAAUAGUGGUAGCAGUUGACCAGUUGGUGGCUAGAAGAUCACUGUUGACACGGGCUUUCAGUGCAAGAAGAGCCAAUCGGUCUGUACUGAUGUUGGUUGUUGAUUUCAUAGAGAAUGAAACCCCAAAAUUAGGCAGCAACACCACCACCAUAAGAGCCAGAAUGAACUUAGUGUUUCCCAUGAAGUUAUGUCGAAGUGGAACUUGUGAAAGGAAAAUUUCUGAAUUAUAAAUGGGAAAGAUGAUGUUUCUUUUCCAAUAUAUAGAAAAUGCCAAAAUUGUGAUGGGACCGAUUUCCACACGCUUUCCCCGCCCUUCCACAGUGAGAAAAUUUACCGCUUUGGCAUAUUGGAAAAAAUUCUUAAAAUGCAACAUUAUAAUUUCUUAUUCAUUUUUAUUGACAUGUUUAAAGGCCAAAAAAAAAAAAUUUAUUUAUAAAGUUUAUUAGAGCAUCAAUUUAUUUUUUUUUAUAGAUGUGUUACACGAUUACAUAAGGAGAAGUAACUCGCUUUCAUCCCAAAAAUCUCAUUCUCCUCUCAAAUCAUGAUUGAAAUCUGAAAUUUCAAGUUAAAAUUUUAAAAUUAAAUUAUCGAGUUAUUUGUUCAAUUACUAAAAUAAACAAUUAUGAUUAAGGAAAAUAUAUGUAGAUACGUUAUAAAAUUUAUUCUGACUGCAAAAAUGAACAUCGAAACAGAUAUAACCAUUAAAAUAUUAGCUUCACAGAAUAGCAUAUGAAAAUGUGAAUUAUAGACAAAUCACUUUCUGUCAAGCUCCAUUAAUUCUAACGAAGAUUUUUUUGGUGGCUAUAAUUAAUUAAAUCAAUUUCUGUCAAGGCCCAUUAAUUCUAACAAAGAAUUUUUUGGUGGUUAUAAUUAAUUAAGUCUUCUCAAACGCAGACGUGGUUCGAAUACUUCAACCCAAUCAUGCAUGACGAACUCAUUUGUCAUUAAGGUUGAAAAUUUCAAGCUACUAGUUUUUCUUGCAAUGCGCUUUGCAGGUCCAUGUAUCUAUUUAUUAUUUACUCCACCGAUAAGUCUACAUUAUCUUUGUUUUUUAUUUAUUUGAAAAUUUAAAUUUAACUUUUUAAAUAAAAAUGUAUAUAUGUUUAUUAUUGAAUCAAAUAUUAGGGUCUAUUUAGUAAAAUUUUUUCAGUGUAAAAUAUUUGACAAGAAAAAUUAAUAUUUUCUAUUAUUUAAAUAAACAGUUGAAAAUAUUUAAAUUUAUUUGGACCAUCUUGUAAAAAAUAUUUUCCACAUCAUUGGUGGAGUUAUCUUGUGUUAAAUGAUAAAUAGGAGUUGAUGAUGUCAUUUGGUUUUCACUAAUUUGAGAUCAAAAUUUAUAAUAAAAAUGAAAGUGGGCAAAAUCAAUAAUGAUGUUUGCCAAAAUAUUUAACCACACAUCUAUAAUAAAAGUAAGCUCUAAUUUUCAAGCAAUUUAAUUUCCUUCUCAUUGCUUUUUACCAUAACACUUCAAAAAUAUCAAUAUUCAUCAAUUGUGUAUGACAUCCAAAACCUAUACUUAUAAAUUUGUAUUCAUUAAUUUACGAUCAUCGAAAUAUUUUUUAUUAUAAUUAUUAGUAAGAUUUAUUCAAUUUGUAAAUAAAAAUUUUAUUACAUUAAGUGAUUUCAUUAAAAAUAUAUAUAUUUAAAAUUUUAAUAGUAUUGAACAAUUUAAAUAUUUAUAUUUAAAAUUAAAUUUUUUAAGGUAAAUAUCCUUAGGGGCAUAAGACAUUUUAUGUUGCCAACAGGUGUUUUUCCCGUUGACCUGUAAAAUGUUUUACUUUUGAAAUAAAUUUUUAAUUUUUUAAAUAAGUCAUGAGAAUGUUUUCUAAAAAAUAUUUUAUGUCAAAAUAAAUAGACCCUUAAAUACAUUUUUACUUUCUGUUUGAACAACAAACUCUCUACUAUCUUUCUUUUUAGUAUGGGAUUCAAUUCCCACUUCCAAUUUGAAAAAAUUGUGGGAAAAAUCACAUCUUUCAGUUUCUUUCACAAAUGUUAAUGUGGUCAAAUGUCUAAGAUAUGGAGUUAACCAUAAAAAAAAAAAAAGAAGAAAAGACCCAAGAUAAGGGGCAGCCAAUUUUCAAUUGAGAUGGAGGAAAUUGAAGACCACUCAAUUAGUGCAAGAUUCAAUGAAUGAUUAUCACUUAUAGAUGGAGUUUUUGGAAGCAAUGCUUUUGGCUAAGCUUCAUUUUGUCAACAAAAUCCAGAUAAGUGCUUCUUUAGGGAUCAAAUUUUUGAGCAAAGUUUAAACAUUUAAGAAAGUGAGUUAAUUAAGUGUGGUAAGACAAUACAAUCUGUUUCUGACAUCUUAAUUCUUUACAUAAAAGAAGCUUUAAAAUUAGUUCAAUGCUCACUUUUCAAUUAGGAAAAACCGGAAUAAGAUACAGGAUCAAUACUGUAGAAAUAUUUGACUCCUUUUUUAAUUAAAAGUUAAAAACAAUAAUUUCUGAGUCGAUUAUUAGUUGUCAUUUUAAUGCUGAAUUAGAAAACCAAUGAAGUUUUCUAACCCAAACAAUACUCUAUAAUGGUACAUAUGACUUGAAGGCAACAUUUUUCCUGUAUUUACAACUUGUAACUUAGAAAGAUUGUGGUUGACUUAAGACUUAUAUGAUCACAAUAUUCUACCACCUAGCUCAAAAAGCAAGUUCAAGUUGCACUCUUGUCAAUUCCAUUAUUUUCAAUAAGACAUUCAUAGCUAGAAAUCAACCAAAUAUUGACAAAAGGAGAAAAUGUAAACCAUUUUACAACAGCAAAAGACUACUGAAGAGACAUGAGAUGUCUCUUUGACAUUUCAACUGAUUUAUCACAAAGCCACCUGCCACCUUGACUAAUGUCUCUUUUGAGAAUUAACAUGGAAAGAUGGUAAGGGUAUAUGAUCUUUGUGUAGCAUCCUCCCACUACUCGUGUUUUUUUCUUUUCCAGUCAGAGUAGGAAAUGAUGGAAUCCUAUCCAGAAGAAAGUUGUUGCCUCAUCCUAAUCACUCUCAAAUAGAAAUUAAAUGCAUAUUUUCAACAAUGAUUUACUUCAAUUAAACGUUAUACAUUUAACUUGAUUCUUAUGAAAAAAGAAAAGCAUGCUCUUUGAGGUCCAGGUUUUGAAUGUCUCUCUUUUUCCUUGAACUUCCUCGUAUAAAUGAAAUGUCCCAAAAUGAAACACGUCACAUGUCCUGCCCUCAUGAAUUCAUCACUUGGUUUUAAUUUGAUUUGUUGCUUCUUAAAGUCAAGGUACACUACUUCCAACAACCAAUCAUAAUUUUUAGUAAUUACAGAAUACUUCUCCCGAUCAGGCACGACGAAGACCGCAUUGCGUUGGCUCUUCAUGGUAAUGACCCUUGAAUUUAAUCGAUUUCCAUUAAGGUUAAUAUUCUUCAAUUUGUCAAUUGGUAUGCCCAAACUUCAAAAUUAUGGUUGAUUAAGAUCUAUUCUACAUUGAGUUUAGUAGUUGCAAGAAAUUCUUUCGAAAUAAACUUCCUUUGUGUUAAUCAAAUCCAGGUACGUGCUUCAUUCGGAGAUCAAAUCUUGAAAUUUGCCUCCAAUCUCGAUAAAUUGAGCAUCUCAUCUCAGUGAAACUUAUUUUGAGAUUCAGGUGUUAUAUAAGACAAUACAAUCCAUUUCUAACUUCUUUAUUCAUAAUAGCACCUUCAAAAUCUAGUGCUCACUUUUCAACAAGAAAUUAAUACACUGCAUUACUCAAUUUCCAAUUAAAAUUAAUUAGAAAAGGGGAAAAAAUCUUCUGAUUUGGUUAUUAAUUGUCGUUUAAUUAUUUUCCACACUGAAAUAUAAAACCACAAAACUUUUCUAACUCCAACAGUACGCUAUAAUUAACCAUGUAAGACUUAGAGGAAAAUUUUCCUGUAUUAUUGACUACUUAAAAUGGAAAUAUUUUGAUUGACUUAUGACUUAUAUCAUCAAAUUCUGCCAUCAAGAAAGCGAGUCAAGCUACAGUCUUAUCAAUUUAAUUGUCUUCAAUAGAGCACUUAUGACUUAUAUCCUCAAAUUCUACCACCUAGAAAACAAGUUAAGCUACCCUCUUGUCAAUUCAAUUGUUUUCAAUAAGACAUUUCGGCUUUAGAAAUCAACCAUUACUGAUAAGAAAAAAUGUAACCAUUGUAAUACAGCGAAAACGACUACUGAGGAAAUGCUAUUAAUAUUUAUCAACACACCCUCUAAUUUCUCAGAAUCCACAUUAUUCCAGCUUGACUAAUUAAUGACUUUUUUGACAACAAUUAACAUGGAAGGAAGUUAAGGGUUAUCACUCUGGUACUCUUUUCCUGAAGAAAUUUAAUACAUAUCAUUCUCUUUCUAUAUUCUAAAUCAAAGACAUAAUAGAUAGGUCUGUACUUACUUCAGCAUAUAUCAAGUAGAGAAUCAAGAUAUAUACCGAAAGAAAAAAAAUAAAUUGUUUAUAAAUCCACUCGAGUUGAAAUUUAUGUUCUGCAAUUAUCUAAACAUGCAUUUGAAAACUUAAAUUGGAACUAAACUCAUGAAAAAUAACUUUCAUAUUUAGACUUCACAGCUAGUACAAAUUGUGAACUCAUGACAAAUGAUUUCCACAGUUAGAUGAAAGUCAUUUUUCAUGGCUUCUCAAUUUAUUUAUUUAUUUGAUGCUACAGCCAACUUCAAAGAUACGAGGAAUAAUUCAAUUUUAUUGGCCGAAGUCUAGGAAAAGACAAAGGGAUUUUUGGACUCACAAGAGGGGCCUUGGUGAGCAAUUACAUAGGCAAGAAUGACAAGAAAAGCCUCUCCUCUGAGUAUUGAUAAAAUAAUAUAUUUCUCUUUUUUUUUUCAUAUAAUUUUGAUUACUGUCAGUAUGAGUUGUAAUUAUUAAUUUUUAAGAAUAUUUUAGGCAAAAUAUUUCCUUAUUUUCUUUUUACUUUGCUUGUACUCCAAGGAAGUCUAGGGUUAAAAUACUUCCUUAUUUACUAUUUUCUUUACUUGCACACCAAGUAGGUUUAGAUUUAGUUAGCUAUUAUAAUUAUUUUACUUGUAAACCAAGUAGGUUUAGAUUUAGUUGGCUAUUAUAAUUAUUUUACUUACACACCAAGUAGGUUUAGGUUUAGUUAGCUAUUAUAAAUAGCCCUUAUGUAAUUCUUUAUUUUUUGAUCAAGCAGUUUAAUUCUUUACUUAGAUCUUGAAUAUUUUCUACAUGGUAUCAGAGUAGUUCUAAUCUGAAAAGAACUCUCUAACACAAAUCUCGUAUUAAAAAAUCACCAUCACAUUUGUUUUUUUUUUCUAUUUAUCUGAAACUACAUGGCAGAAACUAAUUCUAUUGUUUUAACCGAACCAAGCAAUUCCAUGGUUCCAACUGUACCCGGUAACCCAACACCACUAAUUAUUGUCCACCAAGACAAUUCUGUGUUUCCUACCGGUAUUACAUUGGAUGAGACAAAUUACUCAUUAUGGUCUCAACUCAUGGAGAUGCGUAUUGGCACUUGCAACAAAGUUAGAAAUCUCACCGAAGAAGCAAAAAAACCCUACACCUGGAGAUUCGAAUCUUGGAACAUGGAUUACUGAAGAUCACAAAGUGAAAAGCUAGCUUAUUGAUUCAAUGAGUCCAUCACUGAUAUAACAAUUUAUUCGUCUUCCCACAGCCAAGGAGAUAUGGGAAGCUGUAUCAAAAACCUUCUAUGAUGGAUCGGAUGAGACUUGUAUUUUUGAAUUGAACCAAAGAUCUUUCUCUACUGAACAAAAUGGUCGACCAUUAUCAAUAUGCUAUUAUGAACUUGUGGCUAUUUUUCAGGAAAUUGAUCACAGGACUAUGUUGUAGGAAGGAAUAGUUGAAGGUGUAUUCCAAUUGUAUUCCACGAUGGCUAGGCUUUGAGUCCAUAUUUUUCUAAGUGGACUUGACUUUGAAUUUGAUCAGCUUUGUGGAGAAAUCUUACGAAAAGAUCCAAAACUUGAUUUGGAAAGCACGUAUGCAUAUGUCAGGAGAGAAUAUCAACAAAGACAAACAAUGGGAGGCUCUCAUCUGAAUCUUGAGAGCAUAGCUAUGCUAGCUAACCGAACUCGGCAAGGACCAUCAUCUAGCUCCUUAAAAAAUUAAACCAAUCAAUCAAUUAGAAAAUUUGAUAUUCUGGUAUGUACUCAUGAUGGUGAAAUAGGUCAUUCGAAAUAGCGAUGUUAUGAAAUCAUUGGCUAUCUUGAGUGGUGGGACUUCAUAAAGAAACCUUGAAAGAAGAUUGCAGGGAAAGCCAUGGUGACAUCCACGGAAGAAAAACAAUCGAAGCCUACGGCAAACAUUGCCUACUCAGGUAUGGGUGGUAAGGCAUUUGUAUUCUCUACAACUUCUAAGAAUAAUACUUGAAUUAUUGAUACAGGUGUAUUUGACCAUAUGACUAAGGACUUUAGUCAGUUACAAUCAGUCCUCCCUUCUUCUUAAUCUGUUAUCUCCAUAGCUAAUGGUAGUAGAGACAUAGCCUCUUUAUGGGAUGGGGCGGCCAUAGCCCCCCCAAAAUUGUAAAAAUAUUUUACAUAUUAUAUAAUUUUUUUUUAUAAAUUUUCUUAAUGGCACCCCUAAAAUAAUUUUUAUUUAAUAAUUAAUACAAAUAAAGAAUAACAAAAUACUUUCAUAUGUUUGACUCAAUUUUAAAGUUUUUUUUAUUUUUUUUAAUUUAUAUUAUUAUAUAUAUUUAUUUAGUUAUUUGUUUCUAUUCUAUUUACUCAUAUAUUUUAAAUCUCUACAGAUUUUCUUUUACAAAUUUUUACGAAUCAUCAGUCAUAUUCUUUUUCUUUCUUUUUUAUUAUGUUAUAUGUGAAUUCUAUCUUCUACUUGUCAUGUUCUUCUUUUCUCUGUUAUGUGGAUUUUAUUUUCUAUAAUUUUAAUCUUUAAAAAUAAAUAAAUUAUUAUGUAAUUCUCAAAAAUAUGUUGCACUGUUGCAUUGUUGUUCAGAAUUUCAUCAAUAUAUAAUUUUUUAUUCAAAAUAAUCAAUGCAUUCUAGCAUGUAUGUUGCAAACUUUAAGUAACAAGGAUAUACCUACAAAUUGAUAGAAUGAAAUAAUUAUAUUUUUUUCAAUACAAUUUUAUUUAUUAUAUUUAUUUUUAAUGGCUUUCAAAAUAAUUUUUUAUUUAAUAAUUAGUUUUAUUCUUCAAACUGUUUGAUAAAAUUAGAGUCAUUAUGGUUAGCAUAUUGCUAUUUAAGCCCAACAAAUGAAUUCUAAACUAAUAUGUUAAGCUUACCAAAUUUAAAAAAAAAUAAAAAAAUAAAAGUGAGUCUGCUAAUUCAAACCUAUUAAGUUUUCAUAUAAAUUUAAACCUAUCUUAGCAUAUUAUAUCUUAACAGUCCAACCUAAUGGCCUAUAAUAACAUAUUAUAUCUCAAUAGCUCAAUCCAGUAACCCAAUAUGUUAAUUAGAAAUUUAAAAAGCAAAUAGAAAAUAAGAAGAGAGUUAGGGCAUAUAAAGUAAAGAGGCAAUUCAUUUGAGUUUGAAAAAUUAUUUUCUCUCUCCACUCUUGCGUGCAAAGAGUGAGAGAGACUCCUUUUAUAGUUUUAUUCAAUCAUAUAUAUAAAUGACACCAUCAUUAUUGUUAAUGUGUAUUUUUUUGUAUGUUCAAUGUCUUUUGAAUAUUAUUUAAUUUUUUAGAUAAGUGAUAAUUGAAUUAUAUAUAAAGUUAUCUUUAACUAUUUAAUGUCCAUUUCUGUUUAGCCCCCUUUUGAAAAUGUUCUAGCUCCGCCCCUGAAUGGUAGUGCAUGUCCUAUUAUCGGAAAAUGGAUCUGUCAUAUUAUCCAAUACUCUUACAUUGGAUACAGUUCUUGUUAUUCCAUCCCUUGAAUGUAAUCUUUUGUCUGUUAGCCAAAUUACCUCUGCUCUUGAUUGCACUGUAACCUUGUGGCCCUUAUUUUACAUUUUUCAAGACAUUCUGACUUAGAGGGUUCUUGGUUAUGGUGUUAGGCGGACAAACUUUACUAUUUGGAGUUAAUAGAACGUGGGAGACCAAAAUUCAGCAAGGCGAAUCUAACUAGUAGUAAAGACAAGGCUCGAACGACUAUAUGGUUAUGGCACUGAAGACUGGGAUAUCUUUCUUUCGGUUAUCUUAGGAAGUUACAACCACAUCUCUUUUCAAGUCUAAAUAAUUUGAAUUUUCAUUGUGAUAUUUGAGAACUAGAUAAGAGCCAUCGUAUUUCUUAUCCACCAAGUUUGAAUAAAAGUUCAAAACCUUUUGCGGUUAUUCACUCUGAUGUUUAGGGUCCUACAAAAAUUUCUUCUAUCUCUAAAGCUCGUUACUUUGUUACAUUUAUUGAUGAAUGUACUAGAAUGACUUGGGCAUCUCUACUUCAAAAUAAGAGUGAUGUAUGCACAACAUUUUAGAAAUUUUAUACUAUGGUGGGCACUCAGUACCGAAAGCAAAUUCGUGCUUUACAAACAGACAAUGGUAUUGAGUAAGAUAGGUCUCUUAACAAUUUUUUGAGCCAUCAUGGGAUUCGUUAUCAAACUUUUUGUACCUAUAAUCUGUAGCAAAAUGGAUUGGCAAAGAGGAAGAAUAGACAAAUAUUGGAAGUGGUUCAUGCUUCUUUUUUUGGCAUGAAUCUGCUUCAGUUUUAUUGGGGAAGAGUUGUAAAAUCCAUUACCUACCUUAUUAACCGAAUACUUUCUCGAGUAAUAGACUUUCAAACCCCCUACAAAAAAUGUGAUCUUUACUUUCAGUUCCUCAUCUCCCUAAUCUUGAACCAUGAGUUUUUGGUUGCACUGCAUAUGUUCACAUUCCUAAAAGCUUGCAAAACAAACUUGAUCCAUGUGCAAAACAAUGUGUCUUUGUUGGCUAUUCUCAUUUUUAGAAAGGGUAUAGGUGUUAUGACCUUCAAACUCAUAAAUUACAUGUAACCUUAGAUAUUUCUUUUCAUGAAUUAGAGCUUUAUUAUUUAGGGGGAGUCUCUAGACAUUCUCUUCAGGGGGAGAGCUCUAGUGAAGAGAAUGUGUUACAACGAGAUGGUAGACGAAAGGAGUUUAUGGAGUUAGAGGAAGUGACUGAAUGCUUUGGGAAAAGUGUUCAACAAUGUUGUGAUGGUAUUCCUAAAAUUGAGAUGAGUUAGUUCUUCCUACAAGUAAAUCAAGUGCUUCCAUUACAAUUACAGAGUCUUCAAAAUUACCCAUGCCUACGCCUACACUAUUAACUGAAGAAUCAACCCAGAACGUUCUCCCUUAGGUAAUCCCAAAUCCAAUAUUGGAUGAGGUAAUCUCAAAUCCCAUAUUUGAUGAAUCCUAUGAAAUCCCGAAUCCCAUACUAGAUGAGUCCCAUGAAACACAUGUUCCUAUAGAAAAGGAUAGUUCCUAAAUAUUCACAAAGAUCGAAUAAGGGCGUCUCAAAGAAAUAAUAUGAACUUGAUCCUAAAGCCGAGGUCAAAUACCCAGUUAAUAACUAUGUGUCCUCCCAUAGAUUGUUUGAAUUGUAUGCACUCACUAUUAUCAAUUAUCCACUGUAUCUAUUCCUAGUAGUUUGCAGGAUGCAUUAAAAGAUCUUAAAUGGAUCAAGGCGAUGAACGAAGAAAUGGAGGCUUUGCAAAAGAAUGCUACUUGGGAACUAGUUCCCUUACCUAAAGGAAAGAAGACGAUUGGAUAUAGAUGGGUAUUUACAGUGAACCUCAAAGCAGAUUGCCGCAUUGAUAAAUAUAAAGCAAGGUUAGUUACAAAGGGGUAUACACAGAGGUAUAGGGUGGAUUAUGAAGAGACUUUUGCAUUAGUAGCCAAGAUCAAUACAAUUCGCAUUCUUAUAUCUAUAACAGCAAAUUGAGAUUGGCCUUUACAGUAAUUUGAUCUUAAAAAUGCUUUCCUCAAUGAAGACUUAGAGGAAGAAGUCUACAUGGAGUUACCACCAAGAAUUAAACACAGUUCUUUGUGUAGAAAGAACGUUUGUAAACUGAAGAAGUCACUAUAUGGGCUGAAACAGUCACCUAGAGCUUGGGUUAGGAGGUUUUCUUCUAUAAUGAAAGCAUUUGGUUAUAAGCAAAGUAACUUAGACCAUACUUUGUUUAUAAAACACAAAGAGGGGAAGGUAACAACUUUAAUCGUGUAUGUUGAUGAUAUGGUCUUGACGGGAGAUGGCCCAUACUAAAUGAAAGCAUUACAGGAAUAUUUGGCUGCUAAAUUUGAAAUGAAGGAUUUGGGGAAACUUAAAUAUCUCUUAGGGAUUAAGGUUGCAAGAUCGAAACAUGGGGUUUUCUUUUUGCAACAAAAAUAUGUGCUAGGUCUCUUAAUCGAGACCAAAAUGCUUGCUUGCAAACCAACAAACACGCCUAUAGAGAUGAAUCAUAAGUUUGGAAUUUUUACAAAUAAAGUUCCAACAGAUAAGGGUCGUUAUCAGCAAUUGGUUGGAAGAUUAAUUUAUUUAUCACACACAAGACUGGAUAUAGCUUAUGUUGUAAGUGUCGUAAGUCAGUUUAUGCAUGCAACAAUCUGUCGUGACGUGCGGGUCCGGGAACCCGUCCGUCAGACGCGGGGCGAAAAUUAAAAAUCUCAAAAGUGUGGGAGUCGCCACCAUCUUUUUUAUCUAGGUGUGUUUGGUCACCUAUUAACCCGAUUCUAAUCGACGAAGUCCUAAAUUAAUUUUAGGUCCGUCAAAAGAACGAGAACUGGUCCACGUUUUUAGAGAUUGGUUCGGGAGUGCGGUUACGCAAGGAGAAGGGUUAGCACCUCCGUGACGCCCGUUCUACGAACGGUACCAUUUAAUCUUAAGUUAUCUUAAUAUAGCCUUUUCUUAGUUUAAUCCCUAUUUUAUUAAAAAAAAAAAAUUUUUUUUAAUUGGAUUGUUAGACUGAGUUUUUCACUUGGUCUCACGUAUGCAUAUGAUGCAAGCAUAGAAUGAUGUCAUGACUUGUUUAUUUUAAAUGAUGGAGUCGGUAAUCUUUUUUUGAAAAAUUAUUCGAAGAUCAUUCCAACGCUUUGGUGAAGUCUCGCAAUUCUCCUCACCUAGAGAUAUCCCCGGAAGAAUUCGUCUCUACAAGCUCCUCGGGAAAAUCCCAUCAUCGGGAUUCCCGCGCCAUUUGCAAAAUAAGAGUGGCAUGCAAUGACAGUAUAAAANNNNNNNNNNNNNNNNNNNNNNNNNNNNNNNNNNNNNNNNNNNNNNNNNNNNNNNNNNNNNNNNNNNNNNNNNNNNNNNNNNNNNNNNNNNNNNNNNNNNNNNNNNNNNNNNNNNNNNNNNNNNNNNNNNNNNNNNNNNNNNNNNNNNNNNNNNNNNNNNNNNNNNNNNNNNNNNNNNNNNNNNNNNNNNNNNNNNNNNNNNNNNNNNNNNNNNNNNNNNNNNNNNNNNNNNNNNNNNNNNNNNNNNNNNNNNNNNNNNNNNNNNNNNNNNNNNNNNNNNNNNNNNNNNNNNNNNNNNNNNNNNNNNNNNNNNNNNNNNNNNNNNNNNNNNNNNNNNNNNNNNNNNNNNNNNNNNNNNNNNNNNNNNNNNNNNNNNNNNNNNNNNNNNNNNNNNNNNNNNNNNNNNNNNNNNNNNNNNNNNNNNNNNNNNNNNNNNNNNNNNNNNNNNNNNNNNNNNNNNNNNNNNNNNNNNNNNNNNNNNNNNNNNNNNNNNNNNNNNNNNNNNNNNNNNNNNNNNNNNNNNNNNNNNNNNNNNNNNNNNNNNNNNNNNNNNNNNNNNNNNNNNNNNNNNNNNNNNNNNNNNNNNNNNNNNNNNNNNNNNNNNNNNNNNNNNNNNNNNNNNNNNNNNNNNNNNNNNNNNNNNNNNNNNNNNNNNNNNNNNNNNNNNNNNNNNNNNNNNNNNNNNNNNNNNNNNNNNNNNNNNNNNNNNNNNNNNNNNNNNNNNNNNNNNNNNNNNNNNNNNNNNNNNNNNNNNNNNNNNNNNNNNNNNNNNNNNNNNNNNNNNNNNNNNNNNNNNNNNNNNNNNNNNNNNNNNNNNNNNNNNNNNNNNNNNNNNNNNNNNNNNNNNNNNNNNNNNNNNNNNNNNNNNNNNNNNNNNNNNNNNNNNNNNNNNNNNNNNNNNNNNNNNNNNNNNNNNNNNNNNNNNNNNNNNNNNNNNNNNNNNNNNNNNNNNNNNNNNNNNNNNNNNNNNNNNNNNNNNNNNNNNNNNNNNNNNNNNNNNNNNNNNNNNNNNNNNNNNNNNNNNNNNNNNNNNNNNNNNNNNNNNNNNNNNNNNNNNNNNNNNNNNNNNNNNNNNNNNNNNNNNNNNNNNNNNNNNNNNNNNNNNNNNNNNNNNNNNNNNNNNNNNNNNNNNNNNNNNNNNNNNNNNNNNNNNNNNNNNNNNNNNNNNNNNNNNNNNNNNNNNNNNNNNNNNNNNNNNNNNNNNNNNNNUCCAAUUUUUUGGACAACCCGGCGAGGGGGUUCUGGCACCCCUGGAGUUGGUGGCCAGAACCCCCCAUCCCGCGUAGUGGGUGGGGGAUGGGACGGCGUACGCCCAGCCAUCCCGAUUUUUUUUUUUUUUUUUUUAUUUUUUUUAUUUUAUUUAAUUUAUAUUUAUAUUUAUAUUUAUUUAUUUUUUAAUUUAUGUGUUUACACAAUCGAAGAACAUACGAAUGUAGUAUAUCGAAUCUUAAGAUACUUGAAGAGUGUUUUGAGCAAAGAUUUGUUGUUCUCGAAAAAUGGUGUCUCUGACAUUUAAGGAUUUACAGAUUUUGACUGAGCAGGUGAUCAAACAUCCAGAAGAUCCACAUCUGAUUAUUUUACUUUCGUGGAAGGUAAUCUUGUUACUUGGAAAAGCAAAAAGCAGAAAAUUGUGGCAAGAGCAAGUGUAGAAGCUGAAUUUUGAGGUAUGGCUCAUGGUUUAUGUGAAUUAUUGUGGAUUAGGAGUACUCUCAAAGAGUUGGGAAUUGAAUAUGCAAAACCUAUGAAUCUUUAUUGUGAUAAUAAGGCAGCCAUUGAAAUUGCACAAACUCCUAUACAACAUGAUCGCACCAAGCAUGUUGAAAUUGAUCGACAUUUCAUCAAAGAGAACCUUGAUCAAAAAAUUAUACAAUUUUCAUUUGUCCAAUCUGAAGGUCAAUUAGCUAAUAUUCUCACGAAAGCAGUUUCAGGGAACGUGUUCCAUGAUGUAAUUGACAAGUUGGCCAUGAUUGAUAUCUAUGCUCCAACUUGAAGGGGAGUGUCAACAUGAGUUGUAAUUAUUAAUUUUUAAGAAUAUUUUAGGGAGAAUAUUUUCCUAUUUUCUUUUUACUUUGCUUAUACUCCAAGGAAGUCUAGGGUUAGAAUACUUCUUUAUUUACUAUUUUCUUUACUUGCACACCAAGUAGGUUUAGAUUUAGUUGGCUAUUAUAAUUAAUUUACUUGCACACUAAGGAGGUUUAGGUUUAGUUAGUUAUUAUAAAUAGCCCUUUAUGCAAUUCUUUAUUUUUUGAUCAAGCAAUUUAAUUCUUUACUUAGAUCUUGAAUAUUUUCUACAAUUACAUGAUAGUUGUUUUAUAGCAUGAGUAGCUGGCUAUAUUUGGAAGGAAGUCAACAAUGGCUAUAAACAUGAUUUUAGACUCGGAUCGUUGAUUGUAUGAUCCUAGUAAUUCCUCCAUGAAAUCUUCUAUUUACAGCUCAUGUUAAUACUCCCUUAAGUUGGUGCAUAGAUGUCUCUAAUGCCGAACUUGUUAAGUGUGUUAUGGAACACUUUACUUGGAACUGCUUUAGUGAAGAUGUUUGCCAACUAUUCUUCUAACCUCAAAAAUGGGAAACAUAUUAUUGUACUUCAAGUUUUUCGUUGAUAGAGUGUCGAUCUACUUCAACGUGCUUUGUUCAAUCAUGUUGAACUGGAAUUUGAACAAUCUUUAUAGCUGAUUUGUUGUCACAAAACAUGUUCAUUGCUGAGUUUGAUGAGUGAUCGAUCUAUGACAAUAGUUCCUUUAGCCAAAGUAGUUCACAGAGUUCCUUAGCCAUACUUAUACACUCAGCCUCUGCACUAGAUAAAGCAACCACCUUCUGCUUCUUGCUCCUCCAAGUGACUAAAUUACCCCUAACAAAUGUGAAGUAUCUUGAUGAAGAUUUCUUGUCCCUGAUGCUCCCAACCCAGUCUACAUAUGUAUAGCUAGCAAUAUCCAAGUGGUUGUGUUUUCUAAGCAUGAGUCCUUUCCCAAGGGAUGUCUUCAAGUAUUGUAGGAUUUGGACUACUGUGUUCAUGUGAUCUUCACUUGGAUUGUGCAUAAAUUGACUGACUAAGCUCACAACAUAAGCAAUAUCUGGCCUUAUAUGAGACAAGUAAAUUAACUUGCCUACAAGCUGUUGAUACCUUUUUUUAUUUAUGGGGGUCUGAUUGGGACGUUCUUAUAGUCCAUGGUUUUGGAUUAUAAGAGUGUCGUUUGAUUUACAUUCAAGCAUUACCGUUUCGGCUAACAAGUCAAGAACAUAUUUCCUUUGUGAAAGAAAAAUUCCUUGGCUAGAUCAAGCUACUUCUCUUUCUAGAAAAUAUUUGAGUCCGCCAAGUUUCUUCAUUUCAAACUCAGCUACUAGGUACUUUUGCAAGUUUGUAAUUCCCUCCGCAUCAUUCCCUAUGAUUAUCAUAUCAUCGAUGUAGAUUAUUAAAGUUUUCACCAUUCCUUCUUGAUUCUUCAAGAACAAGGUUUGGUCGACAUUACUUUGUUUGAAACCAUGCUUCUUCAUGGCUAAGGUAAAGCAUCCAAACCAUGCUCUUGGUGAUUGCUUUAAACCAUAUAGUGCCUUUUGUAGCUUGCACACAGUUCUAGGUUGAGAAGUAGUAAAUCUCAGUGGGAUGUCCAUGUAAACUUCUUCUUCGAGGCCUUUGUGUAGAAAGGCAUUUUUUCACAUUGAACUGGUGUAGUGGCCAAUCCAAGUUAGCUACUAGUGAUAAUACCACCAUGACUGUAUUUAGCUUUGCUACUGGAGAGAAAGUUUCUUUAUAGUUUACGUCGCAAGACUAAGUGUACCUUUUUGCUACAAGUCUCACUUUAUACCGGUUUAUUAAUCCAUCAGCUUUGUAUUUAAUGGAAGACACUCACCUACACCCAACUACUUUUUUUCCUUUAGGUAGUGGUGUUAGUUUCCAUGUCUUCAUGUUUUUUAGUGCUGUCAUUUCUUCAUUUAUCAUUGGAUCCACUUUGAGCCAUUCAAGGCUUCUUCUAUUAUGCUUGGAGUGUGUUUGGAAGACAGUUUGUGCACAAAGGCUUUAAGGGGUCUUGAUAGUCUUUGUGUACAAAGGUGGUUCGCAAUAGGAUACCUUGUCCUCAUUUCUUCAUGGUUUGGAGAGUAUCGACAUGGUGGCUUGCCAUGAUUAUGUUUGAAAGGUAAUUUAUAGCCAAUAAAUUCAUUAGUAGCAUGGUCAAUAUGGGAAUUUCGGGACUAUACUUCAAAGUUAUUUGGCGCUAGAGUAUGAGGGAGGAGAAGCUGCUCUUCUACAAUGGGUUGUUUUCUACUCAUUCUAUUCGUCUUCAGUAGACUGUUCUUGGUCACUCAUUGAAUAGGUAGCAUUAUCUUCUUUCAUUCCUGUUAUUGCCAUCAUUAGUUCAAUGGUUUGAGCAUUUUCAUUUUCUGUAGGUCUUGAUUGAGUCUUUGCUGCUUCUUGUGAUAGUGGUUAAGCUCCGUUGGAUUCCAUUUUCCCAUUGGUAGUAUCUUCAUUUUGUUUUAGAGAGGUUAAGGGGGUUAUACCUUAAAGAGGGGGUGUACCUUCAAAUCCUGGUCAAUCUUCCCACGUAUUCUGCUUUUCACAAAAUAGCUCCCCUUAAGAGAAGAAUGGCAAUUUGAUUUUGAAAAAAACAUUUCAGACUCUCUAAAGGUAACAUCAAUGGUGGUAUAGAGGCACCUAGUUGUAGGAUCAUAACACCGGUAGCCCUUUUUAUGAUCUCUAUACCUUAGAAAAAUACACCGAACAACACAAGGAUCAAGUUUGGUUCAUUAUGUUUUGUGAAUGUGGACAAAUGCUACACAUCAAAAUAUUCGAGGUGGAAGCAUCAAGAUCAAGGUAAUGGCAUGUAUUGAGCAAGAGCUUGUAAUGGAGUUUCAAAGUUUAAGACUUGAGAUGGUAUUCGGUUGAGUAAGUACAUGAAGGCUCUAACUGCAUUUGUUCAGUAUUUGUGGGUGCAUGGGCUGCUAUCAAGAGUGUUCGAGUCGUUUCAAGAGUAUGUCUUAUUCUUUCUUUUUGCAAUACCAUUUUGUUAUGGAGUAUCCUUGCAAGUAGUUUCAGGAUAUAAACCAUAUUCUUGAAAAUAUUGUCACAAUUCAUUAUUAUCAUAUUCUCCGCCAUUAUUAGACCGAAGAAUCUAAAUGUUGGCUAAGAAUUGAGUUUUGAUCAUGUUAUGGAAAGAGCGAAAACUAGCAAACAUUUUACUCUUAUUCUUCAUCAAAUAAAGCCAAGACAUACAUGUGCAAUCAUCUACAAAUAUCACAAACCAUCUAAUGCCAGAAGAGAUUGUGAUAGGGGUUGGCCCCCAAACAUUUGAAUGGAUUAUCACAAAAGGUUCCUAACAUUUUUUAAAACUAAUAGGAUAUGGAACAUGGUGACUUUUAGCCAAAAUGCAAGUUUCACAGAGAAAUAAAGAUUCAUGUCAAGUUGAAAACAAACUUGGAAAAAGAUGCUUUAAGUAUGAAAAGGACAGAUGUCCAAGUCGGUAGUGCCAUAACCAAAUUUGUCUUCCUUUGUCACUGGUUCCACGUGUAGUGUUUUUUUGUCCAACACUAAGAUCAUCAAUAUAAUACAAUCUUUCUCUUUUAGUACCAUGACGAAUAAUCUUCUUGGUGAGAAGAUCUAAAAAAAAAACAAAACUUAGGAUACAUUGGUGCGCAACAAUUUAAUUCUUCAGUGGUUUGGACGACAGAUAGUAGUUUAUUAGAAAGGGAUGAAGCUAACAGAGUAUUUAGAAGUGAAAAAAAUGGUGAAAGUGCCACCUUUUCCUACCCCUGUAACCGGGUAUGUUACUCUAUUGGCAUUGGCAAUGCAUGUCCAUUUUGGUUGGCUAGUCUCAAUGACAACUUGCGAAUCAAAUGUUAUAUGACUAGUAGCUCCUGAAUUAAUAAUCCAUCUUUGAUUACCUAGGUUACUAAAGGCCAUUGUUUUGUUCGCUACAGCCAAUAGUGAGUCCUUUUUUGGUAUGAGGGACAACUGUGGCUCAGUAGAUGUAGCAGCUGAAGUAUCUUCGGUGUUCAUGAGGGCAGCUCGACCAGCAUCACUUUCCUUUUUUGCUUUGAGUUCAUGCCACCAUUCUAGAUAUCUGUGUAGCUUAAAGCAAGUGUUUUUCUUGUGCUUUGCAUUCCCACAGCGUGUUCAACCUACUUUUUCUACUUGUGACCUUGGCUUUGUUGACAUAUUGGGUUUCCCAUUAGAGAUCAGUUGAAGUGAAGUUUGUUGCUGUGGUUUCUGUCUUUUUGAGAUCAUAACUGCACCGUGCACACUAUCUCUUUUUUCAACAUUAUGGAUUGCCUUAAAUCUUCUCGGUGGACAUGUGCAUAUGCUUGUUCUACUAUUGAAAAUGGUUGAAGUUGAAGCACAAUACCUCGGAUUUAUCAAGUUGAUCAUCUAGCCAAUCUAGAAAGGUAUUAUAAACUCUAUCUUCUUGUAAAAUAGAGUUAUAUUUCUAUAUAUCAAAUUUGCAAUUCAUAGGGUUUGGUUGCUGAAAAUCAAUCUCUCGCCUUAAACCUUGAAGAUUGUUGUAAUAUGUCUUGAUAGAUCCUCCACCUUGUUUUAGCCUUGUCACCUUUCUUUUGAGAUCAUAGACUUAUGAAGUGUCAAUCCCAUCAAAAUACGCCAUAUCAAUAAUGUCCUAAACUAUUUUCGCUGUUGGAAAUCGAAUAUAGUUGCUGAUUAGUUUUGGAUCCAUAGAGUUGAUUAGCCAACCCUUCAUUAUUGCAUUUUCUAUCCUCAAUUUGUCUUAUGUGGUUGUGGAAGAUCCCCAUUUAUGUAUCCAGUUUGUCUUUGCCCUUCUCCACAACUUGGAACCAAACCUAAGAAGCACCUUUACAUUAUUCAAAGCUCUUAAAACUCAUUUAAUACAUUUUAGAUGUAGAGCUAGUUUCUUCUUCCUUUAUUCUUGGGAAUCAACCUUGUAACAUCCUUUUACCAAUCUCUCUCAAUCAUUCUUACCCACCACCAUGGUUUUCCAGUUGUGAAUGCGAUGUAUCCCAUUCUCAAUCCUAACAAGUGUAGCAAAGUGGGCCUAGCUGAAUAUCAGACUCAUCAAAAUAAGCAAGUUUUGAAUCAAGAAUGACAUCAAAAGCCUUCUCUAAAGAUAUGUCUAAUUGAGAUCAAAUCUUUCUUAGUUAUUACUCCAAAAUGGAUAUCAAAUCUGUAAGUUUACAACAAGGAUUUAGAAUACUAAACAAUUUCAAUAUAGAUGACAAAAAGUGGUUUUAUUCAAACAAAUUAAACAAACACCAAGAGCCAAAGAUUUUGACAAAGAAAAAAUAAACCUGAAAAUAAAAAUGACACGCCGUACAAAAGUUAUUAAAGGGAUUGAAGUUAAAUAAACCCAAGUUAUAUGAGAAUGACUCUACAUCAGAUUGAUGAACAUCGGGCUAGAGAGGAAAAAAGUAAACAAAAGUCAAGAAGAAGGCAAUGAAUGUUAAUGUCAUGAUAUAUUACUAUAACUUAAAAUAGAGAGAAGCUUGAAGAGAACUAGUGAGUUGAUAAGCAAAACAAGGGCAUUCAUAUCAGUACAUGAUGAUCACACAGUGAUCAUAUAUAUUACAAGAUGUUAGAGUUUAUAACACCUGUAACAACCGCUUAACAGGUGUUCAAUUAAGAUGAAAACAACACAGUAUCAUCCUAUCCUAACAUCAGAGGUAUUGACAACAAAGUAGACAUACUAAGCACUGAUUAUGUUAUUAAAAUGCUUGCACGUGUCCAUGCAAGUGUUAUCCUCUAACACUGAACUGUUAAGUUAGUUAAAGUGUAAUUAUAGCUUUUUCUCAAAUUCGAAUGAUUGAGAUCAACUUAAACUAGUUCUGACAAAGGAGAAAUUUAUGGUGUAACAAAACGGAAGAAGCUUGUAAAGGAAAGAUUGAGAGAAGUUAGACUCCUCAACUUACUAAACUCAUAUGGGAUUUCAGUUUUGAUUGAAAAGUUGUCUGCAAGGUUGAGCCGUUGGAGGUUUCAAAGUUGAAAGAGGUUAGUAUUUGAUUGAAGAGCACCUAUCAGCCCAUUACAGUUGAGUGCAAGCGAUCUUGUAUUUUUCUCUUUUUUUUUUUUAUUGUGGUUGUUUCUGGUUGUUAGAAAAUUACGAAUUUUUUGGUUUUCUUGCUCUUGUUUCCGCUAGGUUUUUUCAGGAAUUUUCUAGGGAUCCUGCUGCUUCUCUAGCAUUGGAGUGUUAUAUAUCUGCCCUGGAUGUUGGGGAUGUAGCCACAUAGGCACCCCCAACAUCGGAGGGCUACUGCCAGAUGUGAAAAUUUCGCAUCUGGCGAGGCGACUGCCCAGGCAAGGCGCGAACGCACCCUGUUGAGCUAUUGACUCUCUCUCUUUUUCUCUUUUUUAUUUUUUAUUUGUUGUCCUUCUGGUUUCCAGAAUACUUUGGAGCUAAUUUAGUUUUAAUCCCUUAUUAGCUUAUGUUUAGUGUAAUUGAUCUGUUUCAAAUUACUUUGGUUGCUGUGGGCCUGUUUGCCAAUCCACAUUUCCCUGGCCCAUGCCACUUUAUAACAUUAGGAAGUAAUUUGAAACUUUAAAGCCCACUGGAUCUUUUAACUAACUCGGACCAUAAAGAUAGACACAUCAAUAAAAAUGAAGGACUAAGUAACAAAAUGAACAAAUAAUAAAGAUAGAAUGAAAUAAGAGGAGAUAAACAAAUAAAUAGGAAAAUUAAAACUUAUAUAAAAUUACAGUGUCUACAGGUCUGUGCUGAUUAUCAAGGUCCACACCAACUCUUGUAAGGUAUUGUUCAUUUUGACUCGUUGGCCUUACGGUUUUGACCCACAACAAAAGGCACCUCCCAGGUUAAAGGUGAUGUGAACUCUUAUAUGUCCAGUAUCACUCUAAUACAUAAUCAAUGUGAGAUUCAUGGCUCCCUUCUUUACGACCAUGAAAUCAGCCCUUACUCCUUGUUGGGAGUUUUUCUUCGAUGUGGUAUUUUGUGGUUUUUCUCGUUGGGAGCACUAUCUCAAUGAUGUGGGAUUCACGUCCACACGAGGAUCGAUGUAGGAUUCAUGUCUAUGCGAGGAUCGUGACAUCCUCCCCCACUUCAACAAAGGUCCACUAUCCUCAGUGGCACAUUGCUAGUACUCAAAGUCUGCUAUGAUACCAAUUAUCAAGGUCUACAGCAACCCUUAUGAGGUAUUGUCUGCUUCGACCCACUGGCCUCAUAGUUUUGUCUCACAAAAGGCACCUCUCAAGUUAAAGGUGGUGUAAACCCUUAUACACCUAGUAUCACUCUAGUACGUAGUCAAUGUGAGAUUCAUGACUCCCCUUUCUAGGACCAUGACAUCUACCCUUACUCCCCGCUGAGAGUUUCCUUUCGAUGUGGGACUUUGUGGCUCUACUUGCUGGGAGCACUAUCUCAACGAUGUGGCAUUCACGUCCACACGAGGACCAUGAUACUGAUGUUGGUUGUUGUGGAUUUGAUAGAGAAUGAAACUACAAAAUUAGGCAAUAGCAGCAACACCACCACCAUAAGAGCCAAAAUGAACCGAGCGUUUCCCAUGAAGCUAUGUAGAACUGGAACUUGUGAAAGGAACAUUUUGAAUUAUAUGUGGGAAAGAUGAUGCUUCUUUUUCAAUAUAUAUUAGAAAAUGUCAAAUUUGUGAUAGGACCUAUUUCCACAUGCACCCUUCCAUAGUGAGAGAAAAUUUACCACUUGCAUAUUGGAGAGAAUUCUUAAAGAGAAAUGUUAUCAUUUCUUACUCAUUUUUAUUGACAAAUCCGAAGGCCAAAAAAAAAGUAUUUUUAUUUAUAAAAUUUAUUACAAUAUCAAUUGAAUUUGUUAUGCAUAUGAUACACAAUUACAUAAGCAAAAGUAACGCUCUUCCUUUUCAUAAAUCUCAUCUACUCUCAAAACACGAUUGCAACUUGAGAUUUCAAGUUAAAAUUGUAUAUUUUAAUCACCGAGGUAUCGGUUCAAAUAACAAGUUGGAAAUUCUUUUUUAGCUCUGUAACAGUAAAAAUGAACUUUUUUACUAUCUUGUGAGUAUAAGAGCUUUCAGUAAGUAUUGGCCCCUUGGACGAGUAAGCACCAAAGAAACCAAUUUAUUUGAUUAAAUGUCCAACAAAAAAAAAAGGUUAUCUUACAAGGCAAAGCCAAUCUCAAGUUUAUUUUAUUUUAUUUUAUUUUAUUUCAAUCAGAGUAGGAAAUGACAGAAUCUUAAGUGAGUGUUUGAGUUAGUUUAUAGAAGUGAUUUUCUACUGCAUAAGGUGAAACAAUAUGUUUGGUUGUCAAAAUUUUAGAAUUUUGGGUGUAUGUGUGAAAUUCAUUUGUUGUUUUAGAUGAAAUUAUGAAUCAAAAUUUGUUUAAUAGUUUUGGUCAAUCGAAUCAAAACUGCUUCAAAAGUAUUUACUCAAAAUUUGUUUAAUAAUUUGUAUAGUAACAACUGUUUACUCAAAAGAAAAACAUAAAAUUGAAAAAUUAUCCACACUUUGAAGAGCUCUAAUGGUGUAGCUGAACAAUUGGUAAAAGAUGGCAUAUAAAGGGAGAACGAUUUGUUAAACAUCAUUCCGUAAGCUUGAAGUUUAUUUGAGUUCUGAUUGUGGUUUUUUAAUGGCCUGCUAUAAUCAAGUUCCCACAUCUAUUUUCUCUCACUUCCCACAUCUUAUUAAUUCUCAACUAUUUAUAUCAAGUUUCAUUAAAAAUAUGUAAAAGUUAAGAUAAUUAAUAAAAUGACAUAUUCUAUCACUUCCUUAAUAUUAUGUACGUAAUAAAUCUCUAUUUUUUAUAACUUCCUAAUUCCCACAAUACUAUUAAUUCUCUAUUAUUUCUUCUAUUUCCAAUCAACAUAAUAUGUAUUUAAUAAUCUCUAACUAACGAUAAAUUUUUUUUUUUUAAUUUCAAAGAAAAACAGCCUCAUUUAAAUAUUUAGAUGCUUUAGGCCUUUAAUAUUAUUGAGCCACCCCUGACUAUUUCUAAUUGUAUUUUGCAGUUUAUAUUGUCCCCAUAUGAUGCUGUAAGUUCUGCUUCUAGUAUAUGCUUUACUACAAAAAAUGACAUUUUAAGAAUUUGGUGGGUAGCUGGCUGAAGGGGAUGAUUGAUGAAUGGUGCAAAUAUGGUUAUUGAUUUGGUUUUUAUGGUUUUUUUUAAAUUGGAAUAAAGAGGAUUCGAAUCGUGUUCUUUAAGUAAGGGGAUCAUGCACCAACCAAUGAGUUAAAUGUUCGGGUGUGAUUUGACUUUUAUGGUUGAGUGUUUUGGUUGGGUGUUAUUAUAAGUAAUGGUAUUGUUUGGGAAAGUGGGUGAUUAUUUAGGCUUUUGUGGUUUUUCAUCAUUGGUUUUUGGUGGUCGGUUACUUUGUUUCCAUUUCUUAUGACCAAAGUCUAAUGGUUAAUAUUCUGGUUCAAUAGCAUGUUAAUUAUUGGCUUCGUUUCUGUAAUGGGAUUACCCCUGCUUCAUUUUAAUAAUAUUAAAUAAUUUUCAAAAAAAAUAAUUAUGUAUGAAUAAAUUAAAGCAAGAAAUCCACAAUAAUUCCAAACCCAUAGAAUGGAAAACUGCCAACAAGUCAAGCAUAGUGAGAUCUAGUCUUUGAGAAAUUACUUGAUUUAGACUUUGUCGACCACUUCAUCCAAAAUUCCAGAAGUAAGUCUUCGUUAAUCACUUCAUCCAAAAUACUCAAAAACAAAGGCAAGUCUUCAUCCCCCACUUCAUCCAAAAUUCUCAAAAAACCAAAAGCAAGUCUUCAUCAUCCACUUCAUCCAAAUUCCAGAAAACAAAAGAAAGUCUUUGUCAAUCAUAUCCCCAAAAAAAAAAAAUGCCAAAUAGUAUAUUUCUAAUGCUCUGAUUCUACAUCUGAUCAUAAAAUGGUCUUGACUUGGGUCUCCUUCCCACUAUAAUUCUUCUCACAAGUCUGUCAAAAUGAGUAAGUGCACCCGUCAAGAAUGACAUCAAAAGCCUCCUAUAAGGAUAUGUCUAAUUGGGGUCAAAUCUUUCUUAGUUAUUACUCUAAAAUGGAUAUAAGAUCUGUAAGUUUACAACAAGAAUUUCGAAUACUAAUUGGCAAGACGUGCCAGUUGACCCAGUUUGAUUCUAUUCUAGGCUUGACUACUACUUGAUCCUAACAAACGUGUAGGAACUUGUAAAAGGAAAACUUUUGAAUUAUAUGUGGAAAUGACGAUGGUUUUCAAUAUAUAUAUAUUGAAAUUGUCAAAAUUGUGUUAGGAUCUAUUUCAACAUGCACCCUUCGACAGUGAAAGAAAAUUUACCACUUGGCAUAUUGGAGAGAAUUCUUAAAGAGCAAUGUUAUCAUUUCUUAUUCAUUUUUAUUGACAUAUCUAAAGGCCAAGAAAAAGUAUUUUUAUUUAUAAAAUUUAUUACAAUAUAAAUUUAAUUUUUGUAUACAUAUGGUACACAAUUACAUAAACAGAAACAACUCUCUUUCCUUUCAUAAAUCUCAUCCUACUCUCAAACCACGAUUGAAACCUGAGAUUUCAAGUUAAAAUUGAAUAUUUUAAUCAUCGAAGUAUCCGUUGACUGAAAACUUGAACUAUUACAAGUCAAUGAAAUACAUAAUUUUUUUUUAAAAAAACCUAAUCUUUGGACACCUCUAAACACUGUAUUUGUAUAUAUUUCUAACUUUUAUUUUUCUUUUUUCCUAUAAGAAAUAUAAGCAAUAUAAACUAAAUGUUAUAUCUUUAUAAGUGUUUUUUUAUGAGAUUAUAUUUACAUGUAAAAAUUAUAAUUACAUCAAAUAACUUUUAAUAUUAUUAUAAAAUAAAAUAAAUUAAUAAAUAAACUAAGAAGUUAUUCAUGCAUAAAAUAGAUCUAUAUAAUACAAGAAUAAAAUUUAUUUAGAGCUGGGUUAUCAUAGCAUAACAUAAAACUAAAAAUAGUUUUGAAAACUCAACAAAUUAAAGACAACAUCCAAAAGUAACCAUCUCGCAAAGAAAAGGAAAUCAAGGCAGGUACUCGCCUCCAAAAUAAAGAAAAAGGAAGCAAGCAAUUAUUGGGUAAAAUAAAAGCACCUUGACAUUGAUAAGUUGAACCUGCACUCAAACUUCAUUUUCUCGAUUUGGGAUUCAAAGGAGUCAAAUGCAAACGUUAGCAACAUGAUAAUAUUUUCAUCAAGCCCGUUUGUUUGAAUCCUUCAAAAACUUGAUUUUGAUCUUCUUCAACUUAGCAACAACGUUUUUCAUGUCAAUCCUCUCUUCUGGCAACUCUUCUAAACAUUCUAAUGCCAAUUGCAAUACAGAUGAUGCACAUUCCUUUAUUGCAAAAAGUUCUCGCUUCCUCUUAUCGAUUAGCAAAUUGGCAUCUACAACUUGAGUUAAUGCAGAUGGUAUGGACUCAUUCACCCAAUGUUUUAAACUCAUUUCUCCAACAAACAUUUCAUCUGUGGGCUUCUUUCUUGUUAAGGUUUCAAUUAGAAGAAUACCAAAACUGUACAUGUCGCCUUUUAUGGAAACCAUUCCUUGUGUUCCAUAUUCUACAUGCAAGUCAUUAAAGCAAUCAUCAAAGUAUGCAAUGAUUUUACAUGAAUUACCAUAAUGGAUAAAAAAAGUCUAAAGUUUAAGCAUUACCUGGUGCCAUAUACCCAAUUGUUGCUAGUGUUAUGGUUUGUACCAUUGAAUCCUCUUCACCUAACAGCUUUGCAAUGCCAAAAUCAGCUAAAUGUGCAACCAUAUCUUCAUCUAACAGAACAUUGCUGGGUUUUAAAUCACAAUGGGCCACAGGAAUUGUCUGACCAUGAUGGAGGUAUUCUAAUGCAGCUGCCACAUCAAUCAUAAUGUUCAACCUAUGCAACAUAUCAAGAAAAUAGUUAUGAGAAUACAACCACUUCUCGAGGCUUCCAUUGGGCAUGAACUCAAGCACCAAGGCUUUAAAGUCAACAUUGCAGCAACUACUAAUGAUUUUGACUAAAUUUCGGUGGCGAAUGUUGCGCAAGACCUCACACUCAACGUCAAAGCUCUUGAAUGAUCCUUCUACCUCCAAAUUAAAGACUUUUAUGGCAAUGUUCAAUCCAUCUGAAAGAGCACCUUGGUAUACCGAGCCAAAACUCCCCACACCAAGUAGUUUGCUUUCACAAAAACCAUUUGUCGCUUGAUAAAGCUCUUGGUAUGAAAUUCUUCUCCAUUUUGCUAAACCAAUCGAAUUUUCUAGAUCAUUUUUUUGCUUUGAAUGCUUUCUUCGGCUUUGGAAGAAAAAGACUAUUAAGGCUAGAAUUAAUAGCGUUGCGCUAAUUGGCAAUAGGAUACAUUCCAUAAGCUUAGUAGCUUUCCUUGAAUGUUUAGCAGAAUUAUGUGUGCAUGGUGGGAGUUGCAGUUGAGGUGCACCACAUAGCGCUUCAUUCCCCAUAAAUGAUUGAAUCGAGCAAUUGGCAAAGGGUCCUUCGUUAGGAAUUUCUCCAUGCAGUCUAUUGAAUGAGACAUUCAAAUACUCAAGGUGCAAGAGUUUUUGCAAGGACUUUGGAAUAAUUCCAGAGAAAUUAUUCCUUGAUAGAUCCAAGAAUUGCAAUUCUAUCAACCCACCAAAUAACUCAGGUAUAGAUCCGUACAAUCUGUUACCGGAUAAGGAAAGAUAAGUUAGGUCUUUAAGAUCUCUAAUGCUGCUCGGAAUUUCACUUGAUAAUUGAUUUUCGGAAAAAUCAAUAAUUGUAACAACCUUCCACUUUCCAAAGUCAAUUGGGAGAGCCCCGCCAAGAAAAUUGGAAGACAAAUUUAGUUGCAAGAUAUCUAUAAGCCUUGUGAAGGUUGAGGGUAUUGAGUUUGCAAACUUAUUGGAGUCCAAAUAUAGAUGCCUAAGAGAAACGAGAUCACCCAAGCAUUCUGGUAUUGGUCCAGCCAAUUUGUUACCUGUGAGAUGCAAGAAACCCAAACUCUUCUGACAGCAUAACUCAGAUGGAAUGGAUCCUUCUAAGUUAUUGUCUUCAAGAAAGAAACCUUGCAACUUUUCUAAUCUUCCAAUUGUGGUGGGAAUAGGUCCAAUCAGUUCAUUGUUAGCUAUGUUCAACCUGAUCAAGUUGAUUAGUUUGCCAAUCUCUACAGGAAUAUUGCCUCCAAUGUUGCAGUCCGAGGCAUCGAAUGUUUGUAGAGAAAUAGAGAGAUUUCCUAUAGAGAUAGGAAGUUCACCAUGAAUCAAUGGAUUAUUACUAAAUGCCAAGACUCUCAAGUCUUUGCAAUAUGCUAAAGAUGUGAGAAAGCUCAAUUUUGGGGAUGAAGGUGUGCGAGCCAAAUUAUUAAACUGUAGGUUGAGAAAUUGUAGAUCUCUUAGAUUUCCGAGGUCAUCGGGAAUAUAUCCAGAAAAUGAAUUAGCUGACAAGUCAAGCUCUAUUAGCUUAGAUGCAUUAGAGAUGGAGGUAGAGAUUGUUCCAUUUAUCUCAUUGGAACCAAGUAGAAGCUGUUCAAGUUUUGGAAGCCAAAGUCCUGUGCUCCAUGGAAGACAACCUGAGAGAUGGUUUACAUCAAGUGCAAUGGUCCUCAUAGUUGAGCUAUUAAAGAUUCGAGGAGGGAUAUGUCCAGAGAUAUUGUUAGAUUCCAAAUUCAACCUUUCCAAUUUUGGUAUGUUGCCUAUCUCAAGUGGUAUUUUACCUGCCACAAGGAGUCAUUUGGAUUUGUUCUGGUGAUCCAGAAGUAAAUAACAAAAUUUAUCAUAAAAGUUGUACGCACAUUUGUAUUUUUAUAUUUUAUAUUAUAAAUAUAUAUAACAAAGAGUGAAACAAGUAAAUUACUUCCAAAAGUGUUAAGUUACUAAUCUAUUGUGGAAUUCAACCUGCAUAAUGAAAUUGUUCCAUUAAUUAUUUUCAAAUUUAGCAGAAAAUUAUAUGGUCAAUUUGUUUGUCAAACGGAACAAUCAAAAUUAUAAAACAAAGUUUAGAAUUUAGAUAAUACAAGGUAAUAUAAUCUUACAGGCUAAUUUAUUAUUUUUCUUUCAAUUUAUAUAAUAUAAUGAAAACAUAUUAGAAAAGUUGAAAAAAAAACAGAACAUAGAUAAGUAGAUAGUAUAUUUCAAUUUAUAUAAUAUAAUGAAAACAUAUUACUAUAUUUGCAUUUUGAGAAACAAUUUGUUAUAAUUAUUGGUUGAUGCAAUAUAAUCAUAGGCAAAUUUGCUAAAUUUAAGGGUAUUUUCAUCUUAGUUUGUCCAUUUGUGUGUCCAAGAGAAAAAGGAGGCAUGGGACUGUGGAAGAAAGGGAGGGACGACGGAUAGGGCGGAGGAAUGGGGGAAGGGGGGUUGACAAGUCAGCGAAAGAAAGGCAGGAGCCGAGGAGAGAGAGAGAGGAGGAGUCAUACCAGUUUAGACAAGUUUAUUUAAAUAAUGUAUGAGUAGUGGAAAACCAGUCUUGACGAACAUCAAUCUUAUACUUUACAUCUAAAAGAAGAAGGAUAAAAUUUAAAUAAACUAAAAUGUAAUCAUAGUGAAUUUAAUAGAAGAAGUAAAAGACUUACGAGAUUGCAAAAUGUGUCAUUAUUAAAAGAAAAAACCAAUAAAAAAAAUGGAUUAGAAAUAUGUUAAAAAUGCGUCACAAUAAUAUUUAUUUGGAUUUGUUAAUAACAAAAUAACAAAAUUAAUGAUAAAACUUUUACACACAUUUCUAUUUUUAUAUUUUAUACUAUAGAUAUAUAUAUAACAAAGAGUCAAACAAUUAGUAUUUGUAAAUAAUAUUAUUCAAAUAUUUACAACAGUUGCAGCUAUGUAGAAACUAAACAUACAUGAGAGAAAAUAUAACUUAUUACCUGUCAAUUUAUUAGCGGGAAUAUCAAUCUCUAUCAGAAGUGUUAGGUUACCAAGCUGUUGUGGAAUUUCACCUGCAUAAUGAAAUUGAGCCCUUAAUUAUUUUCGAAUUGAACAACCACUUGUUUGUCAAAUGGAUCAAAAUUAUCAAAGAAAGUUUAGAACUUAGAUAAUACAAAGCAAUAUAAUCUUGCACAUUGCAGUUAAUUUAUUAUCUUUCUUUUCAAUUUAUAUAAAAGAAAAAGGAUAAAAUAUACAUAAACUUAAAAGUGAUCACAAUGAAUUUAAUAGAAGAAGUAAUAAAGAAUUGAAAGAAUUACUAGAUUGCAAAAAUGUGAUUGCGUUAAAAAAACCAACCCAAUAACAAAAGAAACUAAAAUAUUGUAGGCCCAAAAAGAGAAAAAAAGAAAAAGGCUUUUGUUAUUGUGAGAAAGAAAGGGUUAGAAAUAUGUUAAAAAUGCAUCCCAAUAUUUAUUUUUCUUUUACCUUUGAGGUUGUUCUCUGCAAGAUAUAGAAAUUUGAGCAUAGUCAAAUUUCCUAUUUCUUUCGGUAUAAUUCCCUCGAAAUGAUUAUAAGAUAAGGAUAAAUCUUUUAACUCUUGACACUUGAAUAAACUCAUUGGGAUUGGACCAGCAAGGUGGUUAAAACUCAAGUCCAGCCCUUGUAAUCUAGGUAAACGAUCAAACAUAUCUGAUGAGAUAUCACCAGUGAGGUUAUUAAAUGUAAAAUCAACCACUUCCAAGGAAGACAUGUUGAGUCGAAUGGAAGGUAUGGAACCAAUGAGCUGGUUGUUUCUGAGAAAAAUCUUUAGCAAUGAAGAUAUGCUGAAGACCGAAGAAGGUAUAAAACCUGAAAUCUGAUUAUUAUGUAAAUAUAAAAAUCUCAACCUAGAAAGAUUUCCGAUCUCCAGGGGGAUAUGUCCUUGCAGAUUGUUGUUAUACAAGCUCAAUAACUCUAGUUUUGACAAAGAGCACAAAGAAGAUGGGAUAACUCCCACGAAGUUAUUACCGCCCAAACUCAAGUUUUGAAGUUUAGAAAAGGAACCAAACCAAGAUGGGAUUUCUCCGUUGAAAUUGUUGUUACUCAAUAGUAGAGAUUUCAGCCGGCGCAAAUUAGCCAACUCGAUGGGCAAUGAACCAUGAAAACUGUUGUUUCCAGUGUCAAGGAAAGCAACGAAAGACAGAUUUCCCAUGUCUGGUGGUAUGGUUCCAGAGAGAUUCAUGCCAAAUAGAUCCAAAGCAAUGACUCUGUGGUGUCGAGAUCCGCAAGUGACACCAACCCAAUUGCAAAUAGAGGUAGCAGUUGACCAGUUCGUAGCCAGAAGAUCAUUGUUGACGCGGGUUUUUAGUGCAAGAAGAGCCAACUGGUCUGUGCUGAUGUUGGUUGUUGAUUUCAUAGCGAAUGAAACCCCAAAAUUAGGCAGCAACACCACCACCAUAAGAGCCAGAAUGAGCCAAGUGUUUCCCAUGAAGUUAAGUAGAAGUGGAACUUGUGAAUUAUAUGUGGGAAAGAUGAUGUUUCUUUUUCAAUAUAUAUAGAAAAUGUCAAAACUGUGAUUGGACUUAUAUCUUUUUUUUAAAAAGCAAUUUUAUUAGCCGCAUUAACCAUAUUGCCAUUCCAAGUCUCCUCCAAUUAGGAGACUUUCCAUGAUAUCAAGACAUGGUUAGGACAAACAAAUGUACAAUUACAAAAACUACCCCGCUCCUGCCGCUACCAGCUGUAAAAAACAUGAAGCUCAUCAAUCCUAUCAAGACCAAAAUCCAUCGACUCACUACCUCAAAAGCAAAAAGAGAGGCAUAAUCAGGUUCACUAAGCUAGAAAGUCCCUUUUGCACCCAAAAAAGAACAUAACACAGGAGGCCAUUCGACAAACCGUGGGAACCACCCCCAACAGAUCAUGCACACCGUCAAAGGCCAAAAAACAAAAACCAUAAUUCAACCAGCACGGUCGCGUCAAGCAAAUACGGGAGCAGGAAACCCCGUCUCAACAGCUCCAACCCACAGACCAGACAACAAGCACGGGCAGAAACAGAACCUUGUAACCAGGACACCUCAACUUCCAGCCUAAAGAAUAUCUAUUUCUUAUUCAUUUUCGUUGACAUAUCUAAAGGCCAAAAAAAGGUAUUUUUAUUUAUAAAAUUUAUUACAAUAUAAAUUUAAUUUUUUUAUGCAUACGGUACACUAUUACAUAAGCAAAAGUAACUCUCUUCUUCUUCAUAAAUCUCAUCUUACCCUCAAACCACAAUUGAAACUUGGGAUUUCAAGUUAAAAUUGUAUAUUUUAAUAACCGAGGUAUCGGUUCAAAUAGCAAGUAGGAAAUUCUUUCUUAGCUCUUUAACAGUAAUUCUGCCCUGCAUUUGUAGGAAAACAACAGAAUGAACUCUUUUACUAUCUUGUGAGUAUAAGAGCUUUCAGUAAGUAUUGGCCCCUUGGACUAAUAAGCACCAAAGACACCAGUUUAUUCGAUUAAAUGCCCAAAAAAAAAAGGUUAUCUUACAAGGCAAAGCCAAUCACAAGGUUUUUUUUUUAAUUUUUUUUCAAUCAGAGUAGGAAAUGACAGAAUCCUAAGUGAGUGUUUGACCUAGUUUAUAGAAGUGAUUUUCUACUGCAUAAGCUGAAACAAUAUGUUUGGUUGUCAAAAUUUUAGAAUUUCGAGUUAAUGUGUGAAGUUCAUUUGGUGUUUUAGAUGAAAUUAUUAAUCAAAAUUUUUUUAAUAGUUUUGAUCAAUCGAAUCAAAACUGCUUCAAAAAUAUUCACGUAUAGUAACAACUAUUUAAUGAAAUUUUUUAUAUUUUUACUUUAUUCUUGAAUAAUUCAUAAAAUUAAGAUAUUAGGAAACAAAUGCUCAAGUGUAAAUUUCCUCAAAAUUUCUAAAAGAAUAUACACGUAGAUAAUAAAUAAGUCAAAAUGGUACUUAUGAAAUAAAACAUAACAUAUUUUUAUUAUUAAUGAUUAUGUCUCUCAAAAGAAAGACACAAAAUUGAAAAAUUAUUCACACUUUGAGGAGCACUAAUGGUGUAGCUGAUCAGUUGGUUAAAGAUGGCUUAUAAAGGGAAAACGAUUUGUUAAACAUCAUUUUGUAAGCUUGAUGUUUAUUUGAGUUAUGAUUGUGGUUUUUUAAUGGUUUACUAUAACUGAGUUCCCACAUUUAUUUUCUCAUAUAAACAAAUAUCUAUUUUCUCUCAUGUCUCACAUCUUAUUAAUUCUUAACUAUUUAUAUUGUAUCUCAUUAAAAAUAUAUAAAAGUCAAGAUGAUUAAUAAAAUGACAUAUUUUCUUACUUCCCUAAUAUUAUGCACCUAAUAAAUCUCUAUUUUUUAUCACUUUCCAAUUUCCACAAUAUUAUUAAUUCUCAAUUAUUUCUCCUAUUUCCAAUCAACGUAAUAAAUAAUUCAUAAAAUGACAUAUUUUCUCACUUCCCUAAUAUUAUGUACCUAAUAAAUCUAUAUUUUUAUCACUUCUCAAUUCCCACAAUAUUAUUAAUUCUCAAUUAUUUCUUCUAUUUUCAAUCAACGUAAUAUGUAUUUAAUGAUCUCCAACUAAUGGUAAAAUUGUUUUCUUAAUUUCAAUGAAAUAAAAGACCUCAUUUGAAUAUUUAGACGCUUUAGGCUUUUUAGGUUUUUUUUCUUAAUUGAGGAAAGGGGGAUUCGAACCUUGCUUUCUAGGCAAGGGAUCAUGCACCAAGCAAUGAGCCAAAUACUCAGGUGCAUUUUUUAGGCUUUUAAGGUUAUUGAGCCACCCCUGGCAUUUCUAACAAUACUUUGCAACUAAUAUGUGACAAUCUUUCAGAUUGCAAAAUAUGUUUUAUGUUGUCCCCAUAUUAUGCUGUGGGUUCUAUUUUCAGUAUAUGCUUGACCACAGACAAUGACUUUUUAAGAAUUUAGUGGGUAGCUAGCUAAAGAGGAUGAUUGAUGAAUGGUGCAAAUAUGGUUGUUGACUUGGCUUCUAUGGUAGAGUAUUUUGCUUGGGUAUUAUUAUAAGUGAUGGUACAGUUGACUCCAUAUGUUUUUUAUGAUAACAAAAUAUUCUCAUUCAUUGAUGUCUAAUUACUUUAUUUAAGUGUGUGAACCCUUUAUAUAUUUGUUUUUUGGAAGCAAGUCAAGAAGCUUGCUUAAUUACAAGAUGAGUUAAUCAGUUAAAGAAGCAAAGAAGAAAAGGCUUAGUGAAGACAAAAUGUUGUUAACUGAUUAACGUGGAGCCUUAACCAAUUAAGGCAAAAGCUAGGAACUAUACAAAAGCAAGACAAUAAAACCUUAAUUAGUUACCACAAGGUUUAACUGAUUAAGAAGGUGCUAGAAGCUAAAAACAAAGGCAUGCUAAUCAGUUAAAGAAUUGGGAUAAUCAGUUAGAGCACAAGACUUAGUACCUUCAACGCCAAAAUUCAAAGUUGAAAGAAGAUUGACUAUAGAAGGGAGCCAAAAUGAAAAAGUUCAAAUUUCGAAGAUUUUCUAAUUGAUUAAAGCUGAUUUUAAUCUGUUAAGGUUGAAGGAAGUGAAGCCUCAACUAGUUAAGGGAAGAGCUAACCAAUUAAAGGAAGACUGUUGUGUAGAGGAAAAUGAAAACAGAAAGUUUGUAAUCAGUUAGAGUUUCCUCUAAUCGAUAAACACAAUGUACAUAACUACAAGACAGUGCAAGGCAGAGAAGCUAUAAUUUGUUAGAACUGCUUGUAACCAAUUAACGAAACACUGUCUGCCUAUUUGAAAAGAGCCGCUAGAAGAUAAAAUAACGGCUAUUAACGGCUAAAAAUUAUCUCUAACAGCCAGAAUCAAUCUUCUAAGUAUUUAAAGGCUCUCUAACAAUCAAAAAUUAUAUAGAGAAGCUACCAAGAGUGAUUUUGAACUUAAAACAUACAAAAACCUUCUUUUAACACUUGUAUUCCACUCAUAUCUUUGUGAAAGUGUUUGUGUUGAAGCUUUUACAACUUAAAUCAGUAAGGUGCUCAUUUGCACCUCCUUUUAUCUUCUAUUUCUUGUUUACUUAGAUUGUGAGAGAUACUCUAAGGGGUAGUCUAAGUUAGGAUAAGCUUAAGAUUUGUUGUAAAAGGGUUGAAGCUAGGGUUAGAAGCUAAUCUUGUAAAAGCUUGUUGGAAGCUAUUAAUUUCACUGGUUUUUUAAUGAAGUUUGGCUGAAAAUCUAUAAUUAGGAAUAUCAAGGUAGUGGAUGUAGGUCAGGUGGACCAAACCACUAUAAAUAUUGUGUUUUAUCCACUUCUCUUAUCUCUCUUUACUUAAUGUUUGCUAACUACAACAAGUUUUCAAACCAUUCAUCUUAAAUCUUCCAAAUGGAUUUUAAAUUUCAAAAAACUACCAUAAAAAAUAUUUUUAAAUACUAUUCACCCCUCUCUGACACUCCUUUUAGGACCAACAAGUACUGUUUGGGAAAAUGGAUGAUUAUUGAGGCUUUUGUGGUUUUUCAUCAUUGGUUUUUGGUGGUCGGUUACUUUGUUUCCAUUUCUUAUGACGAAAGUCUAAUGGUUAAUAUUCUGGUUCAUAGCAUGUUAAUUAAUGGCUUUGUUUUUGUAAUAGGAUUACCCCUGCUUCAUUUUAAUAAUAUUAAAUAAUUUUAAAAAAAUAAUUAUGUAUGAAUAAAUUAAAGCAACAAAUCCACUAUAAUUCCAAACCCAUAGAAUGGAAAACUGCCAACUAGUCAAGCAUAGCGAGAUCAAGUCUUUGAUAAAUGACUUGAUUUAGACUUUGUCGACCACUUCAUCCGAAAUUCCAGAAGUAAGUCUUCGUUAAUCACUUCAUCCAAAAUACUCAAAAACAAAGGCAAGUCUUCGUCCACCACUUCAUCCAAAAUUCUCAAAAAACCAAAAGCAAGUCUUCAGCAUCCACUUCAUUCAAAUUUCAGAAAACAAAAGAAAGUCUUUGUCAAUCAUAUCCCCAAAAAAAAAAUUUUAAAAAUGCCAAAUAGUAUAUUUCUAAUGCUUUGAUUCUGCAUCAGAUCAUAAAAUGGUCUUGACUUGGGUCUCCUUCCCACUAUAAUUCUUCUCACAAGUCUGUCAAAAUGAGUAAGUGCACCCGUCAAGCAUGACAUCAAAAGCCUCCUAUAAGGAUAUGUCUAAUUGGGGUCAAAUCUUUCUUAGUUAUUACUCUAAAAUGGAUAUAAGAUCUGCAUGUUUACAACAAGAAUUUCGAAUACUAAUUGGCAAGACGUGCCAGUUGACCCAGUUUGAUUCUAUUCUAGACUUGACUACUACUUGAUCCUAACAAACGUGUCGGAACUUGUGAAAGGAAAACUUUUGAAUUAUAUGUGGAAAUGACGAUGGUUUUCAAUAUAUAUAUAUUGAAAUUGUCAAAAUUGUGUUAGGAUCUAUUUCCACAUGCACCCUUCGACAGUGAAAGAAAAUUUACCACUUGGCAUAUUGGAGAGAAUUCUUAAAGAGCAAUUAAUGUUAUCAUUUCUUAUUCAUUUUUAUUGACAUAUCUAAAGGCCAAGAAAAAGUAUUUUUAUUUAUAAAAUUUAUUACAAUAUCAAUUUAAUUACAAAAUGAGUUAAUCAGUUAAAGAAGCGAAGAAGAAAAGGCUUAGUGAAAACAAAAUGUUGUUAACUGAUUAACGUGGAGCCUUAACCAAUUAAGACAAAGCUGGGAGCCAUACAAAAAGCAAGACAGCAAAACCUUAAUUAGUUAGCAUAAGGCUUAACUAGUUAAGAAGGUGCUGGAAGCUAAAAACAAAGGCAUGCUAAUUGGUUAAGGAAUUGGGAUAAUCAGUUAGAGCACAAGACCUUAGUACCUUCAAGCACCAAAAUCCAAAGUUGAAAAAAGGUUGACCAUUGAAGGGGGCCAAAAUGGAGAAGUUCAAAAUUCGAAGAUUUCUAAUUGAUUAAAGCUGAUUUUAAUCCGUUAAGGUUGAAGGAAGUGAAGACUUAACCAAUUAAGGGAAGGGCUAACCAAUUAAAGGAAGACUACUGUGUAGAGGAAAAUGAAAACAGAAAGUUUGUAGUUGGUUAGAGUUUCCUCUAAUCGAUUAACACAGUGUACAUAGCUACAAGACAAUGUAAGGUAAAAAAGUUGUCAUCAAUUAGAGUUGCCUGUAACCAGUUAACGGAACACUGUCUAUUUAUCUGAAAAGAGCCACUAGAAGACGGUUAGUAAUGGCUAGAAAUUAUCUCUAACAGCUAGAAUCAAUCUUCUAAGCAUUUAAAGGUUCUCUAACAGUCAAAAAUCAUAUAGAGAAGCUACCAAAAGUGAUUUUGAGCUUAAAACAUCUAAAAACCUUUUUUUAACACUUGUAUUCCGCUCCAAUUUUUAUGAAAGUGUUUCAGCUGAAGCUUGUACAACUUAAAUCAGUAAGGUGAUCAUUUGUACCUCCUUUAAUCUUCUAUUUCUUGUUUACUUUGGGUGUAUGAGAUACUCUAAGGGGUAGUCUAAGUUAGGGUAAGCUUAGGACUUAUUGUAAAAUGGUUGGAGCUUGGGUUAGAAGUUCACCUUGUAAAAGCUAGCUGGAAGUUGUUAAUUCUACUGGUUUUAGUGAAGUUGGAUUAAAAAUCCUUGAUUGGGAAGAUCAAGGCAGUGGAUGUAGAUCAGGUAGACCAAAUCACUAUAAAUAUUAUAUUUUGUCUACUUCUUUAAACCUCUCUUUACUUGGUGUUUGCUAAUUAUAACAAGUUUUCAAACCAUCCAUCUUAAAUCUUCCAAAUGGAUUUUAAAUUUCAAAAGCUACUCUCAAAAAUAUUUUUAAGUGUUAUUCACCCCUUUUCAACACUCCUUUUGGAACCAACAGGUACUAUUUGGGAAAAUGGAUAAUUAUUGAGGCAUUUGUGGCUUUUCAUCAUUGGUUUUUGGUGGUGGGUUAUUUCUUCCAUUUCUUAUGAUGAAAGUCUAAUGGUUAAUAUGCCGGUUCAUAGCAUAUUAAUUAUUGAUUUCAUUUAUGUAAUGUGUUUAACCCUGCUUCAUUUUAAUAAUAUUGAAUACUUUUAAAAAAAAAUCAUUAUGUAUGAAUAAAUUAAAGCAAGAAAUCCACUAUAAGUCCAAUUCCAUAGAAUGGAAAACGGCCAACUAGUCAAGCAUAGUGAGAUUAAGUCCUUGAGCAAUGACUUGAUUUAGACUUUGUCGACCACUUCAUCCUAAAUUCCAAAAGGAAGUCUUCGUUAACCACUUCAUCCAAAAUUCUCAAAAACAAAGGCAAGUCUUGGUCCACCACUUCAUCCAAAAUUCUCGAAAAACCAAAAGCAAGUCUUCAUCAUCCACUUCAUCCAAAUUCCAGAAAACAAAAGAAAGUCUUUGUCAAUAAGGGAAAAUAGGUAGUAGAUGUCAGAAUAAUUUUUUUACUUUUAAAAAAUUCCAAAUAGUAUAUUUCUAAUGCUUUGAUUCUGCAUCAGAUCAUAAAAUGGUCUUGACUUGGGUCUCCUUCCCACUAUAUUUCUUGACACAAGUUUGUCAAAAUGAGUAAGUGCACCCGUCAAGCAUGACAUCAAAAGCCUCCUUUAAGGAUAUGUCUGAUUGGGGUCAAAUCUUUCUUAGUUAUUACUCUAAAAUGCAUAUAAGAUCUCUAAGUUUGCAACAAGAAUUUCUAAUACUAAUUUGCAAGACGUGCCAGUUGUCCCAGUUUGAUUCUAAGACUUGACUACUACUUGACCGUAACAAACGUGUAGGAACUUGUGAAAGGAAAACUUUUGAAUUUUAUAUCGAAAGGAUGAUGUUUCUUUUUCUAUAUAUAUAUAUAUAUAUAUAGUAGUUUGUCAAAAUUGUGAUAGGACCUUUUUCCACAUGCACCCUUCCACAGUGAAAGAAAAUUUACCACUUGUUGGAGAGAAUUCUUAAAGAGCAAUGUUACCAUUCUUAUUCAUUUUUAUUGACAUAUCUAAAGGCCAAAAAAAAGUAUUUUUCUUUAUAAAAUUUAUUACAAUAUCAAUUUAAAUUUUUUAUACAUGUACUACACAAUUACAUAAGGAGAAGCAACUCCAAUUUAAAAUCAAAUAUUGUAUAAAGAUGGUUUGUAUAAAAGGUGGGUUUUUCUGAUCUGUUGUAAGCUUCCUCAUACGUGGCAACAUUACUGAUUUUAGGAUAUUAUGCAAUACAAAGGUAUAACAUCUUGAAAUCAGGAUUUUACAUAUUUCCUUCAUUAAUAAACCAUCUCCAUAAUUUUUUUUAAAAUGUUGGCAAAAAAACAAGAACAAGGAAUCCUAAGUGAGUGUUUGACAUAGUUUAUAAAAGUGAUUUUCUAUUGAAAAAGCAGAAACAAUAUGUUUAUUUGGUUGUCAAGAUUUUAAAAUUUUUGGUUUAAAUGGAAAGUUCAUUUGGUGUUUUAGACGAAAUUAUGAAUCAAAAAUGUUUUUCAUAUUUUUGGUCAAUUAAAUUAAUACUUCUUCAACGAUAUUAAUGUAUAGUAACAAAUAUUUAAUGAAAUUUUUUAUAAUUCUACCUUACUAUUCAAUAAUUCAUAAAAUUAAUAUAUCAGGAAACAAAUGCUCAAGUGUAAAUUUCAUUGAAAUUUCUUCAAAAAUAUACACGUAGGUCAUAAAUAUCUCAAAAUAGUAUUUAUGAAAUUAAACAUAGCAUUUUUUUUUAUGUAUGAUAUAAAUUAAAGCAGGAAAUCUAGUAUAAGUCCAAAACCAUAGAAUGGAAAACUGCCAACUAAUCAAGCAUCGUGAGCUCAAGUCUUUGUGAAAUGACUUAAUUUAGACUUGUCAAACACUUCAUACAAAAUUCCACAAAAACAAAAGCAAGUCUUGGUCAUCCACUUUAUCCAAAUUCUAGAAAACAAAAGAAAAUUUUUGUCAACCAUCUCCCCAACAAAUUUUUGUCAACCAUCUCCCCAACAAAAUUUACUUUAACUAAACGUUAUACACAUAUUUAACGUAAUUCUUCUGAAAAAAAAAAUUACAAGCUCUUUGAGUAGGUGUUUAUAUUUUUCUGUCUUCCUAGACAUACUCUUAGAUUCCUUUGUUUAAUAUAUUGAUUAAUAAUGGAUAUCAAGUUUAUGAUGACAAUAUUCCUUUUCAUGUAUAUGAAUAAUAUUCCUUUUACUAGUUCACUGCCAGAAUUGAACUAAAAGGAGAAUGAAUUUGUCCUUUUGGCCCUUUAAGGAAAAAGAACUGAAUAAUACAUGUUCUUGAUUUAUUGCAAACUACGAUUUGAAUCAGGUAGCCAGUAAUUAACAACCACUAGUGAGGCCUAAUCACAUAUUAAGCAACAUUAAUAAUCAAUUGGAGGUAUUAAUUAUGCCAGUGAUUGCUACGUACAUCAUCAACACUGAAUUUCAGUGUAGGCAAUCUUCCAUAAGAAAUUCCUAGGUCCUCUCAAUCUUUCUGAUCUAGUUUCUCCCAAAGACAGGAUGUGUUGGUCAAAAUCAUUGAUGAAGCUUCCUUUACAAAUUACAAUAACAUCGAGGAAAAUAAUUAGUAGAUGUCAGGAUAUUUUUUUUCUUUAAAAACAUGCCAAAUAGUAUACUUCUAAUGCUUUGGUUCUGCAUCAGAUCAUAAAAUGAUCUUGACUUGGGCCUCGUUCCCACUAUAAUUCUUCUCACAACUUUGUCAAAAUGAGUAAGUGCACCCGUCAAGCAUGACAUCAAAAGCCUCCUCUAAGGAUAUGUCUAAUUGGGAUCAAAUCUUUCAUAGUUACUACUCUAAAACGGAUAUCAGAUUUGUAAUUUUACAAUAAGAAUUUCGAACACUAAUUUGCAAGACGUGCCAGUUAACUUAUUAAUUUACAAUGAUAAUAUAACUUCAAUGUGAGGCCGAACAAAAAAAAAUAAAAGGAACAAAUAGAACUUUAAGUUAUCUUUUUUAAUAUAAGCCUAACAAUAUGGAAAAACAAACUAUAUUAUCAAUUGCAUUCAAUUAAUAUUAAUUAUGUGAGGAUGAAUUUGCUAAUUUGAUAAACUAAUUAGAAUUUAAAAGUGCAAAUAAUAAGAAAUAUAUAUACCUCUAUAAAUUUCAAAUCAAUAAUUUAUCUUCAAAUGUUUAUUUAAAUUAUAAUUACAAUUAAUAUUACUUUUAGUAGUUUAUUUAAAUUCAAAUGUAAAUCAAACUAAAAGAAAUUAGAUUCCUAAUUAAUUGAAUUAACCUAUCUCAAAGAAGGCAAACCUUUCUACUUUUCAUGUCGGUAACCUUCCAACAAAUAUUGGAUAACUAAUUAGAGCAUGACCCCAACAUUUUUAAACUUAAUUAUUCAUUAGACAUGGUCUUACUGGAUUCUCUCUUUGUUCUUGGCUGUUUUAAAUGACUAGUUUAGGACUUUGGUCUUUGAAUUAUGAUUAAACAAAUGCUCCUGAAUAUCAAGGCAUCACUGUACAUAACAUCUUCAUCAAUUCAUAAGAUAUGUCCUAGUGCAUCUAGAUGGUUAAUCCUAUUAUUGCUCAUGCUAUUUUACACUUCUAUAUAUAUAUAUAUAUAAUGUUGUUAAAAAAAUGAAUGUACUUACCCAUUAAGGAUUUAUCAAUCAUUUUUUUAAUAUAUAUAUUUAUCUACACACACAUUGAAUAAUUGAUAGUUAAAAUACUAUAUAUUUGAAAAACCGUUUUUUCAUUUAAUGCACUAUAUAUCAAAUUCAAGAAGGAACAACAUAUUAGUUACAAAUCUUUCUUAUAAAUAUUACCUUAAUAUAAAUAUAUAUAUAUAUUUGAUUNUAUAUUUUGGGAUAAAAAAGGAAACUUAUUUGAAAAUUGAGAAAAUAGCAGAGUGUUAGGGAAAUGUCGAUAUCCAAAAUAGUUACUAAUAUUUUCUUUUAAAAUUACUAAAAAAAACUCACUUAGUGUGCACUAUAUAUUCUAGAAAAAAAAAAUUCAUCUUUAUUUUUGGUUUUAUUUGAAGUUGGAAAUUGAACCUAACUCUUUGAAUAGAAGAUGCAUGUUCUUACUAUUGAAUAUAAAAACUCAGCUGUAAAAGGUUUUUAUUCAUGUGUUUGGACAGGUGAUAAUCACAAUUCACAUGGGUCAACACUAACAAGGUAACAUGUAUCCUUAUUAAUGAAUAUGGAUGGAAAAUAUCAUAAACUAAAAACUAGAGUUUUAAUGUACAUGAUUAUCUAAUGUUAACAAUAAUACAAUCCUAGUGAAUUAAAUGUAUAGUAGAGUCUAUCAGAAUUAAUGUGAAAUUAUAUAAAAUCACAUUUUCAAGAUGCACCAGAUUCAAUGUUACUAUCAAAUCUUUGACUUGAAACAAGCAUUGAAAUGGGUAAUUCUGUAAGAUGAAUUUGGAAAUUAGAUGUGGUUGAAAGAUAUGAAAAGUGGAUUACUAGAGGCCUAUAUGUAUACCAUAUUUUCAAGUCAAAGCUUUUUUUAAGUAUGUUUUUAUUGGCAAAGAAGAAAAACAAGUUUUUAACGAUCACAUAUAGAAAAGUCUAGAAGAUAUUUUAUUUUAGUAAUUAAAAUUUCAAAUUUUAGUUUGAAAAUUUCGUGAUAGAAAUAUGAAAGAUUUAUUAGUUUCGAAUCCAUUUAUCUUCUUCUUUUAUAUGAGUAAUGAUUUGAUCAUGAAUUAUAGAUCUCGCAUAUAAAUGAAUUCAGAUACAUAUGAGAAGUAAUGGACCGAAAAAUUAAUUGUUAAUUUUUUAUAGUUCUUUUAUAAUUGUUAAUAUCUAUUGUCACAUGCAUUGCACAUGAAUACUUGUUUUCAAAUAUAUUUUUAAAUUGUUACAAAUUAGAUAAAUCUUAAUAAUAUUAAUAAUAAAAAGAUUUAAAAUAAUAACUUUAAAAUAUUAUAAAUAAAUAUAAUCAUUUUCAUUGAUCAAAAAGUUGUUCUAACAUUCGUACUUUAUACAUAUUAUAAGCAUCUACCAAAAGGUGGUGGUUUUUGUAUACUUUUUAUCAAGUAAUGAGAUCAUUUCAAUGCCUUGAUAUACAUAUAUGUAUAUACAUACAUAUAUGUACAUAAAUAUAUGUAUGUAUAUAUGUACAUAUAUACAUACAUUUAUAUAUGUAUGUCAUAACGUGUGGGUUCAAGAACCCGAUCGCUAGACGUGGUUAACUUAGGGAGUCGCUACCAAUAUUUUUUUACCUAGAUGCGAUUAGCCACCUAUUAAAUUUGUUUUAUUCGACGGAGUUCUAAAUCGACUUUAGAUCCUUCUAAAGAAUAACAAACUGGUCUACGUUUUUUAUUUAGAAUUCGGUUCGAGAGUACAGUUACGCACAGGAAAAGAUUAACACCCCUAUGACGCCAAUUCCACGAACGGUACCAUUUAAUCAUAUAUUAUUAUAACCCAUUAAUUUUAUUAUUAUGUUUUCUUAAUUUUUUUUAUUUAACUUAUCUUUUAUUCUAUUAAUAAAUUAAAAUAUUCUAUUUGAUUUUACGAGUUUAACGUACACGUAAUGCAAUUGUAAAAUGCAUGGUAUAAAAUCGAGAUAAUGUCAAACGAAAACCUUUUUAUGAGUGCACUUUUUGAAUCCACCUAUCAUGCUGGUGAGAUCCAGGAGUAUCCUCUCACUUAGGAAAAUAUCUGAGAAACUCGCCUUCGCAAAUUACCUGGGUAAAUCCUAUAAUCAGGAUAGUCAUUUGCAAGUAAAAACAAUAUUUUUAUGAAUGUAAAUUCUAAUACGGACAAAGCUUUUUAUUAAAGAUAUUUCUCCGAACCCUCCCAUCAUACUGGUGAGACUCGGAGGCAUCCUUUCACCUAGGAAUUUUUCUGAAGGAACUUGCCUUCGCAAACUCUUUCAAAAAGUUCCACCAUCGGGGCUUGGAUUCAUGUACAUCAUACAUCUAUAUGCCAUGACACUUAACAAUGCAAUAAUGAUGUGUAAUAUGCUUUUAAAUUUCAAUAUUUGUUUCUUAAUCUUCCUACAACUCCUUUGAUAUUUCUUUGAAAUUCUUUUUAUUGUUCUUCUUUGUAUGUAUAUAUCUCAUGGAUAAUAUAUGUUAUAUUUAUUAUUUAUUAUUUUAUUUUUUUCAUUAAAGUAUUUAUAUAUUGUUGCUCUAUGAAUUUUCCUUUUUACCUAAAUACUAUUUCUUUUUAAACCAAAAAUCUCAUUUCAUAAUUGUUAUUUAUGUGUAUAUAUUUUUUAUAAAUCAAUUACGUUUCUACUUUUUAUUAACCUAACCUAUUUUCUUUUUGACUAGCUAUUUUUUUAAUCUUUUCUCAUCAAUCUAUUUUAUAUUUGCCUUUCAUAUUUUAGUUGUAUUGGCUAUUGUGAAUUUACCAUCAUUGAGAGUUUUAUUAUUUUAUUAUUAUUUAUUCAUUACCUUCAUUAUUUCUUUACUUCUUUUGUUUUAUAUUUUUGUUUGAUUAGUAAUUAACUUAAUACAUUUUUCAUUCACUUAGAAUUGUAAAUAUCAAGAUUUAGAAUUAAAACCUUCCUAUUAUACUGGUGGGAUCUUAAUCGAAAUCUCUUACUUAGAAAAAUUCAUCUAAUGUUGCAACUUCAUGCACUCCAAAUAACUAUUUCAUCAGUGGUUAUUCUAAUAAUAAUGUAACUUUUUUUUACCAUCAUGUUCACUAUCAUUCACUAACUUUGAAACCAUUAUAUUUUAUUUAAUAUACACUCCAAAAUUUAGAGAAAUGAGGGAUAUCCUUGCACAUAUAUUUCUUUAAUUUUACUAAACCAUAUAUCUAUUUUAUUUUUUCAUUGUUGUUGACAAUAUUAAUACUAAUUUUAUCAUUUUUCUUGUUUAAAUAUUUUUUCUAAAAAAAAUACUAAUCAACAAUAUUAAAAAUACAAACACAUAAAAGAAUUAAGAAAUAAAAAAAAAACCCAUACAAAAUAAGUGUAAGUGACCCAACACAUAAGUCCUAAAUAACAAAACACAAACGGAACACAUACCUUUUGAUCUAUCAAAGCCCAAAUUCAAUUGUAUCUUGUCAAUAAUGUGAGAUCAUAGGCUAAGCUCCCAAGGACAAAGACAAGGGCUUGUUUCAGGGUUGUUUCUCCAAGCCUAACUAGAAUCAUGGGCUUGCCUUAAAGGCUUUACAAACUGAGCUUAAAGGAAAGGGAGACGGGCUUAGUCUGCUUCAAGUCCUAAAGGCACCACUUGGUGCUGCAGCUUAAAGAAACAAAAGUAAAAAAGGAAAGAAAAUUUGAAAGCAAUGCCGUUUCAAUCUCCUCCAAAGCCCAACUAGAACACCGGUUUCUCCAAAUUUUUGGACAAUCAGAAGCCUUCAAGUUCAAAAAAAAUCCACUGAAAAUGAUUUCAAGUUUCCGAUUGCCCGAGGAGCAUUCAAUGCUCUGUAUAUUGUUGACAAUGGAGGCCAAGCGUGCUUCUAGCUUUUUUUUUCUUUUUAAAUUUUGGUUUAAUUUAUUUAUUAAUCAUUAUUAAGAAAGGUGUCUNGCUUUUUUUUUCUUUUUAAAUUUUGGUUUAAUUUAUUUAUUAAUCAUUAUUAAGAAAGGUGUCUACAAUAUAUAAUAUAUAUAUAUAUAUAUAUAUAUAUUAAUAUAUAUUAUAAACAUCUACCAGCCAACUACAAAUUCACUGAAUGAACUACUCAAAAUGCUGUUUUUCUGGAUUGAUCCUUUCAUAGCGUCACCAAUUACAAGAAUUAAGCAAUGUUAUGUGCUCAAAGUAAAAUCAUUGCCUUGUAUGUGUGUGUAUAUACAUGUACACAUGUACAUACAAUCAUGUCUAUAUGCAUAUAUCUUAUACACACACAUAAAUACAUCCAUUAGAACAAGGUUUGACCUAAAGAUCCCUACCUAAUUAUUCAAUACUAUCCUACCACUUGAGCUAAACUUGAGUGGCACCAUUCCAGGAGUUCUCUUUUUACUUUCCUUUGAUUCCCUUUGAUAGCCCCAAAUAAUUCACAAAUGGCUCAAAAGGACAAAUACUCUCCUGCCCUCAAGCUGCUUCAUCAUGUUUUAACUCCCACCACUCACCAAGGAGAACUGCAAGCUCCUGAACCAGUAGGACAUCUAUGUACCCUUUCACCCGAAUUUAAAGGAAAGACAAACUCACUCUGUUAUAUGAGACAGGGAGUAUCAUAUACAUUCCAACUAAACCAAGACAGACUGCUUCAUUUGUGCCGUUUCAUGCCCUUAUAUAUGCAGAAGGAAAAGGUCAAAUCAAGCUUAUGAUGAUUGCUUGCUCACCACCCUCCCUCCUAAUAUGCAGGGAUGAUUUGAGCACAACACAUGCCAUAGAAGACAGAUGUAACUGCCAAUAUGAGAUCAUGCCUCAACCACAAAGAUUGACAUUAAAGUACAACUAUUCAACCUCUAGCACACUGGAUAAUCAGGAGACUUGGUCCAGUUCUCAUCUGCCAGACCUGUGCAUGAUGUGGUCAAGUAAAGAUGUUCAGAUACUCAACCACUCAUUAAAAAAUGGAUGUAUAACUUCCAUAUCAAGUACAAAACAGUAAAAAUUACAGGUUUUUUUUUUUGGCUAAAUGUGAGCUCUACUAAAUGAAGUUCUAAGAGCUGCACAAUGAAAACCAUCUAGAGAAGUACUAUAGUUUUCACUCUCCAACAACACAACUUAGUCUACAACAGCAAAGCCGAAAAUCUGUCAAAUGUAUAUCCUGAAUAGAGGAAAAAUUAGUUACAUUGAAUCCACGUAUGAAAGGAUUAAAUUAAGAUGUUUGCUUAUGGAGUGAACAUAGUUUAGGAUAAUCUGUCAAUCCGUUCACACAAUUAGAGUAAUAAGUCAAUUCAUGCCCACUAUUAUUUUCACUACAAUUCUAUAAUAAUUCAAUCCCAACUAUCUUUAGUGUAACAGUCCACUUGUAUGUAGCGCCUAUGCACCCCAUAAGCAAGGAUGAUUAGAUGAUAUGGACUCACUACUAAAUAGUAAUGCAUCGUUAUCAUUGUGACGAUAAAUGUUGAACAAAUGACUUCAUCUCGGGCAAAUGAUUGAGGCUUCUCUUCUGACUUCCUGUUUGACGUUUGUUCACUCUGCCAUAUCAUUUUAGAGAAAGAACCACUUGUGGAACAUGUUGCAGACACAACUUUUGACAAAAUAGCUCCUACCAAGGAACGGUUCCUAUCUUCUGAGAGUCUUGAACAUAAUUAAACAAAAGUUUAUCAAUAACGCAGCAAAAGAAAAGAAAACGAGAAGCUACCCAUGAAAGAAUCCGUUCUUGUAAUGAAAGAUAAAUCAUAUUAUAUUUCAAAAUGCAAUGAGACUAACCUGAAAGCUGAGAUCAAAGCAUCAUCUCCAAUGGUGACUGCACAUUAGUAACGUUGACUUGACUGCCCAACAAUAAAAAAAGCAGCUGAAUUCAAAUACCAGAAUAACUUCAGAAAGCUGCACGAUAGUAAUGUUGCAGGCACAACUUUUGACAAAAUACCUCCUACGAAGGAAUGUGUUUCCAUAACUGGUAAUCUACCAUAAGAGUUUCCUAUAUCCUCUAAAUCUUUCUUUGGUUUCUGAUCCCAAAAACGAGAAUGUGUUUCUUGAAAUGACCUUUGAAGCGUACUCGACAUUACUCAUUUAAGUUAGUUAUCUAAGUUGGUCAAACACGUACACAAAUCUAAUGCUUUGCUUCUGCAUGAGAUAAACAGGCAAGGCUCUUGCCAUGUUUCAAAAUAACUAUUACACAUUUAAGCAGGGAACUCACCUGAAUAUCAGACACAUCAAAACGUGCAAUCACGCCAGGUAUGACAACACAAACCUCCUCUGAGGAUAAAUCUUGUGUCAUAUCUUUCUUACUUCCACAGACUCUUAAGUUUACAACGUGUCUUGGAUAUACCAUCUAAAAUCAAAAAUUAAACUAAUAAGUUCACCAUUCGAAUAACGAUUUAUCUCUAACUUAUUUCAACUUAAUAACUUUAGAUCCAACUGAUGUUAACAUAAGAAGACUUCAUUCGGCUCAUCAGUUAAAAAACACAUUCAACCUAUAAGUUUACAUGAAAAUCUACAAAACACACCAAAUUAUGUUCAUUUCACUUUGCACUUUCUAAAACUGUAUCAUCCAUUGAAGGUAAAAUUAAAAAACUGAACACAUAAAUAAAUCCAGCAUUCAAUAAAUACAUCAAGCUAAGCAAACGAAAAAAGCAAUCAUUUUUGAAGAAUGAAAAAUGAAGAUGUAACUUAUUUAGAUAAUGAAAUGCAUAAUUCUACUUUUAUAUGAGGUAACUAAUUAUUCCAGUCAUUGUUCAUUUAAUCAAUUACAUAAUUUUGCUUCAAAGUAAACUUUCAAGCAAUAGCAAUAACAACCAAACCAAACUCAAAACACAUAAAAAGAAAAAUUACCUGUCUAUGAAUCAAAUCACCACGCAAAGAGUAAACCAAGAUAAAAGGAAAGUGGUGCUGGCGUUGGCGAUGAGGAUAAGAGAUCGGUUAGCGAUGGCGAGACAAUGAGCAUCGAGAGCACAGAGGAGAGAGGUGCUGGCGUUGGGGGCAGCGCCGAACUCGGACAAGUCUUCGUAGGCGAUGCAGCCGAGAUCCGUCAAGUGACGAUGGCUCUGUUUCGACAUUGCGUCGGGCUUCCGGGUUUCUUUUUUCUGUGUCUCUUGUCUCUUUGGCAACUGACAUUACGGAUUGGAAAGGAAAGAAUUUUGUAUAUGAAAGGAAAGCGGUGACUGUGGGAUCCACGUGUAUGGUUGGGAAGAAAAUUCAGAAAAUUAAUUAAAAAUUAAAAUGAAUGCAUUGGAACGUUUUUAUUUUAUUUAAAGUCUUCCAAAUUACAACAUUUUCAAUACAAAUCCUAAAUUCAUCAGGAAAAAAAUAUAUAUAUAUCUUCUUCAAAACUUGUCUAUUCCACAUAAACUUCAAAUAAAUGCUGCUGAACAUGAAUAGCAAAUUAUCCACUAAGAACACCUGGAAUUGUUCAAACCACUACCAUGGAAAAGCCAGAUGCUAGAGAAACAGGGUCCAUUGGAUUCGGUUCGUAAGCUACCUUGACAAAUAGAAAAAAAAAAACAAAGGAAAAAUCAAUUAUAGAUUACAAAAGCAACGAAAGCUUUGUUGUAAUUCUACUUUGGUAAAAAAACUCACCUAUGCAUGAUGUGGAUGUAGUGCUAGUUUCUUCUUCCUCUGUUUCUGCUAAUCCACUUUGUAACAUUGUUUUGCCAAUCUCUCUCAACCAUUCUGAUAAACCACCAUGGUCUUGCUGUUGUGAACACAAUGUAUCCCAUGCUCAAUCCUAACACCACUCCACAUCCGUAGCCCAUCAUUACAACUUUCCAAAUAAAGGCUAUUUCAGAACCUUCAUCUUCCUUAGGCAUUGGUACCGGUGGUUUUGGUUCCUCAUCAUUGCCGCAUUGCUUUGACAGGUGGAGGCCACACAAUCCCAAGUUACCACUAUAAGAAUCACUCUCAAAAGUAUCAAAUUGAUUCCCACCGGGAAUUGGUCCGGUAAGAGCAUUUUGUGAAAGAUUUAACACUGCAAGGAAUGUCAGCUUCGUCAAUUGGGAAGGAAUUCUGCCACCGAGCUUGUUUGAUGAGAGAUCUAACGAUUCAAGUGCUACCAUCUUUCCAAAAGAUGUUGGGAUAGGACCAAUUAAAUGGUUGUUAGAGAAGUUGAGCGCUUGGAGCGAAAUAAGUUCUCCGAGUUCCUUAGGAAUUUGUCCAUAGAAUAAAUUGCUCGAAAAGUCUAUAGACAUGAAAAUGUCUAAGGUUCGUGCUAACUCCAUCUCCAAUCUUUUCAUUGUUACAUUCACAGAAACAUUCAUAGAAAUUUGCUGAUAGACACUUACAUAUACUUUUCCACCUUUGGCUAUGCAAUCCUGAUAGCAGUAUUUAGAACUUUUUUGAAGGGGACCAUCAGUGUCACCUGUAACGUCAAUAUACCCCCGUGAGCUUGAACCCUGAUAAUGCAUAUACCCCAGUGAGCUUGGAUUCUGAUGUCUCUUUUGAGGUUCAUCUUUCAUUGCUCUCAAAUUUUGGAAGAAUUUUGUUGGCAAGGGGCCAGUGAGCUCAUUAUGAGAGAGAUCAAUUAUUUGCAACGAGGAGAAGUUAGACGAAGCUAUGGAAUUGGGCAUGGGACCAUACAAUCUAUUAUUUCGCAAAAGAAGAACUUGUAGCUCAGGAAGUGAAGCUAACCAAUGGGGAAAGGUAUCAGUAAACUUGUUGUUCCUUAAAUUCAAAACUUUCAAAGAACUACAAUUAGCCAAAGAUUGCGGCAAUAAUCCUUCCAAUUGGUUGUCAUUAAGGAGAAGAUAUCUCAACUGAUCAUUUGUAAAAGAAUCAGGGACUUUGCCAUAAAAAUUAUUCAUCUCCAAAUUCAAGAACUUGAGAUAAAUGCUGAAAUUUCCAAUAUAAUUUGGAAUGGUUCCAUUCAAGUUAUUUCUAGACAAGUCAAGAAACACAAGUGAACUUUGAUCGCGAAUCAAAAGAUUUGACAGAAUUGGCCCUUGAAGCAAGUUGGAUCGAAGGUCAAGAACUCGAAGAUUCUUUCCUGGAAAUUGCUCCAAAGUGGUCAAAGAGUUAUUAGAAAGGUGCAACUCGAGCAAGCUUUCCCACCCUUCUGCUUCCCAUUUGGAAAUUCCACCACAAAUCUUGUUAUAGGAAAGAUCUAAAAUCUCCAAAUUUGAUUUUUGAAAGAAACUUGGGAAUUGUCUUAUGCUACAAAAAGAGAAUGACACAGUAGCAAGCUGGGGGAAGGAAUAGUUUGCAUCAUUACCGCCUGUGCUUAAUGAUAGUAAACUAUUAUUAGAAAGAUAAAGAUGGGAAAGAUUUUCGAGUUUUGCAAGCAUAUUUGACUUGAUGACACCACUCAAGUUGUUUGAUGAAAGAUCAAGUUUUUCAAGGUUCACAAGAUCAAAAAAAAAACUGGGUAUUGGACCAUGAAUGUCAUUAGAACUCAAAUCAAUGUUUCGGACAGAAUUAGGCUUCUGAAUUUGGUCGAUUGGGCCGGUGAGUUUAUUAUGGCUGAGAUCUAAAUCUUGCAACGAUGGCAAAGUAAACAGCCAAGAUGGUACUCCACCACUUAUUAGGUUAUUAGAUAACCAAAAUCCUUCUAGCAAUUGAAGCUCACUAACAUGAUUUGGCAGUGGACCUUCUAAUUGAUUAUGUGACAAAUUUAGUAGGGUAAGUUGUGUGAGGUUGAACAUAGUUGUUGGAAGUUGACCACUAAAAUUGCAAGAAUCAAAUUUCAAAGUAGUUAAUCUGUUAAGGUUUUCAAAAGCAUCUGGAAUCUGUCCUUCAAAAUCAUUUUCAGAAAAAUCUAAAAAGACAACUUGAGUGAGAUUUCGAAAUGAUGCAGGAAUUGAGCUAGAGAAUCCAGAACGAGAGAGAUUAAGAUGGGUCAAACUCACUAACUUAUUAAAUAACUCUGAAGAGAUAGAGCCAUCGAAAUUGUUGUGAGCAAGGUUGAGUUGUUGUAGUCCUUGAAAGUGGAAGAGGCUGCUGUCUUCAAGAAGAGAGCCAUGAAGGUUGUUGGAACUGAGAUUGAGCCAUUGAAGUCUUUGAAGGUGGAAGAGGCUGCUGUUCGCAGGGAGAGUGCCGUUAAGGCAACUGUUACUAAGGUCGAUGCCAAUGACAUGACCCGUCACCGUGUGGCAAAAGACUCCAUCCCAUGAACAGCAAUCCGUGCUUUCAUUCCAAGAAUUUGUCCUUGGGCAAUCAUCACAAUAAUGAUCCAAAGAAAUGGUGUUUUUGAAUUCAAGCAAGGCAGCUCUCUGUUCUGGGAGGCAUAAAUGAGCCGAAUCAAGAAAAGAGGAAGAGAAACUCAAUAAACAAUGGACCUGGAAAUGCAAGAACGCUAAAAGCAGGAAAAGGAUUGGAUACAACAUCCUAACUACCUUUCCUAUGUUUUCUCGAGAAAAAGGAAGUUACGAAACAAGGGUAGUCGAAAAAGGGCAAGCUAAGGGGGUGGAACUGAAAAUGAGUUGUGGUUGAGGUUGAGGGACAUUAAUUAUAAAUGAAGUACCUGAGAAGUGGAGACAUCUCUUUUUCAAGUCUUUGCAAAAUGUUUAUAUUAAUGAAUUUCCAGUCAAGUCUUGUCAACUUGAAAAUUUAUGUCUGGAAUCAAAAUUAAAUUAACGGAAUAAAAAGGAAAAGUGUAUGUACCGAGUGUGACAGGAUGGCACUAAACAAUAUUAAAAGAAACUUCAAGAUGAUAGAAAGGAGAGGAAUCGGUAAAUUGCUGGAAAAGUGUACACGCAUAUUUUUCUCAUCAUUCCAUUGCAUUUUCAAGUUCAAAAGCACCUACUAAAAGUUAGAGUAGCAUUAUUUUUCCUUAUAUUUUGUUUUUACUAUUUAACUCACCUGCUAAAAAAUUUAUCAAUUUUUGAUAAGUCAAUUUAUUUGUAAACACAAUGCUCAAAAUUGAAUCAAUUUAUGAUACUUCGAUAAAUAGUACAAAACAAACGACAAGUAAGAAUUAUACAAAAAGAAUAUUGAAUAUUGUUUUGAAAACAAUCCAAAAGAUUGUGACAUGAACUUUGAAACAAAAAGAUUAAUAAAAUUGAUCAUAUAAGUGACAAUUCAACUGUGAAAACUAUCAAGUCAAAAGGAAGAUGGAAAACAAUUCAUUUCUCCUUAGUUCUCUUAUAAUUAUUAGUAUUUAUUAUCAUGUGUGUUGUACAUAAAAUUCUUUAAGUUUCAUGAUGUGGAAGAUGAGAUUUUUUUCUUAAUUGGCAUAUAAACACUGAAUUUUAAUAAUCUUGUAAUACAAUCUAAUGAAAAAAACUAGAAAAUAUGGGAUUCUUUUUGGUUUUUUAACAAAAAAAUUAUGAUAUUUUUGUUGGUCUUAUAUUCCAAAAAAAAUUUAUUAACAGCAAAAAGAAAAGUAUAUUGAAAGAAUGAAAUUUGAAAAGCCAAAAGAAUAACAAAAAGAAGCAUUAUAGGCUCAAUAUAUUUUUUAUCCUUAAUAACAGCUUAAGGGUAAUAAAAUAAAGAAGAGAGGUAGAUUUAAAAAGAUUAAAUUAUGUAAUUAAUUUUUAUAUUUUAUAAAAAAUAUGAAUUUAGCUUUUAUAUAAUAAUUUGUGAAAAAUGUGGAUUUAGGGAUGGUGAGAGAGAGCAUUUUUUGUUUGGCUUGUGAAUACAAAAUUAGACUUCUAACUAGUAAACUAUCACUUGCAAUGAUGAUAAACUACAAGUCUACGAAUAAACUAGAACGGACUUAGCUUCUUCUUCUUUUUCUUUAAAGGCAGAGAGGAUUUAACUUAAUUGUAAACAAGUAUCAUAUUUGUCAAAGAAGUUAUGAUUACAGGUCUUUAUGAAAAGGAUUUCGAGGGCACGCAGACAAACAGGACAUGUCCUGAAAGCAGCUAAAAGGGUAAAAUAAGUGUGUAGUUGAGGAUUUUCGCCAAUCUUUUUUGUUAAUUGGUUGUUAAUUGUUUUUCCCUGAUCUUUGUAGUUAAUCUCAUUUGAUUUAGGACUAAGAUGUUUGUCUCCCUCUAUUCGAUUGUUAACAUUUUUUGUCUCCUAAUUUUUUUUUAAUCUCAUUUAAUUUAAGGUUAAGGUAUUUGAGAUUAAAAUUUGAUGGAUUUUUGUCCAUUGAUAUCCACAACAUUUUUGCCACAUCAGCAAGUGCACAUCAACAUUUUCACCAUAUCAACAAGUGCCAUGUUAGCAAAAUGCAUGUUAUCUGUUCAAUCAAUGCCAUGUCAACACAUAAUCAACACCAUUUACAUUUUUUUUAUAAAAUAUAGAGACUAAUUCUAAAAUUUAAUUAUUUAAAAAUUAUUUUUAUAUAUAUCAUCACUGAAAAUUUUUAAACCUGUAAGCAGAGUUAGAAAGUUACCAUGUAUCACAUAUUAAAUUAAUAGACAAAUUAAUAUAAUAAAUAAAUAAAUACAUGAAAAUAUUCUAAUUUUUUUUUGUUAAAUUUAAGAACUCAACAGGGGAUGAUAUGUAGUCCAAAAAAGAUAGUCUUUGUUUACAUUGUCAUGCUUUAUACACAGUUAGUCUUCGGCAACUUUCCCAGCAAUUACUGAUUGCUUCAAAUGUGGGAUAUGCUUUUGCUUUUCUUUGGUCUUAAUUAAUUAAUUUACUUCGAAUUCCCAUUACAUGCUUAGCUUUUGUUUGAUCUUUAAUUAAUAUAUUUACCAGGACUCUUCAGCUGAUAUGACUUCUCUUUUCUAGGUGUUGGGUGUUAAAACAAUGAAAGGGACCUCCUUCCCACGAAUUGGGUCCUAAUAAAUCAAGCUUUUUUACUAUCGCAAAUAAUUAUUUAAGGCUUUGUUUUCCUAAUAAUUUAAUGGUUUCGAACAAACCAAGACCAAGUCAUGACUCUCUUUCAAAGUAAAUCUUAAAAUGUUUCUGUAGACAUAAUUCCUGAGCAUAUAAUUUCUUAAGCAUGCUACUUGAAUUGCUAGUUUCUUCAUCCUCCAUUACUAUUAUAGGUGAUUAUAUAGGUGCAUUCCAUGUAUAAUUUUAUGUGUUUGAGAAAGUACUUCUAGGAAAAAAAUAGUAAUGAGAACAAAAACAAAUAAUUUUUUUCCUUUUCUCCCUCAAGAGCAAUUUUUCUUUUAAAAGUGAUUUUUUUUAAAAAAAAAUGAUUUUAUUAACAAUAAAACCAAUAUGCCAUCCGACGUCUCUACACGAUUGCUAAAGACUUCUGUUAGCAUAUAAUUCUAACUUCUGCGUCAUCAAGACUUAUGAGAUCUUCUCAUGUAAAUCCUUACAAUUGAUAUUAUAGCAGCAUAAAACCAUGGAGGACCAAUUAGGAAUUCAGUGGAAAAGUGAUGACAGCAAUAAAUAAUUUUAUCAUCUAUGGCAAGGUUGUUAAAUGUAACCUUUAUCAAGUUUAAAGGAUUUAUAUAUAUAUAUAAUUAAAGGAAGGGAAAUUCGAAUCUUACUCUUUAGGUAAGAGAUCAUGCAUCAAUUAAUAAGUCAAUGUUUAAAUGUUUUAUUAAGUCUAAAAUUAUUUUUAAUAAAUUCAUACAUUUGAUUCAUUGAUUGACACAAUUAAAUCAAAUUUCUUUUUUUUCAAAUAAAAUAAAAUAAAAAUAUAAAACGAAUAAAAUAGUUUUUUGUCAUAUAGAAACGCAUCAAUGGCUGUCCAGUUCACAUUUUAGAAAGCCAUUUUGAUGGGAGGUGGGGGUGCAACUUCAAUUGUCCUUUCCAAGAAAGCACCAGCAACAUCACAAGAUAUGAACUAGUAAUUACACAGCUUCUUAAUGUUCCAUAACUGGUAUUCUAUUUUUUUUUCCUUCUGGCUAUUCCAAAACGGAAUCUGUUGCUUGAAAUUACUGUUGAAGCAUACUGUUACUGUAGGAUACCAGAUGAGGGAAAAAUUAUAGUCAUAAUUUAAUUUUAUAUUUUUUUAUAUUUAAAAAAAAAAAUUACAAAAUUUUAAUUUUUUUGAAGUAAAAAAUUAUGCACCAACUAAUGAAUUAAAUGUUCAAGUGCGAUUUUGCAAUGCUUUGCUCUUACGUCAUAUCAUAAUUAACACUAUCUGCAUUCAUGUCUCGUUCCAAUUUCACCAUCUUGAUUUUUUUUAUUUUUUUUUCAAGAAAAAGAGAGAUAACUUAAAAGUAAGAAUCUAUGUCAAAAGCAAAACGUGUGUGACGGGAUGGUACUUUUUUUUUUAUGAAAAGUGUUGAUUUUAUUGAGCCAGCGUUCAACCUGCCACUUCAAGUCUUUAGUCUUGAUUGACUAAAGACUCUUGGUGGCAUAAAAGUUGUUUUAGCUGGAUAAAAGCCUGUACACUUGUGAACAUAAAGAGAUCUACCCAAAGGAAAAUUGGCAUGACAUUCCCUGAACAGAAUCCAGCCCUGAAAACAAAAGCAUCCUAAAAUCAACCCGAUUCCAGACAGCAAGACCCUCCCAGUGGUUACAAAAGAGCACUCCCACCGCAGAGAUCCCCCUCGGAGGAUGCCGAUCAUCUCAACGCAAGCAAGAAGUCCCAAAGAAGUGAUCAAAAAAGGACAUGUGAGAAAACCACACCAAACUUAACAAUAUUAAAGGAAAAGCUUCAAGAUGAUAGAACGGAGAGGAAUCUAGAAAUUGCUGGAAAAUUUUAUAAGCAUGUUUUUCUCAUCCUUGCAUUGCAUUUUCAAGUUAAAAAGCACCUACUAAAAGUUAGACUAGCAUUAUUUUUCUUUGUAUUUUUUUUGCUAUUUAACUCACUUGAUAAAAAAAUUAAAUAAUUUAAAAAUAAGAUUUAUCAAUUUAUGAUAAAUCAAUAUAUUCAUAAAUACAAAUAUUCAAUAUUAAAUCAAUUUAUGAUUCUUUUGUCAUUGAUAUAAAACAAAUGAAAAGUAAAAAUAAUACAAAAACAAAAUUGAAUAUUGUUUUGAAAACAAUACAAAAGACGGUAAUGUGAACUUUGAAACAAAAAAAGUAAUAAAAUUGAACAUAUAAGUGACAAAGAGAUGAUAAUUGAAAUAAACAUUUAAUUUUUGUUCCUUUUUAUUAACAAAAAAUUAAACUAAACUUCAUGUUUUAGUUGUAUAACUUUUAAAAUAGAUUAAACAUAAAAAAUCAGAUAGUUGAAUUGAAAAUUUUCCUAAAAUGCCCCGUUUGUUGGAGUUUCUGAUUUUACUUCUAAAAUUAAUCCAUAAUUUUCUGUUCAAUUUUUUUAACAGAAAAAUGCAGCUAUGAAAUCAUUUUUGUAUGUAGUUGAGGUAAUUAAAAAAUUAAAAAUUUAUUGAAUAAAGGAACUUCUUAUUAUAGAUUGCAACAAAUUCAGGUCAUCUUCAGAACAACUUUAAGAAAUUGGAAUGAUUAUUAUUAUUAUUAUUAUUAUUAUUACAAUUAAAGUGAGGGCCAGAGGGAGCUUUUUCUGUUUGUUUUUUUCCAAGAAAAAGAGAGAAAGCUCAAAAAGGAAGAAAUUCAUUUCACAUGCAAGAAGCCGUGUGUGACAAAACUAAAACCACUUUCACACACAAUCAAACUGCAUUUGCAUUUUCACCUUAAAACCACUUUGCUAAAACUUGAAAAGGAAAAGCAUGAAAGCGUCUUCACUCUUUCAAACAGUUUUUUCUCAAAAGAUUGGGCCUGCUACUCUUCACUCAACAAACUUAAUUCAGUCUUGCAUGGAUCCUUAGCUGCAAAAUUAAACAAAAUGACAAGAAGAGGCUAUGAAAUUAAAAGAAUAUAUACAAGAAAUACAGUAAAGAAUAUAUAUUAUUAUAUAUGUUUAAUGGCUUAUGAAUAUGAUAAUAUAGAUUCCUCGAUCAUCAUUUAUGCAUUUAAAUUAUUUAAUUAUUUAUAUUAUUUUAAUGUUUCAAUGUUAACAUUUUUAUUUAUAAUCACUAUUUAAAUUUGAUUGAGGAGUUUUAAAUUUUUUAUAUAAUGUAUAGAAUAAAGAUUCAAUUUGUAUAUACCUAUUUAAGUAUAUUAAAUUGUGGUUCUUGCCCUCAAAAUUAGAGAUCAAGAUUCUUAUUUCAAAUUAUUAUAAUGAAAGUAUGUACUACUACUUUUUCCAUUUAAUUUUUAAUUUAGAAUAUCUAAAUUAAACAAAAGGUUAACAUUAUUUUGAGUUGUUUGUAUUUUUUCCCUUUUCAUUUCUUUAUUAUUUUUUCAUUCAGUAUUUUUUUUUCUUAAUUGGCAUAUAAACACUGAAUUUUAAUAAUCUUGUAAUACAAUCUAAUGAAAAAAAUUAGAAAAUAUGAGAUUCCUUUUGGUUUUUUUACAAAGAAAAUAUGAUAUGUUUGUUGGUCAUAUAUUCAAAAAAAAUUAUUAACAGCAAAAAAAAAUGUACAUUGAAAGAAUGAAAUUUGAAAAGAAAAAGAAUAACAAAAGAAGCAUUAUAGGCUCAGUAUAUUUGUUAUCCUUAAUAAAGCCUUAAGAAUAAUAAGAUAAAGAAGAGAAGGUAGAUUUAAAAAUUAUUUUUGUAUACAUCGUCAAUGAAAUUUUUAAAAUCUUCAAGCAGAGUUAGAAAGGUACCAUGUAUCACAUUUAAGUAUAUUAAAUUAAUUAAUAAAUUAAUAUAAUAAUAGAAACAUAUAAAAAUAUUUUAACUUUUUGUUAAAUAUAUAGUCCAAAAAAGAUAGUCUUUGUUUACAUUUUCAUGCUUUAUACACAGUUAGUCUUCGCAGCUGAUAUGACUUCUCUUUUCUAGGUGUUGGGUGUUAAAAUAAUGAAGGGACCUCCUUCACACUAAUUGGGUCCUAAUAAUUCAAACUUUUUUAGCAUCACUCAUAAUUAUUUGAGGAUUUAUUUUCCUAAUAAUUUAAUGGUUACGAACAAACCAAGGCCAAGUCAUGACUCUCUUUCAAAGUAAAUUUUAGAAAUGUUUCUAUAGACAUAAUUUCUGAGCAUAUAAUUUCAUAAGCAUGCUACUUGUAUUGCUAGUUUCUUCAUCCUCCAUUACUAUUAUAGGUGAUUAUAUAGGUGCAUUACAUGUAUAAUUUUAUGUGUUUGAGAAAGUCAUUCUAGAAAAAAAAAAACAUAAUAAUAAUGAGAACAAAACCAAAUAAUUUAUUUUUUCUUUUAUCUAUCAAGAGCAAACUAUUUAUGGAAGUUGCGUGGGAUCUCCUCAUGAAAAUCCUUACAAUUGAUAAUAUUAUAGCAGCAUAUAUAAAACCAUGGAGAAUAAAGGAAUUUAGUGGACAAGUGAUUACAACAAUAAAUAAUUUUGUCAUUUACAGCAUGGUUGUUAAAUAUACCCUUUAUCAAGCCUGAAGUUGCUUUUAACGCAUUCAUACAUAUGAUUCAUUAUUUGACGUAAUUAAAUCAGAUUGCUUUUUCUUUAAAUAAAAUAAAAUAAGAAAGAAGGAAAAGGGGCAACGUAUUGUCUUGUCAGAUAAAAAAGCAUCAACCAUAUUGUCUAGUUCACAUUUCAGAAAAGCCAAUUUUCAAUGGGGGGUGGGGCACAGUAGUAAUUUUCUCAAAAAGGCAUAAAUCAUAUUUAUCAAGAACAAGAUAUGAACUUGUAAUCGCACAGGUUGUUAAUGUUCCAAAACGGAAUCUGUUGCUUGAAAUUACUAUUAAAGCAUACUUUAGGUUUAGGAUACCAGCUGAGGGAAAAAUUAGUCAGAACUUCAUUUUGCAAUGUUUUGCGAUUGCUCCUGCAUCAGAUCAUAGUUAAUACCAUCUUGGUUCAUGUCUUAUUCCAACUACAAUAUUUAGUAGAUUAUUACUCCACCUAAAAGAAAGAAGUUUUUGAAGAAAAUACAAUACAAAUCAUUUUUAGUCUUCGUGAUUUGUGCUCUUUUAAGUUUUUAAGUUUUUUGUUUAGCGCAAUACCUUUUAAUCAUCAUAAUUGAAAGGUUGAAGAGAUAUUUUUUAUUGGCAAAGAAGUAAAACAAGGUUUUAACCAUCAUAAUUGAAAGGUUGAAGGGAUAUUUUAGCAAUUAAAACUUGAAAUAUAUGAAAGGUCUAUUAUUUUUUUAAUACAUUUAUCAUCAUCUUUUACGUGACUAAUAUUCAUUUAUAAAUUAUGAAUCUUUUGUAUGAAUGAAUUGAGUUUUAUGCAAGGUAAUGUAUCAAGAAAGUUAAUUGUUAAAUUUCUUUUGUUUUAGUUCUUUUAUGAAUAUUAAUAUUUAUUGUCACAUGUAUUGUAAGUAAAUACUUCCUUUCAAUUUUAUUUUCAAAUAACAAUUAUAUGUGAAAUAAAACUAUUUCUAAAAUAUAAAGUUAAUUAUCUAUAAAUAAAAGAUAAUUCAUGUUUUAAUUAUAUAUAAUUGAUAUUUUUUUAUUAUUAACCAUUAAGGUAUUCAAAACUGUUAAAAUUAAUAAAAAUAUUUUUGAAGGAAAAUCAUUAAAUAUAAUUGAAAAUCUUAUUUAUAAAUGAGAUAAAAUAUUAUUAUAUUUAUAAUGAAAAAUAUUUUUAAUCAAAGUUAUUUGAUGUGAUUAAAUUCUUACAAAUUAGAUAAAUUUUAUUAAUAUUAAUGAUAAAAAUAUUUAAAAUAAUAAUUUAAACAAUAUAAUAAACAAAUAUAAUUAUUUUCAUUGAUCAAGAAAUUAUUCUAACAUUCAUACUUAUAUAAUUAUAUAUACCUACCAGCCAACUACAGAUUACACGACUUGGGGGAUGUUAUUUGCUGAAAAUAAAAUCAUUGUCUUAUAUGUGUGUAUAUAUACAUGCACACAUAGACAUUCAAACAUGUCUAUAUGCAUGCAUCUUACACACAUAAAUACAUCCAUUAGAACAAAGUUAGACCUAAAAAUUAUCAUUCAUUGACCAAAAAACAAGUCAAGUUUCUUUAUCAAAUUAAGCCAUUUUUUUCCACUGCAUUUGCAUUAUCAUUCAUUGACAAAAAAACAAGUCAAGCUUCAAACAGGAUUCAAAGGAGAGGAGAUAGGAAAUUGCUGGAAAAGUUUUCCCAUCCUUCCACUGCAUUUGCAUUUUCAAGUUAAAAGCACUUUUCUAAAAGUUAAAAAGGAAAAAUCUUAUAGAAAGAAAAAGCAUGAAAGCGUGUUGAAUGUAGUUUUCAAUCUCUUUGAGACAGUUGUUUUUCAAAUGAUUGCAUGUAGUUUUCCCUUAACAAAUUUGUUAAAAUAAUUAUACAAAUUAUUUAGUUAGAGGUAUUAUACAACACUAUAAUCUGGUUAGAUUAUAAAUCUAGUUAACAAUUAUACUGUAAUACUAUUAGUUAAUUAGAGUUAAAUUAUGAAUAAAAUUAAGAUAACAUACAUAAUUUAGAUUUCCCAAUCAAAAUAAAAAAUGAGGAUAGGUUUAACCACAGAAAAAAAAACUCAUCCACUUUGUUAUUGCUUGAUAUCUUGAUCACGAACUUCGCUGCCACUUGAUAUCUUCACUUCAAAAAUCUUUUACUCUUCAAGAUUUUUGAAAUGUUCUGGAUCUUUGAAUGCUUAUGAAUGAAUCAAAUGGCUUUGAGGAGCCCCAUAUUUAUAGUGUUAGAUGAGAGACCUUGAUGAGGAUGUGGUCCUUUUGAAUUAUCUCUAAAUUAUUUUAAUUUAAUUAAAGGUGAAUUAUGAUGACUCAUUGAAAGUCUUUUGAUUGGCCGAACUAUGAGUCCUUGAAUUUUGAUUGGCCAAAUAUAAGUUUUAUCUCUAAAUUUACUUAGAGAUAAAUUAAAUAAUCAAAUUUGAUUUUUAUCUCUAAAUUAUCAUUCAUUAGAGAUAAAUUAGAUAAUCAAUAAUUAAAUUUUGAUUGAUCAAAAAUAUGAAUAUUAUUUUUAAAUUAUCUUGAUUUAUUUAGAGAUAAAUUAGAUGACCAAUAAUUAAAUUAUGAUUGGUCCAAAAUAUGAAUCUUAUCUCUAAAUUAUAUUGAUUUAUUUAGAUACAAAUUGGAUGACCAAUAAUUAAAUUUUGAUUGGUCAAAAAUAUGAAUAUUAUCUCUAAACUACAUUGAUUUAUUUAGAGAAAAAUUGGAUGACUAAUAAUUAAAUUUUGAUUGGUCAAAAAUAUAAUUUUUUUUUUUAUAAUUGUGGGAGGGGGAUUCGAACCCUGCUAUUUUAAGUAAGGGAUCAUGCCCCAACCAAUGAGCUAAAUGCUCAGGUGCGGUCAAAAUAUGAAUAUUAUCUUUAAAUUAUUUUUAUUUAUUUAGAGUCAAAUUGGAUGACCAAUAAUUAAAUUUUGAUUGGUCCAAAAUAUGAAUAUUAUGAAAUGCCCCGUACUUUGAUAUGGUGACAAAUAAAACUUAUCGGAUGUGAAUUGAGGUAUAAUAAGGUAUUUUGAGAACUAAGGUGUCAAACCCUAUUCUAUAAAAUAAUUACGACGUCAUUUACAUGCUCAAUAGAAUGUUUGCAUAUUUAGGAAGUUCGAGAAAUCGUUAAAAGACGAUAUUACCCCUAAUGGUACCAUUAAGUCAAUUAAGCCUCGAAUUAGUUCAAAUAGGAAUUUUAAGGUGAAAUUAAGAGUUUCACAGUUUAGGGGUGACUCAAAAUGGUAAUUCAGAGUUCGAGGAUCAAUUUGGAGUCAAACCGAAAUUUUCACUAUCUAGGGGCAAAAUGGUCAUUUUGCAAUUUGAGGACAAAAUGGGAAUUUUAGAAAAGAUUUUCUUAGCCCCAUUUGACAUGUUUGAGUAUGAUAUGAGUAUUGAAGUACAAUUGGAAGAUUUAGCAGUGAAAAAUAUGAGUUUGCGGUAUUUUUAGUAUAUAAGGGCAAAAUGGUAAUUUUACCACCCGAAAUUGAAAAUUUAAUUUUUGAAAGGAUUUUGAUCAAAUUUAAUUAUUUGGAGUGUGAAAUGAGUAUGAGGAGUGAAAAUUAUGCAUUAUGGCAAAUUUUCAAUUUUUGGGGCAAAAAAAAAGGUAAUUUUUGAAAAGUUCGGGGGCAAAAGUGUAAUUUUGAAAAAUUUACUCCACCAAAACUUUGAAAAAAUUUGAAAAUUUCACUUAAGACUUGGAUAAGUCAAAGGGAAUGCAUGGUGGAAAAAGUAGGACAAGUGGAUGGGUCAAAAAAAAAAGAAUUAAUAAAAUAUUCAAAAUAUGAAUAAACUAAUAAAAAGGCAUAAAAAAAUCAGCCCAUAACCCAUUCUUCUUCUUCAACAUUCGGCCAAGCAAGAAACAAGAGAGAGAAAGGAGAAAAUAAAACCCUAGCCAAGAAAUUUAAAGGGAAAAUUGGUGGAAAUUCAAAAAUCAAGCAAAAAAAAAGGUAACAUUUCUUAAAUUUGUCUUGUGCUUUACCUUUCCCAUGCAUUUCCCAUCAUUUUUCAUGGUUGAAUCAUGUGAUUUGAGGAUGAUUUCAAUUCUGGUCAUAUAUGUUAGUGUUUAGUGUUAGUUUAGCAUAUUUAUGAGUAAAACAACAAGAAAAAUAUUUAUUUUCUCCCUGAAUUUCUCUAGGCCGAAUCUAGCCCAUGGUAUGUGAGGAUGAGGUUGACUUUAUUUUAAGAGAAUUGGGUGGAAAAAUGAUGAAUUAUGAGGUUGAAAAUUAAAUGGGAAUUUUCGGUGCAAUAAAUUAAAAUUUUUACCCACUAGGGGUAAAAACAUAAUUUAUAGUCCGGACUGAUAAAUGGGACCAAAUUCACAGUCAUUGAGUUAUUGUGGAUAUAAUUGGAUAAUUGAAAUUGAAAUAGAUGGAAUUGGAGUUGAAUUGGGGAUUUUAGGAAUUUACACUAUGUAUAGGCGAGUUAGGUCGGACACCGCAAUUAAGCGAUUGUUUAGACAUUUCAAACCCUAUCUAGUGCAUACGCAUGGAUAAGAGCCUGAAAUAAUUUAUGAUAAAUUGACACAAUUUAUUGAAUUUUGUGUCAUGGAUUAUGGAUAGGUGGUGAGUCAAUUAUUUCGGGUAAGAGACUGCACCCGAGGGCAAAAGAUAGGAGUAUUUCUACUCCUAAUACUGUGAGUAACUUUAUCAUCAUUUUAAUUAUCUAAAGUAUGAUUUUAAUCGAUUUUGAUGGAAUUUUAUGAAAAUGAGUUUAAAUGGUUAAUUUUUGGUUUUACAAAUAAAAUAUGUUUAAAUAAAAUGAUUUUAUAAAUUGUUUUGAAACGAAAUAACGAUUUUGAAAAAUAGAGCAAUUGGAGACCACUGGUAUGUUGUAGAUUUAUGAUUUGAAUAAAUGGCUUAUGAUAAUAUUUUCAUGAAUGACUGAAUUGGUAUUUAUGUUGAAAUAUAUGAAAUGUGUAUUUAGCCUUGACAGGCUGUGAAUUACAAUAAUUGCCAUGUCAUGCUAGAAUGAAUUUUAUUGUAUGGUGGGUUAUUUAACUAGCCACUGCAGUAGGCGGAUUUUCGUGGGCCAGCCUAUUAGAGGGGCACGAUAAAUCCCGUUAUGUCUUACCUCGGUAUGAGAGGCGCGGGUGGAUAACUCCUGAGGCUAACAAUUUUAGAGUUCACUUCACGCCGAACCACCUCGUGAUGAUGAACUCCGCUAACGCCAAGGAACAGCUAUAUGUUUCAAAAUAAAAAUAUGAUUUAUGCGAAAUGUGAAUUUUUUUAACAGCCUUGACGGACUCGGUUGGGAUAGCCCUCGAUCAAGGUAUCCUUGAUAACUGAGUAUGAUAAUGAUUUCGACACGAGCUAAAGUUUUAAGAAGUUCGUAAGCCAUACUGAUUACUUGAUUUAAAUAAAUUGAUUUCAUUUGGUUGAAAUAAGUCGAUAAAUGAUAAAUUACUGUUUAAUGAAAUGUUUUUAUAGUCUCAUUUUACUCGCCUUUAGAUGUUUUAAAUUAUAUUUGUUUACUCACUGAGAUUAUAUAAUCUCACCACCCUCCUUUCCAUCAAUUUCAGGCUCAGGAUAGUCGGUAGAUAGCUCAUUUCAUCGAUGGUUACAAUUGGACUGGCAUCCUCAAAAUAUGUAGGUUUAUCUCUUUGGAUACUUUUAGUCGUUCAUGGGCCCACGUGUCACUGCAAAUUUAAUUUUAUACUUUGAUUAUCUGUAUUACAAUAUAUAUGAAUUUAUUUUACUUUUACUCUGUAAAAAUUAUUUAUGCAGUGUUCUUAAAAUAUUGUUUUAUGAGAAAAUUGAAUAUUUUAUUCAAUAUUUUUAUUUUAUACUAAUAGUCAUAAUUUCAUUUUAAACGAAUGUUUUAGACAUCCAAAAUUAUUUUUGAUUAUAAAAUAUGUGUUUUCCACUUACAUACUAUAUUUUUAACUAAUUUUGAGAUUUUUUAGAAAAAUGACUAAAAUGCCCAUGUGAGAAAAUUUUCGUUUUAUCUGUUUUAAGUUAGAAAUAGCUCAAAAUCCUUUAGAACAUAAUAUUUGGCAAUAGUUACUCACCGGGGAAAACGAAAAACUGAUAUUAAGCCUUGCGGGAUUCUGGAUGGCAUUUUGAGAGAUAAGUGCCCAUCGGGACACUACGACAGUUGUCACGGGCUUAAAGGGAGUUUCGGGUCGUGACAAUUUUAGUGGUAUAAGAGCUUUUUGUUUUAAAGAUAAGAGUUUUUGGUUUUAAAGUUAUUUUAAAAACUACAAUGUCAGUGUGGCCCAAGUUAAGUUAAGUUAGUUAGGUUAAAUCAGGUUAGGUUGAGUAGAAUAUAUGCAUUAGUAUAUACAGCCUGAGGUAGCGUAAACACGCUUUGUUUCCUCUUAUAGAUUAGUAUGCCUCCUCGAUACGAACACCCACCUCUCACUAGAUCGGUUGGGAGGAGAAGAGGUCGUUCCCAACAUCGUCAGCUAGAUCCUAUAGAGGGGGAAUCGACUGCGUCUACUAUUCGGGCAGCACCUACUGUUGAACAGACCAAGACUUUUCCACUUCCUCCGCCUUUUCCGCUAUCUACUAGUAUUCCUGCCAUGCCUCCUGAGGCAGUUCAGGCAUUGGCAGCCUUUUUUAUUACUCUUGCUGGCCAGGCUCAGGCUGGUCCAGCUCUUCCUACAGAUCCUCCAACUGCUCCUUCAAUACCACCACCCCCACCUCCUGUCCCACCACCAGUGCUGGAUGUUUCUAAUUCUAAAAAGCUUAAAGAGGCUAGGCAACAUAGUUGUGUUUCUUGUAUGGGUGAGUCAGACGCAACUGUAGCUAAAGAAGUGGUGCGAAUGGCUUUAAGAGUUGAGAAGCUUAUGAAUGAAAAUAGGAGUCUGCGAGCUGAGUUAACAAAAAGGAGAAAUCUGAAUGUAUCUUUUAGUCAGCCACCAAAGAGGGGCAAAGACUCCUCUAUUUCAGGAAGUACUACUACUGUUUUAGUGACAUAUCCUCAAUCUCCAUUUCCACAAUCACAGCAGAGACCUUCGAGGUUUAGCGGAUCUACUAUGGCUGGUUCUGGGAAGAGUUCUAGAGGUUCUCAUAGAUGCAAAAAUUAUGGGAAUUAUCAUGUGGGGCUGUGUAGGGGGCCUGCACGAUGUUUUUAUUGUGGUCAGCCGGGUCACAUUAGGAGUGACUACCCACAGUUAGGACGGGCUACGACAGUUGCUCCAUCUCCACCAGCUCAUACAGAUAUGUAGAGGAGAGAUUCCUCUAGAUUACCACCGAGACUGGGAUGAUUUUGACAUACCACCAAGGGUAGAUUAAAUAUGCUGAAAAUAGUGCUCUAAUAAAGUGCAUAUGAUAGAAAGCUAGUUUGUAAGUUGUAGUUUUCAUGAUCAUAAAAUAUAUAAGGAUUAUUAAUAUAUGGACAUACACUUGGAGUUGUAAAUUACAAGUUUGGAGUAUUUACGAUAUGAUUAAAUGGAAUUAGCAUUAGGCAAGGCAUGUAAAUCUUCUAAUUAAAUUCUGUGGAGUGUGCAUGAUAGUAGAAUGGAGGAACAUAGUGUCGUGAUACUAUAUGGUGAAGUUACUAUACAAUAUGGAAAAAGCAUUCUAAAUUGGGAUUUAUUGAUUGAUGAUAAGUGACGGGCAAUCUGAUGAUACAUGUAGCUAUGAAUAAAUUUGGAGAUUUUUGCUUAAGCAAAUUCGUACUAAAUGUUAUGGUAAAGAUAUAUGAAUGUUAGUGGCAAAAUAAAUACGUUAAAUCAAUGUUUUGAUUGUGCACUUGUGAUGGAAAGUUAGUCUUGCUAAUUGUGGUAUAGACUCAGAGGGAAGCCACACGAUUGUGAAUAAUUGAGGUAGUAACUUUAAAGGUAAAAGAGUUACAGGGAUAAAGUAAAUUCAAACAGUUGCAACGCUAUACUACUGAUUAUCAAACGCUGUCACGUUAAGAACGCCUUAUGGUUAGAAAGCAUGAGUAGACUAUGAGCGGCAUAAAGAUGAAACUCACGAGUUGAAAUAUGGCUAUUGGUUUUGAUGCUAAGCUUUGUUGUUUGGAGUCUUCAGUGCAUUAGGGAGGUAUUAAGAUAAAGAUGAUGAGUGAAAUUGUAAAGUUUCUUUAUUGCCUUAUAUAUUGGCAUGUAAGAGAAAGAAAAGUUAGAGAGUUUUUGAGAUGGUUACAUAAAAAAAAUAAUAAAUUAACAUGUGGAGUGUUAAGAUGAAUAAUAUGAUGAUUGAAGUCAAAUCUUAAGAAAUAAGGAAGACAAGAGAUUAAGUCUUGUUAAAGACUAAUGAGGAAGCGAGCAAAAGGUUAGAUGAAUAUAUGAGAUGUUGAUAAGAGAUGUCAAUACCAAGUGAUGAGAGUGUGAAUGGAGAUUUCAAGAAUGAUAUAGCAAAUGAGUUUAUAUAGAAUAAUGUUAUGAGAAUGUACAAAUCUUGAUUUGACUUUGUUGAAAGGAAAGGAUUAGUGACAACACAAGUAAAUUAUGGGGUAUGAUAGAAACCCUUGGAGAUAAGUUGAAGCAUGAGUAGUUGGGCAUGCCUUUAUGGAAAUGAUAUACUUGGUGUAUAAAAGAGUAAAUAAGUGAUUAAGUGUUUCAAGAAUGUUUAAACAUCUUCAAGGAAGAAUUAUAAAUUAUAUGAGAUGAGCAUAAGAUGUGAGAUUUUUAAAACUUGUUGAGGAACUUAACGGCUAAGUCACAAGUUCAGUGAUCAUAUGUUGUGAGACAUAAGUUUAAGAUAGAUAUUCUCAAGGAAAUACUCAAGAGAAGUUUUGCUUUGGAUCUCGUUAAAGCAAGUACUAAGUUAUGUGAUUAUAAAAAGGAAGCUGUAAGCUGAAAGUGAUAUUCAUAUUAAUAUUAAAAAGUACUUGGGGGGAAUCUAGUUUCAAGUUUUACAAUUUCAAGUACAAUUUAUAAAUUGGAUAAGGAAGAAUGAUGUUAUGUUUAUAUGAAAGAGUGGAACAAAGGAUGAUAGAAGUUAACCUUGAAAAUGAAGUCAGAUAAAGAAAUUUUCCUAAGAUAGUAUGGGAAUUGGAAUUCAAAAAUGCUUGAGGCAUACAUGAUUCAAAUGAGUUUGAGUCUUAAGUGACAAAUUAAUAUCGGAAUGCAAUAAGGAUACAAUAUAUGUAAGAGGCAUGAAGGAUAAUCAAGGAAAAAUGAUGACUUUUAGGAAUUAUAGUAUUGCAUAAGAUGCAAUGAUUAAGUCAAGAUAAAUCUUUGAGAUAUCAAUGGGAUUAUAAAGCAUACACGUACAAUAGAUUAUAAUUCAAUGGAGAUGACAUUGUGAUGCAAUGAUAUAUAGUACAAGAAAACUCAAGCAUAUGGUUGGAAAUGAUAUGAAUGAUAUGAAGUUAUACGCAAGUAUAAUAAGAAGGUUGACAUGCACUAUAAGAAUUAUUAUAUUGAACUAGGAUUGGGAUGUGAAUAAAUAAAGGGAAAUGUAGUCCAAGGCAUGUGAACACAUGGAUCCCUAUACAUAACGAGAAAUGUUGACAUUUGAAAAUGCAUGUACAUAUGUAUAUAUGAAAUUGAUAAUUUUACUAACUAAAGUGAAGAAUGGUUCUUAGUGAUUGAGAGAUUUUGAAAUAGUGUCUAAAGAGGUCAGUGAGCUAAAGUGUUAACAGACAUGCAAUGAACGAUUAAAGUUAUGAGUGACUUUGAAGGUAAACUUUGAAUUGUUUAAGUUCUUAAUGGAACUCUAUCAAAGGAAGGGUAUGGACCAGUAUAAGAUGGAUGAAUCAAGGUUGAGAAAUUUGGCAUGAAGCAAAUUAAUAAAAUGAUGAUUAAGUAUACAUAAGUAAGUAUGAUAUGUGAUCGAAAUCAGUAUAAUUNNNNNNNNNNNNNNNNNNNNNNNNNNNNNNNNNNNNNNNNNNNNNNNNNNNNNNNNNNNNNNNNNNNNNNNNNNNNNNNNNNNNNNNNNNNNNNNNNNNNNNNNNNNNNNNNNNNNNNNNNNNNNNNNNNNNNNNNNNNNNNNNNNNNNNNNNNNNNNNNNNNNNNNNNNNNNNNNNNNNNNNNNNNNNNNNNNNNNNNNNNNNNNNNNNNNNNNNNNNNNNNNNNNNNNNNNNNNNNNNNNNNNNNNNNNNNNNNNNNNNNNNNNNNNNNNNNNNNNNNNNNNNNNNNNNNNNNNNNNNNNNNNNNNNNNNNNNNNNNNNNNNNNNNNNNNNNNNNNNNNNNNNNNNNNNNNNNNNNNNNNNNNNNNNNNNNNNNNNNNNNNNNNNNNNNNNNNNNNNNNNNNNNNNNNNNNNNNNNNNNNNNNNNNNNNNNNNNNNNNNNNNNNNNNNNNNNNNNNNNNNNNNNNNNNNNNNNNNNNNNNNNNNNNNNNNNNNNNNNNNNNNNNNNNNNNNNNNNNNNNNNNNNNNNNNNNNNNNNNNNNNNNNNNNNNNNNNNNNNNNNNNNNNNNNNNNNNNNNNNNNNNNNNNNNNNNNNNNNNNNNNNNNNNNNNNNNNNNNNNNNNNNNNNNNNNNNNNNNNNNNNNNNNNNNNNNNNNNNNNNNNNNNNNNNNNNNNNNNNNNNNNNNNNNNNNNNNNNNNNNNNNNNNNNNNNNNNNNNNNNNNNNNNNNNNNNNNNNNNNNNNNNNNNNNNNNNNNNNNNNNNNNNNNNNNNNNNNNNNNNNNNNNNNNNNNNNNNNNNNNNNNNNNNNNNNNNNNNNNNNNNNNNNNNNNNNNNNNNNNNNNNNNNNNNNNNNNNNNNNNNNNNNNNNNNNNNNNNNNNNNNNNNNNNNNNNNNNNNNNNNNNNNNNNNNNNNNNNNNNNNNNNNNNNNNNNNNNNNNNNNNNNNNNNNNNNNNNNNNNNNNNNNNNNNNNNNNNNNNNNNNNNNNNNNNNNNNNNNNNNNNNNNNNNNNNNNNNNNNNNNNNNNNNNNNNNNNNNNNNNNNNNNNNNNNNNNNNNNNNNNNNNNNNNNNNNNNNNNNNNNNNNNNNNNNNNNNNNNNNNNNNNNNNNNNNNNNNNNNNNNNNNNNNNNNNNNNNNNNNNNNNNNNNNNNNNNNNNNNNNNNNNNNNNNNNNNNNNNNNNNNNNNNNNNNNNNNNNNNNNNNNNNNNNNNNNNNNNNNNNNNNNNNNNNNNNNNNNNNNNNNNNNNNNNNNNNNNNNNNNNNNNNNNNNNNNNNNNNNNNNNNNNNNNNNNNNNNNNNNNNNNNNNNNNNNNNNNNNNNNNNNNNNNNNNNNNNNNNNNNNNNNNNNNNNNNNNNNNNNNNNNNNNNNNNNNNNNNNNNNNNNNNNNNNNNNNNNNNNNNNNNNNNNNNNNNNNNNNNNNNNNNNNNNNNNNNNNNNNNNNNNNNNNNNNNNNNNNNNNNNNNNNNNNNNNNNNNNNNNNNNNNNNNNNNNNNNNNNNNNNNNNNNNNNNNNNNNNNNNNNNNNNNNNNNNNNNNNNNNNNNNNNNNNNNNNNNNNNNNNNNNNNNNNNNNNNNNNNNNNNNNNNNNNNNNNNNNNNNNNNNNNNNNNNNNNNNNNNNNNNNNNNNNNNNNNNNNNNNNNNNNNNNNNNNNNNNNNNNNNNNNNNNNNNNNNNNNNNNNNNNNNNNNNNNNNNNNNNNNNNNNNNNNNNNNNNNNNNNNNNNNNNNNNNNNNNNNNNNNNNNNNNNNNNNNNNNNNNNNNNNNNNNNNNNNNNNNNNNNNNNNNNNNNNNNNNNNNNNNNNNNNNNNNNNNNNNNNNNNNNNNNNNNNNNNNNNNNNNNNNNNNNNNNNNNNNNNNNNNNNNNNNNNNNNNNNNNNNNNNNNNNNNNNNNNNNNNNNNNNNNNNNNNNNNNNNNNNNNNNNNNNNNNNNNNNNNNNNNNNNNNNNNNNNNNNNNNNNNNNNNNNNNNNNNNNNNNNNNNNNNNNNNNNNNNNNNNNNNNNNNNNNNNNNNNNNNNNNNNNNNNNNNNNNNNNNNNNNNNNNNNNNNNNNNNNNNNNNNNNNNNNNNNNNNNNNNNNNNNNNNNNNNNNNNNNNNNNNNNNNNNNNNNNNNNNNNNNNNNNNNNNNNNNNNNNNNNNNNNNNNNNNNNNNNNNNNNNNNNNNNNNNNNNNNNNNNNNNNNNNNNNNNNNNNNNNNNNNNNNNNNNNNNNNNNNNNNNNNNNNNNNNNNNNNNNNNNNNNNNNNNNNNNNNNNNNNNNNNNNNNNNNNNNNNNNNNNNNNNNNNNNNNNNNNNNNNNNNNNNNNNNNNNNNNNNNNNNNNNNNNNNNNNNNNNNNNNNNNNNNNNNNNNNNNNNNNNNNNNNNNNNNNNNNNNNNNNNNNNNNNNNNNNNNNNNNNNNNNNNNNNNNNNNNNNNNNNNNNNNNNNNNNNNNNNNNNNNNNNNNNNNNNNNNNNNNNNNNNNNNNNNNNNNNNNNNNNNNNNNNNNNNNNNNNNNNNNNNNNNNNNNNNNNNNNNNNNNNNNNNNNNNNNNNNNNNNNNNNNNNNNNNNNNNNNNNNNNNNNNNNNNNNNNNNNNNNNNNNNNNNNNNNNNNNNNNNNNNNNNNNNNNNNNNNNNNNNNNNNNNNNNNNNNNNNNNNNNNNNNNNNNNNNNNNNNNNNNNNNNNNNNNNNNNNNNNNNNNNNNNNNNNNNNNNNNNNNNNNNNNNNNNNNNNNNNNNNNNNNNNNNNNNNNNNNNNNNNNNNNNNNNNNNNNNNNNNNNNNNNNNNNNNNNNNNNNNNNNNNNNNNNNNNNNNNNNNNNNNNNNNNNNNNNNNNNNNNNNNNNNNNNNNNNNNNNNNNNNNNNNNNNNNNNNNNNNNNNNNNNNNNNNNNNNNNNNNNNNNNNNNNNNNNNNNNNNNNNNNNNNNNNNNNNNNNNNNNNNNNNNNNNNNNNNNNNNNNNNNNNNNNNNNNNNNNNNNNNNNNNNNNNNNNNNNNNNNNNNNNNNNNNNNNNNNNNNNNNNNNNNNNNNNNNNNNNNNNNNNNNNNNNNNNNNNNNNNNNNNNNNNNNNNNNNNNNNNNNNNNNNNNNNNNNNNNNNNNNNNNNNNNNNNNNNNNNNNNNNNNNNNNNNNNNNNNNNNNNNNNNNNNNNNNNNNNNNNNNNNNNNNNNNNNNNNNNNNNNNNNNNNNNNNNNNNNNNNNNNNNNNNNNNNNNNNNNNNNNNNNNNNNNNNNNNNNNNCAUUUUGAGAGAUAAGUGCCCAUCGAGACACCGCAGCGAUUGUCACGAGCUCGAAGGGAGUUCCGGGUCGUGACAUAUUAUCUCUAAAGUACAUUGAUUUAUUUAGAGACAAAUUGGAUGACUAAUAAUUAAAUUUUGAUUGGUCAAAAAUAUGAAUUUUUUUUUAUAAUUAAGGGAGAUGAUUCGAACCUUGCUUUUUUAAGUAGGGGAUCAUGCACCAAUCAAUGAGCCAAAUACUCAGAUGCGGUUAAAAAUUUGAAUAUUAUCUCUAAAUUACUUUUAUUUAUUUAGAGACAAAUUGGAUGAUCAAUAAUUAAAUUUUGAUUGGUCCAUUUUAAAUAUUAUCUUCCAAUUAUCUUAAGUGAUAAAUAUAUGACACAUAGGUGAAUUGGUUCAACUAUGUGUCUUUGAAAUAAUCCAACCAAUAAAUUAAUUAUUUUAUAAUUAAUUACAUGAUUAUGACAUCAUCAAGUCCACAUGGUGGCAAUUGGAUUAUAAUGUUUCUCCUUCUGGAAAUGCCCCCUCAACUUGAUAUCUUUAUCACGAACUAAACUUGAUAUCUUGAUCACAAAGUUUGUUGCCGCUUGAUAUCUUCACUUCAAAAAUCUUUUACUCUUCUCGAUUAUUCAAAUGUUCUCCAUCUUCGAAUGCUUCUGAAUGAAUCAAAUGGCUUCGAGGAGGCCCCUAUUUAUAAUGCUAGAUGAGAGACUUUGAUAAGGAUGUGGUCUUUUUGAAUUAUCUCUAAAUUAUCUUAAUUUAAUUAGAGGUAAUUUUUGAUAACUCAUUGAAAGUCUUUUGAUUGGCCGGACUUUGAGUCUUUCAAUUUUGAUUGGCCAAAUUUAAGUUUUAUCUCUAAAUUUUCUUAGAGAUAAAUUAAAUAAUCAAAUUUGAUUUUUACCUCUAAAUUAUCAUUUAUUAGAGAUAAAUUAGAUGACCAAUAAUUAAAUUUUGAUUGGCCAAAAAUAUGAAUAUUAUCUCUAAAUUAUCUUGAUUUAUUUAGAGACAAAUUAGAUGACCAAUUAUUAAAUUUUGAUUGGUCAAAAAUAUGAAUAUUAUCUCUAAAUUACCUUGAUUUAUUUAGAAUCAAAUUGGAUGAGCAAUAAUUAAAUUUUAAUUGGUCUAAUUUAAAUAUUAUCUUCAAAUUAUCUCAAGGGAUAAAUAUAUGACACAUAGGUGAAUUGGUUCACCUGUGUCUUCGAAAUAAUCCAAUCAAUAAAUUAAUUAUUUUAUAAUUAAUUACAUGGUUAUGACAUUUCAAGUCCACAUGACGACACAUAAUUGAAUCAUAAUAUUUUUCCUUCUACAUACCUAUUUAAGUAUAUUAAAUUGUUGUUCUUGGCCUCCAAAUUAGAGAUCAAAAUUCUUAUUUCGAAUUAUUAAAUGAAAGUAUAUACUAUUAACUUUUUCAUCAAAAUUUUAAUUUUCAAUCUCUAAAUUAAACAAAAAGUUAACAUCGUUUUGAGUUGUUUGUAUCUUUUCCCUUUUCAUUUCUUUAUUAUUUUUUCAUUCAUUACUUAUCAUUCGAAAAAAUAGAAUAUAAAUGCUAAUAAUUGGAUAUCUGGAACUUGAUUCAUAAUUUCCAUCAACACUUUAACUAUAAGAUCGUUUAUUAUACAAGUACGAAUUUAAUUAACAAGUUCUCUUCAAAUUUUUUUAUUAUUUCCCAUUCUAAUUUGUUGCUUAGGAUGUUAGUAUUUGAUCUAGAAUAAGCUCAAUAAGAUAUUUAGAUUUUUAAAUGCUUUACUUUUUUCAAACAUUGACAUUACCUACUAUGUUUAAAUUGAAAAAGGAAGUACCUGAGGAGUGGCGACAUCUCUUUUUCAAGUCUUUGCAAAAUGUUUUAAGUUGUUUUAUAGUAAUGAAUUUCAAGUCAAGUCUUCUCAAAUUGAAAAUUUAUGUCUAGAAUCAAAAUUAAAUUAAUGGAAUAAAAAAGAAAAGUGUAUGUGUCAUGUUAGAAUGAAAAGCAUCAAAGCCACUGUAUCCUAUCCCUUGUGAGACGUUAGUAGGAUUUGUAUAUUUUUCUUGAAUUCUCAUUUGAUGUGUACUUUUAUUGUAGGCUUAUUGAGAUAUGCUUAUUAGACUGAGAAAUAUCUCAUUUGAGAUAUGUUAUUGAGAUAUGCUUAUUGAGAUAGGAAAUUGCUGGAAAAGUUUUCUGAUCCUUCCACUGCAAUUGCAUUUUCACGUUAAAAGCACUUUUCUAAAAGUUAAAAAGGAAAAGCUGUUCUUGUAGAAAAAAAAAGCACGAAAGCGUGUUGAAGGUACACAUUUAAAUUCAAUCUCUUUCAUACAGUUGUUUAUCGAAUGAUUGUAUGUAGUUUUUGCUCAACAAAUUUGUUAAGAUAAUUAUACAAAUUAUUUAGUUAAAACUACUAGACAAUACUAUAAUCUAGUUAGAUGACAAUAUUUAAUUAAUAAUUAUAUUAUAAUACUGUUAAUUAAUUAGAAUUAAAUUAUAAAUAAAAUUAGGAUAACAUACAUAAUUUAGAUUUCUCAAUCAAAAUAAAAAAUGAGGAUAGGUUUAACCAAAGAAAAAAAAACUCACCAACUCGGACAAAAAGCAUCCCAAAGAAAUGCAAAAGCAGCAGCAACAACAAAGAUUAGUCGAGGAGCUGAAACUAAUCUGCAAAAAUAAAAGCAGAAGCCAUCACGUAAUCAUCCCUCAGCAGCCAAAAACUAAUAAAACAGAGAACCAAUAGCGCAAGAAUGAAGCAAAGAAAUGCAAGCUCACACAACCAGCAGAAACGAAAAUCACAUCAAAGGUUCAAAGAAGCGAGAACCAACCAAUAAUUAACCGCAAUGAAUCCCAUGAAACAAUCGGCAAAAUCAAAAUCCAUUCAAGCAGAUCAGGAUGAAGCUUAAACAGAGUGAAGUAACAACAGAUAUUGAUCCCCCCCAACACCGGGCUUGGCAAGUGAAUCAGCAAUAGUGUUUCCAGAUCUAAUAGCGUGUUGAAUUUGCCACUGUUUAACUUUACUAGCCAAAACAAGGAUAUGAAGCACUUGAUUCCUCAAAUUCCAUGGAGCCAAAUCAGGGGACUUAGUCCAUUUAAUAGCUCUAACUGAAUCACUUUCAAGAAUCUACCAGUGAGAAGAUGCCCAUGUUGAAGGCUUGUAUGAUCUAAUUCUCUUUGGGCCAAAUCCGUGGACAUUAAGUUCUUAAGUUCUUUUCCAGUUCUUCUGGAAAUCUUUUCGCAAAAACUCUACAGUAACUGGCAGCAGCUAAUUUACUGAUUUAAUGUGCGUUAGAGAAAGAUUGUUGGAGUUAAAUCAAUGCUGCAAACCUGUGUUAAAAAUCAAACUUGAGGAAGGCUAACUGUUAAUGACUUUUGACACCUUACCAUAAAUCAAAUCUUUUCCUUUAGAAUUAGAAACUGAACAUAGCCAUCUCAGCACUUUGAUUUUACUCUUAAAAGAAAUAAUUAAGUAUCAAUGAUGUAACUAAUACAUACAUGAGGUGCUUGUAGUGAGUUUCCCUCCACUUUCCUUUGGUAUUUUAGGAAAGCAAAUUGAAAAGGAAAAAAUGGCCCUUCUUAAUAAAUUUAGAAAUCUCUGAGUCAAGAAAACAUGGAUUUCCAAAACCAAUAUAUCAGAAUCAAAAGUACCACCGUUAGGUAGGUAGCCUUAAAGUGAAAUUGUGAGAUCACUAGUAUUUAUCUUUUGGAUUGAUUAUAUAGUAAAUGUGAGUAAGCAUUGAAUUAAACUAGAAGAAAAGAAAAUCCAGAUUUGUCGAAAAAUCUAAUCCAAAGAGCUAAAAAAACAAAAUAUUAUUUACUGAUCUGAAACUUUCAGUAAUGAAAUCUGGAAUUUCCUCUAUGUACUUCAAACAUUUCCUAGUAUAGAACUCAACAACUAGAAGACAUAAAGUUUUGAAACAAAAAAAACAUUCUCUGCAAUAUUACUAAAAGGACUAAAUGAAUCCAAGCAGCAGUAUGUUACAUGCUUACAAAGAAUAGCUGAAGCUUACAUUUUAGCAGAUCCUACAGAAGUAAAGAACCCCAACAUCUUGACAACUAGGUCACUAUGGGAAAAAAAAAAAAGAAUACAUAGAGUUAAAAACUUUAUUGGAAACUAUUUAUCAAAGUUCGAAGAGUUGCUUAUAGUUAUAUGGAACAGCUGUCUUCAGAGUACUAGUCGUAUUGGCUUAUUUCUUCCUCUAGGUUUGUGGAUUUGCCUUCUGACUCUUUGGUGUGGGGCUCUCUGGAUUAUCUUCACUAGCCAAGCUGGUUUUCCUGUUGUGAAUACAAUGUAUCCCAUGCUCAAUCUCAACACAAGUCCACAUCCAUAUCCCAUCAUUGCAAAUUUCCAAGUAAAUGCUCCUCCUUUAUCAUCAUCUUCAUCAAAUAUUGACGGAGGAGGUUCUCUUCCCUCACUUUCGCCACAUUCAUUUGACAAUGGAAACCCACAAAACCGUAAGUUACCUACGUAGGAAUUAUUUGUGAAAGUAUCAAACUGAUUUCCUUUAGGAACCGGUCCCAUGAGAUUGUUUUGAGAAAGAUUUAACACCGCAAGAAAUAUCAGAUUCCUUAAUUGCAUAAGGAUGCUUCCUUCAAUCAUAUUUGAUGAGAGAUCUAAUGAUUCGAGUGCUAACAACUUCCCCAAUGAUAGUGGGAUAUGACUUGUAAGGCUGUUAUGAGAGAAAUUGAGCACCAAAAGAUCUUUAAGUUCUCCGAUUACUUCAGGAACCUGUCUUUCGAAUUGAUUGCUUGAAAAAUCAAUAGUUGUGAAAAUAUCUAAUUUUUUUCAAAAUUUAUCUCCAAUCCUUUGAUUGUUAUAAUUAUGGAAUCAUGAUAAUAUAACUCUUCAAUAUAAUAUGGACCGGUAGGAUCUACAUGGAUAUCCUUCAUAGCCUUCAAAUUUUGAAAGAAUGUAGUUGGCAAGUGGCCAUUGAACUCAUUUGAGAGAGAUCAAUGAUUCUCAAACUAGUAAAGAUAGAUGUGCCCCUCAAAUUUGGUGCCGGCCCAUGAAAUUUAUUCGAUUGCAGGACAAGGAUUUGCAGACAUGAAAGUACACCUAACCAAUGAGGAAAGGAGUCUUUCAAGUUACUGUUGCCCAAAUCUAAAACUUCCAAUUCACUGCAAUUCAUCAAAGAUCGUGUUACGGAUCCUUCUAGAUGGUUGUCAUUGAGGUUAAUGCUUUUCUACAAACUACCUUCUUGGGAUUUUGCCAUCGAAGUUAUUCAUUCGUAAAUUCAUAACAGACAGGGAACCACAAUUUCCAAGACAUUUUGGAAUGAUCCCACUCAAGUUGUUCUUUGACAAGUCGAGGACUUGAGGGAAAGUUAUAUCGUAAAACCCUGAAGGGAUUUCUCCAGUCAAUUCAUUUUCUGAAAAUGAAGAGGUGAUGUAUUGACAUUGGUGGAGUUGGAAGUGGUACUUGAAGUGAAUUUGAGUGAAGGUCAAGAGUCUGAAGAGUCUUCCCAGGAAAUUGCUCUACAUUUGUUAACAAAUUGAAAGAAAGGUCCAAGUAUCUCAACUCUCCCACCCUUCGGCUUCCCAUUUGGAUAUGGAACCCUGAAUUUUGUUAUUAGAAAGAUCUAAAUCGGACAAAGUCUCGGAUGCUCUUCAGAAACUUGGGAAUUGUUGUAUGUUGCGCAAAGAGAAAGACAAAGUAUAUAGCUCGGGGAAGGUAAUUGACAUCAUUGCUACAUCUACUCAAUGAUAAUAAACCGUUAUUUGAAAGAUCAAUCUCUUGUAAAUUUCUAAGCUUUGAAAGCAUGCAUGGCUCAAUGUUGCCACUCAAAUUAUUUGAUGAAAGAUCAGGAAAAGCAAGGUUCACUGGUAGACUAAACAGCCAACCUGGUACUCUGCCAUUAAGCAAGUUUGCAGAUAAAGGAGGUUUUGACGAUUUGAAAGUCCACUUACGUUGUCUGGAAGGGGUCCCGCUAAAUGGUUAUUGUUCAAGCCUAUGUCAGUAAGUCUAGUGAGGUUAAAUGCUGAUGAUGGCAAUAAACCAUGGAAAUUGUUAAAAGAAAAAUACAACUUAAUUAGUUUCUUGAAGUUCCCAAAAACAUCUGGAAUAUGACCUUCAAAAUUGUUAAAUUUUAAAUGUAAGAAAGUAAUUUUGGUGAGGUUUCCAAGAGAUAAAGGGAUUGACCCUGUGAAAUGACAAAAAGAAAGGUCAAGUUCUUCCAAGUUUUCAAGAUUUCCCAUUGAGUCUGGUAACUCCUCUAAGAAACUUGUUCCUGAAAGGUGCAAAAAUCUAAGAGAAGUACUCCGAUUUGAUUUAGGGAGAUAACCACUGAGAUUAGGAUUACGGAUUAAUAAGAUUUUUUCUAGAUAUGGAAAGCUGAAAUUUUCACUUGGAAAUUUCCCUUGCAGUUGACAGACAUAGAGACUCAAACACUUUAACGAGGAAGUCAAGUUCAGAAAGGAAUUUGGUCUAACCAAACACAUAUCCACUUGGUCAAGGAAAAGAUUUUCUUACUUUGUUAGGUUAUGCACAAGCAUGUUAAAAUGAUGGUUGUCGAGCUUUAAAAGAAGAGAUGACUGAUCAAGUGAACCCAGUUCUGCCAAAGGAGAGAUAUGCUCUGUAACUGAACAGUCGAUGCCUAUAUGAGAAAGAUUGAGAUAGGUUAGACUCCUCAAUUUACUAAACUCAGGAGGAAUUUGAGAACCAGUGAACUCGAGGUGAGCAAGGUUAGGCCAACGGAGAUCCUGAAGCAGGAAGAGGCUGCUGUUGGAUGGAAGACUUUCUUUAAGUCGACUACAACUGAGAUCAAGGCCAAUCACGUGACCCGUCAUGCUAUGGCAUGUGACACCCUCCCAGGAGCAACAGUCUCUACUUUGGCUCCAGAAUUCUGUCUUAGGAUAAGAAUCACCACAGGCAAAGCAACUAGGAAAAGACAGGCUGCUCUUGAACUGGAUCAAAGCAGAACUAUGUUCAGGAGGGCAUAAUUGUGGAAGAGGAGGAGAUGACAGAAGAUUGUUCACAAGAUUAUUAGGCUUAGUUUGUAGGUAACAUUUAGUUUCCGGAGUACCAUAAACAAAGAUUUGCACAACGAACAUUCUUGAGCUUUUAUUAGAGUAGUGCAAGCUUCAAACUUUUAUUUAGGAACUAAGUAAGUGAGGUGGUUUGUCCGUCUCCAAGGGCUGCAAUGGCACCAUAUUUGUUUUUUUAAAAAAAAUUAAUUGGAUUUCAUUAUCAGAAACCAGGAAUAGGCUCCCUAGAGAACAAAAGAGCACAUGAUUUUAAGAUGCUAUGCCUUGAUCAGCAUAUCAUCUCAAAAUUUUGUCAUCUUGCCAAAAGAAAACCAGCUUACAAAGAACCCCAUAAAAACCCCUAUCAUCAAUAUACAAAAAACAAAAUGAAACAGCAAAUAGCCUCAAUAAGAAACCACAAGUCUCCUUGUGCAAAAGUCAUUCUUGAAAGGAAAGUCAGCAAGCUUGCAAUCUGAUCAAAAACUCAGGCCCUUAUAUCACGGACCUUGGCUCAAAAGCCUAACCAUCUCAGCCAAGUAAAUGUCAAAAAGCAACAGAGAGAAACGAUCAAACCUGAAGCUUGAAUUCUUCACGCAGCCGUUCAAAGAAAAAGAAUAAAAAUCUCCAGCCUCUUUACUACUCAAAGGCAUUCAAUAAAUCCUCUUAACGUCUGACCCCUUCUGUCGCUAGACUAUAUGCAAAUUGAUUCUUUUCUCUAAAGAUAUGGUUGACUUCCCACCCUUUAAUGUUCCUUUUCAAACUUUCAACGUGCAUGAUCCACUUCCUUAGCCUCCAAAAAUAAGGAGACUUGUAAGGACCGACCGGAGUAAAGUGACCCUUCCACCUAUUAUUAGCACCUUUGCCUUCCAUCUUGCCAACCUAGCCUCAAAUUUCUCAAUAAUAGGAUUCCACAUUCUAACAGAAUUCUGCUUGGCUCCGAUUGGAAGUUCUAGAUACACAAAGGGUAUUUCUCCUAUUCUACAAUCUAUACUUUCCACCCCCCUUCUCCAUGUUUGAUUAUCCACUCCUAUUCCUAUCACCCUACUCUUGUUGAAAUUGAUUUUUAACCCCGAAAUGAGUUGGAAACAUCUCAAGACUCUUUUGGCAAUGCUGAGAUUCUCAACUUUCGGUCUACAAAAAACCAUGGUAUCAUCGGCAAAUUGAAGGUGUGAGAUUAAGAGGUCAUUGUUACCUAUUGGUACGCCUUGAAGAAUAUCGAAAGCUUCAGCUUUCUCCAUGAGUCGACUAAAAGCCUCUGCCACAAUGUUGAAGAGAAAAAGGGAGAGUGAGCAACCCUAUCGAAGUCCUCUCUCCAUCCUAAAAGGUUCCGUAGCAACUCCAUUCACAAGCACAGAGAUUUUCACUGUUUGAAGAUAGCCCCUCAUCCACUUUCUCUACCUUUCCCUAAACCUCAUUUUUUUUCAUAAUAAACUGAAGGAAUCCCCAAUCCACACUAUCAUAGGCCUUUUCAAAGUCAACUUUCAAAAGAAAGACUACCUCUUGUCCCUUUUUCAGCAGAUCAAUAACUUCGUUUUCAAUGAGAGCACAAUCCAUAAGCUGUCUUCCUUUUACAAAAGCAAACUGUUUCUCUCCAAUAACUUCACCAAUGACCAGUCGGAGCCUAUUAGCUAGGAGCAUUGCGACAAUCUUGUAUAAGCUCCAUACAAGACUAAUCGGUUUAAACUCCAUGAUGGGGCUUGGAUUAGAGACUUUCGAGAUUAGCGUAAUGAAAGAGUUAUUCAAUCCCUUUUCAAGCUGUUCUUUUUCCUAAAAAUCCUCAAGACACUUCAUAACUUCUUCUUUAACCAAGUGCCAUUAGUUCUUAAAAACACUAAGGUUGAAGCCGUCCUGCCUAAGUGCUUUUUCUCCAUCACAACUGCAUAUAGUCUCCCACACUUCUUUGCUAGAGAAACCUUUUUCUAAAAAAUUUGAUGCCUCUUCACUCAAAUUUUUAAAUUGACAAUGAAAUUCUUUUAAAGGCAACACUUUUCUUCUUUUGUAGAAAUCAGUAAAGUACUUGGCAAUCUCACUUUUGAUACCUUCUGGCUCACUGAUGCUUAGAUUCCCCAUUUGCAGAUGUCGAAUUGUGUUGUUACGCAUUCUAAUGGAGGCCAUGGUGUGAAAAAAUCAGGUAUUACGAUCCCCAUCCAUUACCCAUUUAAGACAUGAUUUUUAUGUCAUUCCCUAUCUUCUUUUUUGUACAAACCCCAAAGUUCAGCUAUUUUGUUCAUCACAACUUGACGCUCUCCCUCUUCCACCCUUCCCUGUUGCCACUUUUCAUUAAUUUCAUGUAGCUCAACUUUUAAUUUUGUAAUUUUUUCACUUAUGUUUCCAAAUGCUUUUUUCUGCCAUUCUUUCAACACUGGCUUUAAUCCCUUGAGUUUCAUCCAUAUACCUUUUUUCCUCCCCCCACAGCCUUGCGAAGUCCUCUAGUACUCUUUCACUAACUUAUGGAAACUCUCUUCUUCCAUCCAGUGGUUGAAGAAUUUGAAAGGUCUGGGGCCCCAAUCCACUCUCCCUAGGCCCAAGAUGAUCGGGUUGUGAAAUGGAGACUGGUAAACACCUCUGGACCAGUUCGUUGUCAUUUUCCAUCAGCUUCACAUCCACCAAGAAUUAAUCAAGUCGACUAAAAGUAGGAUCCUCUAGAUUGUUACAUCAAGUGAAUUUAGAUCCGACCAGUGGUAAAUCAAACAACCCCACCUCAUUGAUGAAUUUGUUGAAUCAUGCAGCAGCUUUUCUCACAUCUCCUCUUUCAAUUCUUUCAUCUUCUAUCCUUACUGUGUUGAAAUCUCCUCCCAGUACCCAACAUAAAUCAUUACCAGUGACAAUUUGUUUUAAUUCUUCCAACAUUUCAUUUCGAUCUCUUUCAUCAUUUGGUGCAUAAAUGUUCCCAAGACCACACCUAGUAUUGCUCUUAGUAAUCACCCCAAUAAGAAUAAUGUAGUUUCUGUGACUAAUCACCUCUUCUAGCUGAAAAAAAUUUUCCUACCACAUACAUAAUAAACCUCCUACUCUACCAUCUAAACUAACAGCAUUACUCAUAAUUUUAUCUUUAACCCACAGUCUCUCAUACAUUCCUUCAUAAACAUUCUGCACUUUUGUUUCCUGUACAAAAACCAUAUUUGGCUUACAUCUGCCAAUGGCUCUCCUCAGUGCUCUCCUUUUUUUCCCCUACCUAAACCUCUGAUAUUCCAUGAUAGUAGAUUCAUAAAAAAAAAACACAACACCGAAAUUCUUACCUGACUCCCUGUUUUGGUGUUCCUUACUUCUUCCCUUCCUCUGCCUCUGCCAUUUGUUUCAAGACCUCGUUCCUCUCAGCAUCAAAUUCCAAACUUAAGCAUCUGCUUACCUCCAUAGUCUGCAAUGCCUCCUUCCAUAUGGUUUCACAUCUUGAAUCAACCCUUGAAAUUUCUCCAUGAAGUCCCUCUAAUUUCUUUUUUCGUGAUUUCACUCUAUUUUUUUUUAAUUCUUUCUUACCUUUUUUUAUUGUUUGUUUUUUUUUUUUUUUACAUUAACUUUCCCUUCCCUUAUUGCCGUUAUUUCUGUUUGUUCUGUUUCCUUUGCUCCUCCUUCUGUUUCUUGAUCCUUUAUUUUCUUUUGUCCCAUAUUGUUCUUUUUGUCCUUGCUUUCCCUCGACUUAAUUCUCCUUUGCCUUCCUUCAUCUUUCUCUUUAACUAGGUCCAUAAGCAUUAUAUCAUUUGACAUUGACAAACCCGGAUCUUUAAACUUCUGUUCCAACACCUUUCCUUGUCUUCUUAGCUUGGUUUCCACCACCCUUAACCUCUCUUCAUGGACUGAGCUUUGAGCUCCUCCACCAAAACACCUUUCUCCUUCACUAGAUUCUCUUUGUCCUAUCGUAUUAUCUUUCUCUUAAUUUUUCUUCCCCUUUCUAUUUUCCUGAUGAUUAUCAACUGAACCAACUUUUGAGCUGUCACACAAGUUGUUUCUCCUUUGUAAGCCUAAGCUUACUUUUCUCCUAUCUUGAUCUUUUGCCCCACUAGGCCCGUAAUCCAUUCUCAGGUAAUGAAGGCCCUCUCUCCCUCUUUGAAAUGCAGAAUUCCAGCCUCUCAUCUCUUCUUCUGGGCUUGUAGAACCUUCACUAGUGGCCCACUCUCUUUAUGAAACUAUACAUGUUUCCUUGCCCUUUCUUGAUGGCCUACAUGUUGCUUUUUUUGACUUUGGACUACUACUUUGUUGAUUGGCCCCACUUUCUUUUUCGUUUGACCCUAACUUCUCCUUUUCCAUUUCAAUGUGUGUGGCUUUCUUCCCCGAUUUCAAAUUUCCCUCCCUUUUCUCUUUUCCCCCCUUUGGCUUGCUCUGAACAGUCCUAUCAACUUUCUGUUGUGUUCUCUUAAGUGAAACAAGUGCAUCAUAUCUAUUUUCUAUCACCUUUCCUUGGUUUUGUUCCCUAUAAUUUAUCUGACCCAUUGAUUUCCCCUUAAGUGCCACCUCAUCAUCAUCCAUGGUGGUUGAUUUCCUCCCCAUUGUGUUAUGUUUCUCCACCCAUCAGACCUCAUUUUGCUCUAUCGGUCUUGGUUCACAACAUGCCCAUGCUUUGCAUAAGGCCUCAUCGCAGGCUUGCCUCUCCAUAUCACAUGAUUCCUCCCUAAUGAUCGAUGUUCUCAUUAUGUAUGCUUUCCCAUUCACUAUGAUCUGUUGGUUCACGGGGACAUUCUUUUUGCUCAUUAUUUCAACUUUGAUGACAGCCACAUCCAACCGACUUCUCCUUUCAGUUUCCUGGUCAACUUUAAGAAACUUUCCCCAGCAAUUACCAAUUUCUUCAAACAUUUUCAAGUUCCAUAGAUGAGUAGGAAGUUCCUCAAUUUUCACCCAUACUUGGUAUCUCCGUUCAUCUUUCUCCAUGUUGUAUGGCUUGAUGUUUUCAAACCAAACUGAGAAAAUGUCAUAAUAUUGGUCAAGCACGACUUCCAUUUCACCUUUGUUGCCAAAAGUGACUAUCACGUUGAGGCCUCCUGCUUGUCUCACAAGCACCAUAAUACCUUCCUUUUGCAAAUAACUUUGCACCUCUCUAUAACAUAUAUGACUUUCGAGAUGCCCUAAAGCACUACAUCUAAGCCAUUCAACCUCAUCCCCUGUAAUUUCAACUCUUAUUCCAUCCACCUUAUUCAAACCAAUCCCUGCCUUUGAGAUAGUUCUCCUAUUAUACCAUUAGUUACUACUUCUUUGUAUGACGACAUGCCUCUUUCUCUGAUAAGUUCUUUUAUCUUUUUUUGGACCAUUUGGUUCCUUCCUCUGCUUCCAUCCUUGGCCUUAUCAGCUUAUUUGACUAUCAGAAACCUUCCAUCCAGUUCAAUAUUUUGGCCAUACCUUAUCGCUUUUAACAGCUCAUCUUAAAAGCGAUAUCGGACAAAAGUAUAUUUUGUUUCUCUUUUUUCUAACUGUUUUGGAAUAAAGAAAUCCACAACGAUUCCAAAUCGGUCAAAAAAGUUUUUUAGGUAUUUCCAUUGCACUCUGCUGCUCACGUUAUUGACGAAAGCAGUGAAGACCCUAUUUGUCCACCUCAAAAAAUCCUAUAUUCUGUUCCUCUCUUCCCAGUUUGCCGCCCGUGUCCACCCUUCUCCCUCUCUUGCAGUCUUUCCUAAGCUACGGUAAUCUAACCAAUCUCUUACUCUCACUCUUUCUCUUCCUCAACGUCUAUUUCUCUCAACUUCUCUCUCUAAUUCUCUCUUAUGCUCUCUCAUUUUUUUUUCUUUGCCACCAUUUUUGUUACCGUCAGGCACUGUAAGUACUAAGAUUACCCUGGAUUGUUAUAGUAACAUAUUUGGAUCCUUUUCAUUUCGAACUAGCAAUUAUACAACAAUUAUAGAAUUAAUGUGGUUUGCAACCUACCUCUUCACGGUUAAGAGUCCAUUCCAGGAGCUGUCGCUUAGAUCAUUUGCAACAAUGAGUCAGUUGGAAAAUUUCCAUAACAAAACUCAUUGUUCUCAUCAAAAGAUUCAUAGAAACCUCCAAAGAAAGGCUUAUAAACAUUUUGAGAUAUUUUUAAUGGCUUUUGAUUAUAGAUUUGCCGUGGACAAAAAGAGUAGGGAGUGAACAAAAAAGAAGCCAUGAUUAAUCGUGGCUAGAUAUUAGCUUUGCAAGUUUGAUCUGUAUUUAAGAAAAAUGUUGGAGUUAAAACUUAAAACCAAUGCUGAAAAAGUUUAUUAAAAAUUGAACACAUAGCUAUCUCAACAUUUCAGUUUGACCUUGCAAACAAAUAAUUAAAUAAUAAAUAAAAACAGGUUAGCAUAUGCAGGCCAAAAAAUUGAUUUGUAAGCUAAUAGUAGUGUAAUAAAAGAAUGAAGCAAAUCCAAAACUAAUGUGCAUCUAAUUAAUUUCUUCCUUCAAAUUUUCUUUUGAUGAUUGGAAAAAUAAACUUAAAAGGAAAAAUAUAGCUUCCUAAAUCAAGUUAAAUAAACUGAGCAAACAAAACAUGAAUUUCCUUAUUAUCUUUCUUAUGUAUCUUAAGUUGCUGUAGCAGAAAGUGAAACUUACUUCAACGUAGAAUUGUGAAGAUGAACAGUGAUCAAGUUAUUAUGAAUAUAUUGUCUUAUUGUGCUCUAUUCCAAUGCCUGUGGUGUGUAAUUAUUUGAAAUUUUGGAGAACUUUGAGAGAACUCAAAUCAAAAUCAACCAUCACUUGGUUGUUCAAAUCAUCACCUUAAUUUCUCCUGGGCUAGGCAACUACAAUCCAAUUCUCACUAUGUAAACCCCAAUUUCAUGACCCUCCAUCGCCUACCUAUAUGUUAUGUAAUGUGUUGUGAGCAAGCCUAAGGCCCAAAGACAUAAGGGGUCUCAUCAGAAGAUUCUUAUGUGACUUCAACAAUAGAUAUUCCAUCUGUCCCAAAAAUAAAAAGGAUAGGCUAUAUAUAUUCCCUAGCAAUUGUCAACAGUCGGGGAUCGAAAGAUACUAACCAUAAUACUAUCUCUCCUUUCUUUCUCAUAUCCUCUCCCUCUCUAUUCUUUCCUUCUAUUCCGCCUUCGAUGAGUUCUUACUCACUUAUAAAGCAUCAGUAAAGGAAUCACAAGAAAACCUCUAAUGUUCAUUUUUUUUAGGCCCGAACGCAUCAUCUUAGCCCAGAUCAUCCAACAAGAUAAUUCACCUACAAAGACAAAUCGAAAGUAAUCUCUAAUAUUUAUUGGGAUAAUUUUUUCAACCUUUAAAGAUAGAGUAUUUUCAAAAAUAAAUUUUUUUAAUUUUAAUUAUUUUUAGCCAAGAGAAAAGAUUUUUGGACAAAAUUACCCUUAAUAAACCUUUUCAUAUUCAAGUUCUCCUAAAUUUUCUCUCCCACCAUUCGUCUGCUUUGCUCCGUAUUGUGCUAUGCUCUCAAUUUUUCUCUAUUGUCAUCCAACUUUCUCUAAUUUUACCACCAUAACUAUCUCUUUGUCUAUCUUUUGUCAUCUCGUCAUAUGAUCAAAGAGCGUGACAUGGAAGGUAACAACAAAUUCUUGGGUUUAUUAGUCUAUAUUUUGAAAACCCUCUCUCUGUCUAUCUCUUGCCAUUUCAUCGUCGAUCUAUAGACCAAAAAGCAUGGCAUGGUGGGUAACAACGGGUUCUUGGGUUUAUGGGUGUUAAGUUUCUUCAGUGAUUCAAGUCUUGUAGAACAUGCCUUAGCAUGUAAUAAAGUGAUUCAUGCUUUGGCAUGUAACAUCAGUAGAAAGAAAGAAGAUUUGGUGUGUAACAUAUGGUUCUGAAGUUUUGACCUUGGCAUGUAACAUCUGGUGUUGAAUCUUUUUUAUGAUUAUAGGAAAUGUAACAAAUAAAAUAACCUAAAAACUAAUUAUCCAAAUUUGAGAAUUUUGGAUUGUAUCUUUUUAUCUAAAUCUAUUUCAUCCCAGCCAUUUCACCCCAGUAGUAAUGUUGACAUUAAAUAAUUUUUCAAGACAUCUUCCUUUCCAUGUCAAAUUCCUUUUUGAUUAAACGUUAUCUUUAUCAUGAAUAUGUUUAACUCCAAGGGUUUAUGUUCCAUUCAAAUACAAAGAUAGAGACCACAUUACAUUUAAAAAAUGUUGUCAUUACAUGUUAGGUUAAAAAAAUGUCAUUACAGUUGAAAAAAAAAUCAUUACACACUUUAACUCCAAGAGUUUAUGCUGUAGUAAAAUAAAAAGAAGUUACAUGUUUAAAAAAUAUUAUUGUUACACGUUAUAUUAAAAAAUUUUAAGCAACACCAAAACUUUAGCACCCAAUGUUACACACCAAGGCCAAAGGUUCAACACUAGUUAUUACAUGCCAAGGUUAAAGCUUUACCACCAGAUGUUGCAUGUCAAUGUCAAAACUUCACCAUCAAAUGUUACACGCCAAGGUUAAAGCUUCAACACCAUAUAUUACAUGCCAAAGCUUCAUUCUUCCUAUUGAUGCUAAAUGCCAAGGCAUGAAUCAAUUUGUUACACACUAAGGCAUGUUCUACCAGACUUAAAUCACUGAAAAAACUUAACUCAUAAACCCAAGAACUUGUUAUUACUCACUAUGCCAUACUUUUUGGUUUGUACAUCAAUGAUGAGAUGGCAAGAGAUAGAUAGAGAGAGAGUUUUAUGAAUGUAAACCAAUAAACCCACGAAUAUGUUGUUACCUUUUAUGUCAUGCUCUUUGCUACGUAGAUCGAUGAUGAGAUGACGAAAGAUAGACAAAGAGAUAGAGAUAGUGGUAAAAUUAGAGAAAGUUGGAUGACGAGAGAGAAAAAUGGAGAGCAUAGCAGAAUAGGGAGCAUAGCAGAAUCGGACCGCUAAACGUGGUUAACUUGGGGAGUCACCACCAAUCUUUUUUUACCUAGGUGUGAUUGGUCACCUAUUAAAUUGGUUCUAUUCAACGAAAUCUUAAAUUGAUUUAAAGUCCGUCGAAAGAACGAGAAAUUGUCUAUAUUUUUUUGUCAAAGUUGAGUUCGGGAGUACAGUUACGCAUAUGGAAGGAUUAGCACCCCCGUGACGCCCGUUCCACAAAUGGUACCAUUUAAUCAUAAAUUAUCCUAACCCAUUAAUUUUAUUCUUAUGUUUCCUUAAUUGUUAUUUAUUUAUUUCAUCUUUUAUUAGAAUAUUCUAUUUCAUUUUUUACAGGUUUAACACGUAUAUUAUGCAAUUGUGAAAUGCAUGGCAUAAAAUCUGGAUAAUGCCAAACGAAAAUCCUUUAUUGAGUGUACUUUCUGAAUCCACCCAUCGUACUAGUGAGAUUCGUAAGUAUUCUCUCACCUAAGGAAAUACCUCAGCAACUCGCCUUUGCAAGUUUACUUGGUAGAUCCCAGCAUCGGGAUAGUCGUUUAUGAGUAAAAAAUAGUGUUUUCAGAAUGCAAAUCCUAAUAUGGGUAAAAGCCUCUUAUUAAAGAUAUUUCUCUGGACCUUCCCAUCGUACUAGUGGACUUCGGAGGUAUCUUUUCACCUAGGGAGUUUACCGAUGAAACUCUCAUUCGCAAGCUUUCUCGGAAAGUCCCAUCAUAGGAGCUUAUACCCGUAUAUAGAAUAUAUCUAUAUGCCAUGACAUUUAACAAUGCGACCAUGAUACGUGAUGCACUCACAAUUAUAAUGUUUGUUCCUUAUUUUAUUAUUUCUCCAUGUGAGUGUAUGCACGUUGUUUUUUANCAAACCUUCCCAUCGUACUGGUGGAGUUCGGAGGUAUCUUUUCACCUAAGGAGUUUGCCGAUGAAACUCGCCUUUGCAAGCUUUCUCGGAAAGUCCCAUCAUAGGAGCUUAUACCCGUAUAUAGAAUAUAUCUAUAUGCCAUGACAUUUAACAAUGCAACAAUGGUACGUGAUGCACUCAUAAUUUUAAUGUUUGUUCCUUAUUUUAUUAUUUCUCCAUGUGAGUGUAUGCACGUGUUUUUUAUUUACUUAUUAUCCCAUUUUUAUUUCGUUAUGUAUUUUGCUAUGCAAAUACUUAUUCAUUUCAUUAUAUGCAAAAUUUUCAAAAUUAUAUUUUUAGACCAAGUAUUUUCAUUUUAUUUAUUUUUAUUUCAUAAUUAUUAUUUGUAUAUGUAUUUUAUACAUUCCUCUUUGUGUUAUUAUUAUUGUUAACAUACUUAUUGUUAUCAUUAAUUUCUUAUUUUUUUGCAUUUUUGACCAAUUGGUAAUUGAGUAUAUGAUUUGUAUUUAAAAUUAGAAUCAUCGAAAUUCUAAAUUAGGACCUUCCCAUCAUACUGGUGAGGUCCUAAUCAAAAUUCUUAACCUAAGGAAAUCCAUUUAGAAUUGCGACUUCUCAUGUUCUGAACGGACAUCCUAUCAUCGGUAUUGAUUCUAAAGUGGUUGCUAUAUAUUUUAUAUCAUUUUUUAUUGUUAUUGUUGUUUAUUAUUAUAUUCUUAAUUAUUGUUAUUAUUAUUUUUGUUCAUUACUUUUUAUUAUUAUUAUUAUUAUUAUUAUUUAUUUUAAAACAUUCUAUAGUUUUUUUUAUUUCUAUCUAAGCUAAGCAAAUUUUUAAUUAAAUAAGCUGGAUAAGCCCUAAAUAACAAGUCCAAAUCGACAAUAAAUGGGAAAGGCCUCACCUUACUUGGGCUAGAAUGAUGGCCCAAGUUAUCUGGGCUGCACGGAGGCGUCCCAAGCCUGCUUCGUUGGUCCACUGGGCUUUCCUCCCCAAACGCACCGUUUGGGGCUCCGGAGACUCCCUCAAACGACGCCGUUUAGACUCUAAACCUGGGUAUAUAAGCCCUUUUUUUUUACCUUUUUUCUUAUUUUCACCUUUCAUUUUCUCUCUCUAGUUGGCCACUCUCUCUCUCUGCCUUCUCUCUAAAUUGACGGCAAACCUUUCUCCCUCUCUCCCUUGCUGCGACAUUGCAACUUCCUCUUUAUCUCCGUAUCCCUUUACUCCUUGUCACUGGCCGGAUUAGGAAACCAGAUUCGAGACCCCUUACGGACUGCCCUCUCUUCUCCAGCAGCCUUCCUUUGCCGCUGGCGUCCCUUCCGAUUCUCACCCUACCCACGCAAUCAACUCUCUCUUUUGCACCAAAAAUCGCCUCUCACCAAAUCUGACUAGUUUUCUCAUCUUCUUUUUUUUUUUGUUUUUGUGUUGUGUUUGUUUUGAUUUUUGAUCUUUUGUUAUUGUGGCUAGGGUAGUCUGCUGGUAGAAAACUUGAGUAUUUUGGAUUUGCACGUCUCAAUUGUUUGAAGAAAAAAAUGAGAUUUUUUGUUGAUGGAUCUAGUUUUUUUGUUUUUGCAGGAUUGAUGUUUUUUUUUUGAUCUGGCUUUCUCCGAUUUUUUCAAAAUCUGCCUACAUUUUAAAAGAUCUGGAUUGUCUAAAAUUUUGGACAAUCUCAAGAGUGCAAUCAUGUGAUUUUCGUAGGGCUCCUGGCACAAGCAAGCCCGGGGCAAGUAGUUGGAGGUGACGGGAGAGGGAGGCUGAACAAACGUUCAGUCUUUUCCCUUCUCUGUUCUUUUUUUUAAAUUUUAUUAUUUUUUAAUUUUUUUAUUAUGUUAUUUGAUUAUUUUAUUUUUAUUAUCAUUUAUUUUUUUUAAAUGGGUGUCUACAGUUGCCCCUCUUUGUACAUUCUUGAGAAUCAAGAAUAGUGCAAAGACGUAGACACCUUCUUUGGACCAAAUUAAAUAUCUUUGUUCCUUUUUUUAAUAAUCAAAAAGCUCCUCAUCUCAAAACGAGGCUAUGUAACUUAAAAAAAAUCUUGAAACUAAUUACCUGAAGGUUUUAGGAAAGGUUUUAUGAAUGUAUCCGGAGGUUUUGAAGAUGUUCCCGAAGGUUUUAGAAGAAAAGGUUGUUCCUCAUCUCAGAAUAAGGCUACAUAACUUUGAAGAAAUCUUGAAACAAAUUACCCGGAGGUUUUAGGAAUGUACCCGGAGGUUUUAGAAGAAAAACUUGUUCUCAUCUUAGAAUGAGGCUACAUAACUUUGAAGAAAUCUUGAAACCAAAUACCUAGAGGUUUUGGGAAUAUACUUGAAAGUUUUACAAAUGUUCCCGGAGGUUUUGGAAGAAAAAGUUGUUCCUCAUCUCAAAAUGAGGCCACGUAAUUUUGAAAAAAUCUUAAAACAAAUUACCCAAAGGUUUUAGGAAUGUGCCCGGAGGUCUUGAAGAUGUACCCGGAGGCUUUAAAAGAAAAAGGUUGUUCCUCAUCUCAAAAUGAGGUCAUGCAACUUUGAAGAAGUCUUAAAACUGAUUACCCGGUGGUUUUAAAGAUGUACUCGAAGGUUUUGAAAAUGCACCCAAAGGUUUUAAAAGAAAAAAGUUGUUUCUCAUCUCAAAAUGAGACCACGUAAUUUAAAUUUUCUCGUGCCAAGAUAAUAGGGCUUAGACGUGUUGGAUGCCAGCUACAGUGGGCUUAAACAUAUCGGUGCCAAUAUAACUGGGCUUAAACAUCUUGGAUGCCAGCUAAAUUGCGCUUAAACUCCUUUUGUGCCAACGUAACUGGACUUAUACAUAUUGGAUGCUACUUUAAUUGGGCUUAAAUCUCUUUGUGUCAAUAUAACUGGGCUUAAUCAUUUUGGAUGCCAGCUAAAUUGGGCUUAACUCCUUUUGUGCCAACAUAACUAGACUUAAACAUCUUGAAUGCCAACUAAAUUGAGCUUAAACUCCCUUGUGCCAAUGUAACUGGACUUACACAUCUUGGAUGCCAGUUUGAUUGGGCUUAAACUCCUUUUGUACCAACGUAACUGGACUUAUACAUCUUGGAUGCCAGUAUAACUUGGGCUUAAAUCUCUUUGUGCCAACGUAACUGGACUUAUACAUCUCGGAUGCCAGUUAAAUUGGGCUUAAAUCUCUUUGUGCCAACGUAACUGGACUUAAACAUCUUGGAUGCCGGUUAAUUGGGCUUAAAUUCUUUCAUGCCAACAAAAAUGGACUUAUACAUCUUGGAUGCCAGUUAAAUUGGGCUUAAGACUCAAAUCUUUCUUCACUUAAUUGCUUGAAAACUGCAUUAGUCUUGAUAUUCGUUUGAAAAUUUCAAUUUUGAUGAUGCAAGGUCAUGUGCUGAUUGGGCAUGUAUGCAUAAUUGAAUGAUGGACAAAUGAUGUAUUGCUUCCUUUUGUUUUGCGCCAUAUAUUCCUCACUUGAAAGAUCAUUUUUCUUGUCUUCACAUUUUUUGACGAUGUUCUUGUGCAGUAGCCAAUUUCUUCGCCUUCAAAGAACCUUUUUGUUAAUCUCGUCAUAUUAAUUUAAAUUCUUGAAACCACUUUUCUACAAUGGAUGCGAACAAAAGCUCACCAGUUCAAAUUGGAUUUCAAUGCUUCCACACUUAUUGAUCAUGAAAGCUCUUCCUUGCAUUGCUUUUUCCCAUCUCUUCUUUUUUUUUUUUUGAAAUGAAUUUUGUCUUUUUCAAAAGUGCUUGUCUGAUCUCACAAAGAUCAUAAAGACUCUCAUUUUUCUUUUUUCCUUUUUGUUUUCAAAAACAUCUUAAUUUUAACAAAAUCACAACAAAAUUGCCCCACACAAUUAUUUCCAUGAUCAAAGAUAGUUGAAUCUUGGAGCAAGAAUGUAUCAAAUCCACACUUUUCUUGCGGAAGUGAUAAAAUAUCCAAGUUUGGAAAAACAUGUGAUAUUUGAAUCUCUUAAAAAUCAGUGAUUACCAUUUAAAAUGACUCGGGUGGGUCAAGUCAUAAUUUGAUCUUUCAAAUGGAUUGAAAGGUUUAACAAAUUAAAGUCUUGCAAAAAGGUCUUGCUAUUUUAUGGGGAAAUGAAGGAUCAAUAUUUCUUCGUCCAAGCUCACAAAUGUUGCACGAUUUUCUCAAAUUUGUACUCUCUGAAAAUCAAAUUCUUUACAAAAAGACUCAUUUCGGAUUGCAAAUCAAUUUUGACACUCUCUUGUCUCAUGAUGUGUGGCAUUUUGAUAGAUGUCAAGACUAGCUUUAGAGACUUCAGAUUUGUAAGGUUAUUUUGGAAGAGAAUGGCUCAAAGUUCAGCAUUGGUUUUAUGACAAAUCUUGAAUUUUACAUUCUUGGACAUUUGAAGGGUCUCCAAUGCACUCUAGUUGCUUUGAAAUGAUCUCUAUUGUGCUUCUUAUCAGUCAAAAUCACAAGUGGUUUCAUAAGUUCCCAUUUUUGCUCUAGGUUGCCUUUUCAGGUUUUCACCCUAGAGCUCAUUUUUUUCUCUUUUCUCUUUUUUUCCCUUUUUUUUAUUCUCCUUGUCAUCUCUUUUUUCUUUUUUUCAUCGAUUGUUCCAUCAUGCACUUGAAAAAGAUUCAAACUCUAUCCAAAAUGGAUUGACGGAUUGACACGGAUCAUCAUGGCAAAGAAAAAGAGACCAAGGCCUCAUGGAUUUUAUAAUGUCUUUUUCUAGAAAAAAUCUCUUCAAUUUAAGCAUCCAUACUUGAUCAAAAUGGACUUUUUUAAAACAUGUAAUGUAGGUUAAGGUUAGGGGCUUUGAUAGAAUGGGUAAAAAGGCUCAAAACAUUAUAUUUAAGGGUGUUCAACCAAGGAUCAUUCAUGUGAAAAUCUUCUAAGACAUUUGUCUUUUCAAUUUUUCAAAGCAUAUUUUUCCAUCAAUUUUCUUUUUCUUUUUUUUUCAUCACUUUUGAUCAUCUUUUCCAAUUUUUUUUUUGAUGGGUUUAAAACUCGAAUUCUUUUGCCUUCGCCUCUUUAUACAGGGUGUUUUAUUUCUUCAAAUGAGAUCUUGUCCUCCUUGUUCUUGGACAAUAUUCUCAUACAUAUUUGCCCUUCCAAUAUGAGAGGUGAUCCUUGGUCAAGGUGUAUUUAGAAAGAAUUUGAUAGGCUCAAAGGGGUAGCAAGCGGAUAAUUUCUCAUUUGCAAAUGGGAGAAUGAAACAUGGCCACUUCUCAUAUCAAAUAUGGUUACUUGCCUUGAAGAGCAAUCCUUAGAAUGGAUGAAUAUUGAAGUUCUUUUUUUUUUCUUUCUUUGGCAUUGUUUGAAUGUCUCAAGUACAUGCUGUUACUAUCAACUUUUCUCACUAUUCUCUUAUUUUCUUUUUUUCCUUUUUUUUUUCAUACCUUCACAACUCACAGCUUGACUCAAAUUUUCUAAAAUGAAAGAUUCACUGAAGAUGCCCUUCCUCGAUCAACCACUCAAACGAAGACUUAAGCAACAACUCUAAGCAAUUAUGACCAUUUCAAAGCCUUCAGAGAUCUCAUUUCAAUCCUCAAUUUCAAAAAUUGCUCUUGUUAGCAUUUCUAAAUGAGGGAGAAACAAAGGUUAUUUUACAAGUCAGUUGUCUUGAAAGUAUUGGAAAAUUUUUCCUCUUCUAACCAUCUUGCCCCCCAAGUAUGGAUGGAGGACAACUUUAGGCAAUGGGUGGAAAGGUUCACAUUUUGGAUCAGAUUGAAAAAAGUUAAGUGGUUUUGAUGUAUUUGAAGCUCUGGCUAGUCUUGACACUUAUCAAACUACCAAAUUCAGAUUCUCUCCAAGAGUGCAAGAUUUUCUUUAUUUUUGGAAAAAUGAAUUUUACCUUGUCACAACAUUGAUCAUUACUUAGACGAAGACCAUCAUCCUUAGAUGUCAAAUGAUAAAACAAAUGAAGUUUCAGAGCUUUUGCUUAUUUUUGGAUUCUGGCCCUUGAAUGGCCUUUAUUCACUUGGUUAAGGGAUUGAGAGUGUUUAAAGGUAUGGUUUGAGAAUGUUUAUGAAAAUGAGUUCAUUUGCAAAUAGCAACCACCAAUUCUUUCGAAAUUCUUUUCACCAUUUAUUUUACAAGAACCUUUUCUUUUUCUUUUUUUUUUUAUGUAUGAUUUUGGAAACAAGUAAUAUGGGGCUUUAUUUUUAAAAUUGCUAACAUUCAAAGAACUCAUUUCUUUUUUUUUUUUAGAAAGAGAAAUAAAUAAACAAGAACCACAAGAAAUUUGAGCAAUUUUGAAACUCAAUUUGACUCAUGACAGCAUGUGAUGAUGAAAACUAAACAAUCACUCAUCUCAAAUUACAUGAUCAUGCAUGAAAGACAAAAGUCCAUAUUUCCAAGAGUUUCUACCUUCAAAGCAUGUACACAACUAGAAAAUGAUCAAGGAUUGCCCCCGAAUUGGCAUACCACUCAAUUAUUCCAAAACCCAAGCCUUGUAUCCAUCACCCUUGAUUUUUAUAGUUGUUGACAAGUUCUUUGAAUUUAGUUGGGUUUUCAUCGAUUAAACCUUGAACUUUGUUCUUGAAUGCAAUGCAAUUCUCUGUGGAAUGACCUUCAACCCCAUAAUGGUAAUCACAUUUAACAUUUGGGUUAUACCAUCUUGGGUAAGGAGAUUUCCUAGGCUUGGGAGGAAUAAUAGAGAUCUUAUAGUUUUGUACCAAUAAAGGGAAAAGCUCUACAUAGGGCAUUGGUAAUGAAUGGUACACUUUGGCUUUCUUUCUCCUGUUGCUUUGAAGGUAAUCUGGAUUAAUUUCUUGGUCAUUUGAAGUGGACAUGUAAGGUAAAGGAGCUUGUGCAAGUGAUGAUUGAGUGAAAGGUCGAGAUAGAUUAUGGACAUAUGCUGAUGGGUGUGAAUGAGCGCCCAUAAGAUCUCCUUCUAUGUCACAAAAUUUCCUUUUAUUUCUCUUUUCAAAAGCCAUUGCUUGAACUCCUUUAUCAAAAACAUCAUAUUCUCAUUUGACAAGAUCAUUUGCUCGAAAGUCUACAAUCUUUCCCUUUCUUAUUCCAUCUUCAAUCCUUCCCACGGAGAACACCAAAUCCAAAAAAUCUGAAUUAGCAUUACCCACCAAUUUGUCGUAAUAUGGAGGAGGAAGAGUAUCAAUAAAUAGAGAAUUUAAUUCUCUAUUAGUAAGGGGUGGUUGGACUUGUGAUGCUACUUCCUUCCACUUAUAAGCAUACUCCUUGAAACUUUCAAAAGGGUUUCUUUCCAUGUUUUGGAGGGUUAUUUGAUCAGGAAUUGCUCUUAGCCUAUGCAUAUAUUGUCCCAAAAAUGCUCGGGCUAAAUCUGUCCAUGUGCAAAUACGAUUUUUCUCUAGCUUGAAGUACCAUUUAACCGCAGCCCCUUUCAAACUAUUUUGAAAAAAUGAAUGAGCAAUUUCUCAUCAUGGACAUAUGGAGACAUCUUGUUGCAAUACAUGAUCAAAUGUGCUUUAGGGCAUUUGGUUCCAUCAUACUUUUCGAACUCUGGGACUUUAAACUUGGGUGGGAUAACUACAUUAGGCACCAAACUUAAUUCCUUUGCCUUAACGAAAUCAUAGAGAUCCAUUCCUUCUAUGGCUUUAAAGCGUUCUUCUAAAAGGUCAUACUUCUGUUGUACUCUCGAUUUUUCUCUUGAACUUGAUAAGUCAAGUGUAGGAACCUGAUUAGAAAAAAUUACCCUUGGAAUUUGCAUAGUUUGCCUUUGUGUCGACGACUGACUUAAUCCUUGAAAACUUGAAAAUCCUUCGAUAGUCACCUUCCUUUCAUUGGCAUUCACCAUCUCCAUUAGCUUUGUCAACUGUUUUCUAAUCUCUUCCUGGGUCUUCUCCAUCUUGUUUAUCAAAUUUGAUUGAUCAUCUCCCAUAAUUCUAGCUUGAGCCCCUGUAUUGUGCCAAUCGUAAGUGGGCUCCCUUGAACUUUUCUCUUUUCACAAUAUAUAAUGUGAAAAGCAACGAUAAUCUUGCUUCUUCUUUCAUGAAAUGUAGUAAAGUCAAGUGAUGCUACUUGCCACAAAGGAAGGUGAAUGAUGCAUGCAUGUGUAUCCAAAUCGAAGAAUGUUUGAAUGCAUGAUGGGAUGAUUAAAUGUUUGACAAUUGAUUUGAAACACAAAGACACUUGAUUAUGAAUAAUGCUCCAACACGAUUACAUUUCAAACAAACUUUCUUUUUCAUUUUUUUGAUUUUUUUUAAACAACAUCUAAGAAAAUGUCUCAAAAGUUAACAUAAUUCUUCACGAACACGAACUUACUCUUACAAGAUUCAAAAGAAGUUAAAGAUUAAAAUGUCCUAAGGUCUAAAAAACUUAAAAAAAAAUCAACACAGUCAAUCCUUCUUUCGUCUGACACUCAAUUGUACUCUCCAUAACCAUACCCCAUCAUCUUUGCUAGAUCGAACCAUUUGGCAUCUAUUAAUGUUUGCACUCGAUACUUGAAGGCGUCACAAUCUUCGAUGGAAUGUCCCAUAGCUCCACCAUGAUAAUCACAUCUUGCAUCAGACUUGAACCACUUUGGGUAUAGAGGCCACAAGGGUUCCAAAGGCACCGAGACAAUAAGAUGAUCAUGAACUAAUUGAUAAAAGAGUUCUUUGUAGGUGACAGGUAUAGGGUCAAAUUAUUUUUUCUUUUUGGAUUAUUUUUGAGGGGUGCCUAUACUAGGAGUAGGGGUGAUUGAUAAUUGUGCUCGUGGUUGGCUUUAAAAGGCCUGUUGAAAAUGAGGUCGAAAAGUGCUUGAACAGGAGUAAGAAUUUAGCCGUAAAUUGAUUUUCGUAGGUUGAAAAGUGGUGGGUGGAGAAUAUGACCUUGGUUGCAACCCAUUGCUCUGGGGUUGUGUAGCAUUUGGAGAUCCCAUCUUGGUCAUGAAACUUUUGAACUCAAUCAUUUGCAUGUUCAACUCAUCCAUCCCUUUUACAAUUUUUUUUAGACCUUGAUAUUUACUUGAGCCACUGAGCAACGUGUUGGGUUCAUCAAGGACAAAUUGAAUUUUAUUCAGAGAUUGUUUCUAGUGUGGUUUGAUUUGAAGCAAUGAGGACUCUAGAAGGUGAUUUCCUUUGGCUUCAUUGAGACAUUCAACCAUUUCCAUCAAUUUGGUUAUCUGCCCUUUGAUCUCUUGAAGGUUAUGUCUAAAUUCUUCUUGAUUGCGUUCCAAUGCACUUAUCCUUGCUUCCAAUUGAUGUUCCAUAUCGUUUAAUCCUAGCUUGGGUUCAGAUGAUGACCUAAACCAAAAUAACUUAGAAACAAAAGUUUAGAAUUUUACUAAAAAUUUUUCAAAAAGGGAUUUAUUUUCUUUCCUAUAAAGCUAACAACACUGUAGGGUUUUUCUUUAUUAGAACAAAUAUGAAAUGAUUGCAUGUAGAUGAAAAUAUGAUAUUUGCAUGUAUGCAUGAAAUGUUAUGAUGCCUUGAUGCAUGGAUGGUAUGAAAUGAAAUGGAAGACCAUAUUAUCGAAAAUCAUGUAUAGUGAGAGGUAGAAAACUUUAUUCAAAACUAAAGUCCCUUUCUUUUUGUGGUUUUUGAAGAAAAUGGAAGAAGUAAAAAAACCUUUUUAUGUUCUCUCUUCUUGCUGCUUAAAUGGAUAACCAUUUUCUUUUUCUUUUCUGUUUCACAAGAAGCAUUAUUUUCUCUUUUUACAUUCCUCAUUUAUUUUUGUAUGAGAAGAAGUUUUUCUCUCUUUUUUUCUUUUAUUUUUAUGGAUAAAAGGAACUAAAAACCUCUCUUUUUUUUUUAGAAGACCUCACUCGAAAGAAAUGCCUUUCUUUUUUUUCCUUUCUUUAUAUAUUUUUAUUUUUUUUUUCUCUUUCUCUCUUCUUUCUUUCUUUUUUUUUUCAUGAAAGAAGAAACACACUCCCUCUUUUUCAUGUUUAUCCUUUAUUUUUAGGAGAAAAUAAAAAAGCUAUUUUUCUGAGAUAUUUAAAGUAAAAGUACAGAGAAAAGUGUUCUAAAAAUAAUGAACGUAAAAAAUCUUGCUCCUCUCUUUUUUUUUUAUGGAAACAGAAAGAAAAUUUUUUUGUUUUUUUUUUUUUUUUUUUAAAAUCACUUUAACAUGUGUUACUUUUAUUUUAUCAAAAAAGGCUAUUAAGAUAGAUUUGUUCCUUCACGUGUCCUAAAUUAGGGUGUACUGCUCAUGACAAGUUCAGUAAGGUUCUGUCUAUGGGAUGGCCCCUUAUGGUUUUUUAUAUAUUGAGUUUGGUUUUGAAUGAGGCUAAAGGUUCCCAAAUUGUUCUUCACUAUCGUCCAUAUGGACUAGUAAGGCACCCCAGUCCUCACCCAUUACAAGCUUCAAACGGACUAGAUUCGAUCUGAGUGAGAGUUUUCACUAGCCCAUGCAGAGAUUAUCACCUCACGAGAGCGUAGCUACUAAACUCUCUCCUAAUAAGGACAAAACUUGGGUAGAAGGCUUAUGCAUGAAUGCAACAUGUGUUGUGUGUGUGAAGGAACAUACCAGCCUUUGACGGACAAUCUCACAUCCCUUUAUCCUAAAUGCCCCACAAUUUAAAAAAAAAAACAACAAAAAUAAAGAUCGUGAAUCAAUUAAUGCACAAAACCAUAAUGCCAAAAGAAAAUGCUCAAAUUUAAAGGAAACACUACAUUAUUUACGGCUUUAGGAUAACUUAUGAUUAAUUAUGUCUCGACUCUCUAGUGUCCCCAGUGGAGUAGCCAAGCUGUUUGUAACGUGCAGGUCCGGGAACCCGACCGCUAGACGUGGUUAACUUGGGGAGUCGCCACCAAUCUUUUUUUACCUAGUCCUCAUUACCUAUUCAAUGAAUCUUAAAUUAAUUUUAAGUCCGUCGAAAGAACAAGAAAUGGUCUACGUUUUUUUGUUAAAGUUGAGUUCGGGAGUACAGUUACGCACAGGGAAGGAUUAGUAGCCCCAUGACGCUCGUUCCACGAACGGUACCAUUUUAUCAUAUACUAUCCUAACCCAUUAAUUUUAUUCUUAUGUUUCCUUAAUUGUUAUUUAUUUAUUUAAUCUUUUAUUAGAAUAUUUUAUUUUAUUUUUUACGAGUUUAACGCGUACAUGAUGCAAUUGUGAAAUGCAUGGCAUAAAAUCUGGAUAAUGCCAAAUGAAAAUCCUUUAUUGAGUGUACUUUCUGAAUUCGCCCAUCGUACUGGUGGGAUCCGGAAGUAUUCUCUCACUUAGGGAAAUACCUCAGCAACUCGCCUUCACAAGUUUACUUGGUAGAUCCUAGCAUCGGGAUAGUCGUUUGUGAGUAAAAAACAGUGUUUUCAUGAAUGCAAAUCCUAAUACAGGUAAAAGCCUCUUAUUAAAGAUAUUUCUCUGGACCCUCCCAUCGUAUUGGUGGAGUUCGGAGGUAUCUUUUCACCUAGGGAGUUUACUGAUGAAACUCGCCUUCGCAAGUUUUCUCGGAAAGUCCCAUCAUAGGAGCUUAUACCCGUAUAUAGAAUAUAUCUAUAUGCCAUGACAUUUAACAAUGCAACCGUGAUACGUGAUGCAUUCACAAUUCUAAUGUUUGUUCCUUAUUUUAUUAUUUCUUCAUGUGAGCGUAUGUACGUGUUUUAUAUUUACUUAUUAUCCCAUUUUUAUUUCGUUAUGUAUUUUGCUAUGCAAAUACUUAUUCAUUUCAUUAUAUGAAAAUUUUCAAAAUUAUAUUUUUAGACCAAGUAUUUUCAUUUUAUUUUUUUUUAUUUCAUAAUUAUUAUUUGUAUAUGUAUUUUAUACAUUCCUCUUUGUGUUAUUAUUAUUGUUAACAUACUUAUUGUUAUCAUUAAUUCCUUAUUUUUUUGCAUUUUUGACCAAUUGGUAAUUGAGCAUAUAAUUUGUAUUUAAAAUUAGAAUCAUCGGAAUUCUAAAUUAGGACCCUCCCAUCAUACUUGUGAGGUCUUAAUCAAAAUUCUUAACCUAAGGAAAUCCACUUAGAAUUGUGACUUCUUAUGUUCUGAACGGACAUCCUAUCAUCGGUAUUAAUUCUAAAGUGGUUGCUAUAUAUUUUAUAUCAUUUAUUAUUAUUAUUGUUGUUUAUUAUUAUAUUCUUAAUUAUUGUUAUUAUUAUUUUUGUUCAUUACUUUUAUUAUUAUUAUUUAUUUUAAAACAUUCUAUAGUUUUUUUUUAUUUUUAUCUAAGUUAAGCAAAUUUUUAAUUAAAUAAACUGGAUAAGCCCUAAAUAAGAAAUUCAAAUCCACAAUAAAUGGGAAAGGCCUCACCUUGCUUAGCCUAGAAUGAUGGCCCAAGUUAUCUAGGCUGCACGGAGGCGUCCCAAUUCUGCUUGUUUGGUCCACUGGGCUUUCAUCCCCAAACGCGCCUUUUGGGGCUCUGGAGACUCCCUCAAAUGACGCCGUUUAGACUCUAAACCUAGGUAUAUAAGCCCAUUUUUUUGCCUUUUUUCUUAUUUUCACCUUUCAUUUUCUCUCUCUAACCAGCCACUCUCUCUCUCUGCCUUCUCUCUAAGCCGAUGGCAAACCUUUCUCCCUCUUUCCCCUGCCCCGACGCUACAACUUCCUCUUUAUCUCCCUAUCCCUCUACUCCUCGUCGCUGGCCAGAUUAGGAAACCAGAUUCGAGACCCCCUACGGACUACCCUCUCUUCACCGACAACCUUCCCUUGCUGCCGGCGUCCCUUCCGAUUCUCACCCUACCCACGCAAUCAACUCUUUCCUUUGCACCCAAAAUCGCCUUUCACCAUAUCUGACUAGUUUUCUCUUCUUUUUUUUUUGUUUUUGUGUUGUGUUUGUUUUGAUUUUUGAUCUUUUGUUAUUGUGGCUAGGGUAGUCUGCUGGUAGAAAACUAGGGUAUUUUGGAUUUGCAAGUCUUGGUUGUUUGAAGAAAAAAUGAGAUUUUUUGUUGAUGGAUCUAGUUUUUUUGUUUUUGCAGGAUUGGUGUUUUUUUUUUUUGAUCUGGAUUUCUCCGGUUUUUUCAAAAUCUACCUACAUUUUACAAGAUUCGGAUUGUCUAAAAUUUUGGACAGUCUCAGGAGUGCAAUCAUGUGAUUUUUGCAGGGCUCCUGGCACAAACAAGCCCAGGGCAAGUAGUUGGAGGUGACGGAGAGGGAGGCUGAACAAACAUUCAGUCUUUUCCCUUCUCUGUUCUUUUUUUUUUUUAAUUUUUUUAUUAUGUUAUUUGAUUAUUUUAUUUUUAUUAUCAUUUAUUUUUUUUAUUUUUUUAAAAUGGGUGUCUACAAAAUGACUGGCAGGAGAGAAAAUUUUAGAGCAUUUAAUUUGUUUGAAAUGGUUUUAAGGGUAUUUUUGUCAUCUCAUGGCUAAAAUUGGUUCAAAACAGUUAACUUUAUAUUGAAGGUUAUGUUUGAAAUGAGCUUAUGAGUAGCAUUGUUUCUUACAAUUUCCUCAUAUUUAUUUGUUCAGAUUGGUUGCUUCAAGACUACGCAUCACCAAUAUUACAUGGAUAAUCAUAUUAAAAUAUUAUAAUGAUUAACAAUGUAACAAGUAGAACCUAAUUGUGUCCUUAUUGUAGAAUUCACUGAACACUUGAGCUAUUACAAGUUGAUGAAAUACAUAAUUUUUUUUUAAAAAACCCUAAUUUUUGACACCUUUAAAAGUUAUAAUUGUACAUGUUUCUAACUUUUAUUUUUCUUUUUUCCCAUUAGAAAUAUAAGCAAUAUAACUAAAAUCUUAUAUCUCUUUAUAAGUGUUUUUUAUGAGAUUAUUUUUACAAAUAAAAAUUAUAAUUACAUAAUAUAACUUUUAAUAUAUACUAUAAUAUAAAAUAAAUUUAUAAAUAAACCAAAAGUUAUCCACCCAAUAAAAUAGAUCUAUAUAAUACAAUAAUAAAAUUUAUUUGGCUUGAGUUUUCAUAGCAUAACAUAAAACUAAAGACAAUUUUGAAAAUUCAAUAAAUUAAAGAUAACAUCCUAAAGCAACCAUCAUGCGAAGAAAAAAAAUCAAGACAGACACUUGCCUCCGAAAUAAAGAAAAGGAAACAACCAAUUACUAGGUAAAAUAAAAGCACCUUGACCUUGAUAAGUUGAACUUGCACUCAAACUUAUUUUCUCGAUUUGGGAUUCAAAGGAGUCCAAUGGAAACGUCAUCAACAUGAUGGUAUUUUCAUCAAGCUUGCUUGUUCGAACCCUUCAAAAACUUGAUUUUGAUCUUCUUCAGCUUAGCAACGAUGUUUUUAAUGUUAAUCCUUUCUUCUGGCAACUCUUUUGAACAUUCUAAUGCCAUUGCAAAAUAGACAAUGCACAAUCUUUUAUUGCAAAAAUGUUCUCACUCCUUGGUAGUAAUUAGCAAAUUGGCAUCUACAAUUUGAGUUAAUGCACAUGGUAAUGACUCAGUCACCCAAUGUAUUAAGCUCAUUUCUCCAACAAACAUUUCAUCUGUGGGCUUUUUUCUUGUUAAGGUUUCAAUUAGAAGAAUACCAAAACUGUACACGUCGCCUUUUAUGGAAACAACUCCUUGUGUUCCAUAUUCUACAUGCAAGUCAUUAAAAAAGCAAUCAUCAAAGUAUGCCAAGAUUUUACAUGAAUUAUCAUAAUGAAUAAAAAAAGUUUAAAAGUUAAGCAUUACCUGGUGCCAUAUACCCAAUUGUUGCUAGUGUUAUGGUUUGUACUGUUGAAUCCUCUUCACCUAAUAGCUUUGCAAUGCCAAAAUCACCCAAAUGUGCAACCAUAUCUUCAUCUAAUAGAACAUUGCUGGGUUUUAAAUCACAAUGGGCCACAAGAAUUGUCUGACCAUGAUGGAGGUAUUCUAAUGCAGAUGCCACAUCAAUCAUAAUGUUCAACCUAUGCAAAAUAUCAAGACAAUAGUUAUGAGAGUAUAACCACUUCUCGAGACUUCCAUUAGGCAUGAACUCAAGCACCAAGGCUUUAAAAUCUACAUUGCAGCAACUACUGAUGAUUUUGACUAAAUUCCGGUGGCGAAUGUUGCGCAAGACCUCACACUCAACUUCAAAGCUCUUGAAUGAUCCUUCUACCUCCAAAUUAAAGACUUUUAUGGCAAUGUUCAAUCCAUCUGAAAGAGCACCUUGGUAUAUUGAGCCAAAACUCCCCACACCAAGUAGUUUGCUUUCACAAAAACCAUUUGUGGCUUGAUGAAGCUCUUGGUAUGAAAUUCUUCUCCAAUUUGCUAAACCAAUCGAAUUUUCUUGAUCAAUUUGUUGCUUUGAAUGCUUUCUUUGGCUUUGGAAGAAGAAGACAAUUAAGGCAAGAAUUAAUAGCGUUGAGCUAACUGGCAAUAGAAUAAAUUCUAUAAGCUUAGUAGCUUUCCUUGAAUGUUUAGUAGAAUUACUUGUGCAUGGUGGGAGUUGCGGUCGAGGUGCACCACAUAGCGCUUCACUGCCCAUAAAUGAUUGAAUUGUGCAGUUGGCAAAAGGUCCUCCGUUAGGAAUUUCGCCAUGCAGUCUAUUGAAUGAGACAUUCAAAUACUCAAGAUGCAAGAGUUUUUGCAAGGACUUUGAAAUAAUUCCAGAAAAAUUAUUCCUUGACAGAUCCAAGAAUUCCAAUCCUAUCAGCCCACCAAAUAGCUCAGGUAUAGACCCAUACAAUCUGUUACCGGAUAAUGAAAGAUGAGUUAGGUCUUCAAGAUCACCAAUGCUAAUCGGAAUUUCACUUGACAACUGAUUUUCGGAAAAGUCAAUAAUUGUAACAACCUUCCAAUUUCCAAUGUCAACUGGGAGAGCCUUGCUAAGAAAAUUGGAAGACAAGUUUACUUGCAAGAUAUCUAUAAGCCGUGUGAAGGUUGAGGGAAUUGAGCCAAUCAACUUGUUGGAGUCAACAAAUAGCUCUCUAAGAGAAAUGAUAUCACCCAAGCAUGCCGGUAUUGGUCCACCCAAUUUGUUACUUGUGAGAUACAAGAAACCCAAACUCUGUAAACGGCAUAAGUCAGAUGGAAGGGAUCCUUCGAACUUAUUGUCUUCAAGGUAAAGACCUUGCAACUUUUCUAAUCUUCCGAUUGUGGUCGGAAUAGAUCCUAUCAAUUCAUUGUUAUUUAUGUUCAGGCGGAUCAAGUUGCUUAGGUUGCCAAUCUCUCCAGGAAUGUUGCCUCCAAUGUUGCAGUACGAAGCAGUGAAUAUUUGUAGGGAAGUAGAGAGAUUUCCUAUAGACUUGGGAAGUUCACCAUCGACCAAUGGAUUAGCAUCAAAUCUCAAGAACGUCAAGUUUUUGCAAUAUGCUAAGGAUGAGAGAAAGCUGAUUUCUGGGGUCGAAGGUGUGCUAGCUAAAGUAUUAUUUUCUAGCUUGAGCUGUUUCAGAUGUCUUAGAUUUCCGAGAUCAUUGGGAAUAUAUACAGAAAAUGAAUUAUAUGACAAGUCCAGGUCUGUUAGCUUAGAGGCAUUGGAGAUGGAGGUAGGUAUUGUUCCACUGAAUGCAUUUAUAUCAAGAAAAAGCCGUUCAAGUUUUGGAAGCCAACGUCCUGUGCUCCACGGAAGACAACCUGAGAGAUGGUUUAAAGAGAGUGAAAUGACCCUUACAGUUGAGCUAUUAAAGAUAGCAUGAGGGACAUGUCCGGAGAUACUGUUAUUUGCCAAGUUCAAAUAGUCCAAAUUUGGCAGGUUGCCUAUCUCGAGUGGUAUUUUACCUGCCACAAAAUCAGAAGUCAUUUGGAUUUGUUCAUGUGAUCCAGAAGUAAAUAACAAAAUUACUGAUAAAAAUUGUACACACAUCUCUAGUUUUAUAUUUUAUAUUAUAGACACAUAUAACAAAGAGUCAAACAAUAUUAUUCAAAUAUUUACAACAUUUGCAGCUUUACAGAAGCUUAACAUACAUAAGAAAAAAUGUAACUUAUUUACUGUCAAUUUUUUAAUGGAAAAAUCAAUUGCUUUUUGAAAGUUUAAAUUACCUAUCUGUUAAGGAACUUCCCUUGUAUAAUGAAAUUGAUCCCUUAAUUGUUUCAAAUUUAGCAACAACUUAUAAAGCCCAUUUGUUUGUCAAACGGAACGAUCAAAAUUAUUAAACAAAGUUUUGGAAUUUAGAUAAUACAAAGCAAUAUAAUCUUGCACUUUGUAGCUAAUUUAUUAUAAUUUUGGCAUAAUUCUCCAAUAAGCCCUUAAACUAUUCAAGAAUAUUUAAAAAAACCCUUAUUCUUUUAUUACGUCCAAUCAAGCUCCUAUAUUUUUAUUUUAGAUCAAAUAAACCCUUAUAACGAAUGAUUGAUUAAUUGCCAUUAGUAAAAAUGUCACUUGUCAUUUUAUAUCCACACGACACUGACAUGACAUUGAUACAGAGGGUGAAAUAUACCACAUGGUCAUAUUUUCAUGUCAAAUUAACAUGUCAUAUCAUCAUCAAUUAUGAUAUGUUAACAUAUUACAUCAUUAUCAAUUAUUAUAUUUUAGCAUAUCACAUCAGUGCACAUGGUAUAGAAUUACAAAUGACAUUUUAAUUAAUUCAAAUCAUUAGUCAUAAGGACUUAUUUAACUGAAAAUAAAAGUUGAAGGGCUUAUCUGGCUCAAAAUAAAAGUACAAGAGUUUGACUGAAUGCAAUAAAAGAAUAAAGGCUUAUUUGAAUUUUCUUGAAUAAUUUAGGGGUUUUUUUGUAUAUUAUGUCUAUAAUUUUUUUAUUUAUACAAUAUAAUGAAAUUAUAUUAGAAAACGUUGGAAAAAAAUAACAUAUAUAGAUAAGUAGAUAAUACAUUUGAAUUUUGGGUUGAAUGAUUCAUCAACAAAAUAGAAAUACAAUACUUGAUUAUAAAAGAAAACGGAAAUUAAAAAAAGGUGAAGGUCAAUGUUAAAAUUUAAUUUAAAUAAAAAACCAUGAGAUUAAAUAAAGAGUGUGACACUAUUACCAAAAGCUAAAAAAAUAUUAAAAAAAGAAAGAUGUGGAAAAUCCAGAUAAUAUCAUAAGACCAAAAAGAGGUAAAAUAUUAAAACAUGAGAAUUUGAUGAAUAAACUACUUGUUACAAUAAUUAGUUGAUGCAAUAUACUUAGAGCAAUUAGUAUUUACAAUUAAAUAUUUGAGAAAAUCUAUAAACUAAACAGUGAUAGUGAGUUUAAUAGAAAAAAGAAUAAGGUUGAAAGCAAAAUGAAAUUCAGAAAAAAUAGCUAUAUAACUAUAUUUAUUUAUUAUUUUUAAAGGAUCCAUAGGGAUCGAAAUUUACAAAUUUAAGGACAUUUUCAUCUUAUUUUGUCCAUUCCUCUUCCCCCUAAUCCCAUAAUUGCAAUGGACAAAAAAAGAAAGAAAGAAAAUUCUUGGGUUUCGAUGUAUGAAAUGAAGACUAUAAUAAGAGUGUGAAUAAUAAUAUUUAUUCACAUAUUAAAAUUUUGCAGCUAUAUAAAAACUGAACACAGAUAAAUAAGAAUGUGAUAUAUUACCUGUCAAAUAAUUGAAGCUAACAUCAAGUACUUUCAGAAGUGUUAGGUUACCAAUGGUGGAAGGAAUAGGCCCUAUUAGCUGACAUCGUUCAAAAGCUAUUUGCUCCAAAUUCAGCAGAGGACUAAUUUGUGGUGGAAUUUUACCUGCAUAAUGAAAAUUUAUUUCAUUUCAAAACAAUUGCAACAAAUAAGGCCAAUUUCAUUUCUCUAAUACAAUAAUAAGGCCGGCCAUUUCUUUUUUAAGCACGGAAGAAUUGAACAAUUAGAUAAGACAAAGGCAUAAAGCAAUUACUUGUAUUUUUCAAUAAAAAAUUUUACAUUGUUUUGGUUUGGCUGUAAAAUAAUGUAUGGUGUUAGCUAAAGUGGCUUCCUAAUUUAGCCAAAUUGGUAGUGGAAAACCAGUCUUCACCAGCAUCAAACCUUAUACUUUACAUCAAAAGGAAAAAGGAUAAAAUAUACAUAAACUAAAAAGUGAUUGUACUGAAUCUAAUGGAAGAAGUAAUAAGGAAUUUAAAGAAUUACAAGAAUAAAAAAGGUGACAUUGUUAAAAAAAGAAAGUAAAAUAUUGUACGCCUAAAAAAAGCCAACCAAAAAGGGAGAAAAAGGACUAGAAAUAUGCUAAAAAUGCGUCUCAAUGUUUAUUUUACUUUUACCUUUGAGGUUGUUGCGUCCAAGUAAAAGGAUCCUAAGCAUAGUCAAGUUUCCUAUUUCUUCUGGUAUAACCCCUUCCAAAUAAUUAACAGAUAAGGAUAGUUGCUCUAACUCUUGGCACUUGAAUAAAUUCAUUGGAAUUGGGCCAGAAAGGAGAUUAACACUCAAAGUAAGCAAAUUUAAUCUAGGUAAAUGAUCAAACAUAUCUGAUGGGAUACGACUAGUGAGAUUGUUAUACGACAAAUCAAUUCUUCGCAGGGAAGACAUGUUGAAUGGGAUGGAAGGUAUGGAACCACUUAGCUGGUUUCUUGCGAGAACAAUCUCUACCAAUGAAGAUAUGUUGAAGACUGAGGAAGGUAAGGAGCUUGAAAACUGAUUGUCGUGCAAAUAUAAAUAUCUCAAGCUAGGAAGAUUUCCGAUUUCCACAGGGAUAACUCCCAUAAAGUUAUUACAGCUUAAAUCCAAAAUUUGAAGUUUAACGAAAGAACCAAACCAAGAUGAGAUUUUUCCUUCGAAAUGAUUGUUAGACAAGAUUAGAAAUUUCAACCGACGCAAAUUAGCCAACUCGACGGGCAACGAGCGAUGAAAAUAGUUGCCCCCAAUAUCAAGGGAAACAACAAAAGACAGAUUUCCCAUGUUUGGUGGUAUGGUUCCAGAGAGAUUCAUGCGAAAUAGAUCCAGAGCAAUGACUCUGUGGUGUCGAGAUCCGCAAGUGACACCAACCCAAUUGCAAAUAGAUGUAGCAGUUGACCAGUUGGCGGCCAAAAACUCACUGUUGACACGGGCUUUUAGUGCAAGAAGAGCCAACUGGUCUGUGCUGAUGUUGGCUGUUGAUUUCAUAGAGAAUGAAACCCCAAAAUUAGACCGCAUCACUACUGCCAUAAUAGCGAAAAUGAACCGAGUGUUUCCCAUGAAGUUACGUAGAAGUGAAAGGAAAAUUUUUUAAAGAUGAACGGGAAAGAUGAUGUUUCGUUCUCAAUAUAUAGAAGGAAAAUUGUGAUGGGACUUAUUUCCACGUGCAACUGGCCAAUGCAUCCUUAUUUUCAAAUACUUUAUAUAUUUUUAAUUAUUUUAUCUAAUUUUAUCAGCGAAUUUGGUAUUUUUUAGCUCAUGAUACCAACUUAAAUAGUAGUUUUAUUUUAUUCAACUUCAAUAGUAGUUUUAACUAGUAUAAAUACAUAUAUUAAUCAUUAUUUAUUCAACUAAUAUGUUUUCAUUUUAUAAAUAUUUCACUGUCAAAAAAUAAGUACAUCAUUUUUAAAAAAAAAUUGAGAUACGGUCAAAAUUUAUUACUUUAUUUAAGGUGAUGAAUCAAAUUUACAAACCAACUUUAAACGCCCAAUAGCUUUUUGAGCGAUAAUUGUUUUUGGUAACUGUACAGGUUUCCUUUCUUCAUACUAGGUCUCUAUGCAAUGAAAAGUCUCUUGCCAAUUAAGUAAGAGACUUAGAAUGACAUAUUGGUUCUUGAGACUAAUAAAUAUAAUUUUUUUUAAAAAAAAACAACUUUAAACUAGUAUGAUGCAAUUUUAACCUGAACUCCUAAUUUGGUUAUAAAUAGUAAAAAGAAAUUCCGCUAAAAAAUAAAAAUAUUUUACAAUUUACUAUUAAUUUAUUACCAUUAUUUUUAAACCAAAUUAAAAGUACUAUGCUUAAAAUUAUACUUCUAAUAACAAGUUAAUUAUUUUUUUUCCUGAUAUAUCAUUUGUUCAAUUGGCCAACAAAAGGCCAUGUAACUUACCACGUUAGAUAAAAAAUAGUCACAUCAUCGAUUAAAUAGUCCGUAUCAUUAAUUUUUUUUAAAAAAACAUGGUGUUUUUAUUCUCUUCAUUACCAUUAUGCCAUCUUCAAGUCCACAUCCUUAAUUUAAUGAUGCUUUAUUGAUGGAAGGAUCCAAUUGAACAUUUAAUAUAAGUAUUUGAGUCUCUUUCAUCCAGGUUUUGUAAGUUCUAUGACUGGCAUUUAUUUUUGGUUAUGUGCCAGUCUCUUAAUUCAAAGGAAUGAUGAAAGCUUAGUUUUAGACUUAUAGCUGGGCUUUUGUCCUUUUGUUGCUCAGGCUUCAUGAGUAAAGGGUGGAGAGUUCUUUUUGAUGUUUUGCUUAAUUUAGGAAUGAGAAAUUGCUAAUAUUUUUUUGAGAGGUGGUAUGAAGUGUUAAUGUUCAAUGAAAGGAAGCACAGACGAGAUUUAAAUGCCAAAGAAGUCUUUAGCAUGGAGACUUCAGUUGGCAUUGGAUUCUAGUGCUAAUAAAAUUGCUUUUUUUAAAAAAAAAAAUUAAUAUAAGUACAAUAAUUUAUCAAAAGAAAAUUAAAAUGAACCAAAAUCCCUACUUUAAUAAAGUAUAAGAACCAAAUCUGUACUUUAACCCUUUCAUUCUUAUUCUUUCAGAGCAUAACAAAAAAUGAUUAAAAAGACCAUUUUUAUUAUGUCAUCCAUAAAUUUUAUAAAUUACAAUACAACAUGCAAUUAAAAAUUAUUACAAAUUCAGCGUACAAAAUCUGAUUUUAUGCAUGCUCACAUAAUAACUUUUGGUUACUUAUCACAUUAAGCUGAUAUAUGUGGUGAGAAAAACCUGUCUAAUAAUUUAUAAAUUCUUAUUAAUAUAUGACUGAUGCUGAUGUAAUUUUAAUUAAGCAUUCAACCCAAGAGGAAGAAAUGAAAAGGGGAAUGAAGAGGGACAAUUCAUAAAGGAAAUUAAAAAAGAUGGACAAAUUGCCGUGGUAGAAAGGAAAGGCAUGAAGCGUGUUGACUGUUGUAUGCAUGCAUGUUAAAAUUGUACUAUAAAGACUUGUCUGCAGAUACCCUUAACGUGAGUUAAGGGCCAUUGUAUAGCUUUUAGGGGUGAAGAGUGAAGACUACAUCCACUAUUUACUGUCCUUGAAUAACGUAUAAUUAGGGGAUUCAAUCUGUGCUCUUACAUGCUGAAGUUAAAAAAAAAAAUUAUUUAAGUAUUUAAUUUAAUAAUAAAUAUAUAAACAAGAAACACAGUAAAGAGAGAAGUGCACAGAGCCUAGUGGUGUAAAUAAGAGAUUACUGCAUCGUUACAGAGCACUAGGCUCUGUGCACUUCUCUCUUUACUGUGUUUUUUGUUUACAUAGUUAUUAUUAAAUUAAAUACUUAAAUAAUUAUAAUAGUGAAGCUUAUUAAUGCAGCUGAUAUAUGUCAUUAGAAGAACCUAUCUAAUAAUUUAUGGAUGCUUAUUGAUGUAUAUGACUCAGCUGAUGUAAUUUUUAAACAUUGAAAGCAAGAGGAAGAAAUGAAAAGGUAGUCACAGAAGAUGAAGAGGGGCAGUUAAUUGAUCAGAGUUUCCUAUAAGGGUUUUUUUUACCAGUGAGAAAGAUGAAUUAUUUGUUAUUAGUUCAUAACUAAUCAAAACCAACGUUUUUGUCACUCUCCUAUCUAGCUAGCCAAAUUUCUUCUUAAUUGUGAUGGGACCUAUUCCCACAUGCUCCCCACCGCCCUUCUAUGUUGAAGAGAGAAUUUCAUAGAGCAAUUUUCGUGUUUUCUAAUUUAUUUGCAUUGAUACAUAUCUAUAUCUAAAGGGGUAAACAUAUAAUAUUACUAAUAAAUUAAUUGGAGUAUCAAUUUAGAUAACAUAAUUUUGAGUAUAGAAAUGCUUUUCGGCAAAAAUUUUAUAGUCCAUGAACUUAAACAAUAUUAAAUUAGAGUCCAGGAACAAUUAGAACACUAAUUCCACAUAAUACCACAUAUAAAUGUGAAAUUGUAGAUCCAAGGAUUUUUCAACUAAUUCCUUUGUAUUCAGUCAAGGAAUUUUUUUCGUCUAAUUCUUGUUCGCUGGUGAAAAUUGUAGACACAUCCCUCUCAUCUACCCUCAUCCAUUCAGUCAUCGUCAUCGUGUUGCUGGUGAAAUUGUAGACACAUCCCUCUCAUUUACCUUCAUGCAUUCAGUCAUGGUCAUCGAUCAGAAGAGUUAAUUAAGUCAUCUCAAUUGCUGGUAAAUAAUAAUUGCAGCGAGUUGUGCACGGAGAAGUUAUUGCAGUUGGCCAUGUGACCCUUCAAAUCGACGAGCUACUCGGUUUUUCUUGUAACGUGCUUUCGAAUUCUCAUCUAGUCAUUAUUCCUCAAUUGACUAUCUUUCUUUCUAAUGUGGGAUUCACACUUCCAAUUUGAAUGUGUAGGACAUUCCUCGACUUUCAGUUGCUUUUCCAUAUUAAUUGACAAAUGAUACUUGAAUAACAUAGUCCAUAUGGGACAUCCUAGUUGUCAAUUGCUCUGCCUAAACUUGAAGACCCCGAAACUCGUUUACUGUUUUGGCUGGUUACGAUCAUUAAGAUCACAACCAUCUAAAGGUUCACCAAGAAUAAUUGUAGCGAGUUGUGCACGGCGAAGUUAUUGCAGUUGGCCAUGUGUCCCUUCAAAUAGACAAGCUGCUAGUUUUUAUUGUAACGUGCUUUCCAAUUCCCAUCUAGUCGUUAUUACUCAAUUGACUAUCUUUCUUUUUUAAAGUGGGAUUCACACUUCCAAUUUGAAUAUGUAGGACAUUCCCCGACUUUCAAUUGCUUUUCCAUAUUAAUUGACAAAUGAUACUUGAAUAACAUAGUCCAUAUGGGACAUCGAUCCUAGUUGUCAAUUGCGAUGCCCAAACUUGAAGACCCCGAAACUCGUUUACUGUUUUGGCUGGUUAAGAUCACUACUAACUUCCCAAUUCCAUGAUUAAGAUCACAACUAUGCAAAGGUCCACCAAGAUUUGGAUCCUGAAUCCGGCUGGUCCCAUUGGGCGUCCUCUUUUAAAAUUUAAAUUUGAUCUCGAUUUUACCUAUAAAUAAUGCCAAGAGAUUUAACUUAAAUGGACAAUAUUCAAAGUAAAUAAUAAUUUUAAUUUAAUAUAAUUUACAUCUAAAUUUAAAUAUAUAUAAUUCACUCUUUUGUUUAGUCUACUAAGCAAUUUAGUCUGCUAAACUACUUAACCUAGUCUGAACUCAUGAGUCGUGAUAUAAUAGAUAUUUAUACAUAUAUUCAUAACAUAAUUAAAUUUAGAGUAAAAUACUUUGUCAGUCCUAACAUUUAAUCAUAAUUACACACAGGUCCGUUAGUUUGUAAAAUGGACACUUAGCCCUAAACAGUAAACAACAUUAAUAUUUAAAUUAAAAAGUCUAAAAUAUCAUUCUUUUUUUUUUUACUUUUUUUAUGUCGACUGACGACGUUCCUUACUCGACCGGCUACCUUGUGGCUGAAUCUGGCUCAGAUCCGACUGGAUUUCUCAAGGACCACCAAAUCUAGUGCUCCCAAGACCACCAACAUUGGUGCUUCCCAGGGAGCACCGUUCCAAGGAGCAUUUGUGCUCCCUAGGGAACACUCAAAUGGUGCUCCCUUAGGAGCACCACCCGGGGGGAGGGAGAUCAAGCCGGAGCUGGAUCUGGCACUCCCUAACCGAAGCUGGAUCUGACGCUCCAGCUUAGGGGAUAGAUUUUUUUUAAUAAGAAAAAAUAAAAAAUAAAAAAAUUAUAGUUUAUAUAAUGUGCUAAUUUUAAAAAUUGAUGAAAGGUAAAAUUAUCUUUUCAAUAGUAUCAUGUCAUCAAACCAACGAAAAUAUUAAUAGUAGACUAACAGCUGGACUUAUGUGUCCAGCGAAAAAUAUUCUUUUGGGACAGACUGUCCAUUUUAAAAACUUAUAGACCUGCAUGGAAUUAUGACUAAAAGUUAAGGAAUAAGGAUAUUUUACCCUUAUAUUUAUUCCAUUUAUCAUUUACACAAUGAUUAGUCAAAUGCUUCCUUAAAUGAAACUAUUAAGUCAAUAUUUAAAUGGAGACAGAAGCACUAGCAGGAGAAAAAGCAAGAUUGUGAAAAAUAGGGAAGGUUUAGGUGCAAGGCGGCAUACACUUACCGGCUAGAUAAGAGCAUGGGCAAAACUUUGAUUCUUACCCUUAAGUAGAAAGAAAUUUUUGGUUUUUAGAGUACAAAUAUACAAAGGUUAACCAAGAUUUGGAUCUUGAUUCAGGAUGGUCCUAUUGGGCCUCCUCUUUUAAAAGCCAACUUCAAUUUCGGUCCUGUCUAUCUAUUUGUUAGUUAUUUUAUUAUUAAAAUAAUAAAAUAGUAUUUUAUAUUAAUAUGUUAAUAUUUUAAAAUUUAAAAUAAAAUAAUAUUAUAACUUAAUUGAGCUCAUACCUAAAAAUCCAUGCCUAAGCCUAAUCCGAAUCAGGUCAAAGUCCAUGAAUCUGGACAAGUAACUCAAUCCUUAAACAUCUCUAAAAAUUGCAUUUUUUUUUUAUAAUUAGGGUAAGGGGGAUUCAAACCAUACUCUUUAGGCAAGAGAAAGUUGUUUUUGUACAUGUUUCUAACUUUUAUUUUUCUUUUAAUAUAAACUAAAUCUUAUAUCUCUAUUACUCUAUAAGUGUUUUUUUAUGAGAUUAUAUUUACAAGUAAAAAAUUAUAAUUGCAUCAAAUAACUACUAAUAUAUACUAUAAAAUAAAAAAAUUAAUAAUAAAGUAAAAGAUUUUGACCCAUGAAAUAGAUUUAUAUAAUAUAGUAAUAAAAUUUAUUUGGACUGGGUUAUCAUAGCAUAACAUAAAACCAAGACAGUUUUGAAAAUUCAAUAAAUUAAAGACAACAUCCAAAAGCAAUCAGCUCAUGUAGAAAAGAAAAUUAAGACAAACACUUGCCUCUAAAAUAAAGUAAAAGGAAACAACAGAUUAUUGGAUAAAAUAAAAGCACCUUGACAUUGAGGUACAAUUGAACCUGCACUCGAACUUCAUUUUCUCGAUUUGGGGUUCAAAGGAGUUAAAUGGAAACGCCAGCAACAUGAUGCUAUUUUCAUCAAGCCCACCUGUUCGAAUCCUUCAAAAACUUAGUUUUGAACUUCUUCAGCUUAGCAACAACAUUUUUCAUGUCAAUCCUCUCUUUUGGCAACUCUUUUGAACAUUCUAACGCCAAUUGCAAAACAGACAAUGCACAAUCUUUUAUUGCACAAUGUUCUCACUCUUUUUAACUGAUUAGCAAAUUGGCAUCCAUAACUUCUAUUAAUUCAGAUGGUAAUAACUCGGUCACCCAAUGUUUUAAGCUCAUUUCUCCAACAAACAUUUCAUUCAUGGGCUUUUUUCUUGUUAAGGUUUCAAUUAGAAGAAUGCCAAAAUUGUACAUAGCACCUUUUAAUAUGAAACAACUCCUUGUGUUCCGUAUUCUACAUGUAAGUCAUUACAACCAUCAUCAAAGUAUGUAAUGAUUUCAUAUGAAUUAUUAUAAUGGAUGAGAAAAGGUUUAAAGUUUAAGCAUUACAUGGUGCCAUUUACCCAAUUUUUGCUAGUGUUAUGGUUUGUAUUGUUGAAUCCUCCUCAUCACCUAUCAACUUUGCAAUAUCAAAAUCACCCAAAUGUGCAACCAUAGCUUCAUCUAAUAGAAAAUUGAUGGGUUUUAAAUUACAAUGAGCCAUAGGAAUUGGCUGACCAUGAUGGAGGUAUUCCUAAUGCAAAGGCCACAUCAAUCAUAAUGUUCAACCUAUGCAAGAUAUCAAGAAAAGAGUUAUGAGAAUACAACCACUUCUCAAGGCUUCCAUUAGGCAUGAACUCAAGCACCAAAGCUUUAAAAUCAACAUUGCAUUAACUACUGAUGAUUUUGACUAAAUUUCAGGGUGAAUGUUGCACAAGACCUCACACUCAACGUCAAAGCUCUUAAAUGCGUUCAUCUGAAAGAGUACCUUGGUAUACCAAGCCAAAAUUUCUUGCACCAAGUAAUUUGCUUUCACAAAAAUCAUUUGUGGCCUGAUGAAGCUCUUGGUAUGAAAUUCUUCUCCUCUUUGCAAAAACAUUCGAAUUUUCUUGAUCAGUUUUUUGCUUUGGAUGCCUUUUUUGUCUUUGCAAGAAAAAGACAAUUAAGGCUAGUAUUAAUAGCAUCGAGCCAACUGGCAAUAAAAUAAAAUUAUAAACUUAAUAGCUUUCCUUGAAUGUUUAGUGGAAUUAGUUUUGCAUGGUGGGAGUUACAGUUGAGGUGCACCACAUAGCUCUUUGUUCCCCAUAAACGAUUUAAUUGAGUAGUUGGCAAAAGGUCCUUCGUCAAGAAUUUCUCCGCGUAGUCUAUUGAAGGAGACAUUCAAAUACUCAAGAUGCAAGAGUUUUUGCAAGGACUUUGGAAUAAUUCUAGAGAAAUUAUUCCUUGAUAGAUCCAGGAAUUGCAAUCCUAUUAGCCCACUAAAUAACUUAGGUAUAGACCCAUACAAUCUGUUACUGGAUAAUGAAAGAUAAGUUAGGUCUUCAAGAUCACCAAUACUACUAGGAAUUUCAAUUGAUAAUUAAUUUUUGGAAAAAUCAAUCCUAGUAACAACCUUCCACUUUCCAAUGUCAAUUAGGAGAGCGCCGCUGAGAAAAUUGGAAGACAAGUUAGUUGUAAGAUAUCUAUAAGCCUUGUGAAGGUUGAGGUAUUGAGUUUGCAAACUUAUUGGAGCCCAAAUAUCAAUGGUGUUGUGUGCUUUGCUUGUGUGAUGUGAAAUGUGCUUAAAAUUAAAUGUAAAAUACAAGCAAAGACUACGUGCAAGUGUACACAAUCGCAACGAGUAAUAAAGUGGUCAAUAAAGUGUCGGUCCGUCGAGGAACUAUCUCUAAUUCUAUUGUUAAAUACCAAUUUCAAACUAAACUAAUUCUAUCCAAGAGUUGAUAAUUGAGAAGUGGUGAAAAUGAAAUCUAAUCACUAAAAUUAAUCUAGAAAUGCAAGUAAAUUGAAUUGGAAAUGAUGGAGAAAGACCUAGGAUUGUGGUUUAAACUAAUGCUUCAUUUGGACUUAAGAUUAACUAACUAUUUACUUUUAUGAAAAACUAAUGCUAGCCUAGGAUCUUUAAGCAUAUACGAUUCUCUGUGGAGAUAUCGUACAAUGGCCUAACUUAAUUUAAUUCUCUAUAUAUCUAUAGCUAUUUAAUUAAGCGAAGUUCCUUAAGUAUAGGUCCUAUAAAUUGAUUGCAUAUGAUUAAUAGGUGUUUGUCUAUCCUAUUAACAAAUCACCCUAUUAAUUUCUACUUGCAAUGAUCAUAUACUAUCCAAACCAUGGUCUUUUAAGCUAACUUUGUCAAGUCAUAUCUAAAAACCCAAACAUAUCCUAUUGGGGAUCAGUCAAUAAAAUGGGAAAUAGUGUAGAUUUGAAUAAACAUUAGAUAUUCCAUAAAAACAAGUAAUAGUCAAUCAAGCAUCCAAACUAUCCAUUCAUCUCUACCAUAAUCCUAUAAAGGAUAGUUUAGCCUAACAUUUCCAUUGCCCACAACAAAAUUUCAGCAAAAUAAAGCAUUUAUACAAAGAGAUUUAGAGACAGAACAAUAAAGCUAGUGAGAGAAAAUUCUUUUAGUGUAGCUUUGUCAAGCUUCUUUUUAAGAAUUCCUCUCCUUUUCUCCUAGUAGAAAGGUUUGUUGGCUCCAUUAGUUUUUGAUGAUAAUAAAACAUUUCCACUCAUUUAUGUCUAACUUUAUUACUUGAGUGUGCAGGACAAAAAUGUAUGUCAAUAAUAAAUCAUUGAAAAGUUGAUAUCAAAACUCAUAAGAAUAAGGAGUUACAAAUGAGCCACAAAACAGAAACCACUUAGUUGGAUAAAGAAAGGAGUUAGUCAACUAAAACUCAAAAAUGAAGAUGGGCCAGUUUAAAAACAGAGACAACUUAAUCGACUAAGAAAUAUUGUUAGUCGACUAAGAGCUUAUUGCCAGAAACUAGGUUCAGAGACAAAGACAACUUAAUCGACUAAGAAGUAUUGUUAGUCGACUAAGUGCUUAUUACCAGAAACUGGAAACAGAAGACAGAGACACUUAAUCGACUAAGAAGCAUAGUUAGUCGACUAAGAGCACUCUGUUAGAAAAUUUGAAUUUAAUGCUAGAAGACAGAAACUAUUUACCAAUGGUCAGAAACUAUCAAACAUCCAUCAAAGGUGGUUCUUCAAGUAUAAAAACCCUCCCCAAUGGCUAAAGACAAGAUUAGAUGCUUCCAAGAACAAAAAGAGCUCAAAAAUAGCAAAAACUCUCUGCAUACUUUCUACAUUUCACUCCUAUCCUUGUAAUAGAGUUAAACACUUCAUCUUGUACCAUUCAGAUUAGGUUAGUGAUCAUAGGUACAUCUUUAUUAUUGUUCUCCUUGUUUACUUAGAGUGUGCGAGUCACUCUAAGGGGAUUAAUCAAGCUUAGGUUGCUUGAAUGGUUGUAUAGGUUCUAACUUAGCCUAAAAAAGUUAGUUUUGGGUUUUGGUUGAUCUUGAAAAAAACUAUUAUUAAAGGUUGUGACUGAGCCUGUGAAAAGCUAUUGUAAAAGCUUGGUGGGAGCUUGGGAAUUCCACCGUUUAUAGUGAAUUGGUUUAGAAAAUCCUUAAUUGAACAAUCAAGCUAAUGGAUGUAAGUUUUUGACCGAACCACUAUAAAUCUUUGUGUAUUGUCUCCUCUAUUUUAGUUUUCAUUUUCAUUUUUUCUUAAAUCAUUCCUUCAUCUUGCAUCAAACUUCUCAUUAUUGACCUUCAACUUGCCCUCAAUUAGAAAUCAAGUUUAGUGAGAGCCAAAAAGUGUUAUUCACCCCCCCCCCCCCCCCUCUAGCACAUUUAUUUAGACCCAACAAGGUUCCCUUUUUCCUCUUUUUUCCUCUUCAAAAACUCUAUUUUCUUAGCUCAAAAACAUAAAUUUGUACCCCUCACUUUUAGCCCUAGCCAUAAAAACUCAUGCAAAAAUUUCUCAUUAAAUGUGUGUUUUGGCUACAGCCAAAAUGGAUUCUCAAUAUAGCCAAAAUGGAUUCUCAUUGUAGCGAGAAAGUCUCUAACUUGAAGUUUUAAGGAUGGCUGAAAUUCUUGUUGCAGCCAAAAUGGGAUUUCGUUAUAGCGAGAAACUUGCUGUCUUGCACUAUGCAAUCUGUUACAGUCAGUCAACUUUCUUUGUAUUUUUUACCAUGAUCCUUUUUAAACUGGGUUAAGUGCUAAAUAUCAAAGUUGUAACUCUUCCUCUUAGCUUUCCAUAGUUCUAAGAAUUGUGAUUGGAGUUUUGUAGCUCAAGAUAUGCUCUGAUUACUGCAGCAUGGUUUGAGGUCAACUUAAGCAAAAGUGCAUAAUCCUUUGCAAAUUUGACUUCCAAGCUCUUUGGCACCUUCAUUAACAUAUAGCAUAAUCAAUAGAAGGUACAAACAAGACUUAAUAACAUGAAAAUAAACUCAAAUUACUUAAUUAAACUAUUAAAGCAUGCAUAAACUAAAUACUAAGAAAAAUUAUAAAAACAUCAAAGGCCUAAAUUAAUUAAAAACAAGAGGAUGUUAGUCAUUUUUAAGCUCAAAAGAAUGCAAGACAACUCUAUAAAAUAGAGUUUUCAGAUGGCGCAUUAUGAAUCCCAAAAAUUUACCAAAAGAUACUUUAAAGGCACACUUUAAGGGAUUCAUCUUCAAUUAAUAUAGAUGCAAUUGUUCUCUAGAAAAGAUACAUAGAAACCUCUAGAAAAAGGCCUAUAAACAUUUUAAGAUAUUUUUAAUGGCUUUUGAUCAUAGAUUUUCCAUGGACAAAAAGAGUAGGGAGUGAACAAAAAAGAAGUCAUGAUUAAUGGUGGCUAGAUAGCAGCUUUGCUGGUUUAAUCUGUAUUAAAGAAAAAUGUUGAAGUUAAAACUUAAAACCAAUGCUGAAAAACUUAGUUAAAAAUUGAACAUAUAGCUAUCUCAGCAUUUCAGUUUUACCUUGAAAACAAAUCAUUAAAUAAUAAAUAAAAACUGGUUAGCAUAUGCAGGCCAAAAAAUUGACUUAUAAGCUAAUAGUAGUGUAAUAAAAGAAUGAUGAAAUUCCAAAACUAAUGUGCAUCUAAUUAAUUUCUUUCCUUGAAUUUUCUUCAGAUGAUUUGAAAAAUAAACUUAAAAGGAAAAAUGUAGCUUCCUUAAUCAAUUUAGAUAACCUGAGCAGACAAAACAUGAAUUUCCUUAUUAUUUUUCUUAUAUAUCUGAAGUUUCUGUAGCAAAAACUAAAGCUUACUUUAACGUGGAAUUGUGUAGCAAAAACGUUCUUCUGUGACUUCAAGAAUAGAUAUCAUCUGUCCCAAAAAGGAUAGGAUAUAUAUUCCCUAACAAUUGUCAGCUGUCAGGGAAGGAUAUCAACCAUAAUACUAUCUCCCCUUUCUCUCUCAUAUCCUCUCCCUCUCUAUUCUUUUCUUCUCUUCCUCCUUUGAUGAGUUGUUACUCACUUAUAAAGAAUUAGAAAAGGAAUCACAAGAAAACCUUUGAUGUCCCAUUUUUUUGUAGGCCCAAACGCUUCAUCUCAGCCCAGAUCAUGCCAGUCCCUGUCUAACAACAUAAUGCAUUUACAAAGACAAAUCGAAAGUAAUCUCUAAUAUUUAUUUAUUCAUAUUGGUUGUUUCAAGACUACGCAUCACAAACAUUACAUGAAUAAGCAUAUUAAAAUAUUAUAAUUGAUUAACAAUGUAACAAGCAGAACCUAAUUGUGUCUUAUUGUAGAAUUCAUUGAACUUAAUGAAAUACAUAAUUUUCAAAAAAAAAAACCUAAUUUUUGGGCACCUCUAAAAGUUAUAUUUGUACAGGUUUCUAACUUUUAUUUUUCUUUUUUCCUAUAAGAAAUAUAAACAAUAUAAACUAAAUCUUAUACCUCGAUAUAAGUAUUUUUUAUGAGAUUAUAUUUACAAAUAAAAAUUACAAUUACAUCAAAUAACUUUUAAUAUAUAUUAUAAUAUAAAAUAAAUUUAUAAAUAAACCAAAAGUUAUCCAUCCAAUAAAAUAGAUCUAUAUGAUAUAGUAAAAAAAAUUAUUUGGGCUCAGUUUUCAUAGCAUAACAUAAAACUAAAUAAAGUUCUGAAAAUUCAAUAUUAAAGACAACAUCCUAAAGCAACCAUCACGCAAAGAAAAGGAAAUCAAGACAAACACUUGCCUUCAAAAAAAAAAAAAAAAAAGGAAACAACCAAUUACUAGGUAAAAUAAAAGCACCUUGAUAUUGAUACGUUGAACCUGCACUCAAACUUAUUUUCUCGAUUUGGGAUUGAAAGGAGUCCAAUGGAAAUGUCAUCAAGAUGAUGGUAUUUUCAUCAAGCCCGCCUAUUAGAAUCCUUCAAAAACUUGAUUUUGAUCUUCUUCAAAUGAGCAACAACGUUUUUCAUGUCAAUCCUCUCUUCUGGCAACUCUUCUGAACAUUCUAACGCUAAUUGCAAAAUAGACAAUGCACAAUCUUUUAUUGCAAAAUGUUCUUGCUCCUUGGUACUAAUUAGCAAAUUGGCAUCUACAACUUGAGUUAAUGCAGAUGGUAAUGACUUAGUCAUCCAAUGUUUUAAGCUCAUUUCUUCAACAAACAUUUCAUCAGUGGGCUUUUUUCUUGUUAAGGUUUCAAUUAGAAGAAUACCAAAACUGUACACAUCGCCUUUUAUGGAAACAACUCCUUGUGCUUGGAAUUCUACAUGUAAGUGAUGAAAACAAUAGUCAAAGUAUGAAAUGAUUUUACACGAAUUAUCAUAAUGAUUAAAAAUGUUUAAAGUUUAAGCAUUACCUGGUGCCAUAUACCCAAUUGUUGCUAGUGUUAUGGUUUGUACUGUUGAACCCUCUUCACCUAACAGCUUUGCAAUGCCAAAAUCACCCAAAUGUGCAACCAUAUCUUCAGCUAAUAAAACAUUGCUGGGUUUUAAAUCACAAUGGGCCACAGGAAUUGUCUGUUCAUGAUGGAGGUAUUCUAAUGCGGAUGCCACAUCAAUCAUAAUGUUCAACCUUUGCAAGAUAUCAAGAAAAUAGUUAUGAGAAUACAACCACUUCUCGAGGCUUCCAUUAGGCAUGAACUCCAGUACCAAGGCUUUAAAAUCAACAUUGCAACAACUACUGAUGAUUUUGACUAGAUUCCGGUGACGAACAUUGCGCAAGACCUCACACUCAACGUCAAAGCUCUUAAAUGAUCCUUCUACCUCCAAAUUAAAGACUUUUAUGGCAAUGCUGAGUCCAUCUGAAAUAGUACCUUGGUAUACCGAGCCAAAACUCCCUGCACCAAGUAAUUUGCUUUCACAAAAACCAUUUGUGGCGUGGUGAAGCUCUUGGUCUGAAAUUCUUCUCCACUUUGCAAAAACAUUCGAAUUUUCUCGAUCAAUUUUUUGCUUUGAAUGCUUUCUUUGUCUUUGCAGGAAAAAGACAAUUACGGUUAAAAUUAAUAGCGUUGAGCCAACUGGCAAUAGAAUAAAUAUUAUAAGCUUAGUAACUUUCCUAGAAUGUUUAGCAGAAUUAGUUUUGCAUGGUGGGAAUUGCAGUCGAGGUGCACCACAUAGCGCUUCAUUCCCCAUGAAUGAUUGAAUCGAGUAGUUGGCAAAAGGUCCUCCAUCAGGAAUUUCUCCGUGUAGCCUAUUGAAUGAGACAUUCAAAUACUUGAGAUGCAAGAGUUUUUGCAGGGACUUUGGAACAAUUCCAGAGAAAUUAUUCCUUGACAAAUCCAAGAAUUGCAAUUCUAUCAGCCCACCAAAUAACUCAGGUAUAGACCCGUACAAUCUAUUACGAGAUAAGGAAAGAUAAACUAGGCCUUCAAGAGCACUAAUGCUACUUGGAAUUUCGCUUGAUAAUUGAUUUUUGGAAAAAUCAAUAUGAGUAACAACCUUCCACUUUCCAAUGUCAAUUGGGAGAGCCCCAUUAAGAAAAUUGGAGGACAAGUUUAGUUCCAAGAUAUCUAUAAGCCUUGUGACGGUGGAAGGUAUUGAGUUUGUAAACUUAUUGGAGCCCAAAUAUAGAGCUCUUAGAGAAACGAGAUCACCCACGCAUGCUGGUAUUGGUCCAGCCAAUCUGUUCUCUUCGAGAUGCAAGAAACCCAAACUCUUCAGACGGCAUAAGUUAGAUGGAAUAGAUCCUUCUAACUUAUUGACUUCAAGAGAGAGAGCUUGCAACUUUUCUAAUCUUCCUAUUGUGGUGGGAAUAGAUCCAAUCAGUUGAUUGUUAGCUAUGGACAAGCUGAUCAAGUUGCUUAGGUUGCUAAUCUCUUCCGGAAUGUUGCCCCUAAUGUUGCAGCCCACAGAAUCGAAAUAUUGUAGCGAAAUAGAAAGAUUUCCUAUAGAAAUAGGAAGUUCAGCAUCGAUCAAUGGAUUAUUACUAAAAGACAAGACUCUCAAGUCUUUGCAAUAUGCUAAAGAUGAGAGAAAGCUCAAUUUUGGAGAUGAAAGUGUGCUAGCUAAAUUAUUAGAAUGUAGGUUGAGGCGUUCUAGAUCUCUUAGAUUGCCGAGAUCAACAGGAAUAUAUCCAGAAAAUGAAUUCUCUGACAAGUCAAAAAUUGUUAGCUUAGAGGCAUUGGAGAUGGAGGUAGGUUUUGUUCCGUUCAACUCAUUUAUAUCAAGUAGAAGCUGUUCAAGCUUUGGAAGCCAUAGUCCUGUGCUCCAUGGAAGACAACCUGAGAGAUGGUUUGAAUAGAGUGCAAUGAGCGUCAUAGUUGAGCUAUUAAAGAUACCAGGAUGGAUAUGUCCGGAGAUACUGUUCGAUCCCAAAUUCAGACGCACCAAAUUUGGUAGGUUGCCUAUCUUAAGUGGUAUUUUACCUGCCAUAAAAUCAGAAGUCAUUUGGAUUUGUUCCAAUGAUCCAGAAGCAAAUAACAAAAUUAAUCAUCAAAGUUUUACACACAUUUCUAUUUUUAUAUUUUAUAUUAUAAAUAUAUAUAACAAAGAGUGAAACAGUUGGGAUUGGUAAAUAAUAGUUUUAAAAUAUUUAUAACAUUUGCAACUAUGCAGAAACUCAACAUACAUAAGAAUAAAUGUAACAUAUUACCUGUCAAGUUAUUGUCGCCAAAAUCAAGUUCUUCCAAAAGUGUUAGGUCACCAAUUUGUUGUGGAAUUUCACCUGCGUAAUGUAAUUGAUCCAUUAAUUAUUUUUAAAUUUAGCAACAAAUAUAAGGUCCAUUUAUUUGUCAAAUGAAACUAUCAAAAUUAUCAAAAAAAGUUUAGAAUUUAAAUAAUACAAAGCAAUGCAAUCUUUCACUUUGUAAAUAAUUUAUUAUUUUCCUUUUUUAAUUUAUAUAAUAUAAUGAAAAUAUAUUAGAAAAAGUUGGAAAAAAAAGAACAUAGAUAAGUAGAUAGUAUAUUUGAAUUUUUGGUUGAAUGGUUCUUGAACAGAAUAGAAAUAAAAUUCUUGAUUAUAUAAAAAUGAAAAUAAAAAAAAGGUGAAUAUCAACGGUAAUAAUUAAUUUAAAUAAAAAUAAUGAGAUUAAUAAAGAGUGCAACACUAUGACCAAAAACCAGAAAGAUAUAAAAAAGAAAGAUUUGGAAAAUUCACAUUAUAUCAUAAGCUGAAAAACAGGUAAAACAAUUAUUUUUCCUUCUACCUUUGAGGUUGUUCCGGCCAAGAUAGAGAAUUUUAAGCAUAGUCAAAUUUCCAAUUUCUUUUGGUAUAGUUCCCUCCAAAUCAUUAUAAGAUAAGGAUAAUUCUUCCAACUCUUGGCAUUUGAAAGACAUGUUGAGCGGGAUGGAACCAAUUAGCUGGUUGUCGUUAAGAGCAAUCACUAGCAAUGAAGAUAUGCUGAAGACCGAGGAAGGUAUGGAGCCUGAAAGCUGAUUGCUGUCCAAAUAUAAAAUUCUCAAGCUAGAAAGAUUUCCGAUUUCCACAGGGAUACGUCCUUGCAGAUUGUUGUUAUACAAGCCCUAUAACUCUAGUUUUGACAAAGAGCACAAAGAAGAUGGGAUAACUCCCACGAAGUUAUUACCGCCCAAACUCAAGUAUUGAAGAUUAGGGAAGGAACCAAACCAGGAUGGGAUUUUCCCGUUGAAAUUGUUGUAACGCAAAACUAGAGAUUUCAGCCGACGAAAAUUAGCCAACUCGAUAGGCAAUGAACCAUGAAAACUGUUGUUUGCAAUGUGGAGGAAAGCAACGAAAGACAGAUUUCCCAUGUCUGGUGGUAUGGUUCCAGAAAGAUUCAUGCCGAAUAGAUCCAAAGCAAUGACUCUGUGGUGUCGGGACCCGCAAGUGACACCAACCCAAUUACAAAUAGAGGUAGCAGUUGACCAGUUGGUAGCCAGAAGAUCACUGUUGACACCGGCUUUCAGUGCAAGAAGAGCCAAUUGGUCUGUACUGAUGUUGGUUGUUGAUUUCAUAGAGAAUGAAACCCCAAAAGUGGGCAGCAGCACCGCCACCGUAAGAGCCAAAAUGAACCCAGUGUUUCGCAUAAUGUUAUGUAGAAGUGGAACUUGAGAAAGGAAAAUUUUUGAGUUAUAAGUGGGAAAGAUGAUGUUUCAUUUACCAUACACACAAGGUGACCAAAAUUGUGAUGGGACCUAUUUCCACAUGCUUCCACCGCCCUUCCACAUUGAGAGGAAAUUUACCACUUGCAUAUUGGAGAGAAUUCUAAAGAGCAAUGUUAUCAUGUCUUUAUUCAAUUUUAUUAACAUAUUUAAAGGUCUAAAAAAGUAUUUUUAUUGAUAAAAUUUAUUACAAUUAUCAAUUUAAUUUUUAUGACACAUGUGAUACAUAAUUACAUAAAGAGAAAUAACUCUCUUCAUCACAUAAAUCUCAUCCUCUUAUCAGAUCAUGAUUAAAACUUGAAACUUCAAGUUAAAACCCUAAAUUCUAAUUACCAAGGAGGUAUUUGUUCAAAUACUAAAAUAAACAACUAUAUAUGAUUAAGGAAAUAUGUGUAGAUAUGUAAAAAAAUUUAUUCUGACAAUCAAAACGAACAUCGAAACAGUAGGACCAUUAAGAUAUUAGCUCCACACAAUAGCGUAUGAAAAUGUGAAAAUGAGAAAUCACUUUCUGUCAACGUCCAUAAGUUCUAACAAAGACUUUUGUGGUGGCUAUAAUUUAUGAAGUCUUCUCAAACACGCACUUGGUAAGAAUACUUCCACUGAGUCAACGUCGAACUUAGCGCAAUGACUCUACGACCCUUAACUCGAUUAUCAUUAAUGUUAAUAUUUUUCAAGAUACUAGUUUUUCUUGUAAUGCAUGCGCUUUGCAGUUCCCAUGUGUCUAUUUAUUAUGUUUUUUUGGAACUAUUUAUCUAUUCAUUAUUAAUCUACUGAAAACUCUUCAUUAUCUUUAAUUUUUUGCUUAUCUAAAAAUUUAAAUUUAAUUUUUGAAAUAAAAAAUUAUAUAUAUAUAUAUAUGUUUGUUAUUGAAUCAAAUACUUAAGUCUUAUUAGUAACCAAAAAAUAACUUUUUGGAGAAAAUUUUUUUGUGUAAAAUAUUUUACAAGAAUAUUUAAUAUUUUUUAUUAUUUGAAUAAAUUAUCAAAAAUAUUUUCUUUUAUUUGUAUCAUCUCACAAAAAAUAUUUUCCACAUCACUGCUGGAGUUAUCUGAUGUUAAAAUGAUAAAUAGAAGUUGAUGGUGCCAUUUGGGUUUUACUAAUUUGGGAUCAAAAUUUGGAAUCGAUAUGAAAAUGGGAAAAAUCAAUAAUGAUGUAUCCCGAAACAUUUAAUCAUAUAUAUAUAUAAUAAAGUAAGCUCUAAUUUUAAUACAUUUUCCAUCUCAUCACUUUUACCAUAACACUAUAAAAAUAUCAAUAUUCAUCAAUUGUGUAAGACAUCCAAAACUUAUACUUAUAAAUUUGUAUUUAUCAAAUGACAAUCCAAAUGACAAUCAUUCAAAUAUUUUUUAUUAUAAUUAUUAGUAAGAUUUAUUCAAUUUAUAAAUAAAACUUUUAAUUGUGUUGAAUGAUUUCAUUAUUUUUAAAAUUUAAUAGUAUUGAACAAUUUAAAUAUUAAUAUUUUAAGUUAAAUUUUUUAAAUUAAAUAUUAAUAUUUUUUAUUUUCUUAAUAUUUUAAGUUAAAUAUAAAUAUUUAUCAAGCCUAUACUUAUAGAGUUAGCAAUAAGAGUUUUUAUUCUUAUUUUUUUGUUAUAUGAAAAAUGUCUUACGCGUGGGUGAUUUUCGUGUUAAUUUAUAAAAUGUUUUACAAAUGAAAUAAAGUUUUAAUCUUUCAAAUAAGCAUAAGUUUUGAAAACGUUUUACGAAAAAUAUUUUAAAUCAAAACAAAUUAAACCAUAAAUACAAUUUUGUUUUCUGUUUGAGCAACAACUCUCUAUUAUCUUUCUUUUUAAUAUGAGAUUCAAUUUCCACUUCCAAUUUGAUAAAAUUGUGGAAAAAUUCACAACUUUCAGUUUCUUUGACAAAUGAUAAUAUACGGUGGAAUGUCUAAGAUAUGGAUUUAACCAUUAAAAAGAAAAGACUCAAGAGAAGGGGCAUCCAAUUGUCAAUUGACAUGGCUAAAAUUGAAGACCACGCAAUUAGUGCAAGAUUCUCUGAAUGAUUAUCACUUCUAGAUGGAGUUCUUGGAAGCAAUGCUUUUGUGUAAGCCUCAUUUUCUCAACAAAAUCCAAAUUAUUGCUUCUUUUGGGAUCAAAUCUUUGAGCAUAGUUUAAACAUUUAGGAAAGUGAGUUAAUUAAGUGUGUUAAGACAAUACAAACCGUUUCUGAGAAAAAAGAAACUUUAAAAUUAGUUCAAUUAUGAGUUUACAAUUAGCAAAAGCUAGAAUAAGAUACAGGAUUAAUACUGUAGAAAUUUUUGACUCAUUUUUUAAUUAAAAGUUAGAAAAAAAAUCUUCUAACUCGAUUAUUAAUCAUCAUUUUAAUGCUGAAAUUAAAAAACCAAUAAAGUUUUCUAACCCGAACAAUACGCUAUAAUUGCAGCUGCGUAUGACUUGAAGGCAACAUUUUCUUGUAGCUUGUAACUUGGAAAGAUUGUGGUUGACAGAAGACUUAUAUCAUCACAAUAUUCUACCAUCUAGCUUAAAAAGCAAGUUUAAGUUACACUGUUGUCAAUUCAAUUAUUUCCAUACGACAUUUUCAUAGCUAGAAAUCAACCAAAUACUGACAAAAGUAGAAAAUGUAAACCAUUUUAAAACAGCAAAAGACUACUGCAGAGACAUGAGAUAUAUUUAUCAACAGAUUUUAUCUAUCACAAAGCCACCUGCCACCUUGACUAAUUUUUUUUUUUGACAAUUAACAUGGAAAGAUGGUAAGGGUAAAGAUUGCUACAUCACACUGAAGUUUUACUUGUUGAUGUUCGAUAACAAUGCAGGCAAUCUUCCAUAAGAAUUUUGGAGGUUCUCUCAAUCCAUUUGAUUUGGUUUCUCGAAAAACAGAAUGUGUUGCUUGACACCACUGUACAUGUUAAAGCUUCCUUUACAAAUUAUGAUACGAGAGGGGAAAAUUAGGACAACCGACGGACCCAUAGGCAGGUCUAAUAAUGUGUUCAUAGAAAGGAAAAGCAUGAAGCGUGUUGAAUGUUUUGGCUCCUAUUUGACGGCACAUAUCCAAAUUCAAUCCCUUUCACAGUUUUUUUCUCUGAUCCUUAGCUCACAUUACUCCCUUUUCUCAAGGUUUUUAAGUUUUAACCCGAACAAUACGCUCUAAGUGUAGAAAGUUUAUGGUUGACUUAAGUCUCAUAUAAUAAACAAAUUCUACCAUCCAACCCAAAUUGCAAGUUUACGUUGCAAUCUGGUCCAUUGUUUUCAGUAGGACAGUUUGUUGUUAGAAAUGAUCUACCAUCCAACCCAAAUUAUAAGUUUCCCUUGCAGUCUUGUCCAUUGUUUUUAAUAGGACAUUUUGUGAUUAGAAAUCAACCAAUAUGAAGAAAAGACAUGUAAAAUAUUCUAAUAUAUAUACAGCAAAAAGGAUUACUAUGAGAUAUUUAUAAAAGAGAGAUUUUGAUUUUAAAGUUAAUAUAAAUUGUGUGAUCAAACAUGACUCUCAUAAUUUAUAUUUAAAAUUUAUGUUCCAAACAUAGCAUAAAUGAAAAUUGAAAUAAACUUAAAAUUUUUUAUAGAAAAGUAGGAAUUCUUUCCUAACUCUAUUGAAUUCUGCCUCGAAUCUCUAGAAGAACAAGAGAAAUAUCAAUUCCUUUGAUUUGGAGAAGAGAUGAUUGAGAUACACAAGAGGCAAACAAUCCAACUAGAAACAUAUUACAGCAACUGAGAUACACCACCAGAAGAAAACAAUUAAAGAUCAUCAGAACAAGUACUAAUCAUAACAUUCAAUUGAAUUACUAAUGAAACAAAGCAGAACACCAUUACCCAUUCACGAAACAGAGCACUAGCAUGAAAACCAUCAACUGAAUUCCUAUAUACACAAAACAAACCCUAGUCGUAUUGCCUAUUUUUUUUAUCGAUAUACAUAAGUUAAUAUCUAAAGAGGUAAACAUAUAAUAUCACGAAUAAAACUAAUUGGAGUAUCAAUUUAGAUAAGAUAGUUUUGAGUAUAGAAAUGCUUUUUGACAAAAGUUGUAGUCUAUAAACUUAAACAAAUAUUAAAUCAGAGUACAAGAACAAUUAGAAUACUAAUUCCACAUAAUAGCACAUAUAAAUGUGAAAUUGUACAUCCUAGAUUUUCAACUAAUUUCUUUGUAUUCAGUGAAAUUGUAGUGGUUGGUGAAAUUGUAGACACAUCCCUCUCAUUUACCCUCCUGCAUUCAGUGAAGGUCCAUCAUUGAUCAGAAGAGUUUGUUAAGUCAUCGUCAUCUCAAUCGCCUAAUCCAUACUUGGUAAAGAAUAAUUGUAGCGUGUUGUGCACGGCGAAGCUAUUGCAGUUGGCCAUGUGUCCCUUCAAAUAGACAAGCUGCUAGUUUUUCUUGUAACGUGCUUUCCAAUUCCCACCUAAUCAUUGUUACUCAAUUGACUAUCUUUCUUUUUUUAAAGUGGGAUUCACACUUCCAAUUUGAAUAUGUAGGACAUUCCCCGACUUUCAAUUGCUUUUCCAUGUUAAUUGACAAAUGAUACUUGAAUAACAUGGUCCAUAUGGGACAUCCUAGUUGUCAAUUGCUCUGCCCAAACUUGAAGACCCCGCAACUAGUGUAAUAUUCUGGCUGAUUGAGGUCACUACUAACUUCCCAAUUCCAUGAUUAAGAUUGCAACUAUGCAAAGGUUCACCAAGAUUUGGAUCUUGAAUCCGGCUGGUCUCAUUUGGUGUCCUCUUUUACAACCUAAGUUUAAUUGCGAUCCUAUCUAUAAAUUAUUAAUUCAGAUGGAUAAUAUUUAAAUUAAAUUAUAAUCUUAAUUUAAUAUAAUUCAGAUUCAAAUCUAAAUAUGCAUAAUAAAAUCUAAAAAUUAGAAUCAGAUUACAUUCGUUUAUUUAGCCUGCUGAACUGUUUGGUCUGCUAAAUUGCCUGACCUCAUCUGGACUUAAUAAUCACAUUUAUACAUAAAUUCCUAACAUGCUUAUAUUUAUUCCAUUUGUCAUUUACACAAUAUUUAGUCAAAUGCUUCCGUAAAUGAAAUUGUUAAGUCAAUAUUUAAAUGGCCAGAGAAGCACAAGCAGGAUAAAAAGAAAAUUUGUUAAAAGCAGGGAGCAUUAGAUGCAGGGCGGCAUAGACCACUCCCAAAGACAUAGGCAAAACAUUGAUUCUUAACAUUAAUUAGUGAGAAAUUUUUCGUUCAUAGAAUACGAGUGCAACUAUAAAAUGGUUAACUAAGAUUUGAAUCUUGAAUCAGGCUGGUCCUAUUGGGCCUUCUCGUUUAAAAGCCAACUUCGAUUCCGACCUCCCUAUUUAUUUGUUAGUUAUUUUAUUAUUAAAAUAAUAAAUAGCAUCUUAUAUUAAUAUAUAAAUAUUUUAAAAUUUAUUUUAAAUUUCAAAAUAAUAUAAUAUUAUAACUUAAUCGAACUCAUACUUAAAAAAUUCAUGCCUAAGCCUAACCCAAAUCCGGUCAAAGUCCAUGGAUCUAGGCAAAGUAACUUAAUCUUUAAACACCUCUAAAAGUUGUAUUUGUACAUGUUUCUAACUUUUAUUUUUCUUUUUUCCUAAAAGAAAUAUAAACAAUAUAAACUAAAUUUUAUAUCUCUAUAAGUGAUUUUUAAUGAGAUUAUAUUUACAAGUUAAAAUUAUAAUUACAUAAAAAAUCUUUAAAUAUCUUUAAAACAUUUAUAAAUAAACUAAAAGUUUUUGACCCAUAAAAUAGAUCUAUAUAAUACAGUAAUAAAAUUUAUUUGGGCUUAGUUAUCAUAGCAUAACAUAAAACUAAAGACAAUUUUGAAAAUUUAAUAAAUUAAAGACAUGAACGUUCUGGAACAACCAACUAACAAAGAACAGAAAAAAUCAAGACAGACACUUGCCUCCAAAACAGAGAGAACUAGAAAUAAUGGAUUGCUAGGUAAAAUAAAAGCACCUUGACAUUGAUACAAUUGAACCUGCACUCAAACUUCAUUUUCUUGAUUCUGGAUUCAAAGGAGUCAAAUGGAAAUGCCAGCAACAUGAUGGUAUUUUCAUUCGACCCGCCUGUUCUAAUCCUUCAUAAACUUGAUUUUGAUCUUCUGCAGCUUUGCAACAACCUUUUUCAUGUCAAUCCUCUCUUCUGGCAACUCCUCUGAACAUUCUAAUGCCAAUUGCAAAACAGACAAUGCAAAAUCCUUUAUUACAAAAUGUUCUCACUCCUUGCUACUGAUUAGCAAAUUGCCAUCUACAACUUCAGUUAAUACAGACGGUAAUGACUCAGUCACCCAAUGUUUUAAGCUCAUUUCUCCAACGAACAUUUCAUCUGUGGGUUUCUUUCUUGUUAAGGUUUCAAUUAGAAGAACACCACAACUGUAUAUGUCGCCUUUUAUGAAAACAACUCCUUUUGUUCCAUAUUCUACAUGUAAGUCAUUAAAACCAUUGUCAAAAUAUGCAAUGAUUUUACAUGAAUUAUCAUAAUGGAUAAAAAAAGUCAAAAGUUUAAGCAUUAACUGGUGCCAUAUACCCAAUUGUUGCUGGUGUUUUCAUUUGUACUGUUGAAUCCUCCUCAUCUAACAACUUUGCAAUGCCAAAAUCGCCCAAAUGUGCAACCAUAUCUUCAUCUAAUAGAACAUUGCUGGGUUUUAAAUCACAAUGAGCCACAGGAAUUGUUUGACCAUGAUGGAGGUAUUCUAAUGCAGAGGCCACAUCAAUCAUAAUGUUCAACCACUUCUCGAGACUUCCAUUAGGCAUGAACUCAAAUACCAAGGCUUUAAAAUCGACAUUGCAGCAACUACUGAUGAUUUUGACUAAAUUUCGGUGGCGAAUGUUGCACAAGACCUCACACUCAACGUCAAAGCUCUUAAAUGAUCCCUACCUCCAAUGGCUCUACUGAAAUUUCUACCGAUUGGAGCUUUUUCAUGCAUUCUACCAAAAUUUGUCUAGAGGAUUAACUUUCUUGUGUAUAUUUCAUGGCAUAUAGAUUUUGGAAGAAAUUUGUUGGCAAGAGGCCACUAAACUCAUUUUGAGAGAGAUUUAUUAUUUGCAAUGACAUAAAGGAAGGUGUAACUAUCGAAUUCUCCAGGGGACCAUGAAAUCAAUUAAAUCAAAGGAUAAGAACUUGCAGCUCUGGAAGUACACCUAAGAAACAAUCAAGAGAAGUACAAUUAAUCAAGAAUCGUGACAGUAACCAUUCGAAUUGGUUGUUAAUAAGGGCAAGAUUUGUCAACGCGUUACCCUUGGCAAAGUAAUCAGGGAUUUUGCCAUGAAAGUUAUUCCUUUGUAUGUUUAUGGAUGAGAGAAAUUGACUAAAAUUUCCAAGGCAUGCCGGAAUAGUUCCACCUAAGUUGUUUCUAGACAAAUCAAGAAUUACUAGUGGAGUCAUAUUGCAAAUCAAAAGAGGGAUCCGUCCUGUCAAUUUGUUUUUUGAAAUGAAGAAGUUUCACAAUGAAGGUGGAAAACACAUCAUAAAAUUUAAUGGAAGAGAAGGGGACAGAUGUAAAGGAAAAUACAUCAUAUGCUUCAUCCUCUACCAACCAGAAAUAAUGUUUGAUGCAUGAUAAGGGGUGCCCUACUGGCUGAUGAUGCAUGAGAAAAAUAAAAUUAAGCUGGUUGCAAUUUAAACUUCCUAAUUAUGUUUCUUACCUAGCUUAAUCACCUUAGGAAAAAAUAAUAAAAAAUCUACUAAUAAGCGAGACUAAGGAAGCUAGUCUAGUGGCCUAUUCAUUCAAAAAAGUUCACAUGGCAAUAGGGGCACUAAGUGACUGCUGGUAUUUGGUGUCUUUAAUUAAACCUUACCAAAUGAUACAAAUUCUAGCUUUUCAGAACGUUACCUGAAGUGCAGCUCCCUGCAUGUUCCUUGUGUCACUUUUUUGGCCAUUGAAAACUUGAUCAUGAUACAUAGGGGCAUUUAAAGCAAAUAAGGCUUUUGACUACAUUUAUUUAUUUAUGCUUUCAAGAGUUACAAGUUUUAAAUAAAUGCCUAAUUAACAGUAGUGUUCCACACACACAACUUUAUACAAUUGCAUAUUUUUACCUCUUUCUCACGAACUCAAGCAAAACUCAUAGAUCUAGUAGUGUGGAUGCAUUGUUGCAUACACAUCAGACCCAGUUCUUGUAAUAAAAACUAAAUCAUAUUAUAUUUCAAAAUGCAAUGAGACUAACAUGAAAGCUCAGAUCAAAGCAUCAUCUCCAAUGGUGACAUGUCCUAUGUCAUAUCUUGUGUCAUAUGUUUCUUAAUUCCACGGACUCUUAAUUUUACAACAUAUCCUAGAUUUACCAUCUAAAAUCAAAUAUUAAAUUAAUGAGUUCACCAUCCAAACAACAAUUUAUCUCUAACCCAUUUCAAAAUUGAAUCAAUUUAAGAUACUUUGAUUGACAAUAUAAAACAAAUGAAAAGUAAGAAUAAUACAGAAACAAAAUUGAAUAUCAUUUUGAAAACAAUCCAAAAAAUGUAACGUGACCUUUGAAAUAAAAAGAGUAAUAAAAUUGAUCAUACAACUGACAAAGAGAUGAUAAUUUAAGUAAGCAUUUAAUUUUUGUUCCUUUUUAUUAACAAAAAAUUAAAGUAAACUUCAUAUUUUAGUUAUAUAACUUUUAAAAUAAAAUAAACAUAAAAAAUCAGAUAAUUUAAUUGAAAAUUUCCCUCAAACACCCCAUUUAUUAGAGUUUUCUGUUUUACCUCUAAAAUUAAUCCAUAAUUUUAUGUUCAAUUUUCCUAGCAAAAAAAUGCAGCCAUUAAAUGAUUUUUGUUUAUAUAUGAGGUGAUAAAAAAUUCAAUAUUGAUUGAAUAAAGGAACUUCUUAUCAUCAAAGCAACUUUAAGAAAUUGGAAUGAUUAUUACAAUUAAAGGGAGGACCAGAGAGAUAGUUUUUUCUGUUUUUUUUUUUUCCCAAGAAGAAGAGAGAGCUCAAAAGUAAGAAAUUCAUCUCACAUGCAAGAAGCCAAAACCACUUUAUGCAAUGCAUAAAACUUGUAAAACUAAAAGAAAACUAAAAGAAAACUAAAAGAAAAGCUUCAAAGAGGAUACAAAGGAGAGGAGUUAGGAAAUUGCUGGAAAGUUUCUAUGCAAUGCAUGUUCACCUUAAAACCACUUUACUAAAACUUGAAAACGAAAAACAUGAAAGCGUCUUCACUGUUCUUGAUUGGGCCUACUACUCUUCACUCAACAAACUUAGUUCAUUCUUACAUGGAUCCUUAGCUGCAAAAUUAAACAAAAUGACAAAAAAAACCUAUCAAAUUAAUAGAAUAUAUACAAGAAAUACUGUAAAGAAUAUAUAUUAUUAUAUAUGUUUAAUGGCUUAUGAAUAUGAUAAUAUACAUUCAUUGAUCAUCAUUUAUUCAUUUAAAUUAUUUAAUUAUGUUUAUUAGUUUAAUGUUGCAACGUUAAACUUUUUUAUUUAUAAUUACUACGAUCAAUUAAAUUUGAUAGUGGAGUUUUAAAUUUCUUAUAUAAUUUAUAGAAUAAAGAUCCAAUUUGUGUAUACCUAUUUAAGUAUAUUAAAUUGUGGUUCUUGCCCUCCAAAUUAGAGAUCAAAAUUCUUAUUUCAAAUUAUUAUAAUGAAAGUAUGUACUACUACCUUUUUCAUCAAAUUUUUAAUUUUCAAUAUCUAAAUUAAACAAAAGGUUAACAUUGUUUUGAGUUUUUUGCAUUAUUUUCACUUUUCAUUCUUUAUUAUUUUUUCAUUCAUUACUUAUCAUUCGAAAAUAUAGAAUAUAAAUGUUUAUAAUUGGAUUUAUGGAACUUGAUUUGUUAUUUCCGUCAAUAGUUUAAUAUAAGAUUGUUUAUUAUAUAAGUACGAAUUUAAUUAACAAGUUCUUUUCACUUUUUUUUCCAAUAUUACCCAUUCUAAUUUGUUGUUUAGGGUGUUAAUGUUUGAUUUAGUAUCAAGCUCAAUAAGAUAUUUUAGAUUUUCAAAUGCUUUAGUUUUUUCCACCAUUGACAUUACCUACUACGUUUUCAAUGACAGAAUUUUCAACAAAUUUUUUCAUUGUAAUUUCGUUGGAAAAAGUCAAUUUUUUUGGAAUGUUAAAAUUGAGUUAAUUAUAGAAAAAUGGUCUUAAUUUAAUUUAAUUUCCAAAUUUGCAAAAAUAAUCCCAGACAAAAUGAGAUGUCUACAAAUAAUAUUUUAUAUAAAGAUUUGAAUAAAAGUGCUAAGAUAUGUACAAAAACUUGACUUUUUUGUAGUGUUAAAAUAUUAGGUUAAUUAUUAAAAAUGGUCUUAAUCUAAUUAAUUUCAAAAUUUAUAAAAAUAAUCCUGGAUAGAAUGGGGUGUUUACAAAUAUUAUUUUAUAUCAAGAUUUGGAUAAAAGUGCUAAGAUAUAUGUAUGCAUAUUUAUGAAAUACUUGUUGUAAUUAUGAACAUCAUCAUUGACCAUAAACUAUAUUCACACCAAAAUUUUAUCAUGUCAUAAAUUAACAAAUUGAAGAUAAUACUAAAAUUGAUUUGCAUUUAUCCAAAAAUUAGAACAACAUUGAAAUUAUUAUUUCUUUAGAAUUUUUAUUAAUAAAGUCAAUUAUUAACCUUUUCAAGAAGGAGUGGGCGAAACAUCCUUACCAAUUAAAGUACAUUUAUUCCAUAUUUGAGCGGUUUUUGAUCAAAUCACUGACGUAAUGUUAUUUUUAAAUAGAAGACUUUGAAGAGUUUUUUCACCAAUGCAUUAUGACAAAGUUGAUCGAAUCUUAUUUGUUUAUGACAACAAUUAUCAAAAAUGAUUUUGAUCUUGAAUAUAUUGACGAAAACUUUGAUAACACAAUACAAUGUCAAUCUUAUUUUUACAAUUUUUUGCUUUGAUUGGAUCAACAUCACGUGCCAUGACCACUCCGCUUAUCAUAAUCACCAAAAUACUAAAAACAAUAUAAACAUUGAAACUUACCAUUACGUUCAAGGAAUACUAACUUCUCUUGCUUUGUGGUUGAGGUUGAGGGACAUGAAAAGUGAACUACUAGAGCAUCUCUUUUUCAAGUCAACCAUCAAGUCAUUCCAGAUCUUUUUAAGUUGUUUUCUAUUAAUGUAUUUCGAGUCAAGUCUUUUCAAAUUAAAACAUUAUUCACUGUGUUGAGAAUUUUUAAGAGAAAACGUGUUUGCCUAAAAUCAAAACUAAAUUAUUGGAAAAAAUUGUUGGUGGCAUGUGAGAAUGAAAAGCGUGGAGCCCACUGAUCCUAUCCCAUCUGAGACGUUAGUAGGAUUCGCCUACUUUCUUGAAUUCUCACUGUAUGCCUCCUUUUAUUUUGUUGUUUAUAGGAAAGGCUUAUUGGGAUAAGCAAAUUAGACCCAAAUUUCAUUAUCGAAACCUCAGUGGAGUAGAGACACAAAAACUAUUCAUCUUAGAAUUGCAACUCAUUACACAAACAUGAGUUGUGGUUGAGGCUGAGGGACAUGAGAGGUGAACUAUGUACCGGAGAAGUAGGGACAUGAAAGUGUUUGUGCUGUGUUAGACUGAAAAGCAUUAAGGCUGCUGAAUCCUAUCUCAUUAGAGACGUUAGUAGGAUCUGCAUAUUUUUCUUAAAUUCUCAUUUAAUGUCCAUUUUUGUUUUAGACCCAAAUAUUUCAUUAUGGGAAUCUAGGUGGAGUAGAGACAAAACAACUGGCUUUAGAAUUGCAACUCAGUACAACCAGUGUUAUUGUUUUUGUCAGAUUUAUUUUUGAUAUUUAAGUUUCAUUCUAUUCAUGAAAUGCUAAUGUUACUUGGACAAUGUUCAAGCAAGAACAUGAGUGCAAGGGAUGCCAUUAUGCAAGAAUAUAAGCCCUACUUUUAUCAAUUAAUGGAAGUAACAUUUUUUUCUGUAAGUAUAUAGAAAAAAAUUCUUAAGUCUUAAAAAACAGAAGCAACUCUCUCCAAUCUUUUUUUUAUUAUUUUGAAAAAGAAAAAUUUCAAACCUAAUUUUUUGAAUAUGAAAAAUAUAUGCCCUUAUAUUGAAUCAGAUACUAAAAUGCAAUUUUUUUCAAUCUAUACACUAUAUUUUCUUAUUUUGAAAAGCUGUUAAAGUGGCCUUUAAGAAAAAGAGAUGAUGAUUGAAGUAAACAUUUAAUUUUUGAUCCUUGUUAUUAACAAAAUAUUAAUGUAAACUUCAUAUCUUAGUUAUAUAACUUUUAAAAAAAAUUAAAAAUUAAAAAUCAGAUAAUUUUAUUGAAAUUCUCCCUAAAAAGCCCCCCUUCGUAGGAGUUUUUCUGUUUUACGUCUAAAGUUAAUCCAAAAUUUUAUGAUUUUAAGCCCUCAAAAUCAUUUUUGUUUGUACGAUUUAACUCACACGAGGUGAUAAAAAAAUUAAUAAUUCAGCAAAUAAUUCCGAAAUUGAAAUCUAUAAAAUUGGGUCAAGGCGGUGGGCCACCCGGCCCCUGGUCUAAUGUCGUGUUUAUAAAAGGGGAAAGCAUCAAUCGAAUUGACUGUUAUUGUUUCUCAAUAGAUGGGACGGAGUCUUCACUCAACAAAGUUAAUUAAUUGUUAUAUGAACCCCUAGUUCACGUUAAUCCCUUUUCUUAUGUAUGAAAAUAUAUAUAUGCAAUUUUUGAAUAUUUAAUUCAAUAAUAGGGACCAAAUCUGUACUUCAACCUUUUCAUUUUUAUUCUUUCAUUGCAUAACAAAAAAUUAUUAAAUAGACCAUUUUUGUUAUGUCAUCCGUAAAUUUGAUAAAUUAUGAUACAACAUGUAAUAUGAACUCAUGCAUUCUCACAUGAUAACUUUUGAUUACUUAUUACAUCAAGCUGAUAUAUAUGAUUAGAAGAACCUAUCUUAAUAAUUUAAUUUAAUGAUGCUUAUUGAUGUAUGAAUGACAGAUGCUGAUGUAAUUAUUAAACAUUGAAACCAAGAGGAAGAAAUGAAAAGGGAAAUUUAAAAAGAAGGGCAAAUUGCCGUCUUAGAAAGGAAAGGCAUGGAGCAUGUUGACCGUUGUAAAUUUGGAUUCAAAUGUUUUCUAUUUGCAAUAAAAAAUGAUAAAAUAGUAAUAGAAAAAUCAAUAAAUCAAUAAUAAAGAGCAUAAAUAAAUUACUUAUUCAGUACGUUUUUCCAAAAACAUACCUAAGGAGUUAUAAAUUUAAGAGCAUGGUUAUUCUAUAAAAAAAAAUGGAGUGAAAAACUUUUUCAAAAUUUAGUGUUCAUUUUUUAACCAAACGAUACUGGAGUGAAAGACAGGAUCAAAAUUAAUUUUCAAUUAAAAAGAUAGAAAAAGUUUUUUUUUUUAAGGAGAAACAAUCCGCUAUACGUGUAGCUGCAUAUUGACAAAUUGUAGUUUAGAAAGAUUAUGAUUAAGUCUCAUAUAAUAAUCAAAUUCCAUCAUUUAAUCAUAUCCGAAUAUUUAGUUUAUUGGUUGGUGCAUGUUCCCUACUAAGAGUUUACAUUUUGCAUGUUCUCUUUCUCUCGAAUUAAAAAAACAAAAUUCCACCAUCCAACCCAAAUUGCAAGUUUACAUUUUGCAGUUAGAAAAAAAUGUAAAACAUUCUAAUGUAUAUACAGGGAAAAGGAUUAUUAAGGGAUAUUUACUAACGGACCUGACCUGCCACAACCUUCCACCUUGACUGAUGUCCGUUUUAACAAUUAGCAUAGAAAAAUGUUAAGGGUAUAACUAGUGAUCUUUAUGUAACAUCCUCCCUUAAUUAUCAAUUCAUAUUGAAGAUUGGCCAUUUCAUGACUUUAUCUUCCCACUGCUCUUGUUCACUUUUCCUGAAGAAAUUAAUUUACAUCAUGUCAUUCUCUUUGUUCUAAAGAAAUUUGAGGGAUAGGUCUGUACCUUUCAGCAUAAACUUGAUAAGCUAUGUGGCCAAAAGAAGAAAAAGAAAUUGGUCCUUUACUCUUUGAAAUACAUGAAUAUAUUGAAUAUUUACUAAUUUUUUAAUAAUGCUUGUCUUCUUCCUCACCAUUUUAUAUAAUAAAUAAAAUUCAUAUUCACUUUUCUAAAUUUAUGUUUCAAACGUUUCAUAAAUGAAAAUUGGUACAAACUUAGAAGUUUAAAUAGAAAAUUCUAGGAAUUCUUUCUUAGCUCUAUUGAGUUCUGAUAUGAAUCUCUUAAAAAAACAGGAGAAAUAUCAAUUCUUUUGAUUUGGAGAAGAGGAGAUUGAGAUACACAUGAUGAACAAGAAGCAAACUGUCCAGCUACAAACAUAUUACAGCAACUGAGAAACAUUACCAAAAGAAAACAAUAAAAGAUCAUCAGAACAAGUACCAUUCAUAACAUUCAACUGAAUUUCUAAUAAAACAGAGCAGGACCAUUUCCCAUUCAUGAAACAGAGUAUCAUCAUGAAGAUCAUCAAGAGCUUGCACUGGACAGAUUAGCACCAAACAAACCCCAGUCAUAUUUCCUUUUUCUGGAUUAUAAAACAGUUGUUUUUGUCCUUAGUCAAUAGGCAGUUCGGAAAGCACAUUAGCCUUAUGACUACGACCAAACUUUCCCAUUUCUGAAACCACACAACAAAAUGAAAAAAUACAUAGCUUAAGGAAAAACCAUUCUUUCUAAGAUUUUCAAAUAAAAAACCAUAUCAGAACAUUACAACAAAUUUGACCUAAAACAGCACAUUUUUAAAAUGUGCUACUAAAAAUAUUUUUAAUAACGUUUUUUUUAUGUUGUUUAGAACAUUUUGUAAAUCUAAUUUCACUAUAUAAAUUUUUAAAUGCAUUAUGAAUAAAAGGUAACGAUAAGAAUUGCAUGCAUUAACAAAGGUUGCACUUUUUUAUAUUGCUACUAAAUGUGAAAAAAGUGAAGUUAAAAAUUUAAAUAGUUACACUUUUUAAAUUUUACGAUACAAAAAAAUAUGUCGCCUAAAGAAGUGUGAUUAAAACUCAAUUUUUUUUGUAGUGGAACAAACUGCUGCCUCACAAACAAAGGAAAGGGAAAUAAAGACACAAAGAUAGUUUCAGAAAAAAAACAUUUUUCCGUUUAGGAAAAUUGAAAAGCCAGCUACAUGAUGGUCUCAUCAUUUGGCCUGCCUGUUCAAACCCCUUAAAAACUUGAUUUUGAUCAUCUUCAGCUUAGCAACAACUUCUUCCAUAUCAAUCCUCUCUUCCGGUAAUUCUUUUGAACACUCCAAUGCUAAUUGCAAAACAGAUAAUGCACAGUCCUUUAUUGCAAAGUGUCCUCUCUGUCUAUUACUUAGCAAAUUGGUAUCUAGAACUUGAAUUAAUGCAGAUGGUAUUGACUUAGUCACCCAAUGUUUUAAGCUCAUUUCUUCAGUAAACAUUUCAUCUACGGGCUUCUUUCUUGUGAAGGUUUCCAUAAGAAGAAUACCAAAACUGUACACAUCACCUUUUGUGGAAACAAUUCCUUGAGAUCCGUAUUCUACAUAUUUGAUUUCAUGGAACACAUCAUCGAAAUAUGCAAUACAAUGUUACAUAUUAAUUAGUUAUGAUAAUAAAUAAUCAAACCAAUUUUUAAAAAUUUAAUCAUCUACUUCAAAGAGUUACUAUGUGCAAAUUCUUGUGUGUUUAUGGGUCAAUUGCAUGAUUUGAAUUAUAAAAUAGAAGCAUUACCUAGUGCCAUAUACCUAAUUGUUGCUAGUGUCAUGGUGUUUGUUGCUGAAUCCUCUUUUUCACCUAACAGCUUUGCAAUGCCAAAAUCACCAAGAUGUGCAACCAUAUCUUCAUCUAGAAGAACAUUGCUGGGUUUUAAAUCGCAAUGGAUCACAGGUGUUGUACAACCAUGAUGAAGGUAUUCCAAGCAGAAGCCACAUCGAUCAUUAUGCUCAACCUAUGCAAGGUAUCUAGAAAAUGUUUAUGAAACCUCAACCUUUAUAGACCCGUAAUUAGAAGUAGACGCGAUAACACCAACUAGGGGUAAUUUCAUCAUUUCUCAUGGGGAGCUCCUGGGAGUAGUUUUCUAAUGUUAUUAAGGUCUAAGUAGGCCUAAGGAAUAAAUGAAUGAGGGUAAAAUAAAUGAAGAAGAUAGAAAUACUGAUAAUUUCCACGAUAUGGGUAAAAUGGUCAUUUUGCACCUUAAGCCAAAAUUUUUAAGUUUUCGUGAACUUGAGUACUUUUAGACUAUUAUGGACUUUGUCUCAGUGUCAAAUGAGUAAAAAGAUUGCAUAAAGGAAAGGAGGAAGACAAGUGGCCUUGUUAAGGGCAUUAUUGUAAAUUGUAUGAAAAUUGGAUAAACUUUAACUAUAAAUAUUUAAUCUCCAGCAGCUUUUCUUCAGUUUUCCAGUAGCUUCUCUUCUUCUUCUUCCUCCCAUCCUCCUCUCCAUUCCAUGUUUCUUUGCACCUUUCAUGGAAGUCUCCCUUGAAACCUUUAAAACUUUCCCAAAUUAGCUUCAUUUCUCAUGUUUUUCUACACCCUUUCAUAAGGCUUUUCAUGCUCUUCCACUUUUACACCUUAACAACCUUCAAAAGUCUUUCUUUAGUACAUUCACUCACUAGCUGGACGUGUAGAAAGAGAGAGAGUGAUUUCUCUUAUUAGCUUGAAGGAUUUUGAAAGAGAAUUCAACUACAAAGACCACCAAGGUUCCAACAAAAACCCAUUCCUCCAUUCGGAACAUUAGUUGAAGUUAGAGCCCACCAAAACAUCAACAAAGACUGUUGCGUGAACUUGCAUUAAAUGUUUUGGGGUUAGGGUUUAUAAGUUUGAUAGAAUCAAAUGAAACAUGUUAUUUGACUUUCUUUAAAAAUGCAUGGGAACAAGCCCUUAAUGGAACAAUUUUAUGUUGUGAAAUAUGUAAUGUGAUGUAAUGAAUCCAUGUGUUCUAUGCUAUGUUGAUACUUAUGUUAUGCCUUGGAUGGUAUCAUUGUGUGAUGAGAUUGGAAUGUGUGAGUAGGGAGUGCACAUGAUGAUGAUGAGAUUGAAAUGUGUGAGUAAGGAAUGCACAUGAUGAUGAUAUUGAAAUGUGCGAGUAGGGAAAGCACAUGAUGAGGUUAUUGCCUUGUGCAUGUAGGGAGUGCACAUGAGCUGAGUCAAGCGGGGUGGUGUACGUGUUGAUAUAUGUUUAUGUAUGUGUAUGUGAUAGAAAGUUUAUGAUUAUAAUAUGUGAUUGUAUUGCAUGUUGAAUCCCGCAUGAUGAAUUUUGAAAAUUGCUAAUUACUUGCAAAUUGAUUUUAUUGCAAAAAGAUCUUUUUUACUUAAGUGCCCUGUUUCUCGCUGUAGCGAGAAUGCCUUUUCUGCUGUAGUGAGAAACCCUCUGUCUGUUUGUCUUCCUUGGAUAUUGACUGAAAUUUUUCAUUUUUUUUCAAUUUCAUGGUUAGUAUGGAUCUUUCAACUCUAGAAGAUCAAACAAUCAAGGGUUGAAUUGAGGGGCUUUACAAGAAAUUAAGCUAAAGUGCAUGGGUUUAAACAUAAGUGCAUCAUAUUUUCAAAAAAAAAUCUUUCCGUGUCAUUUGCUUGUUCACUGCCUAUGUUCACUCAUUGGUUUAUACUCACUGAUUUCAACUUUAUGUUUUCAGAUUAGGAGGCAGUUGGAACCUAGGUCGAGGUGUCCACGUAGAUUCGUCUCCGUGGUUGGUAUCUCGGCAUUCAAUAGUUGUACCUUUGCCAAGGUCACUCCGUUGGAAGUCGAGUGUCUUUUUGUUGUGUAUAGAUAAACGCAAUGUAAAUUACUAAUAUAUAUGUCUUAAACAAUAUAUGUAUAUUUUGAUUGGUAAUGCCACUAUGAAUUGGUAAUGGUUAACAUUAUUUUGGGUUAAUAAAAAUGCAAGUAUUUGAUUGCUGUAGCACAUUAUUAAAGAACUUGUAGGUUGGAAUUAUGAAAUGUGACAUUAGGAACAUUUGAAAGAAGGAUGAACAGGUUAUAUAAAUAGGUUUGCUUGAGCUUAGUGGGCUAUGCCCAUUGGGCCCAUGCACCAGUCUUGGCCCAGAAAUUGGGUUGUGACAAUGUUUAUGAGAAUACAACCACUUCUGGAGACUUCCAUUAGGCAUUAACUCAAGUACCAAGGUUUUGAAAUCAAGGUUACAACUACUUAUGAUCCUGACUAAAUUUUGAUGGCGAACGUUGCCCAACACCUCACACUUAAUGUCAAAGCUCUAAAAUGAUCCUUCUAACUGCAAAUUGAAGACCUUUAUUGCAAUGUUCAGUCCAUCUGAAAGAGUUCCUUGAAAUAGUGAUCCAAAACUCCCCACACCAAAUAAUUUGCUUUCAGAAAAUCCAUUUGUAGCCUGAUGAAGCUCUUGGUAUGAAACUCUUUGCCGUUCUGCUAAUGCCUGCAAAUUUUCUUGAUCUGUUGGCAGAUUUGCGUUCAGUUUCCCUUUUUUUUUGAGCAAAUGAUUACCAAAGCUAGUACUAAUACUGUUGAGCCAACUGGCACUAAAAUAUAUUCUACUAGCUUAAUAGCUUUCUUAGAAUGAUGUCUAAAAGAAUUAGUUUUGCAUGGUGGGAGUGGAAGGUGUAGUCGAGGUGUAGCACAUAAUGCUUUAUUCCCCAUAAAUGAUCGAAUAGAGUAGUUGGGAAAGGUUCCUCCAUCCGGAAUUUCUCCUUGUAGUCUAUUGAAAUAGACAUUGAAAUAUUCAAGAUACAAGAGUUUCUCUAAAGGCUUGGGAAUGAUUCCAAAGAAAUUAUUCCUUGACAAAUCCAAGAACUACAAUCCUUUCAAGCCCCCGAAUGACUCAGGAAUAGACCCUUGCAAUCUGUUGCCAAAUAAUGAGAGAUAAGUCAGGUCUCUAACAUCACCAAUGCUUUUCGGGAUUUCACCUAAUAAUUGAUUUUUGGAAAUAUCAAUAUUAUUAACAACCUUCCACUUUUCAAUGUCAAUCGGGAGAGCCCCACGUAGAGUAUUGGAAGACAUGUUUAGUUGCAAGAUAUCUACAAGUCUUGUCAAGGUUGAGGGUAUUGAGUCAGUAAACUUGUUGCGAUCUAAUAAUAAAUGUCCAAGAGAAAUGAGAUCACCCAAGCAUGCUGGUAUUGGUCCAACCAAUUUGUUACCCGCGAGAUCCAAGAAACCCAAACUCUUCAAGUGGCACAACUCAGCUGGAAUGGAUCCUUCUAACUUGUUUCCUUCAAGCGAGAGACUUUGCAAAUUCCGUAAUCUUCCGAUUGUGGUGGGAAUAGCAAUCAGUUCAUUGUUAUCUAAGUUCAAGCCAAUCAAGUUGCUUAGGUUGCCAAUUUCCCUUGGAAUACUGUUAGGAUAAAUUGUCGAAAAUAUUUAAAUUUAUUUGUACCAUGUUGUAAUAAAUAUUUUCCAUAUCAUUGGUGGAGUUAUCUUGUGUUAAAAUAAUACGUAAGAGUUACAAUGUCAUUUGGUUUUCAUUAAUUUGAGAUCAAAAUUUGUAAUAAAAAUGAAAGUGGACAAAAUCAAUAAUGAUGUUUGCCAAAAUAUUUAACCACACAUUUGUAAUAAAAGUAAGCUCUAAUUUUCAAACAAUUUUCCUUCUCAUCACUUUGUACUAUAACACUAUAAAAAUAUCAAUAUUCAUCAAUUGUGUAAGACAUCCAAAACCUAUACUUAUAAAGUUGUAUUCAUCCAUCUAUGAUCAUUCAAAUAUUUUUUAUUAUAAUUAUUAGGAAGAUUUAUUCAAUUUAUAAAUAAAAUUUUAAUUGCAUUAAAAGAUUUCAUUAAAAAAACAUAUAUUUAAAAUUUUAAUAGUAUUGAAUAAUUUAAAUAUUAAUAUUUUAAGUUAAAAAUCCUCGGAGGCAUAAGACAUUUUAUAUGGUCAACGGGGUGUUUUUCCCCUUGACCUGUAAAAUGUUUUACUUCUAAAAUAAAUAUUUAGUCUUUUAAAUAAGCAUAAGUCAUGAAAAUGUUUUCUAAAAAUUAUUUUAUGUCAAAAUAAAUGGACCCUUAAAUACAUUUUUAAUUUCGGUUUGAACAACAAACUCUCUACUAUCUUUCUUUUUAGUAUGGGAUUCAAUUCCCACUUCCAAUUUGAUAAAAUUGUGGGAAAAAUCACAUCUUUCAGUUUCUUUCACAAAUGUUAAUAUGGUCAAAUGUCUAAAAUAUGGAGUUAACCAUAAAAAAGAAAAGAAAAGACCCAAAAUAAGGGGCAUCCAAUUUUCAAUUGACAUGGAGAAAAUUGAAGACCACUCAACGAGUGCAAGAUUCACUGAAUGAUUAUCACUUCUAGAUGGAGUUCUUGGAAGCAAUGCUUUUGGCUAAGCUUCAUUUUGUCAACAAAAUCCAGACAAGUGCUUCUUUAGGGAUCAAAUCUUUGAGCAAAGUUUAAACAUUUAAGAAAGUGAGUUAAUUAAGUGUGGUAAGACAAUACAAUCUGUUUCUGACAUCUUAAUUCUUUGCAUAAAAGAAACUUUAAAAUUAGUUCAAUGCUCACUUUUCAUUUAGGAAUAACAGGAAUAAGAUACAGGAUCAAUACUGUACAAAUACUCAUUUUUUAAUUAAAAGUUAGAAAAAAUAAUUUCUGAGUCGAUUAUUAGUUGUCAUUUUAAUGCUGAAUUAGAAAACGGAUGAAGUUUUCUAACCCAAACAAUACACUAUAAUUGUACCUACAUACGACUUGAAGGCAACAUUUUUCCUGUAUUUACAACUUGUAACUUAGAAAGAUUGUGGUUGACUUAAGACUUAAAUGAUCACAAUAUUCUACCAUCUAGCUCAAAAAGCAAGUUUAAGUUGCACUCUUGUCAAUUCCAUUAUUUGCAGUAAGACAUUUCAUAGCUAGAAAUCAACCAAACACGGACGAAAGGAGAAAAUGUAAACCAUUUAUUAGAGCUUUUUUUUCCUUUCUAACUCAAAAUUAAGUCUUGAGUAGUCUUAUUUCUUUUCAUAUUUUAUUUCAUAUUAAUUGUUCAUUUUUAAAAAAAAAAUUUGAUCAGGUCCAGGUUUUGAAUCUUUCUUUCUUUCCUUGAACUUCCUCGUAGAAAUGUCCCAAAAUGAAACACGUCACAUGUCCUUCUACUCUCGUGAAUUCUUCACUUAAUUAGUUUUAAUUUGUUGCUUCUUAAAGUCAAGGUCCACUACUUCCAACAACCAAUCGUAAUUUUUAGUAAUUAAAGAAUACUUCUCCGGGUCAGGCACGAUAACGACCUCAUUGCGUUGGCUCUACAUGGUAAUGACCCUUGAAUUUAAUCGAUUUCCAUUAAGGUUAAUAUUCUUCAAUUUUUCAAUUGGUAUGGUCAAACUUCAAAAUUAUGGUUGGUUAAGAUCUAUUCUACAUUGAGUAUAGUAGUUGCAAGAUAUUCUUUCGAUAUAAACUUCCUUUGUGUUAAUCAAAUCCAGGUACGUGCUUCAUUCGGAGAUCAAAUCUUGAAAACUUGCCUCCAAUCUCAAAAAAUUGAGCAUCUCAUUUUAGUGAAACUUAUUUUGAGAUUGAAGUGUUAUAUAAGACAAUACAAUCCGUUUCUAACUUCUUUAUUCAUAAUAGCACCUUCAAAAUUUAGUGCUCAUUUUUCAACAAGAAAUUAAUAAACUGCAUUACUCAAGUUCCAAUUAAAAGCUAAUUAGAAAAGGGGGAAAAAUCUUCUGAUUUGGUUAUUGAUUGUCGUUUACCCAUUUUCCACACUGAAAUAUAAAACCACUAAACUUUUUUAACUCUUAACAGUAUACUAUAAUUAACCAUGUAAGACUUAGAGGAAAAUUUUCCGGUAUUAUUGACUACUUAAAAUGGAAAUAUUUUGAUUGACUUAUGACUUAUUGCAUCAAAUUCUACCAUCAAGAAAGCGAGUCACGCUACGGUCUUAUCAAUUUAAUUGUCUUCAAUAGGGCACUUAUGAUUUAUAUCCUCAAAUUCUACCACCUAGAAAGCAAGUUAAGCUACCCUCUUGUCAAUUCAAUUGUUUUCAAUAAGACAUUUUGUGUUUAGAAAUCAACCAUUACUGACAAGAAAAAAUGUAACCAUUGUAACACAGCAAAAACGACUACUGAGGAAAUGCUAUUAAUAUUUAUCAACAGACCCUCUAAUUUCUCAGAAUCCACAUUAUUCCAGCUUGACUAAUUAAUGACUUUUUUGACAAUAAUUUAAUGCGUACACCUAUUAAUUUAUCUCAUUAAUUUCCCCUAUUAAUCACUUGCAAUAAGAAGGAAAAUUUUGGAAACAAGGACAACAACAGCUAUUUUUCUUGUUAAACAUUGAAGAGAAAGCAUCAAAAGCCAAAGAUUUUGCGUACACCCACUUAAAACAGAGGACUACAAUCAGUGAGAUGUCUCACUGAACUUCUUAUGAGCUAACAAUAAAACUAAACGCAGUCAUUCUGCCGACAAACAUAACAGAACCCCAUAAAAGAAAAUUUACAAAUGAAGACAACCAGAAGAUCAAAAUCUAAAUAUUUAGUGAACCUUGUCAUAGGGAAUGAACUCAAAGCAACUAAGAAGAACAUACUUGCAAGCCAAAUCUUACUCAAGCAGACAAUUCCAUCUUCCUUCCGAUUUAUUUCAAAUGCCACUGUGACAACCAAAAAUAAAUAAAUAAUGGAAAAUUAACUCCAGGUAAUAGCAAAAGCUAUAAGAACCUAAGUAGUACCUUUACAUUAUUCAAAGCAGUUAAAACUCACUUAAAGCAUGUUCGACGUAGAGCUAGUUUCUUCUUCCUCUAUUCCUGCGAAUCAACCUUGUAACAUUCCCUUGCCAAUCUCUCUCAAUCAUUCUUACCCACCACCAUGAUCUUUCAGUUGUGAAUGCGAUGUAUCCCAUUCUCAAUCCUAACAAGUAUAGUAGAGUGGGCCUAGCUAAAUAUUAGACUCAUCAAAAUGAGCAAGUUACGAGUCAAGAAUGAUAUCAAAAGCCUCCUAUAAGGAUAUGUCUAAUUAAGAUCAAAUCUUUCUUAGUUAUUACCCCAAAAUGGAUAUCAAAUUUGUAAGUUCCCAACAAGGAUUUAGAAUACUAAACAAUUUCAAUAAAGAUGACAAAAACUAAACCUAAGGUAUUUGCUCUAGAGUGAUGAACCAUAGUCAAAUUGCAAUUCAUAAAGUAAUGAAGAGCCAAAGUCAUAAAAAUAUCAUACAUGAGCGGGAAGCAGGUUGUUUUGGACCUUACUGUUCUCAAUCGGUAAUUCUAUUGUUUACGUCUUCUUGUUGAAUAUUCUGUGUAAGUCUUUACAUUCAAGAAGCGAAUGACCAACUGUUUAGUGAUAAUCACAGUACAUUGGUUUAGGCUUCUCUUUUAUUGUUGGUGGUUGUGUAACAUAUGGUAAGUUUACUUGUCCAUCGUUGAUCCAUUCAUGGAGAAGUGCUCUCACUUUGUUUAGUGGAAUUAAAAAUGACAGAGAAGAAUCGUUCUCUUCAUUUGGUCUUCUCCUUGGGUUGUCUCUUCUAGGAUACAAAUAGAUUGAAAAUGACAUAUUCUUUCUUUACCUCAUCUUUGAAUUGCAUUCAUUGUUGGAGUAUUCCUUCUAUUGAAGCAAGUAGCUCCUUUUUGUUUGAGAACUGUAUUAUUGGUUUUUCUUGUCGCUUCCACCAAGGUAGCAGAAGUUGGAAGAGGUAAGUUCUCCAAGUGUAGUCUAUACUCGAACGAACAUCCCUUGAAUGUAAACUUUCACCAAUUCCUUCUCAUCAUGAGACUCUUGUAUUUACAACACCCUUUCUCUAAAAAGCUGGAUGUAUUCCAUGAGAUGUUCUUUAGACUUUUGAUAUUCGCUUCCCAAAUAAACAAGAGUAACCUUCUCUUGAGUUAAAAGAAAACUUCUCCUCAAACAUCCUACACAUUUGAUUUUAAGAUUCAACAAAGUUAAGGGUGAAAUUAACAUACCAUGUGUGGGCCUUUUCAAUGAGAGAUUUAGAGAAUUGUUUUAAUUUCAAGCCAUCAUCCAAUCCCGCUACUCCGAGUGUUUCCAUAAAUUUCAUAACAUGCUAUUGUGCAUCACUAGUUUUACCAUUGAAUUACUUGAAUUAAGGACUAGUGUAGUCCUUAGAAUAUGGCUUAAUAGCUACACUUGCUAGGCAAGAAAACUUAAGUUCAAAUUCGAAAAAGCUGAAGCUUUUAUUCUUCUGAUCUAGUAACUUUUGGAGCUCUGCCAUUGUCACAAAGCCUUAAGUAGUGGUUGGUGGAAUUAUUGCAGUAGAGAUAAUUGCUGGCAUAACUAACAUACAAGAGUUGAUCAAGUUGGGAUUUCCAACACCUACCACAUCAACUACAUUUUCUCCCUUUCCUCCAUUCACAUUUGUGUUUACAACUAAGGGAGUGGAUCCAUCAAGUGCAUCCUCAUCACCAUUAAAGCGUAUGGGUUGAGCUUGAAAAACGGUGGUAGUGGAGGAUGCAAGUUGAGAUAUGGUCUCCAACACUUGCCUAUUGUUGUCUUCCAACGUUUGCAUUCUCUCUUGAGAAGCUUCGAUCAUUUUCAUCAACUCUUGGAUGUAGGUGGAAAUAGGUGCAUCUUGGUUGCUAGAGAAACUGUCCUUCUCUUAUGGUAAUGCAACGUUUUGUUAAUAAGAUUUUACUUAAUACAAUUACUCUUCCCUAGUAAAGUCGUCAAAAUGUAAAAAAGGUUCUUGUGAUAGGGAGAGAAAGCGUUGCAAACAAGUAAAUGAUGCCCCGGAGGUGGCGAACAAGAAGAUCAUAGUAGUUUCUGAAAUAUUGAGUGUUGUGGCAAGUGAAAGACAAGAAGAAAAGAAUUAAAGAGAAAAGCUCUAAAGGAGAAUGUGUUAGCUCUAAGAGGAAGAGAAGGUCUUGAAUGAAUUGUGAAGGCUCUAUAUAUAGUGCCAAAAAUGGUGGUUACAAGAAACGGCUUUAAUGCACGUAAUGAAUGACAUUAUUAAGAACAAUUUUAAUGUUGGGUAAUCGUUAUUGAGAGUUAUGUUGAGCAAUAGUUAGAAACCCAUUAUGUGACCGUUGAAAUAAUUAGAUGUAAUAAGACUUCUUCUCGAGUAGAAGGUAAUAGAGAAGAGGUAUACGUAAAAAGGCACAAGAAAAGAAGUUGUAUGUGAAUAGGUACUGUAGACACCUAAAAAAUAAAUAAAAAAUUUAAAUUAUAAUAAAAUAAAAUAAAAUAUAAAAAAUAAAUAAAGAAAAUAAAUUAAAAAAAAGAAGAAGAGGUAUGGUUGGGCGUACGCCCAGCCAUCCUUUCCCCAACCACCAUGAGUCAUGGGGCUCUGGCUACCAACUCUUUGGUGCCAGAGCCCCAUUACCGGGUUGUCCAAAUUUUUUGGACAACCCCAUUUUUAAAGAAGAGGAGAAAGCAAACCAGAGAAGGGGACUGAUCACCUGCAAAAAGCCAUAAAAAAAAAACAGAAACGAAAAAAACCCAACAAAGAACCCCCCUAAAAAAAAGAGCAAAAAAAAAGGAAGAAGAAGAAGAGAGAGAAAGGUGAGAGGUCGACGUAGGGAAGGAAAGAGAGGCGUCGACGGUGGGAGUGUUACGUCGGGGAGAAAAAGGAGGAGGAGAAGGAAAGGAAGAAAGAAGAAAAAGAAAAAAGAGAAGGGAGACCCGCAGGGAGAAAGGAGAGAAAGAGAAGGAGAAAGAAAAGAAAAAAGAAAAAGAAAUAAGAAGCCAACGGGGAGAGAGAAAGGAAAGGAAAGAAAGAAAGAAGAAAAAAAAAAGAAAAAUGAGAAAGGAGGUGGGGGGCUUUUCACGGUUUUUUUGGAGAAAUUUUUGCAUGUUGUUGUACCUUUGGUGGCUUGCCUUGGCCCACAUAGUUUAGUCCUUUUUGAGCUAAUCUAAACCUACACAAGGUAAGAUCUAACUUGCAUGCCUUUUUACUUUAAUAUUUUUUUUAUUUUAUUUUUAUUUAUUGUGGUGGCUCAAUUAUUUAUGUUAAAGACAUAUUAUUAGGAGCAUAAGGAUAAUUUAAUUAAGACAAAAAAUAUAUUAUGUAGAGAUUAUGUGAUAUUUUAAAGUAGAAAAAUAACAACAAAAUAUAAAGUGGUAAAUGAAAAUAUGCGUAAAUAUUUGAAAAAAAAUAGGUAUAAACAAAUAUCCAAAAAAANNNNNNNNNNNNNNNNNNNNNNNNNNNNNNNNNNNNNNNNNNNNNNNNNNNNNNNNNNNNNNNNNNNNNNNNNNNNNNNNNNNNNNNNNNNNNNNNNNNNNNNNNNNNNNNNNNNNNNNNNNNNNNNNNNNNNNNNNNNNNNNNNNNNNNNNNNNNNNNNNNNNNNNNNNNNNNNNNNNNNNNNNNNNNNNNNNNNNNNNNNNNNNNNNNNNNNNNNNNNNNNNNNNNNNNNNNNNNNNNNNNNNNNNNNNNNNNNNNNNNNNNNNNNNNNNNNNNNNNNNNNNNNNNNNNNNNNNNNNNNNNNNNNNNNNNNNNNNNNNNNNNNNNNNNNNNNNNNNNNNNNNNNNNNNNNNNNNNNNNNNNNNNNNNNNNNNNNNNNNNNNNNNNNNNNNNNNNNNNNNNNNNNNNNNNNNNNNNNNNNNNNNNNNNNNNNNNNNNNNNNNNNNNNNNNNNNNNNNNNNNNNNNNNNNNNNNNNNNNNNNNNNNNNNNNNNNNNNNNNNNNNNNNNNNNNNNNNNNNNNNNNNNNNNNNNNNNNNNNNNNNNNNNNNNNNNNNNNNNNNNNNNNNNNNNNNNNNNNNNNNNNNNNNNNNNNNNNNNNNNNNNNNNNNNNNNNNNNNNNNNNNNNNNNNNNNNNNNNNNNNNNNNNNNNNNNNNNNNNNNNNNNNNNNNNNNNNNNNNNNNNNNNNNNNNNNNNNNNNNNNNNNNNNNNNNNNNNNNNNNNNNNNNNNNNNNNNNNNNNNNNNNNNNNNNNNNNNNNNNNNNNNNNNNNNNNNNNNNNNNNNNNNNNNNNNNNNNNNNNNNNNNNNNNNNNNNNNNNNNNNNNNNNNNNNNNNNNNNNNNNNNNNNNNNNNNNNNNNNNNNNNNNNNNNNNNNNNNNNNNNNNNNNNNNNNNNNNNNNNNNNNNNNNNNNNNNNNNNNNNNNNNNNNNNNNNNNNNNNNNNNNNNNNNNNNNNNNNNNNNNNNNNNNNNNNNNNNNNNNNNNNNNNNNNNNNNNNNNNNNNNNNNNNNNNNNNNNNNNNNNNNNNNNNNNNNNNNNNNNNNNNNNNNNNNNNNNNNNNNNNNNNNNNNNNNNNNNNNNNNNNNNNNNNNNNNNNNNNNNNNNNNNNNNNNNNNNNNNNNNNNNNNNNNNNNNNNNNNNNNNNNNNNNNNNNNNNNNNNNNNNNNNNNNNNNNNNNNNNNNNNNNNNNNNNNNNNNNNNNNNNNNNNNNNNNNNNNNNNNNNNNNNNNNNNNNNNNNNNNNNNNNNNNNNNNNNNNNNNNNNNNNNNNNNNNNNNNNNNNNNNNNNNNNNNNNNNNNNNNNNNNNNNNNNNNNNNNNNNNNNNNNNNNNNNNNNNNNNNNNNNNNNNNNNNNNNNNNNNNNNNNNNNNNNNNNNNNNNNNNNNNNNNNNNNNNNNNNNNNNNNNNNNNNNNNNNNNNNNNNNNNNNNNNNNNNNNNNNNNNNNNNNNNNNNNNNNNUUCAUUCAUGCAUCGAAUACGCAUCUAAUUCAUGUUUAUGAUUACAAUAAGGUUCCAAAAUAGCUCGACCACCUAAGCCAAGUGACCAACGUGUUCAUAAUACGCGUCAGCGAGCAAGGAUCAUGGAAGAAGAACAAAGAGAGCGAAUGGACAGAAUGGAAAGAGCUCAGGAAGAAAUGAGAGAACAGUUAGCACAGAUGAUGGAAUUGAUGAUGAGUUUCAGUAAAGGAAAAAGAGUGAUCGAAGAGCCAGCUCCGUCAGAAAACCCACCAGCUCAAGACAGUGGAAACCAAAAGGAUGACCCACCCUAUCCCCCAGGGUUCACUCCACCACAUGCCCAAACCUCUCAAAGGGUCCACCCUCAAAUGAUGCCUUCCGUUUAUGCGCCACCUUUGAUGGGCCAUCAACCGACUCAUGGGCAAUUUGGGCCAUAUUCUGGGAUAAAUCCUACUGAACCAAUACACGUCCCAGAUUUAGACGAUCCAAAAGAACAAGAGAAACUAAGAAAAGACUCGUCACAAACAGGAAAAAAUGAAAAAGACCAAAAAAAGUACGAUCUGUUGGAAGAGCGUCUUCGUGCUAUCGAAGGAGUUGAUAGGUUUGGUACCAUGGACGCAACCGAGCUAUGCUUAGUCCCAGAUGUAUUGAUCCCUGCCAAGUUCAAGGUUCCGAAAUUUGAAAAAUAUGACGGAACAAAAUGUCCCAUGGCACAUAUUACCAUGUAUUGUCGGAAGAUGGUUGCACAGUCUCACGAUGAUAAGUUACUGAUCCAUUUUUUCUAAGACAGCUUGACUGGGUCAGUUGCUCGGUGGUACGUAUAGCUAGAUCGAAAUCGUAUUAAGACUUGGAAAGACUUAGCAAGAGCCUUCAUAGCCCAAUACAAGCAUGUGGCUGAAUUAGCCCCCGAUCGGUUGUCAUUGCAGACUAUGGAAAAGAAACAAAGCGAGAACUUCAAGGAAUAUGCCCAAAGGUGGAGAGAUACAGCAGCGCAAGUACAGCCACCUCUCACUGAUAAAGAGAUGACUGUAUUGUUCAUAAACACACUCCGAGCUCCAUUCUAUGAGCGCUUGAUCGGCAAUGCCACGAAAAACUUUGCAGAUUUAGUCUUAUCAGGAGAAAUAAUAGAAUGAGCUAUCAAAAGUGGAAAAAUUGAAAGGCAUGAAGUUACUAGCUCAAAGAAAGGGAAUACGCCCAAGAAAAAAGAAGAGGACGUGCAAGCAAUCGCUCACGACAGCCAACAAGACCACAACUUUAACCCAUAUUACCCGUACCCCCCAUACCAACCCUUCUAUCCGAACAUAGGCAACAUCACACAAAACCCAUAUGUGUACCAACCUGCCCCGUAACCAACCUUUCAGACCAAUGUUCUUCCACAAACUCCACCACCAAGACCGGUAGCUUCAACCAAUAAUCCUGGCCAUGGUCAAUGAGGACCUAAAACUACCCUAGAAAGAUCAAAGUUUGAUCCUAUUCCAGUCCCUUACACUACAUUGCUGCCACAACUCAUAGAAAAUCGACUCCUUGCUCGAACCCCUUUAGAACCACUCCGACCACCUUUCCCGAAAUGGUAUGACCCGAAUGCGCAUUGUGAUUACCAUUUUGAAAUUCAAGGGCACUCCACUGAGAAAUGUACUGCUUUAAAACAUAAAGUUCAAGCGCUCAUUAAGGCAGGACUUUUAAAUUUUUCCAAAAAAGAUAGUUCGAGUGUUGAUGGAAACCCGUUACCUAAUCAUGGAAGACCAACUGUGAAUGCUAUACAUGAAGGGAUGAUUCGAAGGGUGAAAAAGAGUAUUGAUGAGAUUCAAACGCCAAUGGAUGAAGUGUUUGAGGCGUUGUCUAAGAUAAAUGUCAUCACUCCAGAACCCAUCAACACAAAGGAAUUAGGGCAUGAUCUCGCUUAUUCUUGCGAAUUUCAUAUGGGGGCAAUUGGGCAUUCCAUUCAAAAUUGUGAUAGCUUUCGUGGUAAGUUGCAAGGAUUGAUGGAUUCAUCGGUAAUUGAGUUUUAUGAAGAAGCUGAAGAGGAGUUGGUCGAAACCAUAAAUGAAGACACCCCAGCUGAAAUGGCAUCGAGUUCAUUCGGGGCGAACAAACCUAAACCUCUCACCAUCUUCUAUGAAGAAAACAGGAGCCCGAUGAAUGAUACAUCCCCUACUAUGAUCAGAAGUGGUAUUACCAUCGAAGUCCCCAGCCCGUUCCCUUACAAGAGUGAUAAGGCUGUCCCAUGGAAUUAUGAGUGUAAUAUUUUGGGCACAGCUUCAUACCCCCCCCCCCCAAGCAUCUUUUGAAGAUCUAAUUGGAGUAGGGGGUAUAACGCGAAGUGGACGAUGUUAUUCCCCUGAGAUGGCAGAAAGAGUUGAAAAAGGGAAACCUGCACAAGGAGAGAGAGGCCUGAAGAAAGCAGAUACUUUUUUCAAGGACCAAGUUAUCGAAUCUGUAGUUGCUCCGAACAAUAAGGUCAAAAAUCCUGUUACCGAGAAAGAAGCGGGUGAAUUUCUCAAGUUUAUCAAACACAGUGAAUACAGCGUGGUAGAACAAUUAACCAAAAUGCUUGCUCGCAUCUCACUGUUGUCCUUACUGUUGAAUUCGGAAGCACACAGGAACACGCUGCUCAAAGUCUUGAACCAAGCUUAUGUGGCACAAGAUAUAUCAGUGGAAAAGUUAGACCUUAUCGUGGGGAACAUCACAGUGGGGAACUUCAUUGCCUUUAAUGAUGAAGAAAUACCAUCGGGUGGUCGAGGGAGUAACAAAGCUCUGUACAUUACUAUCAAAUGCAAGGACCAUGUCGUGCCUAGGGUUUUGGUUGACAAUGGUUCAGCGUUAAAUGUCAUGCCUCGCUCUACUUUAACCAAGUUGCCAAUAGAUGUGUCGUACAUGAGAACCAGUCACAUGGUUGUAAGGGCCUUCGACGGGACCACAAGGGAGGUGGUAGGGGACAUUGAAGUACCAAUAAAAAUUGACCCUUGCGUUUUUUAGGUCCAAUUUCAAGUCAUGGACAUUGCCCCGUCAUACAAUUGCUUGUUAGGGCGUCCAUGGAUUCAUAUGGCGGGAGCCAUACCAUCCUCCCUUCAUCAAAAAGUUAAAUUCAUAGCUGAGGGCCAAUUGAUAAGUGUAUGUGCGGAGGAAGACAUACUGGCUAUUCAACCAUCAUUUGCUCUCUAUGUAGAGGCGACAGAAGAAGUCCCAAAAUGCUCUUUCAGAUCUUUUGAAUUUGUUAAUGCUACUUAUGUGGGGGAAAGAAAAGUGAUACCGACUCCUCGUUUGUCAGUAACAACUAAAAUGGGGGUUAAGCAGAUAGUGGGUAAAAGAUGUCGUGCCGGUUUUGGGUUAGGAAAGAAUUUACAAGGAAUCAACCGUCAUCUGACUCCAAUAAAAAAUGAAGAAAGAUUUGGUUUGGGGUACAAGCCUACUAAAGAAGAAAUAAGGAAACUGGCAGCUCGAAAGAAGAUUAAAAGGAUGGCUCAACUUGAGGGAAAGGAAGAAGAAUUUGGGGAACGGACAAUCCCACACUUAUAUGAGACUUUUCGCUCUACGGGUUUCAUUCAUCUCGAAGCACCAACAAAGGUCAAUCAGGUUCUACGGUUAUUUGAUGAGUUAUCAAUCCAUAUGAUCAGAGAUGAAGAACCUAAUGAGAAGAUUCCUGUGCUGUAUCCAGUACUGCCAGGAAAUGAGCUAAGCAAUUGGACAGCCACGAAACUGCCCAUCAUCUUUAAGUCUUCCGAAAUGUAAUGAAUAAUUUUAUCUAAAUGCCUAUGCCCAAGGGUGUUAAGAGUAAUUUCUUGUUUAAGUAGGGCUUUCUGUUACUUUCAUCAUUUAAAUAAAUGACAAUGCAUAAUGUGUUUCAUAAUUCAUCAAUCUUUUUGCAUAUUUCCUUUCAUCUAUUCUUUUAGCUAAUAAAUACUUACCCAUACACGCGUCCAACUUUACCUGUUUGCAGGUCUUUAAAUAAUGAACACGAAGACAAUCUAGACAACGAUUCGAAUAUCGAUUUUGAGAUGAUUCCGAACGUUGAUGAAUUGAAAAAUGAAGAGGAGGUGGAUGACUAUAACUUACCCCCUGAUUUGUCGAGAAUGUUGGAACAAGAGGAAAAUGAGAUUUUAACUCAUCAGGAACUCACAGAAAUGAUUAACCUCGAAAAUGGGAAAGAAAAGAAAGAGGUUAAGAUUGGCACCUUGCUGUCAUCUGAUGAACGGCAGAAGCUAGAAGAAUUGCUCCGUGAAUAUGUGGACGUUUUUGCUUGGUCAUAUCAGGACAUGCCAAGUCCUAAUACUGACAUGGUUGUUCACAAGUUACCUUUGGAAUCAGAUUGCAAGCCUAUUAAACAGAAGUUGAGAAGGACGAAGCCAGAAAUGUUGCUGAAGAUUAAAGAGGAAAGAAAAAAGCAAUUCGAUGCUGGAUUUUUAGAGGUGGCUAAGUACCCUGAAUGGGUGGCUAAUAUAGUUUCAAUUCCUAAGAAGGAUGGAAAAGUUCGAAUGUGCGUCGAUUAUAGGGAUUUGAAUAGAGCGAGUCCGAAAGAUAGCUUUCCUUUGCCACAUAUUGAUACUCUUGUGGACAACACAGCAAAACAUGCUUUGUUCUCAUUCAUGGAUGGCUUUUCUGGUUACAAUCAAAUUAAGAUGGCACCCAAAGGUAUGGAAAAAACAACGUUCAUAACCAUGUGAGGAACGUUUUGUUACAAAGUAAUGCCAUUUGGAUUGAAGAAUGCAGGCGCCACCUACCAAAGGGCAAUGGUAGCUUUGUUCCACGAUAUGAUGCAUAAAGAGAUAGAGGUAUAUGUGGAUGACAUGAUUGCAAAAUCUCAUACAGAAAGGGAUCAUACUGUCAAUCUCAAGAAACUGUUCGAGAGAUUGCGAAAGUUCCAGCUCAAGUUGAAUCCUGCAAAAUGCACUUUUGGUGUAACUUCUGGGAAAUUGUUGGGGUUCAUAGUAAGUGAAAAAGGAAUUGAAGUGGACCCGGAUAAAAUACGAGCUAUUCAAGAGCUACCACCUCCCAAAACGCAAAAAGAAGUGAGAGGAUUUUUAGGGAGGCUGAAUUACAUUGCUCGAUUUAUAUCCCAACUCACUUGCAAAUGUGAUCCAAUCUUCAAGCUGCUUCGGAAACGAGACCCAGGAGAGUGGAAUGAAGAAUGUCAAAUAGCCUUUGAUAAAAUCAAAGAAUAUCUCACAAAUCCACCGGUGUUGGUGCCACCGACGGUCGAAAAACCUCUCAUUCUGUAUUUGACUGUGAACAAGAAUUCUAUGGGAUGUGUAUUGGGACAACAUGAUGAAACUGGGAAGAAAGAACGAGCCGUAUAUUAUUUGAGCAAGAAAUUCAUGGAGUAUGAGUCCAAAUAUUCUGCGCUCGAAAAGAUGUGUUGUGCACUAGCAUGGACCGCUCAGAGGCUCCGGCAGUAUAUGUUGUAUCACACAACAUGGUUGGUGGCGAAAUUAGAUCCCAUCAAGUAUAUUUUUGAAAAACCCUGCCUGUCCGGAAGAAUAGCUCGAUGGCAAGUGCUAUUGUCUGAGUAUGACAUUGUGUAUGUGUCCCAAAAAUCAAUCAAAGGGAGCGCCAUCGCCGAUUUCCUUGCAGAUCGAGCUAAUGAAGAUUAUGAAUCUGUAAGUUUCGAUUUUCCAGAUGAAGAUUUGAUGGCCGUCUUGCAUGUAGAAGAGGUUAGUCCCAAUGAACUUAAUCCAUGGAAGGUGUAUUUUGAUGGAGCAUCCAAUGCUUUGGGGCACGGAAUUGGGGCAGUGUUGAUUUCUCCAAAUGGAAAGUACUAUCCAGCCACGGCGAGAUUGAAUUUCAAUUGUACUAACAAUAUGGCGGAGUAUGAGGCGUUGGUACUGGGAUUACAAGCAGCAAUUGAUAUGAAGGCUGAUGCGAUAGAUGUUUACGGAGAUUCGGCUUUAGUGAUAUGUCAAAUGAAAGGUGAAUGGGAAACUAGAGAUCCUAAACUAGUUCCAUAUAAAAAGCUGGUUACAGAAUUAAGCAAACAGUUCAAAGAAAUCAGCUUCAACCAUUUGCCUCGAGAAGAGAAUCAGAUUGCUGAUGCUUUGGCCACCCUCGCAGCGAUGUUCAAAAUAAAAGAGGCGGCCGAUGUACGCCCUUUUGAUUUAGAAGUUCGUGAAGUCUCCGCACACUGCUUGAAUGUUGAAGAAGAGGUUGAUGGUAAGCCGUGGUAUCAUGAUAUCAUGCAAUACAUCAAGCAUCAGGCAUAUCCUGAGAAUGUCACGGAUAAUGACAAGCGAACUCUUCGAAGAUUAGCAAUGGGUUUCUUCCUUAGCGGAGAAGUGCUCUACAAAAGGAGUCGAGAUCAAGUACUCUUGAGAUGUGUGGAUGUUGCGGAAGCCAACAAAAUAAUGAAAGAAGUCCACGAAGGAACUUGUGGAGCUCAUGCUAAUGGACAUAUGUUGGCUAGACAAAUUAUGAGAGCUGGUUAUUAUUGGUUGACAUUGGAAUCAGACUGCAUAAACUUUGCUCGAAAAUGCCACAAGUGUCAAGUAUACGCUGAUAGAAUCCAUGCUCCACCAGCCCCAUUGCACGUUUUCACGGCACCUUGGCCAUUUUCAAUGUGGGGAAUGGACGUGAUUGGACUUAUUACGCCAAAAGCCUCUAAUGGACAUCGAUUCAUAUUGGUGGCCAUUGAUUAUUUCACGAAAUGGGUAGAAGCAGCUUCCUAUGCCAAUGUGACACAAAAGGUGGUGUGCAGGUUCAUCCAAAAGGAGAUCAUAUGUCGGUAUGGGCUUCCAGAAAGGAUCAUUACGGAUAACGCAAGCAAUUUGAAUGGUGCGAUGGUGAAGGAUGUUUGCGCUAAAUUCAAGAUCAAGCAUCAUAACUCGACAACUUACCGUCCGAAGAUGAACGGAGCGGUAGAGGCAGCCAACAAAAACAUCAAAAAGAUUGUCGAAAAGAUGACUGAAGUUUAUAAAGACUGGCAUGAGAAACUUCCUUUUGCCUUACAUGCAUAUCGAACUUCUGUGCGUACCUCCACCGGGGCAACUCCGUACUCAUUAGUAUACGGUGCAGAAGCAGUUCUACCUGUUGAAGUAGAAAUCCCAUCAUUGAGGGUGUUGUUGGAAACGGAAUUGGAAGAUGCUGAGUGGGUCCGCUCCCGCUACGAACAGUUGAAUCUGAUUGAGGAAAAAAGGCUAACGGCUCUUUGUCAUGGCCAGAUGUACCAACGAAGGAUGAUGCGAGCAUACGAGAAAAAAGUUCAUCCCAGGCAGUUCCGAGAAGGAGAGUUGGUUCUCAAAAGAAUACUCCCUAAUCAAACUGAUUUUCAGGGGAAAUGGAUGCCGAAUUGGGAAGGGCCAUACGUGGUAAAGAAGGCUUUUUCAGGAGGAGCUUUGAUUUUGGCUUACAUGGAUGGGGGAGAUCUGCCUAAUUCGAUAAAUGCGGAUGCGGUGAAAAAGUACUAUGCUUAAAAAAAAAAGGAAGGGGUUCGUGCUGAAAACCCGAAAAGGGCAGCUUGUAUCUAAAAGAGGAGGCUCAUGUUGAAAACCCGAAAAGGGCGGCUUGAGGCCAAAAAGCAGGAAGUUAGAAUGGAAUUUGAGGAUGUCAGCCUAAACGGGACACAAGAUUGAGGUAAAAAUACACCAUGAAUGGAGCUCCGCAAUCUCACAAAAUAGGGGAAGCUAGGGAGUCUGCAACCUACAGAUUUGCUCAAAGCAUCAAUCAAGGACAAUUCUUGAAGUCGAAUAUUAGAUUGUUUUCUCUUAGUGGUCUGAGUGUUCAUUACUUAAAGAUCUAAUGUUUGCCCUGUAAAUUCUUUUUGCCUUGAAUUAUUUGAUUCCUCAUAUAUAUGAAAUUCUUCUUCGCCUCUUUAUUUUAACCCUUUCGUUAUUCACCAUCCCAUGAUUCACAUAGUGAUUGUCAUAGAAAUGAAUGAUGACUAGUAAAAGAAAUAAACUAAUUAAGUAAGAAAUUAUACUCAUUGUUCAGCAAAAGACUUAAUAACGAAGAAAAAGAAUGGCGGAGCCUUAAACUUGGGGCAAAAUCAAAUGUCAAAAGAAAAGGUGCUUAGGGAAAAUCCGGAGUUACUAGAAGAAAGGCACAAGACGAAGGUCAUUAAAAGCUACAGUGAAAAAUCGGAUGAAGCAAGAGAAGGGUCUUGGAACCUUAAUGAAUCGUAAACAUGAAAACAUUUCAUCAUGUCAAUCAUGCAUACAUGCCUAGCCAUGCACUCGACAAGAAUCAAAAUUAAUUCAUGUCCCAAGCUUUGAAGGUCGAAAUUCACUUGACCUAAAAUGUUGAGAUUGUAAAACUUUAAUGGAAGGAUUUAAGUCUUUUCAUUUCAUGUUAAUCCAAUUAAGUUAGCAUUAAAGAAUUAAAUCGAAUCUGUUGUGAGAUAGGUCGAGCCUAGAUUAAGUCUAGGAAUUUCAAUUUUUAAAAUCGAACCUGUUGUGAGAUAGGUCGAGCCUAGAUUAAGUCUAGGAAUUUCAAUUUUUAAAUCGAACCUGUUGUGAGAUAGGUCGAGCCUAGAUUAAGUUUAGGAAUUUCAAUUUUUAAAUCGAACNNNNNNNNNNNNNNNNNNNNNNNNNNNNNNNNNNNNNNNNNNNNNNNNNNNNNNNNNNNNNNNNNNNNNNNNNNNNNNNNNNNNNNNNNNNNNNNNNNNNNNNNNNNNNNNNNNNNNNNNNNNNNNNNNNNNNNNNNNNNNNNNNNNNNNNNNNNNNNNNNNNNNNNNNNNNNNNNNNNNNNNNNNNNNNNNNNNNNNNNNNNNNNNNNNNNNNNNNNNNNNNNNNNNNNNNNNNNNNNNNNNNNNNNNNNNNNNNNNNNNNNNNNNNNNNNNNNNNNNNNNNNNNNNNNNNNNNNNNNNNNNNNNNNNNNNNNNNNNNNNNNNNNNNNNNNNNNNNNNNNNNNNNNNNNNNNNNNNNNNNNNNNNNNNNNNNNNNNNNNNNNNNNNNNNNNNNNNNNNNNNNNNNNNNNNNNNNNNNNNNNNNNNNNNNNNNNNNNNNNNNNNNNNNNNNNNNNNNNNNNNNNNNNNNNNNNNNNNNNNNNNNNNNNNNNNNNNNNNNNNNNNNNNNNNNNNNNNNNNNNNNNNNNNNNNNNNNNNNNNNNNNNNNNNNNNNNNNNNNNNNNNNNNNNNNNNNNNNNNNNNNNNNNNNNNNNNNNNNNNNNNNNNNNNNNNNNNNNNNNNNNNNNNNNNNNNNNNNNNNNNNNNNNNNNNNNNNNNNNNNNNNNNNNNNNNNNNNNNNNNNNNNNNNNNNNNNNNNNNNNNNNNNNNNNNNNNNNNNNNNNNNNNNNNNNNNNNNNNNNNNNNNNNNNNNNNNNNNNNNNNNNNNNNNNNNNNNNNNNNNNNNNNNNNNNNNNNNNNNNNNNNNNNNNNNNNNNNNNNNNNNNNNNNNNNNNNNNNNNNNNNNNNNNNNNNNNNNNNNNNNNNNNNNNNNNNNNNNNNNNNNNNNNNNNNNNNNNNNNNNNNNNNNNNNNNNNNNNNNNNNNNNNNNNNNNNNNNNNNNNNNNNNNNNNNNNNNNNNNNNNNNNNNNNNNNNNNNNNNNNNNNNNNNNNNNNNNNNNNNNNNNNNNNNNNNNNNNNNNNNNNNNNNNNNNNNNNNNNNNNNNNNNNNNNNNNNNNNNNNNNNNNNNNNNNNNNNNNNNNNNNNNNNNNNNNNNNNNNNNNNNNNNNNNNNNNNNNNNNNNNNNNNNNNNNNNNNNNNNNNNNNNNNNNNNNNNNNNNNNNNNNNNNNNNNNNNNNNNNNNNNNNNNNNNNNNNNNNNNNNNNNNNNNNNNNNNNNNNNNNNNNNNNNNNNNNNNNNNNNNNNNNNNNNNNNNNNNNNNNNNNNNNNNNNNNNNNNNNNNNNNNNNNNNNNNNNNNNNNNNNNNNNNNNNNNNNNNNNNNNNNNNNNNNNNNNNNNNNNNNNNNNNNNNNNNNNNNNNNNNNNNNNNNNNNNNNNNNNNNNNNNNNNNNNNNNNNNNNNNNNNNNNNNNNNNNNNNNNNNNNNNNNNNNNNNNNNNNNNNNNNNNNNNNNNNNNNNNNNNNNNNNNNNNNNNNNNNNNNNNNNNNNNNNNNNNNNNNNNNNNNNNNNNNNNNNNNNNNNNNNNNNNNNNNNNNNNNNNNNNNNNNNNNNNNNNNNNNNNNNNNNNNNNNNNNNNNNNNGCUCAAUUAUUUAUGUUAAAGACAUAUUAUUAGGAGCAUAAGGAUAAUAAUUAAGACAAAAAAUAUAUUAUGUAGAGAUUAUGUGAUAUUUCAAAGUAGAAAAAUAACAACAAAAUAUAAAGUGGUAGAUGAAAAUAUGCGUAAAUAUUUGAUAAAAAAUGGAUAUAAACAAAUAUCCGAAAAAAAAAUUAAAAAAAAAUACUAAAAAGAUGAUAAUGGUUGUAAUAGUAAAUAUAUAUAUAUAUAUAAUUGGGAUCAAUAUUCAUAUUUAGAUACUUGUAAACAUAAUAUAUAUAUAUAUAAACAAAAAAUAAAAAUAAAAAAUAAAAACGACAUGAUACAAAUAUAAAAAAUUAUAAGAAAAAUGAGAUGAUUGUUUGAGAAAUUCCAUGUAAGAAAGGCAAAGAGUUGCUUCUUUUAAGUGGAUUUUUUUUUUAGUGCGAAGUUUGAGACGAAUUUUCACCGAACCGUCGGGAUAAAUCCGAACUCUAAACUCCAAUACCCAUUAAGUCAAAUAGCGUUGUUAAAAAAAUAAAUAAAUAAAAUAAAAUAAAUUUACAUGAUGUUGAAUCCAAACUUAAAUUAGUUAAUUAGCUUAAAUAAAUAUUACUAAAUAAAGUUAACUUAAUCGUUUAAAAAAAUUAAUUAAUUGUUUAUUUGAUAAGUUAUAUAAUCAAGUUAAACGUUAAUCAACAAUGUUAAUUAAAAGAUAUGGAUCUAAAUAAAAAAAAUGAAAAAUAAUAAUAAUAAUAAAAUAAAUAAAUAAUUCAUGAAAAAAUGGUAAAAUAAAUAUAUAAAUAAGGUGAUAAAUUAUUAAAUACAUAAUUGGAUGAAUUAUGAACCGCUUAAUUCAAUAAACGCGUGCAUGUAGAUGUCAUCAUUCUAUACUGUCAUUGCAUGCCACAUUUAUUUUGCAAAUGGUGCGGGAAUCCCGAUGAUGGAAUUUUCCCGAAGAGCUUGUAGAGACGAGGUCUUCCGGGGAUAUCUCUAGGUGAGGAGAAUUUUGAGACUUCACCAAAGCGUUGGGAUGGUCUUCGAAUAAUUUUUCGAUAAAAGAUUACCGACUCCAUUAUUUAAAACAAACAAGUCAUGACAUCAUUUUACGCUUGUAUCAUGUGCAUACGUAAAACCAAAUAAAAACUCUCAAUCAGUCAAUUUAAUAAAAAUUUAAUUAAUAAGUAGGGAUUAAAUUAAAAGUAGACUAUAUUAAGAUAACUUAAGAUCAAAUGGUACUGUUCGCGGAACGGGCGCCACGGAGGUGCUAACCCUUCUCCGUGCGUAACCGUACUCCUGAACUCAUCUCUAAAAAUGUAAACCAGUUCUCGUUCUUUCGACGAACCUAAAAUUAAUUUAGGACUUCAUCGAUUAGAAUCAGAUUAAUAGGUGACCAAUCACACCUUAGAAAAAAGAUUGGUGGCGACUCCCACACUAUAUAAUUUUUGCCCGCGUCUGGUGGUUGGGUUUUUGGACCCGCACGUUACGACAAGUACAAGAGAAGAAGAUGUUAUGUGAACAGGUACAUUAGAACAAGGUAAAAGAGGGAAACACUUGUACUUUAGGAAAAGGCUAACUACCUCCAUAUCUGAGCCACUAAGCCAAAAUCUCCAAAAUAUCUCAAAAUGGAAGUAACUAGUAAUUCCUACCACUUAUUUUGGGUUGCUUCCACUGCUAUUCGUAUGUAGUAGUGCUUCACUUGCUCUAGUUGUUUUGCGUAAUGUAGCACUUUAUUGUUUUUUUUUUGGAAAAGUAUGGGAAAGUCUAUCAUUUAAAAGGGGAAAAUGUUGAACAAAAAGGAUGUGGGUAAUGGUUAACCAAAAAAAAAAAAACUUCUUACCCCACGAGAACCAUAAGUUGCUCUAAAUUAGGGGUCAGUAAGCCAAAUAAUCCUGCAUAAAAUAUACAGCCUUUAUUCCACUCAUAAGAAGCAAAAUACUUACACCUAACUCAUAGAUAGCCACAACAAGCAAGAAGCAAGAAAAAUUUUAUCACAAAAGACAAGGGUACAAGAAUCAGAAACAAGAACAAGCUAAAGAUGGCAUUAGGCAUUCUCAUUGAUCUAGAGAAAGUUUUGAAAGCAUGAUGCACCUCUUUUAGCUUGGCAAUCAACUUUGUCAUUAGCCAAUCUAGGAAUGUGCAUGAUAUUCCAACAACUAACUGAGUUGAGAGUCCUAAGGAUUUGGAUGAUUAACGGCCUAAGCUUCCAUGGAACUUCAGAUGGCUUCUUGAUCCAACAAACCACAUUCUUAGAGUUAAUCUCAAUUAUAAAAGAGUGAAAAGAAUUCCACCUUGAAAUCGCAUAAAUCAAAGCUGCCUCUUUGAUCACCAGAAGUUCAGCACGGUUGGCGUACAAGAUCUUAACAAGUUUAGAGAAAAUGAUAAGAUUGACUCUGUUUUCAUUAUGCAAUAUACCGCUAAUUUUGGAAUCACUAGGGUAGCCUUUCGUAGCCCCAUCAAUGUUAAAUUUAAAGACCCCAGUUAGAGGCUUGGACCAAGUUUCCACCUCUACUGCCAUUUCUUUUUGUACUAGGAACAAUACCAGCAUUAAGGAAUCACGCAAGAUCACCUACAGAGGAGUUAGUAUGAGGCUAUUUCAUAUUAAUCCACCCGACAAUUCUAAUUUUAAUGAGCUCAAAGAUUGAGCAGUCAUCCCAUUGUUUGCCCCUAAACACCACUUCAUUCCGAGUUAUCCAAAUAGCCAUAACAAUGGCAUACUAACCCAUUUUCCAAAUUUCACCAUUUUUAAAAGUGUAAGCAAAACCAAGCCAAUUAAGAAAACAAUUGAGUGGGUUAUUAUGUGAAACCUAAUCAACGCUCCACAAAGCACACCAAAGUUGCUAAAUAAGCCAAGAUUUUUCACAAGCAAAGAAUAAUUGAUGUACCGUUUCAAGCUCACUUCUACACAAAAGGCAUGCGGCUGCAUUACUACUAAUAGCACCUCUCUUGGCAAGCAUUUCUCAAACUGCCAAGCAGCUUCUCACAAGCUGCCAGCAAAAACCUCUAUUUUGUAUAGAGCCAAUCCCAAUCAAAUCAUCUUCCAAUGAUUUGGAUGAGGGGUGAUAGUGAAUUAAACAUGCCAACAAAAAGAAUUAAAGGAGUAUUCACCUCGAGAGGUCCAUUUCUAGAUGAGUUUGUCUUAAAAGUCCUUAUUAGUCACCUGGUCAUCCAGCAAAAAGCAAAAGCAGUCCCAUUGUUCACAUUCCAAAUCAAAAACGUCUCUCCAAAGUUCAAUUUUCCAAGACUAGCUAUUCUCAUUCCAUUCCCCGAAUUCAUAAACUUUUCCUUCCUUCUUGUGCACAAGUGCAAAUACUCUAGGAAAAGUCGUUUUCAAGACGAGGCCUUCAAUCCAUUCCUCCCCCCAAAACUUGAUUUUAAUACCGACACCCAAAAAUAAGUGCAUGCCCUCGGAUACAAAACUACUAUGCUCACAAAUACCUUGAAGUGGUUUGACAAUAUUUUUCCACAUGACAGAGGCUUUAUUUCUACCACCAAGACUAGGAAUCAAGCUGUUAUGAUCUAACCCCAAUUUACCAUCGACGACUUGCCUCCAAAAGCUUUCAAGUUUGUUAUCGUAUCUCCAAAAUCAUUUGUUAAGAAGAGCUCUAUUUUUAAGCUUGAGCUCCACCAUCCUAAGGCCACCUAAGUCUUGAUAGUUGCACGCAUUUGCUCAGUUGACAUAACAAAGUAGCCCUUUUCUUGCUCUAGUUGUUCUUCGUGAAAUAGCGCUUCACUUAUUUUAGUUGUUUUGUAUGAAAUAGUGUUUCACUUGUAAUGGUUGUUCUCACUGUUCUUUGUACAAUAUUAUACUGUAAAAUAAUUCUUUAGAGAAUUGUAUUAACCAAAAUCAAGUAUUUACAAUAUUUAUAUGGAACAGCAAACUUUAGAGUUUUGGUUUUUAUUUUUUCUUUGAGCUAUGAUAAAAUGAUUAAAAUGAUGGGCAAAUUGCAUUAAGUUUAAUGCUGACAGUUCAUGAAUAAAGGAGGCAGCUUCAAGUAUGGAAAAAACCAAUCACCUUUAAAUAGCAUUACUAGAAAAUUCAAUCAUAACCUGCCUUUAAAGAAAAGAAACACUCUGCUUUUAUCAUGAACUACUUUAAAAUAACCAAAAAUGAAAAACGCCGAUGCCUCCGACCAUAAUGUCCUAAAGUAACAGGAAAUAAAUUCUAUAUUAGCUCUUAGGUCAUCCUUUGGGUAGCUUCCUUGGCAAGUACCUUCUCUUUGGCUUUGGUUCUCACUAGGGAUUUGGAACCCAUGAUACUGCCACCCCAUUUCUUCCUAUAUUCAUCAUACUUGUCAUUGACUUUAGAAUAUUGAUUGUAUUGGCUUAUUUAUUCUUCCUCUAAUUUUGUGAAUUUGCCUUUUGACUUUUUGGUUUGGGCCGAUCUGGAUUAUCUUCACUAGCCAAGCUGGUUUUCCUGUUAUGAAUACAUUGUAUCCCAUGCUCAAUGCGAACACAGGUCCACAUCCAUAACCCAUCAUUGCACAUUUCCAAGUAAGUGUUCUUCCAUAAUCAUCAUCUUCAUCAAAUAUUGAUGGAGGAAGUUUUGUUCCCUCACUUUCGCCGCAUUCCUUUGACAAUGGAAACACACAUAACCGUAAGUUACCAAUGUAGGAAUCAUUUGUGAAAGUAUCAAAUUGAUUUCCUCUAGGAACCGAUCCCAUGAGAUUGUUUUGAGAAAGAUUUAACAUUGUGACAAAUAUCAGAUUCCUUAAUUACAUAGGGAUGCUUCCUUCAAUCAUAUUUGAUGAGAGAUCUACUGGUUCGAGUGCUAACAAAUUCCCCAAUGAUGAUGGGAUUUGACCUGUUAGGCUGUUAAGAGAGAAGUUGAGGACCAAAAGAUCUUUAAGUUCUCCCACUACUUCAGGAACCUGUCCUUCUAAUUGAUUGCCUGAAAAAUCAAUAGUUGUGAAAAUAUCUAAUAUUUUCUCAAAAUUUAUCUCCAAUCCUUUGAUUCUUAAAAUCAUGGAAUCAUAAUAAUAGAACUCUCCAAUAUAAUUUGGACCAGUUGGCUCUUCAUGGAUAUUUUUCUUAGCCUUCAAAUUUCGAAAGAAUGUGGUUGGCAAGGGGCCAUUGAACUCAUUUUGAGAGAGAUUGGUGAUUCGCAAACUAGUAAAGAAAGAUGUGCCCCCUCAAAUUUGGUAUUGGACCAUGAAAUUUAUUAGAUCGCAGGACAAGGAUUUGCAGACUUGAAAGUACACCUAACAAAUGAGGAAAGGAGUCUUUCAAGUUGCUGUUGCCCAAAUCUAAAACUUCCAAUUCACUGCAAUUCACCAAAGAUUGUGGCAUGGAUCCUUCUAGUUGGUUGUCUUUGAGGUUAAGGCUUCUCGACAAAUUACCUUCAUCAGUACACAUCCUUGGGAUUUUGCCAUCGAAGUUAUUCAUUCAUAAAUUCAAACAGAGACGAAGUCAUAAUUUCCAAGACAUUUUGGAAUGAUUCCACUCAAGUUGUUCUUUGACAAGUUGAGGACUUGAGGGAAAGUUAUAUUGCAAAACCCUGAAGGGAUUUCUACUGUCAAUUCAUUUUCUGAAAUGAAGAGAUGAUGUAUUGUCUGUGGGGGAGUAGGAAGUGGUCCUUGAAGCGAAUUUGAACGAAGGUCAAUUGUCUGAAAAGUCUUCCUAGGAAAUUGCUCUUCAUUUGUCAACAAAUUGUUAAAUGCUGAUGAUGGCAAUAAACCAUGGAAAUUGUUAAAAGAAAAAUCCAACUUAAUUAGUUUCUUGAAAUUCCCAAAAACAUCUGGAAUUUGACCUUCAAAAUUGUUAAAUUUUAAAUGUAAGAAAGUGAUUUUGGUGAGGCUUCCAAGAGAUGAAGGGAUAGACCCUGUGAAAUCACAAAAAGAAAGGUCAAGUUCUUCCAUUUCAAGAUUUCCAAUUGAGUCUGGUAACUCCUCUGAGAAACUUGCUCCUGCAAGGGAGAUAACCAGUGAGAUUAGGAUUACGGGUUAAUAUGAUUUUUUCUAGAUAUGGAAAGCAGAAAAUUUCACUUCGAAAUUCCCCUUGCUGUAAACCUUUGACUUUAAUAUGAUCAAAUGUUUCCACAUUAAGAAAAGUUAUUAAAUCAACAUCUCAAUGGUGACAGAAGCACUAGAACAAGGUGUAAAAUAGUAGUUUGAGAAGAAAGGCAAAUCAGAGAAGGUUUUGGUGCAAGACGGACUAUAUAGAAUACUUGCCGGUUAUGAAUAAGAACAUUGUUCACAAGCUUAUUAGGCUUAGUUUGUAGGUAACAUUUAGUUUCCGGAGUACAUUAUACAAGCGAAAACAAAGAUUUGCACAAUGAACAUUAGUUUGCAGGCUUCAAACUUUUAUUUAGGAACUAAUUAAGUGAGGUGGUCUGGCCGUCUCCAAGGGCUGCAAUGCCACCAUAUUGCCACAAUGUAAGCAAUAAGAUUAGCCUGGAUUGUUAUAGUAACAUAUUUGGAUCCUCUUCAUUACGAACCAGCAAUUAUACAGCAAUUAUAGAAUCAAUGUGGUUUGCAACCCACCUCUUCACAGUCAAGAGUCCAUUCCAGGAGCUGUCGCUUAGAUUAUUUGCGGCAAUGAGUCAUUUGGAAAAUUUCCAUAACAAAACUCAUUGUUCUCAAGAAAAGAUACAUAGAAACCUCUAGGAGAAGGCCUAUAGACAUUUUGAGAUAUUUUGAAUGGCUUUUGAUUAUAAAUGUGCCAUGGACAAAAGAAGUAGGGAGUGAACAGAAAAGAAGCCAUGAUUAAUGGUGGCUAGCUAGCAGCUUUGCUGGUUUAAUCUGUAUUAAAGAAAAAUGUUGGAGUUAAAACUUAAAACCAAUGCUGAAAACUUUGUUAAAAAUUUAGCACAUAGCUAUCUCAGCAUUUCAGUUUUACCUUGAAAACAAAAAAUUAAAUAAUUAAUAAAAACUGGUUAGCAUAUGCAGGCCGAAAAAUUGACUUGUAAGCUAAUAGUAGUGUAAUAAAAGAAUGAUGAAAAUCCAAAACUAUUGUGCAUCUAAUUAAUUUCUUCCCUCAAAUUUUCUUUAAACGAUUUGAAAAAUAAACUUAAAAGGAAAAAUAUAGCUUCCUUAAUCAAUUUAGAUAACCUGAGUAGACAAAACAUGAAUUUCCUUAUUAUCUUUCUUAUAUAUCAGAAGUUUCUGUAGCAGAAACUAAGGUUUACUUUAACGUGUAGUUGUGAAGAUAAACAGAGAUCAAAUUAUUAUGAAUACAUUGUCUUAUUGUGCUCUAUUCCAAUUUCUGUGUAAUUAUUUGAAAUUUUCCAGAACUUUGAGAUAACUUAAAUCAGAAUCAACCAUCACUUGCUUAAUCAAAUCAUCACCUUAAUUUCUCACUAUUUAAACCCCAAUUUCAUGACCCUCCACCUACUUUUAUGUUUUGUAAUGUGUCGUGAGCAGGCCUAAGGCCCAAAGCCAUAUGGAGUCCUAUCAGAAGGUUCUUAUGUGACUUCAAGAAUAGAUAUUCCAUCUGUCCCAAAAAGGAUAGGCUAUAUAUUCCCUAACAAUUGUCAGCUGUCAAGGAAGGAUACCAACCGUACGACUAUCUCUUCUUUCUCCCUCAUAUCCUCUCCCUCUCUAUUCUGUCCUUCUCUUCCUCCUUUGGUGAGUUCUUACUCACUUAUAAAGCAUAAGAAAAGGAAUCACAAGAAAACCUCUGAUGUCCCAUUUUUGUGCAGGCCCAGACGCAUCAUCUCAACCCAGAUCAUCCCAGUCCAUGUCCAACAACAUCAUGCAUUUACAAAGACAAAUCGAAAGUAAUCUAUAAUAUUUAUUUAUUCAUAUUGGUUGUUUUAAGACUAUGCAUCACCAAUAUUACAUGGAUAAUCAUAUUAAAGUAUUAUAAUUGAUUAACAAUGUAACGAGUAGAACCUAAUUGUGUCGUUAGUGUAGAAUUCACUAAAAGCUUGAGCUAUUACAAGUUAACGAAAUACAUAAUUUAAAAAAAAAAAACCUAAUUUUUGGACACCUAUAAAAGUUAAGUUAUAUUUGUAAAGUUAAGUUCAGAAAUAUAAGCAAUAUAAACUAAAUCUUAUAUCUCUAUUAGUUUUUCUUUAGGAGAUUAUAUUUACAAAUAAAAAUUAUAAUUAAAUUAAAUAACUUUUGAUAUAUAUUAUAAUAUAAAAUACACUUUUAAAUAAACCAAAAGUCAUACACCCAUAAAAUAGAUCUAUAUAGUACAAUAAUAAAUUUAUUUGGACUGGAUUAUCAUAGCAUAACAUAAAACUAAAGACAAUUAUGAAAGUUCAAUAAAUUAAAGAUAACAUCUUAAAGCAACCGGCUUGCGAAGAAAAGAAAAUCAAGGCAGGUACUCACCUCCAAAAUAAAGAAAAAGGAAACAACCAAUUAUUGGGUAAAAUAAAAGCAUCUUGACAUUGAUACGUUGAACCUGCACUCAAACUUCAUUUUCUCGAUUUGGGAUUAAAAGGAAUCCAAUGGAAAUGUCAUCAACAUGAUGGUAUUUUCAUCAAGCCCUUUUGUUUGAAUCCUUCAAAAACUUGAUUUUGAUCUUCUUCAGCUUAGCAACAACGAUUUUCAUGUCAAUCCUCUCUUCUGGCAACUCUUCUGAACAUUCUAAAGCCAAUUGUAAAAUAGACAAUGCACAAUCCUUUAUGGCAAAAUGUUCUCGCUCCUUGCUACUGAUUAGCAAAUUGGCAUCUAUAACUUGAGUUAAUGCAAAUGGUAACGACUUAGUCAACCAAUGUUUUAAGCUCAUUUCUCCAACAAACAUUACAUCCGUGGGCUUCUUUCUUGUUAAGGUUUCAAUUAGAAGAAUACCAAAACUGUACACGUCGCUUUUUAUGGAAACAAUUCCUUGUGUUCCGUAUUCUACAUGUAAGUCAAUAAAACCAUCGUCAAAGUAUGCAAUGAUUUUACAUGAAUUAUCGUAAUAGAUAAAGAAAAAGUCUAAAGUUUAAGCAUUACCUGGUGCCAUAUACCCAAUCGUUGCUAGUGUUAGGGUUUGUACCGUUGAAUCCUCUUCACCUAACAGCUUUGCAAUGCCAAAAUCACCUAAAUGUGCAACCAUAUCUUCAUCUAAUAAAACAUUGCUUGGUUUUAAAUCACAAUGGGCCAUAGGGAUGGUCUGACCAUGAUGGAGGUAUUCUAAUGCAGAUGCCACAUCAAUCAUAAUGUUCAACCUAUGCAAGAUAUCAAGAAAAUAGUUAUGAGAAUACAACCACUUCUCGAGGCUUCCACUAGGCAUGAAUUCAAGCACCAAGGCUUUAAAAUCAACAUUGCAGCAACUACUAAUGAUUUUGACUAAAUUUCGAUGGCGAAUGUUGCGCAAGACCUCACACUCAAUGUCAAAGCUCUUGAAUGAUCCUUCUACCUCCAAAUUAAAGACUUUUAUGGCAAUGUUCAAUCCAUCUGAAAGAGAACCUUGGUAUACCGAGCCAAAACUCCCUGCACCAAGUAGUUUGCUUUCACAAAAACCAUUUGUGGCUUGAUAAAGCUCUUGGUAUGAAAUUCUUCUCCACUUUGCUAAACCAAUCGAAUUUUCUCGAUCAAUAUUUUGCUUUGAAUGCUUUCUUCGACUUUGGAAGAAAACGACAAUUAAGGCUAGAAUUAAUAGUGUUGAGCCAACUGGCAAUAGAAUAAAUUCAAUAAGCUUAGUAGCUUUCCUUGAAUGUUUAGCAGAAUUUGUUUUGCAUGGUGGGAGUUUCAGUCGAGGUGCACCGCAUAGCUCUUCAUUCCCCAUAAAUGAUUGAAUCGAGUAGUUGGCAAAGGGUCCUGCAGUAGGAAUUUCUCCAUGAAGUCUAUUAAAUGAGACAUUCAAAUACUCGAGAUUCAAGAGUUUUUGCAAGGACUUUGGAAUAAUUCCAGAGAAAUUAUUUCUUGAUAGAUCUAAGAACUUCAACUCUGUCAGCCCACCAAAUAACUCAGGUAUAGAUCCUUGCAAUCUGUUACCGGAUAAUGAAAGAUAAGUUAGGUCUUCUAGAUCACCAAUGCUCUUUGGAAUUUCACUUGAUAAUUGAUUUUCUGAAAAAUCAAUAAUUAUAGCAACCUUCCACUUUCCAAAGUCAAUUGGGAGAGCCCCACUGAGAAAAUUGGAAGACAAGUUUAGUUGCAAGAUAUCUGUAAGCCUUGUGAAGGUUGAGGGUAUUGAGUUUGCAAACUUAUUGGAGUCCAAAUAUAAAUGUCUAAGAGAAAUGAGAUCACCCAAACAUUCUGGUAUUGGUCCAGCAAAUUUGUUACCUGUGAGGUACAAGAAACCCAAAAUCUUCAGAUGGCAUAACUCAGAUGGAAUGGAUCCUUCUAAGUUAUUGCCUUCAAGAGAGAAACCUUGCAACUUUUCUAAUCUUCCAAUUGUGGUGGGAAUAGAUCCAAUCAAUUCAUUGUGAGCUAUGUUCAAGCUGAUCAAGUUGAUUAGGUUGCCAAUCUCUCCAGGAAUGUUGCCUCCAAUGUUGCAAUCCAUAGCAUCUAAUUUUUGUAAGGAAAUAGAGAGAUUUCCUAUAGAGAUAGGAAGUUCACCAUCGAUCAAUGGAUUAUUAGUAAAUUGCAAGACUCUCAAGUCUUUGCAAGAUGCUAAAGAUGAGAGAAAGCUCAAUUUUGGGGAUGAAGGUGUGCUAGCCAAAUUAUUAAACUGUAGAUUGAGAAAAUGUAGAUCUCUUAGAUUUCCGAGGUCAUUAGGAAUAUAUCCAGAAAAUGAAUUAGCUGACAAGUCCAGGUCUGUUAACUUAGAGGCAUUAGAGAUGGAGGUAGGUAUUGUUCCAUUUAACUUAUUUAAACCAAGUAGAAGCCUUUCAAGUUUUGGAAGCCAAAGUCCUGUGCUCCAUGGAAGACAACCUGAGAGAUGGUUUAAAUCAAGUGCAAUGAUCCUCAUAGUUGAGCUAUUAAAGAUACCAGGAGGGAUAUGUCCAGAGAUAUUGUUCGAUUCAAAAUUGAAAAUUUCCAAUUUUGGUAGGUUGCCUAUCUCAAUUGGUAUUUUACCUGCCAGCAAAUCAAAAGAGUCAUUUGGAUUAUUCUCCAAUGAUCUAGAAGUAAAUAACAAAAUUUAUCAUAAAAGUUUUACGCAUGUCUGUAUAUUUAUAUUUUAUAUUAUAAAUACAUAUAACAAAUAGUGAAACAAAUAAAUUACUUUCAAAAGUAUUAGGUUACCAGUCUAUUGUAGAAUUUCACUUGCAUAAUGAAAUUAGUCCAUUAAUUAUUUUUAAAUUGAGCAACAAAUUAUAUGGUUAAUUUGUUUGUCAAACGGAACAAUCAAAAAUAUAAAAGAAAAUUUAGCAUUUAGAUAAUACAAGGCAAUAUAAUCUUGCACUUUGUGGCUAAUUUAUUAUUUUCCUUUUCAAUUUAUAUAAUAUAACGAAAUUAUAUUAGAAAAGUUGAAACAUUAAACCAUCAACUAAAUAUUGAGGGCUAGGGAAGGAGAAAGGAUGACAAAUAACACAAUGAGGAGGAGGGAACAAUUUGAGAAGAUGGACAUCCAACAAAGGAAGAAUGAAACAUCAGGACUUGAAGAAUGGAGAAGCAAACUUUUCACAAUCUUUGUGGACAAUACCAUUUCCAUAGUGUCAUGGCGGGAAGUGAAGAAAUGGUUCGACAAGUUUGAAGUGGUUGUUAACCUUGACCUAGGAAGUAGAAGCAAAUCAUCUUGAGGUAAGAACUAUAAAUUUGUGUUUGUUAGAUAUGCUACAUUGAGGAGAUGCAAAGCACUAUAAAAUAUGGGAGUGGUAGAAAAACAGAAUGAGGCACUCUGAAAGUUAAAGAAGUUGAUUAUGAGUGGCAAUCCAAAAAAUGAAGAUGGGAAAAGGAACUCUUACAUAGAAAUACAUUAAACAAAGCUUAGCAAACUAAAGAGGAGAAGAGAAUGUACAGAGAUGCCUUGAUGUUUAAGAAAGGAUAGAAAACGGUGUCAGGGGAGAUGAAUGGAAGGAACACUACUUAUGAGAAUGAAAAAACCCAAACUAUAAGAGAGUUAUUUGUGGAAUUUUGAAGAUUGAUAUGGAAUGGAUCGAGAGAAGCUCUGUAGGCACACUAAAGUUGUUAACAAAGUCAAGACAUCACAAAAAGCGAACAUGGUCAGGUCAUGGUUCAUUAUUGAAGGCAUCUCGCUGCAUUUAUGGCAUAGGAAUAUUUUUAAUGCGAUUGUUAGAGAAUGGGGAAGUGGUGUUCAACUUGAUGGACCAACCAUUCAUUGUGAGAGAUUUGACUAUGCCAGGAUAUUGAUUGAGAUAGAGAAAGAUUAGAAGGUCUCGCAAAUGACACAUUUGAAAAUCAAUGACCAGACGAUUUCUUUCAUGAUAAGAAAGGAGGACAAAAGGAAAAGAGUGAUGGAUGUGCAGGAUAUAAAGAGAUCAAAAAGUCUUAAAUCUUGUGGUCGAAACCACAACGAUGGAGAUGGUCAGAGAAUGAGAGUAAUAGAGGUAGUUAGAAGAAGAAGUGUACUGAGGGCAAAAAAUUCUUUUAACCACUUCAAAUUCAAAUUCAAAUCACCUAUCCUCAGAAAAAAGGUGUCAAGAAAAGUUAACACUGAGAAUGUGAUAAGGAAAAUGAUGGAUCACGAGACAUUAAAUCAAGAAAGCUAUCUAGCUUUGGAUAGGCCACUAAAAUAUAGUAGGCCAUCACAACAAAAUGGGGUUGCUUUUAGAGGGGAAAAGCCCAAAUUCAAGAUUAAGCUUUAGGUCAAGAAUGAAGAGAUAAGUAAUACUAGUAAAAGGAGGAAGAACGAGCUUGAACUAUAUAUAGAAGAUUAGAAGUUAUGGGGAAUCAAGGCGAGCCUUGUGGGGAAUGAGGUGGAACUAAUACCAAGCUUAAAGGAAUUGACUAAAGGUAGGGCUUUGACUCAAAGGAAAAAUCAUGAGGAAGGCAAGAGAUUAGAAGACAGUGAACUACUAAGGAAGCAAGGGAUGAUGAACUUGGAGGGCAAAGCGUUGUCAAAUUUAGCGAUAGGCAAUAGAAGGUAUAUGGACAACAGAUGUGCAAGCAUUCAAAUCCUUUAAAGAUUAGGUACAAAAGUUACAAUAUCCACAAAAAAUGAACCAUGAGAAAGAUUGAAUAGAAUGGGGAAGAUCAGAGAGAAGAGGAUAAGAUUGAGAAAAAGUCGAUAGAGGCCAGCUACACAAGAGUUGUGAGAAUAGGAAUUAGGGGUAAGGAUAAAAAACUUAGAACAUCAAAUAGACAAAGGACCAGAGAAAGUGAACUAGACGCCCCAUGCCUAAUCAAAGAACAGAUCAAUGUAGAGCAAAGAGGGAUGGAACAAGAUAAUUUCUUGGGAAACCGAAUCACCAAUGAAGACAUCCAACACCAAAAUGCAAUGAUAAUGAAAAAAGCAUAGGUAACCUACAAAGUGGGAAUUUAGCUGGGGAUGGUUCAUUAACAAGACAUGUAGACCAUGAUAAGAAUUUUCGUUGCUGUGGAGUUAGAGGAAUUGUAGAGAGAAAAAGACGACAGUUUUUGAAUGGUAUGUGUUCUUGCUUGGGUUAUUUUUAUGAGUCUAUAAUGUUGUCUAUUACUUAGGACGUUAAACAUAUAGGUAAACCAGAAAAGAAUAGGGCCCUUAGAAGUUUGGUGGUUGCACAUAGUUUCAAAUUCCUUUUGGUUUAGGAAACAAAAUGCUAAGAAUUGAAGCAGAAAACUAUUGAGAGCUUUUGGGGAAAUAAAAGGCUUGGGUGGUGAUAUCUCUUGCAAUUGGGAGCUUUGAGGUUUGCUGCUAUGUUGAGAUAAGGACUUUUUUAUUGUUGAAAAGGUAAUUGUUGACAGAGGAUACAUUGUUAUUGUGGGACAAGUAAAUGAACUCAAUAUUGGGUGUGGGAUAGGCAAUGUGUAUGGUCCUAAUGUUAAUUCUGAUAGAUAGAACUUCUGGGAUGAUUUGAGGAGGAUAAUAAGUGAAGAAAAUGCUUCUUAGUGCAUUUGAGGGGAAUUUAGUGUGGUUAAAAACAGUGAAGAAAAAUUUGAGGUCACCACUAAUGAAAGAGUUAUGGAGAGCUUUGUGGAAUUUAUAGAGGAUUGCGGUUUAGUUGACUUACCCAUAUCCGGGGGAAAGUUCAUAUGGGAGAGUCACAGGGAAGUCAUGUCCUAUAAUAGACUUGAUCGGUUUUUACUCUUGAUUAAAAUUAUGGAAGCCUAUCACAUCAUCCAACAAUUGUGCCUACCACGAUCUAUAUCGGACCACAACCCUGUUGCACUCACCAUGGAAGAGAAGAAUUGGGGUCCAAAGCCAUUUCGCCUUUUCAACCAUUGGUUAGACAAAGACACAUUCCAACCAAUGUUUGAGAGAGCAUGGAAGGAGGCAACUAUUGUUAGAGGGUGCAGAGGUGAUGUCUAGUAUAGAUUGAGGGAAACAAAUAAGUGCAUUGAAUAUUGGUAACUUAACAUUUUUGGGGGUCGGUAGACAAAAUAUCAGUAGACUUGAAGCAGAAAUUCACAAUCUUGAGUUGGAAUAGCAAAAUUAUGGAGACACCGGUGAGAUUAUGAAGAAAAUUAUAAAAUUGAAAAUCGAAUUGUGGGAAGCACUAAGAGCCAAAGAGAGAAGUUGGUGGCAAAAAUCCAAGGUGAAAUGCAUCUCAAAGGCGAUAGAAAUAUGAGAUUUUUCCACAAUAUCACCUUAGCAAGGAAAAGAAGAAACACAAUAAAUUUUCUUGUGUUCAGAUGAAGGGCAGUGAGGAUCCUCAAGCCCUAAGAUAGAAGUUAGGAGCCAUUUUCAAUCUUUGUAUGGAAAAAAGGAAAAUGCAUCAUUGAGCGAUCUAAGGGGUGAUUUUAGGGUGCUCAAAGACAACUCAAAAAAAGCUUUGGAAAAGCCUUUUAUUGAAUAGGAAAUUUGGAAUUCCAUCAUCAACUGUGAUAGUAGUCGAGCUCCAGGGCCAGGUGGGUUUAGUAUGGGUUUCUUCAAGAAGCAAUGGAAAACUCUCAAAGGGGAGAUCAUGAAGAUAGUCAAGGAUUUUUAUCAUACAGCUUCUCUGGACAGCAAGGUAAGCACGUUGUUUAUCACGCUCAUACCCAAGUGUAGUAGUCUAACCUCCAUUAAUGAUUGCAAACCAAUAAGUCUCAUAAGCAGUCUCUACAAAAUAAUAGCCAAAACGCUCGCCAACAAGUUGAAAUUGGUGAUUAACGAGGUUAUUGGUGAAAAUUAGUUUGCUUUUGUUAUUGGUUGACAACUUCUUAAUUGCACCUUAUUACAAGUGAGGUCAUCGAUUUCCUAAGAAAAGAGGCGACGAUGGACUGUUAUUCAAGGUUGAUUUCAAAAUGGUGUAUGAUUCUGUGGAUUGGGAGUUUCUUGACUUCAUUUUGGGAAAAAUGGGAUUUGGCAUCCGAUGGAAAAAAUGGGUUAAGGAGUGUUUCUCUUUAGCAUCCAUAUCGGUUUUGGUUAACUGCAACCAAUCAAAUCAAUUUUGAAUGCGAAGAGGACUAUGCUAAGGCUGUCUGCUUUCACCUUUCCUAUUUAAUUGUGUAACGAAAGCUUUUAAUGUGCUUAUGCACAAAGCUAUCAGUACGGGACUAUGCUAGGGAGUGGAAAUUCGCAGAAACUGGAUGGUUGUCUCUCAUUUACAAUUUGCUGAUGACAUUGUAAUCCUAUGUAAACCUUAUUUGCAUGGCCUUAUAAAUGCUAAACAUUUGCUGAGGUGCUUCUAGAUAGUUUCCAAACCCAAGAUUAACUUCCAGAAGAGUUGUUUGUAUGGCAUUAGUCUUGAUCAUGAAAUUACAAUGGAUUGGGCAAGUAAGAUUGCUAGCAAAGCAAAUCAAUGGCCUACGACUUACUUGGGAUUACCCCUUGGCACCACUACAAACUCGAUUAAGAUGUGGAAGUCAAUUGUUGACAAAGUAGAGGCAAGACUCUCGGUGUGGAAAACAAAGUCCCUUUCUUUUAAAGGAAGAAUAACUUUGUUGUGGAUAGUUCUUAAUACCCUACCAGUAUUUUUUAUGUCAAUAUUUGUAAUGCCAGUCAGAGUUAAGAAUUCAAAGACACUUCUUAUGGGGUGGUACAAUUGAAAGGAGAAAGAUUCACUAUGUUAGUUGGGAAUCAACAUGCCUGUACCAUGACUUAGGUAAAAUUGCCCUCGUUGAUCUCUAUGUUAAGAAUUGAGCCCUCUUUAAUAAAUGGCUCUAGCGGUUCAGUAAUGAAACGAGUGUUUUCUAGAGAAAGCUGAUCACCAACAAAAAUGAGUAUGCUUCUCACACACUGAUGCCAUCAAAUGCUAACUCAAGAAGACUUUCGUACUAUAAAAAAACAUAAUCAAGCCACUUGAGGAUAACUUUGAUAUGGCGAGAAUCACUUGUGAUGGAAUGGGAAUCUUGGUUGGUAAUGGCAAAAGGAUUAAUUUUUGGAGGGAGCGAUGGAUACUGGCAGUUGUUGUGUGCAACAAAUUCUAGAGAAUUUUUUCUUUGGCUGUUGAUAAAAAUGGUGUGAUUGAAGAUUUCAGUAAAUGGGAUAAUUAAAGGUGGGAGGGGACCAUUAAUUUGAGAAGAAAUGUGCUUGGAUGGCAAGAAGAACAACAGGAUGCCUUCAUGUUUUUACUCUCAGACCAGGUGCUACAUAGGGACUUCCAAGACAAGCUGAUUUGGAAACAUAGCACAAGUGGCAUCUAUAACUCUAAGUCUUUUUGCCGAGCUGUUUUACUAUUUAAUCACUCAAGUUUUGAGGUGUGGAAAUGACUUUAGGAAGGAUUGGCACCCCAUAAAGUUGAAGCUUUAUGUUGGUAGCUUUUUAAAGGGAGAUUAGCGAUAAGACAAGAGCUGGCUCACAGAGGCGUUAUCAAAUAAAAGGCCAUGUACUGCCUACUGUGCAAAACAUGUAAUGAGACCAUUAACCAUUUUUUUAUACCCUGAAACUUGGAAAUUGUGAUACUGGUGCUGUGACUUUUGGAAUGUCAAAUAGGUUAUGCAUGAUGAUCCUAUUAUUUGCUUUCAAUCCUAGAGUGAGAUGAGUGAAUGGAUGAAAAAUGGGAAGGUGUUUAGAAUGGUUUUUUAUACUAUUGCAGGGCCCAUAUGGUUAGCAUGAAAUGAGGCUAUGUUUAAAGGCAAUGAGUGGAACAGCUCUAUUAUUUUUUAUACAAUCAAGUUGAGAUUGGGAUGGCGGGUAAAGGCCAAACGGCCAAAGCUCAACCUUUCUCUCUUAGAUGUGAUUAGAAGCCCAAAUCUUGGUUUGAGCCCUCAAGAAAAGAAAUAGACAAAGAGAUUAAGUGCUUGGUAAGAACCACUUCCGGGAAGCCUUAAGCUCAAUGUUGACAUGACUGUUAGUGGAAGCCAUGGUGAAGCAAGGAUAAGAGGGGUUUUAACAGACAAAAAAAGUAGCAUCUUUCUUCUUUUCUCAAUGUCAAUGGGAGUCAUGGAUUCAAAUACAACUGAAUUGUUGGCUCUUUCGAAGGGCUUUCAAGUGAUGGCAACUUUGAAAUGGGCUAACUCCCAUAGGGUAGUCUUUGAAAGUGACUCCUCUAACCUCGUUUCAUGGGUGAGGAGCACCCACAACAUCCCAUGGAAACAUAGGAGGAUCAUCAUGAAGAUUGAAGGGCUAAAAGUCAAACUUUCUAUGUGGAGCAUUACAAAGGUUCCUCUAUAUUUAUACGAAAUGGCUGUUAGCUUGGCCAAAACAGGCAUACGUAGACAGGGAGAUCUGAUGUGGAUCAUUGGUAAUGUAUGUGAGAAGCAGGCAACAGAGGAAAGCUAGUUUUAGUAUAGCAUAGGGAUAUAAAUUUUCAUUUACAUUAGGGUGUAUAGUGGGAAAGAGUUGAUGAUAAUUUAGCUCUUCCUUUCUUGCAUUCACUUGCAGAUUUUGAGGAGCAUAGGGAAGGCUAUUCAAGCCAACUUUUGUGUACUCCUUUGUACCUAUCAUCGGUACUACUAAUUCACUACCUUUCAAAAAAAAUUGAAAAAUUGAAAAAAAAAAAGGAACAUAGAUAAGUAGAUAAUAUAUUUGAAUUUUUUGUUAAAAUAAUUCAUGAACAGAACAGAAAUAAAACUCUUGAAUAUAAUAGAAAAAGGAAUUAAAAAAGGUGAAAAUCAAUGGGAAAUUUUAAUUUAAAUAAAAAAUAAUGAGAUUAAAUAAAGAGUGUGACACUAUUACCAAAAACUAGAAAAAUAUAGAAAAGAAAGAUGUGGAAAAUCCAAAUGAUAUCAUAAGCCCAAAAAGAGGUAAAAUAUAAACUAUUUGUUAUGAUUAUUAGUUGAUGCAAUAUAGUUAGAGCAAUUAUUCUUUUUUAAUAAAAAAUUUUACAUUUUUUCGUUUCAUUGUAAAAUAAUAUAUAGUGCAUGUUCACUAAAGUGUGUUUUCUCAAUCUUAACUUUACAUACAAAAGAAAAAAGAAAAAAUAUACAUAAACUUAAAAAUGGUUGCAGCGAAUUUAAUAGAAGAAAAAAUAAGUAAUUAAAAGGAAUUACUAAUUGCAGAAAUGUGGCAGUGUUAAAAGAAAAAGAAACUCAAUAAAAAAACUAAAAUAUUGUGAGAAAAAAAGGGCUAGGAAUAUGCCAUAAAUGCGUCCCAAUAUAUAUUUAUUUUUUACCUUUGAGGUUGUUUUCUCCAAGAUACAAAAGCUUGAGCAUAGUUAAAUUUUCUAUUUCUUUCGGUAUUGUUCUCUCAAAAUGAUUAAAAAUUAGGAUAAAUCUUUUAACUCUUGGCACUUGAAUAAAUUCAUUGGAAUUGGAUCAUAAAGGUGGUUAAAACUCCUUUAUAAUCUUGCACUUUGGGAAACGAUUUGUUAUAAUUUUGGUUGACGCAAUAUAAUCAUAGGGAAAUUUACAAAAUUUAAGGGCAUUUUCAUCUUAUUUUGUCCAUUUGUGUGCCUAAGAGAAAAGGGAGGCAUGGGACUUUGGAAGACAGGGAGGGAUGACGGAUAGGGGGGAGGAGAUUGACAAGUCGGCGAAAGAAGGGGAGGAGCAGAGGAGAGAGAGAGAGAGAGAGAGAGAGGAGGAAGAGUCAUGCCAGUUUAGACAAGUUUAUUUAAAUAAUGUAUUAGUGGAAAAUCAGUCUUGACUAACNAGGAGAGAGAGAGAGAGAGAGAGAGAGAGGAGGAAGAGUCAUGCCAGUUUAGACAAGUUUAUUUAAAUAAUGUAUUAGUGGAAAAUCAGUCUUGACUAACAUCAAAUCUUAUACUUUACAUCUAAAAGCAAAAGGAUAAAAUAAACAUAAACUAAAAAAUAAUCAUAUUGAAUUUAAUAGAAAAUAUAAUAACGAAUUAAAAAAAUUACGAAAUUGCAAAAUGUGACAUUGUUAAACGAAAAAACCAAUAGAAAAAAAGAAUGAACUAGAAAUCUACCUACAUUAAAAGUUGUCCCAAAGGACAAUUGAGGGUCUAGUCAUUGGCCAUGCGGUAUGGCCAAAUGAGCCCUUGGGACAUGCUUGUUUUUUUCUAAAGAGGAAAGGUUUUUUUUUAUGGUUUUUGUGUUUUUGGAGGUGAUGGCAUUUCCGUCUUUUCCUAAUGCUAUGGGUCCAAAAUUUUCUUCUCUCCAUUGGAGUGUUCUCUUGCUUUCUCUCUUGGUUAGAGGAAGAAUAUGGAGAAAGAAUGAGAGGAUGGGGUGAGGAGAGAAGAGAGAGGAGAGAUAAAGCAUGAGAGAGAGUUAAGGGUAUAAACAAAGAGAAGAAAAAUAAAUAUAAAUUUAAAUUUGUGAUUUUUUAAUUAAUUGAACAGAUUAGAUAGAGAUAAAAUGUCUUCUCUUUCUUUUUUUUUUUCUUUUUUUCUCCUUCUUAUUUCCUUGCCCAUUGUUUUACCUUUUAAUUAUUUAUUUUAUUCAUUUAAUUUUAAUUUAUGCAUUAAUUCAAAUUUAUAAAGUUAGUUUAAAAAAUUAUAAGAAUAAAAAUAAUUAAUUAAAAAUUAAUUCCAUGAUUUUCUGUUUAUCCAGUUUUUAUUAUUUAGGUUUUUUAUUAUUUUUUAUAAUGUUAUUGCUUCCAUACAGAAACCAAAAACUUUUAUGUAAGUUUCUAAUUUUCUUUUCUUUUUAUCUCAUUUGAUUUGUUUAUUUAGGCUUUUAUUAUUUGGAUUCUUUGUUAUUUUUAUUGUUAUAAUAUUAUUGUUUCCAUACCGAAAUCAGAAACUUUUCAAGUAAGUUUUUAAAUUUUUCUUUCUUUUUAUCUCAUUUGAUUAAGUGUGUGGUUAUUCUUCUCUAUUGUAGACAACAAUCUACUUGAACCUUUGUGAAAUUGAGUUUAGUUUUUUUCCUUUUUUUAUUCUUUCACGGUUUUAUAAAAGAUGAAAUGCUUAUUGUCACUAUUGGAAAAUAAGCUAUACAGAGACCAAAUGUUAAGGUUGUUGAAAUGUUAGGUACUUAUCAUGUAUUGUAUGUGUUCCUAUAUUGUAUAUUGUAGCCUACAUUCACAACUCUUAAAAUAGACUACUACUUACAAAAUUAUGUAACUUUUAACCUUUUCUAUACACAUCUCAGUUGACAAACAACUUCAUGAUUGCUUAUGUAAAGUGAGCAUUAUAUGAUUAUUGAAAUGUAGGUAUAUUUGAACAAACAUUGUUUUACCUAUAUCACAUGAGUGCAUCGCACGCGUAUACUCUAGUAUGCUAAAAAUGGAUCACAAUAUUUCUUUGGAUUUGUUUUCUUUAAUUAUUUAUUUGGAUUUGUUAAUAACAAAAUAACAAAAUUAAUGAUAAAAAUUUUACACACAUUUCUAUUUUUAUAUUUUAUAUUAUAGAUAUAUAUAACAAAGAGUCAAACCAUUAGGAUCUGUAAAUAAUAUUAUUCAAAUAUUUACAACAGUUGCAGCUAUAUAGAAACUGAACAUACAUGAGAAAAAAUAUAACUAUUACCUGUCAAUUUAUUAGUGGAAAAAUCAAGUCUUUUUAGAAGCGUUAGGUUACCAAUCUGUUGUGGAAUUUCACCUGCAUAAUAAAAUUGAUCCCUUGAUUAAUUUCAAAUUGAACAACAACUUAUACGGCCUACUUGUUUGUCAAAUGGAACAAUUAAAAUUACCAAAGAAAGUUUAGAAUUUAGAUAAUACAAAGCAAUAUAAUUUACAUAAUAUAAUGCAAAUAAAUUAAAAAAAAAUUCUAAACCAUCAACAUAGAUAAGUAGAUAGUAUAUUUCAAUUUUUGGUUGAAAGAUUCGUGAACAAAAGAAAAAGGAAUUACAAAAAGUGAAGACCAAUGGUAAAAAUUAAUUUAAAUGAAAAACAAUGAGAUUAAAUAAAGCGUGUGACACUAUUACCAAAAACCAGAAAAAUAUAGAAAAGAAAGAUGUGGAAAAUCCAAAUGGUAUCGUAAGCCGAAAAAGAGGUAAAAUAUAAACUAUUUGUUACGAUUAUUAGUUGAUGCAAUAUAAUUAGAGCAAUUAUUAUUUUUCAAUAAGAAAUUUUACAUUUUGUCGUUUCACUAUAAAGUAAUGUAUGGUGCAUGUUCAUUAAAGUGUGUUUCUUAAUCUUAACUUUACAUAUAAAAGAAAAAGGAUAGAAUAUACAUAAACUUAAAAGUGAUCGCAGUGAAUUUAAUAGAAAAAGUAUAAGGAAUUAAAAGAAUUACUAGAAUGCAAAAAUGUGAUAGUGUUAAACAAACCCAAUAAAAAAAGAACAAAAAUAUUGUAGGCCCAAAAAGAGAAAAAAAAAAAAAAGAAAACGGCUUUGCUAUUGUGAAAAAGAAAGGACUAGAAAUAUGCUAAAAAUGCGUCCCAAUAUAUAUAUAUAUAUAUUUUUUACCUUUGAGGUUGUUCUCUCCAAGAUACAGGGUCUCCAGCAUAGUCAAAUUUCCUAUUUCUUUCGGUGUAGUUCCCUCGAAAUGAUUAUAAGAUAAAGAUAAAACUUUUAACUCUGGACACUUGAAUAAAUUCAUUGGAAUUGGACCAGAAAGGUGGUUAAAACUCAAGUGAAGCCCUUUUAAUUUAGGUAAACGAUCAAACAUAUCUGAUGAGAUAUGACCAGUAAGGUUAUUAAAUGUUAAAGCAAUGUUUUGCAAGGAAGACAUGUUGAGUGGGAUUGAAGGUAUGGAACCAAUUAGUUGAUUUUGGGUAAGAUAAAUCUCUAGCAAUGAAGAUAUGCUGAAGAUUGAGGACGGUAUGGAGCCUGAAAGCUGAUUAGAACUUAAAUCUAAAAAUCUCAAGCUAGAAAGGUUUCCAAUUUCCACUGGGAUAUGUCCUUGCAAAUUGUUGUUCUGCAAGCUCAAGACCUGUAGUUUUGACAAAGAGCACAAAGAAGUUGGGAUAGCUCCCACAAAGUUAUUACCGUCCAAACUCAAGUUUUGAAGUUUAGGGAAGGAACCAAACCAAGAUGGGAUUUCCCCGUUGAAAUUGUUGUAACGCAGAAUUAGAUGUUUCAGCCGACGCAAAUUAGCCAACGCGAUAGGCAACGAACCAUGAAAACUGUUGUUUCCAAUGUCAAGGAAAGCAACAAAAGACAGAUUUCCCAUGUCUGGUGGUAUGGUGCCAAAGAGGUUCAUGCCAAAUAGAUUCAAAGAAGUGACUCUGUGGUGUCGAGAUCCGCAAGUGACACCAACCCAAUUGCAAAUAGAGGUAGCAGUUGACCAGUUGGUAGCCAGAAGAUCACUGUUGACACGGGCUUUUAGUGCAAGAAGAGCCAACUGGUCUGUGCUGAUGUUGGUUGUUGCGGAUUUGAUAGAGAAUGAAACCCCAAAAUUAGGCAGCACCACCACCACCACCACCACCAUAAGAGCCACAAUGAACCGAGUGUUUCCCAUGACGCUAUGUAGAAGUGGAGCUUGUGAAAGGAACAUUUUGAAUUAUAUGUGGAAAAGAUGAUGUUUCUUUUUCAAUAUAUAUAGAAAUUGUCAAAAUUGUGGUAGGACAUAUUUCCACUUGCACCCUUCCACAGUGAGAAAAUUUACCACUUGCAUAUUGGAGAGAAUUCUUAGAGAGCAAUGUUAUCAUUUCUUACUCAUUUUUAUUGACAUAUCUAAAGGUCAAAAACAAGUGUUCUUAUUUAUAAAAUUUAUUACAAUAUCAAAUUACAUAAGCAAAAGUAACUCUCUUCCUUUUCAUAAAUCUCAUCGUACUCUUAAACUACGAUUAAAGCCUGAGAUUUCAAGUUUAUAUUGCAUAUUUUAAUCACCGGCGUAUCGGUUCAAAUAGUAAGUAGGAAAUUCUUUCAUAGCUCUAUAACAGUGAUUCUGUCUUGAAUCUCCAGAAAAACAACAGAAUAAACUCUUUUACUAUCUUGUGAGUAUACGAGCUUUCAGUAUGUUGUAAAUAUAAGAGCUUUCAGUAAGUAUUGGCCCCUUGGACGAAUAAGCACCAAAGAAACCAGUUUAUUUGAUUAAAUGUCCAAAAAAAAUGGUACUUACGAAAUAAAACAUAACAUUUUUUAUUAUUAAUUAUUAUAUCUCUCAAAAGAAAGACAUAAAAUUGAAAAAUUAUCCACACUUUGAGGAGUGCUAAUGGUGUAGCUGAUCAAUUGGUUAAAGAUGGCAUAUAAAGGGAGAACAAUUUGUUAAACAUCAUUCUGUAAGCUUGAAGUUUGUUUCAGUUAUGAUUGUGGUAUUUUAAUGGUUUGCUAAUAAUUGAGUUCCCACAUCUAUUUUCUCUCAUUUCCCACAUCUUAUUAAUUCUCAACUAUUUAUAUCAUUUCUCUUUAAAAAUAUGUAAAAGUUAAGAUAAUUAAUAAAAUGACAUAUUCUCUCACUUCUCUAAUAAAAUGACAUAAUCUAUUUAUUGUGUUACCUCUGGUUAUUUUUAAUUGUAUUUUGCAGCUAAUGUGAAAUAUGUUUUAUGUUAUCCCCAUAUUAUGCUGCCGGUUCUGCUCCCAGUAUAUUUUUUACUACAGACAAUAACUUUUUAAGAAUUAGCUGGUUGCAGAGGAUGAUUAAUGAAUUGUGCAAAUAUGGUUAUUGACUUGACUUCAAUGGGUUUUUUUUUUUUUUAAUUGGAGGAAGGUGGAUUCGAAUUUUACUUUUUAGGUAUGAAAAUUAUACACCAACCAAUGAGCCAAAUGCUAAAGUAUUACUUAGCUUCUAUGGUUAAGCAUUCUGGUUGGGUAUUAUUAUAAGUAACAGUACUGUUUGGGAAAGUGGGUGAUUAUUUAAGCUCUUGUGGUUUUUCAUCAUUGGUUUUUGGUGGUGGGUUACUUUGUUUCCAUUUCUUAUUAGGACAGUCUAAUGGUUAAUAUGUUGGUUCAUAGCAUGUUCAUUAUUAGCUUCAUUUCUGUGAUGGGAUUACCCCUGCUUCAUUUUAAUAAUAAUAAAUAAUUUUCGAAAAAAAUAAUUAUGUAUGAAUAAAUUACAGCAAGAAAUCCACUAUAAUUCCAAACCCAUAGAAUGGAAAACUGCUAACUAGUCAAGCGUAGUGAGAUAAAGUCUUUGUCGACCACUUCAUCCGAAAUUCCAGAAGUAAGUCUUCGUUAAUCACUUCAUCCAAAAUUCUCAAAAACAAAAGCAAGUCUUCGUCAACCACUUCAUCCAAAAUUCUCAAAAAAACCAAAAGCAAUUCUUCGUCCACCACUUCAUCCAAAAUUCUCAAAAAACCGAAAGGAAGUCUUCAUCAUCGACAUCAAAUGCCUCUUCUAAGGAUAUGUUUAAUUGGGGUCAAAUCUUUCUUAUUUAUUACUCUAAAUGGACUUAAGAUCUGUAAGUUUACAACAAGAAUUUCGAAUACUAAUUUGCAAGAUUUGACUAGUUGACCCAGUUUGAUUCUAUUCUAGACUUGACUACUACUUGACCUUAACAAACGUGUAGGAACCUGUGAAAGGAAAACUUUUGAAUUACAUGUGGAAAAGAUUAUGUUUCUUUUUCAAUAUAUAUAUUGAAAUUGUCAAAAUUGUGUUAGGAUCUAUUUCCACAUGCACCCUUCCACAGUGAAAGAAAAUUUACCACUUGGCAUAUUGGAGAGAAUUCUUAAAGAGCAAUGUUACCAUUUUUUAUUCAUUUUUAUUGACAUAUCUAAAGGCCAAAAAAAAGUAUUUUUAUUUAUAAAAUUUAUUAUAAUAUCAAUUUAAUUUUUUUAUACAUAUAGUACACAAUUACAUAAGAAUUACAUAAGGAGAGGUAACUCCUAUUUCAAAUCAAAUAUUGCGUAAAGAUGGUUUGUAUAGAAGGUGGGUUUUUCUGAUCUGUUGUAAGCUUCCUUAUAGGUGGCAACGUUACUAAUUUUAGGAUAUUCUGCACUACAAAGGUAUAAUAUCUUGAAAUCAGGAUUUUACAUAUUUCCUUCAUUAAUAAAACAUCUCAUAAUUUUUUUUUAAAUGUUGGCCCAAAAAAUAAAAGAAUCCUAAGUGAGCGUUUGACUUAGUUUAUAGAAGUGAUUUUCUACUGAAAAAGCAGAAACAAUAUAUUUCGUUGUCAAAAUUUUAAAAUUUUUGGUUUAAGUGGAAAGUUCAUUUGGUGUUUUAGAUGAAAUUAUGAAUCAAAAAUCUUUUUCAUAUUUUUGGUCAAUCAAAUUAAAACUUCUUCAAAAAUAUUAAUGUACAGUAACAAAUAUUUUAUGGAAUUUUUUUAUAAUUUUACCUUACUAUUCAAUAAUUCAUAAAACUAAGAUAUCAGGAAACAAAUGCUCAAGUGUAAACUUCUUUAAAAUUUCUUCUAGAAUAUACACGUAGGUCAGAAAUAUCUCAAAAUGGUAUUUAUAAAGUAAAAACAUAGUAUCUUUUUUUUAUGUAUGAUAUAAAUUAAAGCAGGAAAUAUAGUAUAAUUUUAAAACCAUAGAAUGGAAAACUGCCAACUAGUCAAGCAUUGUGAGCUCAAGUCUUUGAGCAAUGACUUAAUUUAGACUUGUUGACCACUUCAUCCAAAAUUCCAAAAAAAAAAAAAAAACAAGCAAGUCUUGGUCAUUCACUUCAUCCAAAUUCUAGAAAACAAAAGAAAAUCUUUGUCAACCAUAUCCCCAACAAAAUUUAUUUUAAUUAAAUGUUAUACACAUCUAACAUAAUUCUUGUGAAAAAAAAUUACAAGCUCUUUGCUUAGGUGUUUAUAUUUUACUGUCUGCCUGGACAUACUCUUAGAUUCCUUUGUUUAACAUAUUGAUUAUUAAUACAUGUUCUUUUGGACUUUUGGCCCUUUAAGGAGAAAGAACUGAAGAAUACAUGUUCUUGAUUUAUUGCAAACUACGAUUUGAAUCAUGCAGCCAGUAAUUAACAACUACUAGUGAGGCCUAAUCACAUAUUAAGCAAAAUUAAUAAUCAAUUGGAGGUAUUAAUUAUGCCAGUGAUUGCUACGCACACCAUCAACACUGAAUUUUACUUGUUGAUGUUCCAUAAUAGUGUAGGCAAUCUUCAAUAAGAAAUUCCUAGGUCGUCUCAAUGUUUCUCCAAAAAACAGAAUGUGUUGCUUGAAAUCAUUGUUGAAGCUUCUUUUACAAAUUAAAAUAACAUAGGGGAAAAUAAGUAGUAUACGUCAGAAUAAAUUGUUCUCUUUAAAAAAAAUACCAAAUAGUUAAUUUCUAAUGUUUUGAUCCUCCAUCAGAUCAUAAAAUGGUCUUAACUUCGGUCUCAUUCCCACUAUAAUUCUUCUCACAACUUUGUCAAAAUGAGUAAGUGCACCCGUCAAGCAUGGCAUCAGAAGCCUCUUCCAAGAACAUGUCUAAUUGGGGUCAAAUCUUUCUUAAUUAUUACUCUAACAUGGAUAAAAGAUCCGUAAGUUUACAACAAGAAUUUCGAAUACUAAUUUGCAAGAGGUGCCAGUUGAGUCAGUUUGAUUCUAUUCUAGAAUCGACUACAACUUGACCCCAACAAACGUGUAGGGCAAAAUGCACCAGACACGUUAGAAAAGGCAUGGGCAAUCGGACCUAACAACCGUGUUCGUAAAUAAUCUCCCACAAGGAGUAGAUUGAAGGUGGUUAAAACUAUAUGUAAAAAUCAUUGCAAACUCCUAGAUGUUUAUAUCCCAAAAAGAAAUCCAAAAAAGCGUGUUGAAUGUUCUAGUUAUAUAAUACUAUUACCUAUUAGAAAGCACACAUUUAAAUUCAAUCUGUUUCAUACAGUUGUUUUUCAAUACUAUUAUAUAGUACUAUUACCUAGUUAGACUAUAAUAUCUAGUUAAGAGUUAUAUCUAUUUAAGUAAAUUAAAUUGUGAUUCUUGGCCUCAAAAUUAGAGAUCAAAAUUCUUAUUUCAAGUUCUUAAUUUUUCAAAUUAUUACAAUGAAAGUAUGUACUACUACCAUUUUUCAAAUUAAAAAAAGAGGAUUUUAUUAGCCUAACAACCGAUAUACCAAUGAUAGUCUCUAGCUGAAGCUUCCAAAGACUCCCAUUGGCAUAAAAUUCGGCUUGGCGAAAGGAAUCUGAACAAAGAUAAGACCUUACUGCUCACAUAGUUUGACAUUGUUUUGAGUUGUUUGCAUUUUUCCCCCUUUCCAGUUCUUUAUAAUUGGAUUUCUGAAACUUGAUUCAUAAUUUCCAUCAACACUUUAACUAAAGAUCGUUUAUUAUACAAGUAUAAAUUUAAUUAACAAGUUUUUUUUUCACUUUUUUAAAUGCUUUACUUUUUUCAACCAUUUACAUUACCAACUACGUUUAAAUUGAAAAAUGAACUGAGAAGUGGAGACAUCUCUUUUUCAAGUCUUUGCAAAAUCUUUUAAAUUGUUUUAUAUUAAUGAAUUUCAAGUCAAAUCUUCUCAACUUGAAAAUUUAUGCCUGGAAUCAAAAUUAAAUUAAGGGAAUAAAAGGGAAAGUAUAUGUGUCGUGUUAGAAUGAAAAGCAUCAAGGCCGCUGCAUCCUAUCCCAUCUGAGACGUUAGUAGGAAUUGCAUAUUUUUCUUGAUUUCUCAUUUGAUGUCUACUUUUAUUUUAGGUUUAUUGGGAUCUACUAAUUAGACCCAAAUCUCAGUAGAGACACAGAACUAAUUCAUUUUAGAAUUGCAACUCAUUACUGUUUAACUCACUUGAUGUGAUAAUAAAAAUAAAAAGUUAUUGAAUAAAGGAAUUCUUUAUUGUAGAUUACAGCUAAUUCAGGCCUUCUUCAAAGAAACUUUAAGAAAUUAUAAUGAUUUUCACAUUUUGGGGUUAUCACCAGAAAGAUAAUUUUUUUCUUUUUAUUAUUUUUCAAAAAAAAGAAAGAUAUUUCAGAAGUAAGAAUUCAUGUCAAAAGCAAGCUGUGUCUGACGGGAUGGCACUUAACAGUAUUAAAGGAAAAGGUUAAAGAUGAUAGAAAGGAAAGGAAUCAGUAAAUUGAUGGAAAAGUGUAUAAGCAUGCUUUUCUCAUCCUUCCAUUGCCUUUUCAAGUUAAAAAGCACCUAAUAAAAGUUAGAAUAACAAUAUUUUUCGUCAUAAAACAAAGAAGAGAAUGUAGAUUUAAAAAUUAUUUUUAUAUACAUUGUCAAUGAAAUUUUUAUACUCUACAAUCAGAGUUAAAAAGUUGUCAUGAUUUAGAUUUAACUAUAUUAAUUUAAUUAAUAAAUUAAUAAUAAUCAAAGCAACAUAUGGAAAUAUUAUAACUUUUUUGGUCCUAAAUAGUAGAGUUCGAGUCUCCCUUCUCUUAAUUAUAUAAAAAAAGUCAUUUCAAGUCUUCGUGAUUUGUGCUCUUUGAACUUUUUUAAGUCUUUUGUUUAGCACAAUAUCUUUUAAACAUUCAAGCUAAAUCUUUUUUAGGUAUUUUUUAUUGGCAAAGGAGCAAAACAAGUUUUUAACAAUCACAAUUGAAAAGUCAAAUGAAUAUUUUAAUGAUUCAAACUUGAGAUGCAAUUAAAUUUUUAUAAAUUAAUACUUUUGAGAUCAUAAAAAAAUAUUAUUAAAUUGAAAUAUUAUUUUAUCAUUAAAUUAAUAAUUUAUUAAUUUAUAUAAUAAUUAAAUUUUUUAUGCUUAAUUGUCGUAAAAAUUAGUCAUUCGGCAUCAGCCUUGAUACUGGAGCCUGUUUCACCCAAAAGUUCACUUAAAGCAACAAUCACAUUACAUAAUUUGUAUAUACCUAUUUAUGUAUAUUAAAUUGUGGUUCUUGGCCCCCAAAUUAGAGAUCAAAAUUCUUAUUUCAAAUUAUUAUAAUAAAAGUAUGUGCUACUACCUUUUUCAUCAAAUUUUUAAUUUUCAAUAUCUAAAUAAACAAAAGGUUACAACUGUUUUGAGUUGUUUGUAUUUUUUCCCUUUUCAUUUCUUUAAUAUUAUUUUUUCAUUCAUUACUUAUCAUUCGAAAAUAUAGAAUAUAAAUAAUAAUAAUUGGAUUUCUGGACCUUGAUUCAUAGUUUCCAUCAACACUUUAGCUAUAAAACCGUUUAUUAUACAAGUACAAAUUUAAUUAACAAGUUCUUUACACUUUGUUUUUUCCAUUAUUACCCAUUUUAAUUUGUUGUUUAGGAUGUUAGUAUUUGAUUGAGUAUUAAGCUCAAUAAGAUAUUUUAGAUUUUUAAAUGCUUUACUUUUUCGAACAUUGACAUUACCUAUACCACCUUUAAAUUGACAAAUGAAGUACCUGAGAAGUGGAGACAUCUCUUUUUCAAGUCUUUGCAAAAUGUUUUAAAUUGUUUUUUAUUAAUGAAAUUCAAGUCAAGUCUUCUCAACUUGAAACUUUAUGUCUAGAAUCAAAAUUAAAUUAAUGGAAUAAAAAGGAAAAGCGUAUGUGCCGUGUUAGAAAGCAAAGCAUCAAGGCCACUGUAUCCUAUCCCAUCUGAGACAGUUAGAAGGAUUUGCAUAUUUUCCUUGCUUUCUCAUUUGGUGUCUAUUUUCAUUUUAAGCUUAUCGGGAUGUGCUAAUUAGACCCAAAUUUCAGUAGAGACACAAAACUAAUUCAUCUUAAAAUCGCAACUCACCUGACAUCUCUUUUUCAAGUCUUUGCAAAAUCUUUUAAAUUGUUUUCUAUUAAUGAAUUUCAAGUCAAGUCUUCUCAACUUGAACAUUUAUGCCUGGAAUCAAAAUUAAAUUAAUGGAAUAAAAAGUAAAAGUAUAUGUGCCGUGUUAGAGUGAAAAGGAUCAAGGCCGCUAUAUCCUAUCCCACCUGAGACGUUAGUAGGAUUUGCCUAUUUUUCUUGAUUUCUCAUUUGAUGUCUACUUUUAUUUUAGGUUUAUUGGGAUACGCUAAUUAGACCCAAAUCUCAGUAAAGACACAAAACUAAUUCAUUUUAGAAUUGCAACUCAUUACUGCUUAACUCAUCACUUGAUGUGAUAAUAAAAAUUAAAAGUUAUUGAAUAAAGGAAUUCUUUUAUUAUAGAUUACAGCUAAUUCAGGCCUUCUUCAAAGAAACUUUAAGAAAUUAUAAUGAUUUUCACAUUUUGGGGUUAUCACCAGAAAGAUAACUUUUUCUUUUUAUUAUUUUUCCAAGAAAAAGAGAGAUAUUGCAAAAGUAAGAAUUCAUGUCAAAAGCAAGCCGUAUGUGACUGGAUGGCACUUAACAAUAUUAAAGGAAAAGGUUCAAGAUGAUAGAAAGGAGAGGAAUCAGUAAAUUGAUGGAAAAGUGUAUAAGCAUGCUUUUUCUCAUCCUUCCAUUGCUUUUUCAAGUAAAAAAGCACCUACUAAAAGUUAGAAUAACAAUAUUUUUCGUUACAAAAUAAAGAAGAGAAUGUAGAUUUAAAAAUUAUUUUUAUAUGCAUCGUCAAUGAAAUUUUUAAACUCUACAAUCAGAGUUAGAAAGUAGUCAUGUAUCACAUUUAACUAUAUUAAUUUAAUUAAUAAAUUAAUAUAAUAAUAAAGCAACAUAUGAAAAUAUUAUAACUUUUUUUGGUUUUAUGCUGUUUGGGGUUUAUUUUGCUUUUAUUUUACUUCUUUGUAAUUUUAAGCCUAAAGUUAUUUUGACUUUGACACAUUACAAUAAAAUUGCAUACUCAUCAGAAAAAAAAUUAAAUCUUAGAUAUGUUUCUGUAGACAUGGUUUGUGAGCAUAUAAUUUCUUAAGCAAGCUACUUGUAUUGCUAGUUUCUUCAUCCUCCAUUAGUAUUAUAGGUGAUUAUAUAGGUGCAUUACAUGUACAUAUAGUUUUAUGUGUUUAAGAAAGUAAUUCUAGAACAAAAGCCAAUACCUAUACAGAAUUCACACUAGCCAACCUGCAAUAGAUCCACAAAAGGAACAGAUCCACACUCUGUCAGCAUUCACAAGAGCUCCAACAAAGCAAUACAAAAGCAUCCCCAGAGGAUUCACACCACUAAACCAACCAUUCGUUUCACCAGUCAGUCCAGGGAAACACACAGAAGUCGCAAUAGAGGAAGAAAAACAGAAAGGGGACUUAUCUCUCAAUUAGCCGACAGCUCCCCUCACCUCUUUUCCACCGAAAAUUCUCAAUAGCUUAUUCUUUGAAUAAAAUAAAAUAAAAACUAAGGAAACCGAAAAAUGAGUAAAGUAGUGUCUUGCUAGAUAGAAAAGCAUCAACCAUGCUGUCCAGUUCACAUUUCAGUAAUGCCCUUUUUUAUGGGGGGUCGGGGUGCAACUUCAACUGUUCUUUUCAAGAAAGCACCAGCAACAUCAUAGGAUAUGAACUAGCAAUUACACAGCUUCUUAAUGUUCCAUAAUUGGUAUUCUUUUUUUUUUCUGGUUAUUCCAAACGGAAUCUGUUGCUUGAAAUUACUGUUGAAGCAUACUUUAGGUUUAGGAUACCAGCUGAGCGAAAAAUUAGUCAGAACUUGAUUUUGAAAUGCUUUGCAAUUGCUCUUGCAUCAGAUCAUAGUUAACACCAUCAUGAUUCAUGUCUCGUUCCAAGUGCAAUAUUAAGUACCUUAGUACUCCACGUAAAAGAGAGAAAGUUUUGAAGAAAGCACAAUACAAAUCAUUUCAAGUCUUCGAAAAUCAUGCAUUUAGUUCAUUGGUUAGUGCAUGAUCCUUUGCUUAAAAAGUAGGAUUCGAAUCUCCCUUCUCUUAAUUAUAAAAAAAAUCAUUUCAAGUCUCCGUGAUUUGUGCUCUUUUAACUUAUUUAAGUCUUUUGUUUAACACAAUAUCUUUUAAACAUUCAAGCCAAAUCUUUUUUAAAUAUUUUUUAUUGGCAAAGAAGUACAAUAAGUUUUUAACGAUCAUAAUUGAAAAGUCAAAUGAAUAUUUUAACAAUUCAAACUUGAGAUACAAUUAAAUAUUUAUAAAUUAAUAAUUUUGAGAUCACAAAAAUUUAUUAAUUAACUGAGAUAUCAUUUUACCACUAAAUUAAUAAUUUAUUAAUUUAAACAAUAAUUAAAAUUUUUUUAUGCUUAAUUGUUGUAUAAAUUAGUCAUUUGGCAUCAACCUUGAUAUUGAAGCCUGUUACACUCAAAAAUACACUAAAAGUAAUUAACAAUCACAUUACAUAAUUUGUGUGUACCUAUUUAUGUAUAUUAAAUUGUGGUUCUUGGCCUCAAAUUAGAGAUCAAAAUUCUUAUUUCAAAUUAUUAUAAUAAAAGUAUGUACUACUACCUUUUUCAUCAAAUUUUUAAUUUUCAAUAUCUAAAUAAACAAAAGGUUAACAUUGUUUUGAGUUGUUUGUAUUUUUUUCCCUUUUCAUUUCUUUAAUAUUAUUUCUUCAUGCAUUAAUUAUUGUUGGAAAAUAUAGAAUAUAAAUAAUAAUAAUUGGAUUUCUGCAACUUGAUUCAUAGUUUCCAUCAACACUUUAACUAUAAAACCGUUUAUUAUACAAGUACAAAUUUAAUUAACAAGUUCUUUACACUUUGUUUUUUUCCAUUAUUACCCAUUUUAAUUUGUUGUUUAGGAUGUUAGUAUUUGAUUUAGUGUCAAGCUCAAUAAGAUAUUUUAGCUUUUUAAAUGCUAUACUUUUUCGAACAUUGACAUUACCUACACUACCUUUAAAUUGAAAAAUGAAGUACCUGAGAAGUGGAGACAUCUCUUUUUCAAGUCUGUUGCAAAAUGUUUUAAAUUGUUUUAUAUUAAUGAAUUUCAAGUCAAGUCUUGUCAACUUGAAAAUAUAUGAUUGAAAUCAAAAUUAAAUUAAUGGAAUAAAAAAGAAAAGCGAAUGUGCCGUGUUAGAAUGAAAUAGCAUCAAGGCUGCAGUAUCCUACCCCAUCUGAGACGUUAGAAGGAUUUGCAUAUUUUUCUUGAUUUCUCAUUUGAUGUCUAUUUUUAUUUUAAGCUUAUCGGGAUAUGCUAAUUUGACCCAAAUCUCAGUAGAGACACAAAACUAAUUCAUCUUAAAAUCGCAACUCAUUACUGUUUAACUCACCUGACACGAUAAUAAAACUAAAAAGUUAUUGAAUAAAUGGUUUCUUUAUUGUAGAUUAUAGCUAAUUCAGGCCUUCGUCAAAGCAACUUUAAGGAAUCACAAUGAUUUUCACAUGUUGAAGUCGUCAUCAAAAAGAUAACUUUUUCUUUUUAUUUUUUUUCCAAGAAAAAGAGAGAUAGCUCAAAAGUAAGAAUUCAUGUCAAAACCAAGCCGUUUGUGAUGAAAUGGCACUUAGCAUUAUUAAGGGAAAAGCUUCAAGACGAUAGAAAGGAGAGGAACCAGGAAAUUGCUGGAAAAGUGUAUAAGCAUGUUUUUCUCAUCCUUCCAUUGCAUUUUCAAGUUAAAAAGCAACUAGUGAAAGUUAGAAUAACAAUAUUUUUCCUUAUAUUUUUGUUUUUACUAUUUAAGUCACUCGAUAAAAAAAUAAAUGAUUUAAAAAUAAAAUUUAUCAAUUUAUUCAUAAAUAUAAUAUUCAAUAUUGAAUCAAUUUAUGAUACAUCAAUGGAUGAUAUAAAACAAACAAAAAGUAAGAACAAUUUAAAAUCAAAAUUGAAUAUUAUAAAGCAAAUUUUUUUAAAAAUAAUUUUGUUAACACUAAAACCAAUAUGCCAUCUGAAGUGUCUACACAAUUGUUAAAGACUUCUGUUGAUAUAUAAUUCUAACUUAUGCAUCAUGAAAAUCCUUACGAUUGAUAAUAUUAGAGCAGCAUAUAUAAAACCAUGGAGGACCUAUUAGGAAUUAGUGGAAAAGUGAUGACAGCAAUAAAUAAUUCUAUCAUUCAUGACAAAGUUGUUAAAUGUAUCUUUUAUCAAGUCUAAAGUUACUUUUAAUGCAUUCAUACAUUUGAUUCAGUGAUUGAUGUAACUAAAUCAGAUUUCUUUUUUUUAAAUAAAAUAAAACAAAAAAAAUGUAAAAUGGGCAAAGUAAUGUCUUGUAAGAUAAAAAAGCAUCGGCCAUGCUGUCUAGUUCGCAUUUCAAAAAAGCCAUUUUUUAUGGGGGGUGGGGUACAACUUCAACUGUUCGUUUCAAGAAAGCACCAGCAACAUCACAAGAUAUGAACUAGUUUUACACAGCUUCCUAAUGUUCCAUAACUGGUAUUCUUUUUUUAUUUUUGUCUUCUUCUGGCUGUUCCAAAGCGGAAUCUGUUGCUUGAAAUUACUGUUUAAGCAUACCUUAGGAUACCAGAUGAGGGAAAAAUUAGCCAGAACUUGAUUUUGAAAUGCUUUGCAAUUGCGCCUACAUCAAAUCAUAGUUAACACCAUCUUGAUGCGUGUCUCCUUCCAACUACAUGUUGGAAUAUGCCAUAGGGUCAUUUAAAUUGAACAAGGGAUAUAUUAUCAUUUAAUGGAUACUUAAUCGCAUAAAAAUAUGUGAUAAAAGUUUUUCUUCAUGUUAGUGCAAUAAUAAGGAGUUAUUAAGUACUAAUUGGAUAAAGCCUAUGGAACAUAAAGGCCUCGUAAGAGAAUUGUAAUGUUGUUACAAUUAAGAGAUCACUAUGCAUCAAAACCAUAUUCCUAAAAUUGUUCCUGGUCAUUGUAUUGUCAAGAUAGGGCAUUGACAAUACUCAAACACUGCUACAUGUUAAGCCUCCUUACUUAGAAAGUAAGCAAUCGAUGUUAUAGAUUGAAGUAUAUGGGAUACUCAAGGAUAACAUAUGGGUGCUUGUUAACGAACAAGUUCACUGAACAUGACCUGCUAUGAUAACUCCAUUUGGUAUUUCACUCAAGUGUCUAUGGAAUAUGUUCUCAUGUGAUAAUCGUGCAAAUAGUCCUUAGACUUGAGAUACCAAGUCAUCUUGUAUGGGGAAUGACAUACUUUGAUUUCACUUCUGCUAGUCUAGAAUCAACUAGAUGCCUUUACAGUGUUUUUGGGUAUGCCAUGAAGCAUGCGAAGGUGAAUGAGUGGUCAAGAGAGGAUUCAUCACCUCAAGUGAUGUGAGGGGAUGUAUCUCACUUGUUAUGAAUUAUUGAUUAACUUGUAUAAAGUCUUUGGGCAAAGCAUGAUGAAUUUGAGGAACAUUAUUUUCCUAAGUUCAUAAAGUUAGUCAUGAAUUAUAAGAACUAAUAUGAAAUUGCAUAAGUAGACAUCGAGCCAUGCUUAAUGACAUAACUGGGAUAUUUGAUAAAAUACCAUACUACACUAAGAGUCUUAUCACUGAAGGGCUUCGUCAAAUUUUUUAAUUGACUGUCUAACAUUUGGGUGGUCAUAAUGUACUGCUAGAUGUCGCUCAUGGUAUAUAUAUAUAUCAAUUAUCAAAUUGAUAUUUGAUUAGGAUUUAUAUUUAUUGCUAACAUGUUAGAAGUCUAAUAAGUCACACACAUUAAGUGACAUGGUUGAGAUUAAAUAAGGAUAAUCAAUUAAGUUGGACUUAAUUGGAAUAGACUAAAAUAAAGUGAGAAAUUAAUUAAGUUCACAAGGACUUAAUUAAAUUAAAAUACAACUGUUGUAUCUAGGGUUACAACUUAGUUUGGCUAUAUAAAUAUGUUAUAUGUUAGCCAACUAAAACUCGAAGCCUUCAACUAUUUUUUAGCCGUUUCAUAAAAAUAAGAACAGAAAAAUAGUUUUUUUUGUUUGACAAAAAUAAGAUUCGGUAAGAAUUUUUGGUCUUUUUGUUUUAGAAACAAAACUUGCUAGCACGAAUAAAAUCCUACUUUUGAAAAGGUCUUAUUCAGUCACUGUGUGGAUUACUGUUAAAGGCCAAACAUUUGAAUGACUAAAGAUUUGACAAAUCCUAAAGAUGAAGAAGCAAAGAUUUUGACUAUAGAAUUUUAGACCAUUUUAUUUUUUUUUUUAGGUUACUUGCUUCAUCACAAGCGUAUUAGAUUUAAUUGGCUUUUGAUUAUGAUAUUUAGAGCAAGGUACAUAACUCUUAAACUUAUGAAUGUUCAUAAUUAAUUUGAAAUUACAUUAACAACACAAAUAUUGAUCUUGUAGCAUUCGACUGUUUCUCUGAUUAAAUGCUAGUUUAUUUUUUUACUGCAUUUUUAAUUUAUUGAUUGUUUUCAUGUUUGAGCAUGAGGUUGAAUCCUAGCAAUACAAUAUUAAGUCUGAGUUUAGUCUUUAUCUCGCUUGCCUUGUUGAUCUUUUGUUUUGGUUUUGGUCUAGCUGAAGUUGAGUCUAGUUUGUAUUUUCUUCGUAUUUUUUUCUGCAUAUGGGUUGCUGCUUUUUUAAGAGCUCCUACGCUGCAGAUUUUUGGCUGUUCCUUCCGGGAAAUGUUUCAUUAAUUAAUGAACUUUUACCUUUAAAAAAAAAAAGAUGUGGCUUACUAUUAAUUUGUUAUCAAAUUAAGCCAUUUUUUUUUCCAAUUUAUUAACUGUCUGUGUGAAAAUAAAAGGAGGCAUGAUUAGUACCAUCAUUCUUUCUACAACUUAUUUCAUGGAACCUUAAUUUGCAGUCACCGAGGAAACAAACAGAAAUGAAAUAUCAAACAGAGAAUGAACUUUCUAUGUAAAAUUCAAAUAAUAAAACGAUUCAACACUAACAAUUGGCCAGAAUCUCUGUUUAACAAAAAAUUUCCAAAGGAACAUAAGGAGAAUUCAAUGAUGAUCCAAACCGGGAAGUUGGCUUUAAUAAUCGGCAACCUUUAGCAGACUGGAUGGUUAGGAGACGUGGGCCGGUUCUCAUCUGCCAGAACUGUGCAUUUUUUGGUGAAGUACAUAUGUUCAGAUACUCAACCACUCACCAAAAAAUUACAGGUUUUCUUGCUAAUCGUGAGCUCUAAUAAAUGAAGAGCAAACCCAUAAAUCUGUUAGAAGUAUCUCCUGAUAGAGUAAAAAUUAGUUGCAUUGAAUCCACUCAUGAAAGGAUUCAAUUAAGAUGUUUGCUUUAUGGACGGAACAUGGUUUAGGGAAAUCUGUCAAUCCAUUCACACAAUUAUUUCCACACAAUUAGAGUAAUAAGUCUAUUCAUUUCCACAAUUAUUUUCACUAUACAAUUCCGUAAUAAUUCAAUCCCAACUAUCUAUAGAAUAGGGGUCCACUUGUAUGUAGGCCCUAUGCACCCCCUAAGCAUGGAUAGCUUGAUGAUAUGGACCCACUGCUAAAUAGUGAUGCACUGUUAUCAUUGUGAUGAUAAAUCUUAGUGACCAUUCCAUAGUCGCACUACUACAAGUGCCUGAGUAUCUAAGAGCAAUAUAUACGACCGAGUGAAUCUGUAGUGGCAGCCGAAGUGCCAAUGGGUGAUAAGGUGAGCUUUUCACCUUUUCUUGGGUAAUCCUUCAAACAUGUCAAAGGAGAAGCUGGCAAAAGAUUAUGACAUCAAUAACAUAUUCAACAGGUUUUGGAAAAGCUUUUUAUUUUUUUUUAUUUGAAAAGCAAUUUAUUAAGCCACAAUAACCAGCAAUGCCAUUGCAAGUCUAUUACUUGAUAGCAUAGACUUCCUAUGGCAUAAAACAUCUGGCAUGGGCAAAAGAGCAGUACAUUAACAUAACCAAACACCACUCCAUAAGGGGGUGGCGGCACACAAAGACAAAAUGAGCUCAAAGAAAAACAAAAGUAGCACAAGCAAACCUAUACAAAAUAAUAACCAAAUAUUAUUUUGUUAGUGAUUGCAAGUACAAAUCUGAUUUAAAGAUAUAUUAUCAAAUAUUUAGUGUUUGAUUAUUUGUUCCAUUUCUUGACAAUUGAUCAAUGAUGAUUCAUUAAGCUGCAAAUUAUUAUAAGUAAAGAAACUUGGGAAUCGAAAGAAAAUAAAAAAUAGUUGCAAUAAAUGAUACCAUUUGUGAAGAAGUUGAUGGCCUGUCAUUUAAGGUUGAAGUUGCUGGCCUAGGAAACCUCAUUCAUAAUUGUGAGAUCAACAAGUUAACUUGCUGCAAAAUUUCUGAUUUGAUCAUUGGAACUUGCUUUGUCAUCUCAAUCUUAAUAGAUUGUACUUGCUGCUGCUACUUUUUUUGCAUCUCCUCUUCUAAUUUAUCUUUCACUUCUUUCAUCUCAUCCAUAGCAACUCUUCUAGCAUUUUCAACCAUUCUUUGGGCAUCCAUGGAAUCAAAUGUAGGUGGUUUAUUCUUUAGAUCUGAAGCAGUCACACCUCUUCCGCAAAGAGACACAUGGCCAGCUUUGUCGUGCCCCAUUACAUGAGCAAAGAUUUCAUUUUGAACUUCAAGAUCCUUAUAAUUCUCUAAAUUUUAAGAAAUUUGCGCUUAUAUUCAAACUAAAAUUAAACAUAAAUAAUUAUAAUUAAAUUAUUCAUGUUUAUAUGAUCUUUCUACAUCGUAUCAAUAUAAAGUUUGUAGUCAUACCGAAAUUCUCAUGCUUUCCUCAUCCAAUUCUCCAUUCUUGUGUUUAUGUGCCAAAAGAAACAUAUCAGCUUGGGAUAUUUCCUCUAUGUUUCCCUUAUUAGCUUUCUGUAUUAAUAAAAAAUAAAAUAAAUUACUAACAAAAUAACCUACAAGUUAACAACAUCAUAAAUAAGAAAUACUUGGUAUAAUGGAAGAGAAGGGGAAAGAUGUAAAGGAAAAUAAAAUAACAUAAAAUAAAAUACUUCAUAACUGAUAGUAGUGAAGGUCGGAUGCUAUUUGCUAAAGUUAGAGACCUUUAAACUAGUAGCCACUUGUAGACACCCUUUUUUUAUAUAUAUAAUAUAAAAAUAAUAAUAAAAAAUAAAAAAUUUAAAAAAAUUUAAAAGAAAAAAUAGAAAGGCCUCCAUUGUCAAACUGCCUUCAAAUGAUUCAAUGCUCUCUGAGGCAGCUGAUCUGGGGGUCACCUCCCAGCGAUUUUCUUUGAUUUGAAGGCCACCCAUCCUGAAAUCAUGAUGAGAAGACAUGAUUGCCUUGGACAAUUGGGUUCUAUAAGAACCCUAAAACUCUAGUUCAAAAGGGGGGAUGGAGGAACAAAAAAUAGAACUUUUUGGGAGAUUUUUAGAAAGCCAGAAAAACGUUUUCAACACAAAAAAAAACCGAACUUUUCAGAAACCAAAAAACCAGAUUCAAACAAAAUAAAAAAGAUCAAAUCUUUCAAAAAAAACCAAAAAAAAUCACAAAACCCAAAUGUCCUAGUUUUCUAGCAGCAGACUACCCUAGCCACAAUAAAAGAAAAAUCAAACAUCACAACAAACAAAACAAAAAAAAAAGGAAAAAAUUGGUCAAAUUUGGAAAAUGAGUGAGAGGUGGGUUUGGGUAUAAAGAAAAGAGUGGAAUUUUCUUCUUCUUUUUUUGUGGGUAAAGUGAGGAUUGAAAGGGGAAGGUCGUCGGCAGAAAAAGAAGAAAGAAAUAAGAGAGGGAGAGAAAGGAAAAGGCACCGGCGGUGAUAGAAGAUGCCAGCGAGGGAGAAAGAGGAAGAGAGAAAAGAAAAGAAAAGAAAAAGAGAGAAGAAGAAAGAAAGAAGAAGAGGUGAGUGGGUAGAGAGAAGGCAAAGUAUCUGCUGCUAGAGAGAGAAUGAGGGGAGAAAAUGAAGGGAGGAAGAAGAAAGAGAGAUUUUAUAGUUAGGUAUAAGAACCAAAUGAUGCCUUUUUGGUGAAGAAGUGUAGGCAACCUAAGGAGCUUGAAACGGUGCCGUUUGGGAGAUGAAGGAGCUGAGUACUUGGAAUAGGAUUUCGGGCUUUUGGGCUCCAAUAUUUUACUUGGGUCACCAUAUGGGCCCAAGCUAGGUAAGGAAAAAAAAUACUCUUUUUUAUGGGCUUAUUGUGCUUUCGGUUGAUUGGGUCGAAUAUGUGAUUUGAUGAUGUAAAAUUAAGUUGAAUUAUUUAGUAUAAUGUCUCAAAAAUUUUAGAUAAUAGUUUAAAAUAUAAAAAUUAGUGUUAGCAAAAAAAAAUAUAAAGGUGAAUGCUAAUAGUGAAAAUAGUAUAAAAUGUUCUGAAUAGUUUGUUAGUCAUAAAAAAAUUAGGAUUUAGAAGAAUAUAUAUAUAUAUAUAUAUAAUAAGUAAAUAAAUAGUAAGAAAAUCAAUAGUAUAUUUAGUUUAGUUAAAAUAAUAAUAAUAAUAAUAAUAAGCGAAUGAGAUGAACAAGAAAAAAAAAGUGGAAAGAAAGAAAUAUUUAUAUUAUAAAUAUAUUUAGAUACUUGUAAAUAUAAUAAAUAUAUAUAUAUAAAAUGCAUGAUACAAAUAUAAAAUUAUAAGAAAAAUGAGAUGAUUAUUUGACAGAUUCCACCUAAGAAGGGCAAAGAGUUGCCUCUUUCGGGUGGAUUUCUUAAGUGCAGAGUUCGAGACGGAUUUUCACCGAAGCAUCGGGAUAAAUCCGAACUCUAUACUCCAAUGCCCAUUAGUCCGAAUAAUUGUUGUUUAAAAUAAUAUACAUAAGAAAAAAAAAACAAAUAAUAAUAAUAAAUAUAUAAAUAAGGCAAUAAAUCACCCUAAAUUAUUAAACAUAUUAUUAUAUGAAUUACGAACCAAUUAAAUUAAUAAACGCGGUCAUGUAGACAUCAUCAUUUUAUACUGUCAUAGCAUGCCAAAUUUAUCUUGUUAAUAGGGCAGGAAUUCCGAUGAUGGGAUUUCCUCGAAGAGCUCAUAGAGACGAGUCUUUCCUAAGAUAUCCUUAGGUGAGGAAAACUUUGAGACUUCACCAAAGCAUUGGGAUGGUCUACAAAUGAUUUUUCAAAAAAAGAUUGCCGACCUCAUCAGUUAAAAUUGGACAAAUCAUAACAGUAUUUUACGACUACAUCACAUGCAUCCGUGAAACCGACUAAAAGAUUCAAUUAGAUAACAUAAUAAAGAAUUAAUUAAUAAUAAGGAUUAAGGAAACAUAGGAAUAAAAUCAAGGUAGGCUACAAUAGGAUAACUUAAGAUUAAAUGGUACCGUUCAUGGAACAGGCGUCACGGAGGUGCUAACCCUUCUCUGUGCAUAACCGCACUCCCAAACCUAUCUGUGCAUAACCGCACUCCCGAACCUAUCUCUGAAAAACAUCGACCAGUUCUCGUUCUGUCAACAAACCUAAAAUUAAUUUAGGACUUCGUUGAUUAGAAUCGGGUUAAUAGGUGGCCAAUCACACCUAAAUAAAAAAAAAUUGGUGGCGACUCCAAGAUAUAUUAUUUUAGGCCAGUCUAGCAGUCGGGUUCCUAGACCCGACAUGUUACAACAGCUUGGUGACUCCACUGGAGACACCAAAGAGUCAAGCCAUAAUUAAUCGUAGGUUAUCUUGAGCCAUAAAUAAUUUAGUAUUUCCUUUAAAUUUGAAUAUUUGUUUUUUAUGCAUUAUGAUUUUGUGCAUUAAUUGUUUUAUAAUUAUUAUUUUAUUAUUUUUUAAAUUGUGAGAAAUUUAGGAUAAAGGGAUGUGAGAUUGUUCAUCAAAGGUUGGUACAUUCCUUCACACACACGACACAUGUUGCAUUCAUGCAUAAGCCUUCUACCCGGGCUUUGUCCCUUAUUAAAAGGGAGUUUAGUAGCUACACUCUCGUGAAGUGAUAACCUCCGCAUGGGCUAGUGAACAUUCCCACUCAAAUUGAACCUAGUUCGUUCAAAGCCUAUAAUGGGUGAGGAUCGAGAUGCCUUACUAGUCCGAGUGGACAACAGUGAGAAACGAUUUGGGAACCUUUAGCCUCAUUCAAAACCAAACUCAACAUAUAGAAAGCCGUGAGGAGCCAUCCCAUAGGCAGAACCUUACCGAACUUGUCAUGAGGAGUACACCCUAAUUUAGGACACGUGAAGGAACAAAUCUAUUAUAAUAGCCUUUUUUGAUAAAAUAAAAAUAAUAGGUGUCAAACUGAUUUUCUAAAAAAAAAACAAAAAAAAAACAAGGAAUUUCUCUCUUUUUCCAUCUUAGAAAAAGAAAAGAGUAAGAUUUCUUAUAUUCAUUAUUUUUAGAAUACUUUUCUCUACACUUUUUGUUUAAACAUCUCAGAAGAAUAGCUUUUUCUAUUUUCUCGUAAAAAUAAAGGAUAAACAUGAAAAAGAGGGAGGAUUGUUUUUUCUUUCAUGAAAAAAAGUAAAUAAAAACAUAAAGAAAGGAAACAAAAAAGAGAAGUAUUUCCUUUGAGUGAGGUCUUCUCAAAAAAAAAAAAAAAGAUGUCUUUAGUUCCUUUUGUCCAUAAAAAUGAAAAAAAAAAAAGGAGAGAAAAGCUUCUUCUCUUACAAAAAAGAUGAAAUGAGAGAAACUGAUACUUCUUGUGAAACAGAAAAGAAAAAAAGUGGUUUCCCAUUUAGGCAAAAAGAAGAGAAAACAUAAAAAAAGUUUUUUAUUUCUUCCAUUUUUUUGAAAAAAACCACAAAAAGAGAGAUUUUAGUUUUAAAUAAAAUUUUCUACCUCCCAUUAUACAUGAUUUCCAAUAAUGUGGCCUUCCAUUUCAUUGCAUACCAUCCAUGCAUCAAGGCAUCAUAGCAUAUCAUGCAUCAUAUUUUCAUCUACAUGCAUCAUAUUUUCAUCUACAUGCAAUCAUUUCAUGUUUGUUCUAAUAAAGAAGAACCUUACAGUGUUGAUUAGCUUUGUAGGAAAGAGAAUAAAUCACUUUUUGAAAAUUUUUUAGUAAAGUUCCAAGUUUUUUGUUUCUAAUUUAUUUUGGUUUGGGUCAAAAGGAUUGAACAAUAUGGAACACUAAUUGGAAGUAAGGAUAAGUGCAUUGGAACGCAAUCAAGAAGAAUUUGGACAUGACCUUUGAGAAAUGAAAAGACAAAUGGCCAAAUUGAUGGAAAUGGUUGAAAGUCUCAAUGGAGCCAAAGGAAAGCAUCCCCAAGAAUCCCCAUCACUUCAAAUCGAACCACACCAAGAGCAAUCACUGAAUAAAAAUCAAUUUGUCAUUGAUAAAACCAACACAUUGCUCAGUGGCUCAAGUAAGGAUCAAGGUUUAGAAAAAAUUGCAAAAGGGAUGGAUGAAUUGAAUACACAAAUGAUUGAGUUGAAAAGUUUCAUGACCAAUAUGGGAUCUGCAGACGCUACUCAACCCCCGAAGAAUAGGUUGCAACCAAGGUCAUAUUCUUCACCCACCACUUUUCAACCCGUAAAAAUCAAUUUGCAGCCAAAUUCUUACUCUUGUCCAAGCACUUUUCGACCUCCCUUUCAACAAGCCUUUCAAAGCCAACCAUGGGCACAAUUAUCAAUCACCGCUACUCCUAACCUAGGCACCCCUUAAAAACAAUCCAAAAAUAAAAAAAACAAUUUGACCUUAUGCCCGUCGCCUAUAAAGAACUUUUUUAUCAAUUAGUUCAUGAUCAUUUUAUUGUCUCGGUGCCUUUGGAACCCUUGCGGCCUCUAUACCCAAAGUGGUUCAAUUCAGACGCAAGAUGUGAUUAUCAUAGUGGAGCUAUAGGACAUUCGAUCGAAGAUUGUGAUUCUUUCAAGUAUCGAGUGCAAACAUUAAUAGAUGCCAAAUGGUUCGAUCCAGUAAAGAUGAUGGGGCAUGGUUGUGGGGAGUACAAUUAAGGGUUGACUGUGCUGAUUUUUUAGAAAAGUUUUCUUUAAGAACUUAGGACAUUUUAAUCUUUGACUUUUUUUGAAUCGUGUAAGAAUAGGUUCAUGUUUGUGAAGAAUUAUGUUGACUUUUGAGGUUUAUUCAACAUUUUCGUAAAUGUUGUUUUAUAAAAAAAAACCAUAAAAAAAAGGAAAAAGAGAGUUUGCAUGAAAUAAUCAAGUGCCUUUGUGCUUUAAAUCACUCAUCAUAAAUUUAAUCAUCCCAUCAUGCAUUCAAGCAUCCUUCGACUUUGACAUACAUGCACUCAUCAUUCAUCUUUCUUUGUCGCAAGUAGCAUCACUAGAUUGUUGUUGAUUUUCACAAAUAAAAAAGUUUUUCUAAUUAUAUAUUAAAGAAAAAAAACUCGAGGGAGCCCACUUACAAUUGGCACAAUACAGGGGCUCAAGCUAGAAUCAUGGGAGAUGAAUAAUCAAAUUUGAUAAACAAGAUGGAGAAAACAUAAGAAAAGAUGAGAAAACGAUUUGCAAAGAUAAUGGAGAGAGCGAAUGCUGAUGAACGGAGAGGGACUGUUGAAGGAUCUUCAAGUUUGCAAGGACUAAGCCAAUCAUCAACGCAAAGGCAAACUAUGCAAAUUUCAAGGGUAAAUUUUUCUAACCAGGUUCCUAUACUUGACUUGAAUGACUUUAAGGAACAAGGAAAAUUGAAAGUGGACUUCUCAAGAUCGAGAGAAAAAUCGAGAAUGCAACAAAAGUAUGAUCUUUUAGAAGAGCACUUCGAAGCCAUAGAGGGAAUGGAUCUCUAUGAUUCUAUUAAGGCAUGGGAAUUAAGUCUGGUGCCUAAUGUGGUUAUCCCACCUAAGUUUAAAGUCCCACAGUUUGAAAAGUAUGAUGGAACCAAAUGCCCUAAGGCACAUUUAAUCAUGUAUUGCAACAAGAUGGCUUCAUAUGCCCAUGAUGAGAAGUUGCUCAUUCAUUUUUUUCAAAAUAGUUUGGAAGGAGCUACGGUUAAAUGGUACUAUAAAUUGGAAAAAGAUUGUAUUUGCACAUGGAGAGAUUUAGCCCUAGCAUUUUUAGGACAAUACAUGCAUAGGCUGGAAGCAAUUCCUGAUAGAAUAACCCUCCAAAACAUGGAAAAAAACCCUUCUAAAAGUUUCAAGGUGUAUGAAUGGAAGGAAGUAGCAUCACAAGUCCAACCACCCCUUACUAGUAAAGAAUUAAAUUCUCUAUUUGUUGAUACUCUUCCUCUUCCAUAUUAUAACAAAUUGGUGGGUAACGCUUCUUCGGAUUUCGCGGAUUUGGUGUUCUUAGUGGGAAGGAUUGAAGAUGGAAUAAAAAAGGGAAGGAUUACAGACUCUCGUGCAAAUGAUCUUGUCAAAAGAGAAUAUGAUGCUUUUGAUAAAGGAGUUCAAGCAAUGACUUUUGAAAGAAGAAACAAGAGGAAAUUUUGUGACAUAGAAGGAGAUUUUAUGGGUGUUCAUUCACACCCAUCACCACAUGUCCAUAAUCUACCUCAACCUUUCAUUUCUUGCAUGCAGUCAUCACUUACACAGGCUCCUCUACCUUACAUGUCCACUUCAGGGGACCAAGAAAUUAAUCUGGAUUGCCUUCAAAGCAACAAGAGAAAGAAAGCUAAAGUGUACCAUUCAUUACCAAUGUCUUAUGCAGAGUUUUUUUCUUUAUUGGUACAAAACCAUAAGAUCUCCAUUAUUCUUGUCAAGCCUAAGAAACCUCCUUACCCAAGAUGGUAUAACCCAAAUGUUAAAUGUGAUUACCAUUCUAGGGUAUAAGGUCAUUCCACAGAGAAUUGCAUUGCAUUCAAGAACAAAGUUCAAGCUUUAAUCGAUGCAGACCCAACUAAAUUCAAAGAACUUGUCAACAAAUCAAGGGUGAUGGAUGCAAGGCAUGGGUUUUGGAACAAUUGAGUGGUAUGCCAAUUUGGGGGCAAUCCUUGAUCAUUUUCUAGUCGUGUACAUGUUUUAAGGGUAGAAACUUUUGGGAAUAUGGAUUUUUGUCUUUCAUGCAUGAUCAUGUAAUUUGAGAUGAGUGAUCGUUUAGUUUUCGUCAUCACAUGCUGUCAUGAGUUGAAUUGAGUUUGAAAAUUGCUCAAAUUUCUUUUGGUUCUUAUUUAUUUAUUUUUCUUUCUAAAAGUAAAAAAAAGAGUUCUUUGAAUGUUAGCAAUUUUAAAAAUAAAGCCCCAUACUACUUGUUUCCAAAAUCAUAAAUGAAAAAAAAAAGGUUCUUAUAAAAUAAAUGGUGAAAAGAAUCUUGAAAGAAUUGGUGGUUGCUAUUUGCAAAUGAACUAAUUUUCAUAAACAUUCUCAAACCAUACUUUCAAACACUCUCAAUGCCUUAACCAAGUGAAUAAAGGCCAUUCAAGAACCUAAAUCCAAAGGGAAGCAAAAGCUCUGAAACUUCGUCAAUCUCAUCAUUUGACAUCUAAGGACGAUGGUCUUUGUCUAAGUAAUGAUCAAUGUUGUGACAAGGUAAAAUUCAUUUUUUUCAAAAAUAAAGAAAACCUUGCACUCUUGGAAAGAAUCAGAAUUUGGUAAUUUGAUAAGUGUCAAGACUAGCCAGAGCUUCAAAUACAUAGAAACCACUCAACCUCUUUCAAUUGGAUCCAAAGUGUGAGCUUUGCCACCCAUUGCCUAAAGUUAUCCUUCAUCCAUACCAUGGGGCAAGAUGAUUAGAAAAAAAAAAAUUUCUCAAUACCUCUAAGACACCCAAUGUUAAACCCUAUUCUAUAAAAUAAUUACGACGUCAUUUACAUACUCAAUAAAAUAUUUGCAUGUUUAGGAAGUUCAAGGAAUCGUUAAAAGAUGAUAUUGCCCCUAAUGGUACCAUUAAGUCGAUUAAGCCUCAAACUACUUCAAAUAGGAAUUUUAAGGUGAAAUUAAGAGUUUCACAGCUCAGGGAUGUCUCAAAAUGGUAAUUCAGAGUUCGAGGAUCAAUUUGGAGUCAAACUGAAAUUUUCACUAUCCAGGGGCAAAAUGGUCAUUUGUCAUUUGGGGACAAAAUGGAAAUUUUAAGAAAAGAUUUUUUGGCCCCAUUUGACUUAUUGGAGUAUGAUUUGAGUAAUUGAAGUAUGAUUUGAGGUUUAGAAGUGAAAAUUUUUAAUUUCGGUAUAAUUUGGAGUAUAGGGGCGAAAUGGUAAUUUUGCCACUCUAGGGGUAAAUCGGUAAAUUUUCACCUUGACAUUUGUCAAGACCAAGGGAUUUUAUUCAUCAUGGAAAUGGAUAAACAUGAGAAAUGUGUGGUGGAGAAUUAAAGAAUUAAAAGUCAAAUAUUUAAAAUUUGAACGAAUAAGGAAAUGCCAUGUGUCAUAUUUUUAUUAUUUUAUUAUUUCUUUAUAAAAAGGCAAAAAAUCAGCCCAUUUCUCCCAUAGUGAUCAGCCAAACCAGAAGAGAAGAGAAACCAAGGAAGAACAAACCCUAGGUGGGAAAAAUCAAAGAGAAAGUGUUGGAAUUCAAGGAUUUGAUCAAGCAAAGGUAAAAUUUCUUUGAUUUUGCAAGUGAUUUACCUUACCCAUGCAUUUUUCCUUAAUUUCCAUAGUUAAAUUACAUGUUUUCAUGAUGAAUUCAUGACUGGUCAAAAUGGGUAUGGAGAGAGAAUGAUCUUGGAUUGGUUUGAUUUUUAGGUAUGUUGGUGUUUUUAGGUGAUUAAUGAUGUGUAGCAUGAAAACAAGUGAAGAAAACCACCAAAGGCUUGGUGCCCAUCAAUAGCCGAAUUCUCUAAGUGAAUAAUGAGGAAGAAUGGGAUGUAAUUCUAGGUGAUUUGAUUAAGAAAUAAUAGUUUUUGGUGUAGGAAUUAAUGAAUUAUGGAGAGAAAAUUAAAUAGGAAAAAUCACGGAGUUAGUGUACUAUUGUUGGUCGAAAGUUCCAAGAAAAACAGUGAAGAUAAAUUUUGCCUAAUUGUGUGUUAAUCAGUUGUUCUUGGUGAAUUGAGGGAUUGGAAAAGAAAUGUAGCAAGUUGGAGUGAAAUUGGACGCAUUGGCCAAUUUAUUAGAUGAAAAAUCGACUUAGGCCAAUACCGGGUCUAAAUGGCUACCUGUGCAUUUUUCAUUUCAUAUCAUGCAUAUAUAUCGAGCCUGAAAUAGCUUAUGACUGUUAGACACAAUUUAAUUGGAAUAUGUGUCAUGGAUUAUGGUUAGGUGGUGAGCCAUUGGAUACGGGUAAAGGACUAUACCCGCGGACUGAAAAUAGGAGUAUUUCUACUCCUAAUAUUGUGAGUGAACUUAUUAUCGUCUUAAUUAUCUAGAGUAGUUUUAUACAAUUGUGUGAUUUUAUAAAAAAUGGGUUAAAUGGUAAAUUGCUAUGUUUUAGGAGAAAUUGUGAUUUUAUAAAAUAAUUUUAUAAAUUUUCUGGAAAAUUAAAUACUGGUUUUGAAAAUAGAGUAAUUGGAGAAUGCCUGUUUAUGUUAUAAAUUGUGUUUUAAAUUAUAUGGCUUAUAACAAUAUGUGGGCAUGAAUGGCAAAGUCGGUAUUUGUAUCAAAAUUAUAUAUACUAUGUAUUCAGCCUUGAGAGGCUAGAUUGUGAUAAAUUGCCAUGUCAUGCAGAUAAGGAUUUUAUAAAUCAAGUGGUAGAUAAAAUAAAGAUUAGCUACUACAGUGGCGGGGUUUUGUGGACCAACCUAUUAGAGGGGCACGGUAAACUCUUUUAUAUUCUCACCUCGGUAUUUUGGUGAGGUUUCAAAGAGAUGAAGGGAUAGAGCCUGUGAAAUCACAAAAAGAAAGGUCAAGUUCUUCCAUUUCAAGAUUUCUAAUUGAGUCUGGUAACUCCUCUGAGAAACUUGCUCUUGCAAGGGAGAUAACCAGUGAGAUUAGGAUUACGGGUUAAUAUGAUUUUUUCUAGAUAUGGAAAGCAGAAAAUUUCACUUGGAAAUUCCCCUUGCUGUAAACCUUUGACUUUAAUAUGAUCAAAUGUUUCCACAUUAAGAAAAGUUAUUAAAUCAACAUCUCAAUGGUGACAGAAGCACUAGAACAAGGUGUAAAAUAGUAGUUUGUGCAGAAAGGCAAAUCAGAGAAGGUUUUGGUGCAAGACGGACUAUAUAGAAUACUUGCCGGUUAUGAAUAAGAACAUUGUUCACAAGCUUAUUAGGCUUAGUUUGUAGGUAACAUUUAGUUUCGGGAGUACAUUAUACAAGUGAAAACAAAGAUUUGCACAAUGAACAUUAGUUUGCAGGCUUCAAACUUUUAUUUAGGAACUAAUUAAGUGAGGUGGUCUGGCCGUCUCCAAGGCCUGCAAUGCCACCAUAUUGCCACAAUGUAAGCAAUAAGAUUAGCCUGGAUUGUUAUAGUAACAUAUUUGGAUCCUCUUCAUUACGAACCAGCAAUUAUACAGCAAUUAUAGAAUCAAUGUGGUUUGCAACCCACCUCUUCACAGUCAAGAGUCCAUUCCAGGAGCUGUCGCUUAGAUUAUUUGCAGCAAUGAGUCAUUUGGAAAAUUUCCAUAACAAAACUCAUUGUUCUCAAGAAAAGAUACAUAGAAACCUCUAGGAGAAGGCCUAUAAACAUUUUGAGAUAUUUUGAAUGGCUUUUGAUUAUAAAUGUGCCAUGCACAAAAGAAGUAGGGGUGAACAGAAAAGAAGCCAUGAUUAAUGGUGGCUAGCUAGCAGCUUUGCUUGUUUAAUAUGCAUUAAAGAAAAAUGUUGGAGUUAAAAUUUAAAACCAAUGCUGAAAACUUUGUUAAAAAUUUAGCACAUAGCUAUCUCAGCAUUUCAGUUUUACCUUGAAAACAAAAAGUUAAAUAAUUAAUAAAAACUGGUUAGCAUAUGCAGGCCGAAAAAUUGACUUGUAAGCUAAUAGUAGUGUAAUAAAAGAAUGAUGAAAAUCCAAAACUAUUGUGCAUCUAAUUAAUUUCUUCCCUCAAAUUUUCUUUAAACGAUUUGAAAAAUAAACUUAAAAGGAAAAAUAUAGCUUCCUUAAUCAAUUUAGAUAACCUGAGUAGACACAACAUGAAUUUCCUUAUUAUCUUUCUUAUAUAUCAGAAGUUGCUGUAGCAGAAACUAAGGUUUACUUUAACGUGUAGUUGUGAAGAUAAACAGAGAUCAAACUAUUAUGAAUACAUUGUCUUAUUGUGCUCUAUUCCAAUUUCUGUGUAAUUAUUUGAAAUUUUCGAGAACUUUGAGAUAACUUAAAUCAGAAUCAACCAUCACUUGCUUAAUCAAAUCAUCACCUUAAUUUCUCACCAUUUAAACCCCAAUUUCAUGACCCUCCAUCACCUACUUUUAUGUUAUGUAAUGUGUGGUGAGCAGGCCUAAGGCCCAAAGACAUAUGGAGUCCUAUCAGAAUGUUCGUAUGUGACUUCAAGAAUAGAUAUUCCAUCUGUCCCAAAAAGGAGAGGCUAUAUAUUCCCUAACAAUUGUCAGCUGUCAAGGAAGGAUACCAACCGUACGACUCUCUCUCCUUUCUCUCUCAUAUCCUCUCCCUCUCUUUUCUGUCCUUCUCUUCCCCCUUUGGUGAGUUCUUACUCACUUAUAAAGCAUCAGAAAAGGAAUCACAAGAAAACCUCUGAUGUCCCAUUUUUGUGCAGGCCCAGACGCAUCAUCUCAACCCAGAUCAUCCCAGUCCAUGUCCAACAACAUCAUGCAUUUACAAAGACAAAUCGAAAGUAAUCUAUGAUAUUUAUUUAUUCAUAUUGGUUGUUUCAAGACUAUGCAUCACCAAUAUUACAUGGAUAAUCAUAUUAAAAUAUUAUAAUUAAUUAACAAUGUAACAAGUAGAACCUAAUUGUGUCCUUAGUGUAGAAUUCACUAAAAGCUUGAGCUAUUACAAGUUAAUGAAAUACAUAAUUUAAAAAAAAAACACCUAAUUUUUGGACACCUAUAAAAGUUAAGUUAUAUUUGUAAAGUUAAGUUCAGAAAUGUAAGCAAUAUAAACUAAAUCUUAUAUCUCUAUUACUGUUUCUUUAGGAGAUUAUAUUUACAAAUAAAAAUUAUAAUUAAAUUAAAUAGCUUUGAUAUAUAUUAUAACAUAAAAUAAACUUUUAAAUAAACCAAAAGUUAUACACCCAUAAAAUAGAUCUAUAUAGUACAAUAAUAAAUUUAUUUGGACUGGAUUAUCAUAGCAUAACAUAAAACUAAAGACAGUUAUGAAAGUUCAAUAAAUUAAAGAUAACAUCUUAAAGCAACCAGCUUGCGAAGAAAAGAAAAUCAAGGCAGGUACUCACCUCCAAAAUAAAGAAAAAGGAAACAACCAAUUAUUGGGUAAAAUAAAAGCAUCUUCACUUUGAUACGUUGAACCUGCACUCAAACUUCAUUUUCUUGAUUUGGGAUUCAAAGGUAUCCAAUGGAAAUGUCAUCAACAUGAUGGUAUUUUCAUCAAGCCCUUUUGUUUGAAUCCUUCAAAAACUUGAUUUUGAUCUUCUUCAGCUUAGCAACAACGUUUUUCAUGUCAAUCCUCUCUUCUGGCAACUCUUCUGAACAUUCUAAUGCCAAUUGUAAAAUAGACAAUGCACAAUCCUUUAUUGCAAAAUGUUCUCGCUCCUUGCUACUGAUUAGCAAAUUGGCAUCUAUAACUUGGGUUAAUGCAAAUGGUAACAACUCAGUCAACCAAUGUUUUAAGCUCAUUUCUCCAACAAACAUUACAUUCGUGGGCUUCUUUCUUGUUAAGGUUUCAAUUAGAAGAAUACCAAAACUGUACAUGUCGCCUUUUACGGAAACAAUUCCUUGUGUUCCGUAUUCUACAUGUAAGUCAAUAAAACCAUCGUCAAAGUAUGCAAUGAUUUUACAUGAAUUAUCGUAAUAGAUAAAGAAAAAGUCUAAAGUUUAAGCAUUACCUGGUGCCAUAUACCCAAUUGUUGCUAGUGUUAGGGUUUGUACCGUUGAAUCCUCUUCACCUAACAGCUUUGCAAUGCCAAAAUCACCUAAAUGUGCAACCAUAUCUUCAUCUAAUAAAACAUUGCUUGGUUUUAAAUCACAAUGAGCCACAGGGAUGGUCUGACCAUGAUGGAGGUAUUCUAAUGCAGAUGCCACAUCAAUCAUAAUGUUCAACCUGUGCAAGAUAUCAAGAAAAUAGUUAUGAGAAUACAACCACUUCUCGAGGCUUCCACUAGGCAUGAAUUCAAGCACCAAGGCUUUAAAAUCAACAUUGCAGCAACUACUGAUGAUUUUGACUAAAUUCCGAUGGCGAAUGUUGCGCAAGACCUCACACUCAAUGUCAAAGCUCUUGAAUGAUCCUUCUACCUCCAAAUUAAAGACUUUUAUGGCAAUGUUCAAUCCAUCUGAAAGAGAACCUUGGUAUACCGAGCCAAAACUCCCUGCACCAAGUAGUUUGCUUUCACAAAAACCAUUUGUGGCUUGAUAAAGCUCUUGGUAUGAAAUUCUUCUCCACUUUGCUAAACCAAUCGAAUUUUCUCGAUCAAUAUUUUGCUUUGAAUGCUUUCUUCGACUUUGAAAGAAAAAGACAAUUAAGGCUAGAAUUAAUAGCGUUGAGCCAACUGGCAAUAGAAUAAAUUCUAUAAGCUUAGUAGCUUUCCUUGAAUGUUUAACAGAAUUUGUUUUGCACGGUGGGAGUUGCAGUCGAGGUACACCGCACAGCUCUUCAUUCCCCAUAAACAAUUGAAUUGAGUAGUUGGCAAAGGGUCCUCCAUUAGGAAUUUCUCCAUGUAGUCUAUUGAAUGAGACAUUCAAAUACUCGAGAUGCAAGAGUUUUUGCAAGGACUUUGGAAUAAUUCCAGAGAAAUUAUUCCUUGAUAGAUCCAAGAACUGCAACCCUGCCAGCCCACCAAAUAACUCAGGUAUAGAUCCUUGAAAUUUGUUACCAGAUAAUGAAAGAUAAGUUAGGUCUUCCAGAUCACCAAUGCUCACCGGUAUUUCACUUGACAAUUGAUUUUCGGAAAAAUCAAUAAUUGUAACAACCUUCCACUUUCCAAAGUCAAUUGGGAGAGCCCCACUAAGAAAAUUGGAAGACAAGUUUAGUUCCAAGAUAUCUAUAAGCCUUGUGAAGGUUGAGGGUAUUGAGUUUGCAAACUUAUUGGAGCCCAAAUAUAGAUGCCUAAGCGAAACGAGAUCGCCCAAGCAUUCUGGUAUUGGUCCAGCCAAUUUGUUACCUGCGAGAUACAAGAAGCCCAAACUCUUCAAACGGCAUAACUCAGAUGGAAUGGAUCCUUCUAAGUUAUUGUCUUCAAGAGAUAAACCUUGCAACUUUUCUAAUCUUCCAAUUGUGGUGGGAAUAGAUCCAAUCAAUUCAUUGUUAGCUAUGUUCAAGCUGAUCAAGUUGAUUAGUUUGCCAAUCUCUCCAGGAAUGUUGCCUCCAAUGUUGUUGUCCGAAGCAUCGAAUUUUUGUAGAGAAAUAGAGAGAUUUCCUACAGAGAUAGGAAGUUCACCAUCGAUCAAUGGAUUAUUACUAAAUUGCAAGAUUCUCAAGUCUUUGCAAUAUGCUAAAGAUGAGAGAAAGCUCAAUUCUGGGGAUGAAGGUGUGAGAGCCAAAUUAUUAAACUGUAGGUUGAGAAAUUGUAGAUCUCUUAGAUUUCCGAGGUCAUUGGGAAUAUAUCCAGAAAAUGAAUUAGCUGACAAGUCAAGCUCUGUAAACUUAGAGGCAUUAGAGAUGGAGGCAGGUAUUGUUCCAUUUAACUCAUUCAAACCAAGUAGAAGCACUUCAAGUUUUGGAAGCCAAAGUCUUGUGCUCCAUGGAAGACAACCUGAGAGAUGGUUUGAAUCGAGUGCAAUGAUCCUCAUAGUUGAGCUAUUAAAGAUACGAGGAGGGAUAUGUCCAGAGAUACUGUUAGAUUCAAAAUUCAAACUUUCCAAUUUUGGUAGGUUGCCUAUCUCAAGUGGUAUUCUACCUGCCACAAAAUCAGAAGAGUCAUUUGGAUUUGUUCCAGUGAUCUAGAAGUAAAUAACAAAAUUUAUCAUAAAAGUUUUAUGCACAUUUGUAUUUUUAUUUUUUAUAUUAUAAAUAUAUAUAACAAAUAGUGAAACAAAUAAAUUACUUUCAAAAGUGUUAGGUUAACAGUCCGUUGUAGAAUUCCACCUGAAUAAUGAAAUUGAUCUAUUAAUUAUUUUUAAAAUUAACAACAAAUUAUAUGGUCAAUUUGUUUGUCAAACAGAACAAUCAAAAUUAUAAAACGAAGUUUAGAAUUUAGAUAAUACAAGGCAAUAUACUCUUGCACUUUGUGGUUAAUUUAUUAUUUUCCUUUUCAAUUUAAAUAAUAUAAUGAAAAUAUAUUAGAAAAGUUGAAAAAAGAAAGAGCAUAGAUAAGUAGAUAGUAUAUUUGAAUUUUUGGUUAAAUGAUUCAUGAACAGAAUAGAAACAAAAUUCUUGAUUGUAAUAGAAAAAGGAAUUAAAAAAGGUGAAGCUCAAUGGGAAAAUUUAAUUUAAAUAAAAAAACAAUGAGAUUAAAUAAAGAGUGUGACACUAGUACCAAAAACCAGAAAAAUAUAGAAAAGAAAGAUGUGGAAAAUCUAGAUGAUAUCAUAAGCCCAAAAAGAGGUAAAAUAUAAACUAUCUGUUAUGAUUAUUAGUUGAUGUAACAUAAUUAGAGCAAUUAUUAUUUUUUAAUAAACAAUUUUACAUUUUUUCGUUUCACUGUAAAAUAAUAUAUAGUUUUUGUUUUCUAAAGUGUGUUUUCCUUAUCUUAACUUUACAUACCAAAAACAAAUAUUAAAAUAUACAUAAACUUAAAAAUGAUCACAGUGAAUUUAAUAGUAGAAGUAAUAAGUAAUUAAAAAGAAUUACUAAUUGUAAAUAUGUGAUAGUGUUAAAAACGUGAAACCCAAUAAAAAAAAUAGAAUAUUGUGAGAAAGAAAGGACUACAAAUAUGUUAUAAAUGCAUCCCAAUAUUUAUAUUUCUUUUACCUUUGAGGUUGUUGUCUCUAAGAUGCAGAAGCUUGAGCAUAGUCAAAUUUUCUAUUUCUUUCGGUAUUGUUCUCUCAAAAUGAUUAUAAAAUAAGAAUAAAUUUUUUAACUCUUGUCACUUGAAUAAAGUCAUUGAAAUUGAACCAUAAAUGUGGUUAAAACUCCAAUAUAAUCUUGCACUUUGAGAGAUGAUUUGUUAUAAUUUUUGGUUGAUGCAAUAUAAUCAUAGGAAAAUUUACAAAAUUUAAGGGCACUUUCAUCUUAUUUUGUCCAUUUGUGUGCCCAAGAGAAAAGGGAGGCAUGGAACUUUGAAAGAAAGGGAGGGACGGCGGAUAGGGCGGAGGAAUAGGGGGAGGGGGGUUGACAAGUCGGCGAAGAAGGGGAGGAGCAGAGGAGAGAUAGCAGGAAGAGUCAUACCAGUUUAGACAAGUUUAUUUAAAUAAUGUAUGAGUAGUGGAAAAUCACUCUUGACGAACUUUAAAUCUUAUACCUUACAUCUAAAAGAAAAAGGAUAAAAUAUACAUAAAUUAAAAACUAAUCAUAUUGAAUUUAAUAGAAGAUAUAAUAAGGAAUUAAAAGAAUUACAAGAUUGCAAAAGGUUGCAUUGUUAUAAGAAAAAACCAAUAAAAAAAAUAAUGGACUAGAAAUAUGUUAAAAAUGCGUCACAAUAUUUAUUUGGCUUUGUUUUCUUUAAUUAUUUAUUUGGAUUUGUUAAUAACAAAAUUAAAAAAUUAAUGAUAAAAAUUUUACACACAUUAGGAUUUAUAAAUAAUAUUAUUCAAAUAUUUACAACAGUUGCAGCUAUAUAGAAACUAAACAUACAUGAGAAAAAAAAUAACUUAUUACCUGUCAGUUUAUUAGAGGAAAUAUCAAUCUUUUCUAAAAACGUUAGGUUACCAAUUUGUUGUGGAAUUUCACCUGCAUAAUGAAAUUGAUCCCUUGAUUAUUUUCAAAUUGAACAACUUAUAGGGCCCACUUGUUUGUCACAUGGAACAAUCAAAAUUACUAAAGAAAGUUUAAAAUUUAAAUAAUACAAAGCAAUAUAAUUUAUAUAAUAUAAUAAAAAUAAAUUAGAAAAAAAUCUAAACCAUCAACAUAGAUAAGUAGAUAGUAUAUUUCAAUUUUUGGUUGAAUGAUUCAUGAAUAGAAUAGAAAUAAAAUUCUUGAUUGUAAACAAAAAAGGAAUUAAAAAAAGUGAAGAUCAAUGAAAAUUUUUUUGGAAAGUCAGAUGAUUAUAUUUCACUAGAAAAAGGGAUAAGGAUAUCCCAUUACAUCCUUUCAAAAAACCUGCAUUCAAAAAAGGGCUGCAGCGAGCUAGAAGCUAAACAAAAUAAGCAGCUCUAUUAUCAAUCUAUACAGCAACGGUACAAUGACAAAAAUUAAUUUAAAUAAAAACAAUGAGGUUAAAUAAAGAGUGUGACACUAUUACCAAAAACCAGAAAAAUAUAGAAAAGAAAGAUGUGGAAAAUACAGAUGAUAUCGCAAGCCUAAAAAGAGGUAAAAUAAACUAUUUGUAACGAUUAUUAGUUGGUGCAAUAUAAUUAGAGCAACUAUUAUUUUGUAAUAAAAAAAUUUACAUUUUUUCAUAACACCAUAAAAUAAUGUAUGGUGCAUGUUCACUAAAGGGUGUUUUCUUAAUCUUAACUUUACAUAUAUAAGAAAAAAGAUAAAAUAUACAAAAACUUAAAAGUGAUCGCAGUGAAUUUAAUAGAAAAAGUAAUAAAGAAUUAAAAGAAUUACUAGAUUGUUAUAAGAGCAAACCCAAUAAAAAAAGAAACUAAAAUAUUGUAGGCCCAAAAAGAGCAAUAAAAGAAAAAGGCUUUGCUAUCGUGAGAAAGAAAGGACUAGAAAUAUGCAAGAAAUGCAUUCUAAUAUUUAUUUUUCUUUUACCUUUGAGGUUGUUCUCUCCAAGAUAGAGGAUCUCGAGCAUAGCCAAAUUUCCUAUUUCUUUCGGUGUAGUUCCCUCGAAAUGAUUAUAAGAUAAGGAUAAAUAUUUUAACUCUUGACACGUGAAUAAACUUACUGGAAUUGGACCAGAAAGGUGGUUAACACUCAAGUAAAGCCCUUUUAAUUUAGGUAAACGAUCAAACAUAUCUGAUGAGAUAUGACUAGUGAGAUUAUUAAAUGUUAAAGCAAUAUGCUGCAAGGAAGACAUGUUGAGUGGGAUUGAAGGUAUGGAGCCAAUUAGUUGGUUUUGGGUGAGACUAAUCUUUACCAAUGAAGAUAUGCUGAAGACUGAGGGAGGUAUGGAGCCUGAAAGCUGAUUCUUGUCCAAAUAUAAAAUUCUCAACCUAGAAAGAUUUCCGAUCUCCAUGGGGAUAUGACCUUGCAGAUUGUUGUCAUACAAGCUCAAUAACUCUAGUUUUGACAAAAAGCACAAAGAAGACGGGAUAACUCCCACGAAGUUAUUACCGUCUAAACUCAAAUUUUGAAGUUUAGGAAAGGAACCAAACCAGGAUGGAAUUUCUCCGUUGAAAUUGUUGUUACUCAAUAGUAGAGAUUUCAACCGGCGCAAAUUAGCCAACUCGAUGGGCAACGAACCAUGAAAACUGUUGUUUGCAAUGUUGAGGAAAGCAACGAAAGACAGAUUUCCCAUGUCUGGUGGUAUGGUACCAGAGAGAUUCAUGCCAAAUAGAUCCAAAGCAAUGACUCUGUGGUGUCGAGAUCCGCAAGUGACACCAACCCAAUUGCAAAUAGAGGUAGCAGUUGACCAGUUGGUAGCCAGAAGAUCACUGUUGGCACGGGCUUUUAGUGCAAGAAGAGCCAACUGGUCUGUGCUGAUGUUGGUUGUUGCGGAUUUGAUAGAGAAUGAAACCCCAAAAUUAGGCAGCAGCACCACCACCACCACCAUAAGAGCCAGAAUGAACCGAGUGUUUCCCAUGACGCUAUGUAGAAGUGGAGCUUGUGAAAGGAACAUUUUGAAUUAUAUGUGGAAAAGAUGAUGUUUCUUUUUCAAUAUAUAUAGAAAUUGUCAAAAUUGUGGUAGGACAUAUUUCCACUUGCACCCUUCCACAGUGAGAAAAUUUACCACUUGCAUAUUGGAGAGAAUUCUUAGAGAGCAAUGUUAUCAUUUCUUACUCAUUUUUAUUGACAUAUCUAAAGGUCAAAAAAAAGUAUUCUUAUUUAUAAAAUUUAUUACAAUAUCAAAUUACAUAAGCAAAAGUAACGCUCUUCCUUUUCAUAAAUCUCAUCGUACUCUUAAACUACGAUUAAAGCCUGAGAUUUCAAGUUAAUAUUGCAUAUUUUAAUUACCGGCGUAUUGGUUCAAAUAGCAAGUAGGAAAUUCUUUCAUAGCUCUAUAACAGUAAUUCUGUCUUGAAUCUCUAGAAAAACAACAGAAUAAACUCUUUUACUAUCUUGUGAGUAUAAGAGCUUUCAGUAUCUUGUAAAUAAAUAUAAGAGCUUUCAGUAAGUAUUGGCCCCUUGGACGAAUAAGCACCAAAGAAACCAGUUUAUUUGAUUAAAUGUCCAAAAAAAAUGGUACUUAAAUAAAACAUAACAUUUUUUAUUAUUAAUUAUCAUAUCUCUCAAAAGAAAGACAUAAAAUUGAAAAAUUAUCCACACUUUGAGGAGUGCUAAUGGUGUAGUUGAUCAAUUGGUUAAAGAUGGCAUAUAAAGGGAGAACAAUUUGUUAAACAUCAUUCUGUAAGCUUGAAGUUUGUUUCAGUUAUGAUUGUGGUAUUUUAAUGGUUUGCUAAUAAUUGAGUUCCCACAUCUAUUUUCUCCUAUAAACAAAUAUCUAUUUUCUCUCAUUUCCCACAUCUUAUUAAUUCUCAACUAUUUAUAUCAUUUCUCAUUAAAAAUAUGUAAAAGUCAAGAUAAUUAAUAAAAUGACAUAUUCUCUCACUUCUCUAAUAUUAUGUACCUAACAAAUCUCUGUUUUUUAUCACUUUCCAAUUCCCACAAUACUAUUAAUUCUCAAUUAUUUCUCCUAUUUUCAAUCAACGUAAUAUAUAUUUAAUGAUCUCCAACUAACGAUAAAUUUUUUUUUAAUUUCAAUGAAAAAAAAGCCUUAUUUGCAUAUUUAGAUGCUUUAGGCCUUUAAGGUUAUUGUGUUACCCCUGGUUAUUUUUAAUUGUAUUUUGCAGCUAAUAUGAAAUAUGUUUUAUGUUAUCCCCAUAUUAUGCUGCCGGUUCUGCUCCCAGUAUAUGCUUGACUACAGACAAUGACUUUUUAAGAAUUAGCUGGUUGCAGAGGAUGAUUAAUGAAUUGUGCAAAUAUGGUUAUUGACUUGACUUCAAUGGGUUUUUUUUUUUUUAAUUGGAGGAAGGUGGAUUUGAAUCUUGCUUUUUAGGUAUGGGAAUUAUGCACCAACCAAUGCGCCAAAUGCUAAAGUAUUACUUGGCUUCUAUGGUUGAGCAUUCUGGUUGGGUAUUAUUAUAAGUAACAGUACUGUUUGGGAAAGCGGGUGAUUAUUUAAGCUCUUGUGGUUUUUCAUCAUUGGUUUUUGGUGGUGGGUUACUUUGUUUCCAUUUCUUAUUAGGACAGUCUAAUGGUUAAUAUGUUGGUUCAUAGCAUGUUCAUUAUUAGCUUCAUUUCUGUAAUGGGAUUACCCCUGCUUCAUUUUAAUAAUAAUAAAUAAUUUUUUUAAAAAAUAAUUAUGUAUGAAUAAAUUACAGCAAGAAAUCCACUAUAAUUCCAAACCCAUAGAAUAGAAAACUGCUAACUAGUCAUGCAUAGUGAGAUCAAGUCUCUGAGCAAUGACUUAAUUUAGACUUUGUCGACCACUUCAUCCGAAAUUCCAGAAGUAAGUCUUCGUUAAUCACUUCAUCCAAAUUUUUCAAAAACAAAAGCAAGUCUUCGUCUACCACUUCAUCCAAAAUUCUCAAAAAAACCAAAAGCAAGUCUUCGUCCACCACUUCAUCCAAAAUUCUCAAAAAACCAAAAGCAAGUCUUCAUCAUCGACAUCGAAAGCCUCUUCUAAGGAUACGUUUAAUUGGGGUCAAAUCUUUCUUAUUUAUUACACUAAAAUGGACUUAAGAUCUGUAAGUCUACAACAAGAAUUUCGAAUACUAAUUUGCAAGAUUUGACUAGUUGACCCAGUUUGAUUCUAUUCUAGACUUGACUACUACUUGACCUUAACAAACGUGUAGGAACCUGUGAAAGGAAAGCUUUUGAAUUACAUGUGGAAAAGAUUAUGUUUCUUUUUCAAUAUAUAUAUUGAAAUUGUCAAAAUUGUGUUAGGAUCUACUUCCACAUGUACCCUUCCACAGUGAAAGAAAAUUUACCACUUGUUGGAGAGAAUUCUUAAAGAGCAAUUAAUGUUAUCAUUUCUUAUUCAUUUUUAUUGACAUAUCUAAAGGCCAAGAAAAAGUAUUUUUAUUUAUAAAAUUUAUUACAAUAUCAAUUUAAUUUUUUAUACAUAUAGUACACAAUUACAUAAGAAUUACAUAAGGAGAGGUAACUCCUAUUUCAAAUCAAAUAUUGCGUAAAGAUGGUUUGUAUAGAAGGUGGGUUUUUCUGAUCUGUUGUAGGCUUCCUUAUAGGUGGCAACGUUACUGAUUUUAGGAUAUUCUGCAAUACAAAGGCAUAAUAUCUUGAAAUCAGGAUUUUACAUAUUUCCUUCAUUAAUAAAACAUCUCCAUAAUUUUUUUUUAAAUGUUGGCCCAAAAAAUAAAAGAAUCCUAAGUGAGCGUUUGACUUAGUUUAUAGAAGUGAUUUUCUACUGAAAAAGCAGAAACAAUAUAUUUCGUUGUCAAAAUUUUAAAAUUUUUGGUUUAAGUGGAAAGUUCAUUUGGUGUUUUAGAUGAAAUUAUGAAUCAAAAAUCUUUUUCAUAUUUUUGGUCCAUCAAAUUAAAACUUCUUCAAAAAUAUUAAUGUACAGUAACAAAUAUUUUAUGGAAUUUUUUUAUAAUUUUACCUUACUAUUCAAUAAUUCAUAAAACUAAGAUAUCAGGAAACAUGUCAAGCCCAACCUUAUAAAAUACUUGUCAUGUCAUUUAUGUGAUUGACAAUAUGCUUGCGUACUUGGAAAGCCUCGAAAGAAAAAAUCGUUAAAAGACGCAAUGUACCAAAUGGUACAAUUAAGUUAAUUUAACUCUCGAACUAGAUCAAAUAGAGAAAUUAAAAUGUAAUUAAGAAUUUUAAAGUCCCAUAGUGGUUUAAUAUGGUGAUUUGGAGCUCGAGAAUCAAUUUGGAGUCAAAACAAAAUUUUCACUAUUCAAGGGUAAAAUGGUCAUUUGCCACUUGGGGACAAAAUGAGAAUUUUAGAAAAGAUUUUUUUGGCCCCAUUUGACUUAUUGGAGUAUGAUUUGAGGUUUAGAAGUGAAAAAUUUUAAUUUCGGUAUAAUUUAGAGUAUAGAGGCGAAAUGGUAAUUUUACCACCUCGGGGGCAAAUCAGUAAAUUUUCACCCCCGACACUUAUCAAGACCAAGAGAUUUUAUUCAUCAUGGAAAUGGAUAAACAUGAGAAAUGUGUGGUGGAGAAUUAAAAAAUUAAAAGUCAAAUAUUUAAAAUUUGAACCAAUAAGGAAAUGCCAUGUGUCAUGUUUUUAUUACUUUAUUGUUUCUUUAUAAAAAGGCAUAAAAAUCAGCCCAUUUCUCCCAUAAUGGUCAACCAAACCAGAAGAGAAGAGAAAUCAAGGAAGAACAAACCCUAGGUGGAGAAAUUCAAGGGAAAAUUGGUGAAAAUUCAAGGAAACAAGUGACAAAAGGUAAAAUUUCUUGAUUUUGACUUAUGAUAUACCUUUCCCAUGCAUUUCUCCUCAUUUUUUAUCGUUNACUCUAGACACGGUGAGUAACCUUACCAUCAUUUUAAUUAUCUAAAGUAUGUUUUUAUUCGGUUUUGGUGAAUUUUAUGAAAAUGAGUUCAAAUGGUAAAUUUUUAUGUUUUGUAAACAAAAUGAGUUUAAAUGAAAAUAUUUUAUAAAUUGUCUUAAAACCAAAUAACGAUUUUGAAAAUAGAAUAAUUGGAGACCACUUGUUAUGAAUUAAAUUUAUUACUUGAAUCGAAUAGCUUAUGACAGUAUUUGCAUGAAUGGCUGAAUUGAUAUUUGUGUUGAAAUAUAUAAAAUAUAUAUUUAGCCUUGAAAGGUUGUGAAUUGCAAUAAUAGUCAUAUCAUGUUAUUGAAUUUUAUUGUAUGGUGGGUUUGACCUGCUGCAGUGGGCUGGAUUCUGUGGACUAGCCUAUUAGAGGGGCACGAAAUCCUAUUAUAUUUUUACCUUGGUUGGAGAGGCGAGUAGGGUAACUAUUGAGGUAUAACUUUUAGAGUUCACUUCGCGCUAAACCAUUACGUGAAGGGGAACUCGGCCAAUGCCAAGGAACGACUAUAUUUUCAAAAUAAAAACAUGACUUUUUAAUAGCCUUGGCGGACUCAGUUGGGAUAGCCCUCGGCCAAGGUAUCCCAGAUAACUUAGUAUAAUAAUAAUUUUUGGCAUGAGCCAAGCUUUUUAAGAAAUUCAUAAGCCAUACUGAUUACUUGCUUUAAAUAAAUUGAUUUCAUUUGGUUGAACUAAGUUGAAAGAUGAUAAAUUACAGUUUGAUGAAAUGUUUUACUAGUCUCCUUUUACUCGACUUUAGAUAUUUUGAGUGAUGUUUGUUUACUCACUAGGAUUUUAUAAUCUCACCACUCUCCUUUCCGCCCAUUUCAAGCUCAGAAUAGAUUGUAGAUAACUGAUAUCGGUGAGGAUUACAAUUGAACUUGCCACAUCCAAAAACUGUAGGUUCAUUUCUUUUGAUACUUUUGGUCAUUCGUGGGCCCACGUGUCACUGUAAAUUAAUUCUAUACUUUGGUUAUCUGCAUUACAGUAUGUAGGAAUUUAUUUCGCUUUUACACUAUAAAAAUUAUUUGUGCAGUGUUCUUAAAAUAUUGUUUUAUGUGAAAAUUGAAUAUUUUAUUUAAUACUUUUAUUUUAUUCUAACAGUCAUAAUUCCAUUUUAAAUGAAUGUUUUAGACAUCCAAAAUUUUUUUUGAUUAUGAAAUAUGUGUUUUCCACUUACAUACUAUAUUUUUAACUGAUUUUGAGAUUUUUGGGAUAAAUGACAAAAAAAUACCUCUGUGAGACAAAAAUUAUUUUUUUAUUUGUUUUUGUUGGAAACAAUUUAAAAUCUUUUAGAAUGUGAUAUUUGGAAAUGGUUACUCACAAGGAAAAUGAGAAGCUGAUAUUAAAGUCUUGAGGGGUUCCGGUUGACAUUCCGGUUAAUGAAUGUCGAUCGAGACAUCGCGGCGGUUGUCACUGGCUCGAUGGGAGUUCCGAGUCAUGACAAACAAUGCUCAAGUGUAAAUUUCAUUAAAAUUUCUUCUAGAAUAUACACGUAGGUCAGAAAUAUCUCAAAAUGAUAUUUAUAAAAUAAAAACAUAGUAUCUUUUUUUUUUUUAUGUAUGAUAUAAAUUAAACUAGGAAAUAUAGUAUAAUUUUAAAACCAUAGAAUGGAAAACUGCCAACAAGUCAAGCAUAGUGAGAUCAAGUCUUUGAGCAAUGACUUAAUUUAGACUUGUUGACCACUUCAUCCAAAUUUCCCAAAAGAAAAAAAAAAAACAAGCAAGUCUUGGUCAUUCACUUCAUCCAAAUUCUAGAAAAAAAAGAAAAUCUUUGUCAACCAUAUCCCCAACAAAAUUUAUUUUAAUUAAAUGUUAUACACAUCUAACAUAAUUCUUGUGAAAAAAAAUUACAAGCUCUUUGCUUAGGUGUUUAUAUUUUACUGUCUGCCUGGACAUACUCUUAGAUUCCUUUGUUUAACAUAUUGAUUAUUAAUACAUGUUCUUUUGGACUUUUGGCCCUUUAAGGAGAAAGAACUGAAGAAUACAUGUUCUUGAUUUAUUGCAAACUACGAUUUGAAUCAUGCAGCCAGUAAUUAACAACUACUAGUGAGGCCUAAUCACAUAUUAAGCAAAAUUAAUAAUCAAUUGGAGGUAUUAAUUAUGCCAGUGAUUGCUACGCACACCAUCAACACUGAAUUUUACUUGUUGAUGUUCCAUAAUAGUGUAGGCAAUCUUCAAUAAGAAAUUCCUAGGUCGUCUAAAUUUUUUUGAUCUAGUUUCUCCAAAAAACAGAAUGUGUUGCUUGAAAUCAUUGUUGAAGCUUCUUUUACAAAUUAAAAUAACAUAGGGGAAAAUAAGUAGUAUACGUCAGAAUAAAUUGUUCUCUUUAAAAAAAAUACCAAAUAGUAAAUUUCUAAUGUUUUGAUCCUCCAUCAGAUCAUAAAAUGGUCUUAACUUCGGUCUCAUUCCCACUAUAAUUCUUCUCACAACUUUGUCAAAAUGAGUAAGUGCACCCGUCAAGCAUGGCAUCAGAAGCCUCUUCAAGAACUUGUCUAAUUGGGGUCAAAUCUUUCUUAAUUAUUACUCUAACAUGGAUAAAAGUUCCGUAAGUUUACAACAAGAAUUUCGAAUACUAAUUUGCAAGAGGUGCCAGUUGAGUCAGUUUGAUUCUAUUCUAGAAUCGACUACAACUUGACCCCAACAAACGUGUAGAGCAAAAUGCACCAGACACGUCACAAAAAGGCAUGGGCAAUCGGACCUAACAACCGUGUUCGUAAAUAAUCUCCCACAAGGAGUAGAUUGGAGGUGGUUAAAACUAUAUGUAAAAAUCAUUGCAAACUCCUAGAUGUUUAUAUCCCAAAAAGAAAUCCAAAAAAGCGUGUUGAAUGUUCUAGUUAUAUAAUACUAUUACCUAUUAGAAAGCACACAUUUAAAUUCAAUCUCUUUCAUACAGUUGUUUUUCAAUACUAUUAUAUAGUACUAUUACCUAGUUAGACUAUAAUAUCUAGUUAAGAGUUAUAUCUAUUUAAGUAAAUUAAAUUGUGAUUCUUGGCCUCAAAAUUAGAGAUCAAAAUUCUUAUUUCAAGUUCUUAAUUUUUCAAAUUAUUACAAUGAAAGUAUGUACUACUACCCUUUUCAUUAACAUUUUUUUUUUUAAAAAAAGGAGAGUUUUAUUAGCCUAACAACCGAUAUACCAAUGAUAGUCUCUAGCUGAAGCUUCCAAAGACUCCCAUUGGCAUAAAAUUCGGCUUGGCGAAAGGAAUCUGAACAAAGAUAAGACCUUACUGCUCACAUAGUUUGACAUUGUUUUGAGUUGUUUGCAUUUUUCCCCCUUUCCAGUUCUUUAUAAUUGGAUUUCUGAAACUUGAUUCAUAAUUUCCAUCAACACUUUAACUAAAGAUCGUUUAUUAUACAAGUAUGAAUUUAAUUAACAAGUUUUUUUUUCACUUUUUUAAAUGCUUUACUUUUUUCAACCAUUUACAUUACCAACUACGUUUAAAUUGAAAAAUGAACUGAGAAGUGGAGACAUCUCUUUUUCAAGUCUUUGCAAAAUCUUUUAAAUUGUUUUAUAUUAAUGAAUUUCAAGUCAAAUCUUCUCAACUUGAAAAUUUAUGCCUGGAAUCAAAAUUAAAUUAAGGGAAUAAAAGGGAAAGUAUAUGUGUCGUGUUAGAAUGAAAAGCAUCAAGGCCGCUGCAUCCUAUCCCAUCUGAGACGUUAGUAGGAAUUGCAUAUUUUUCUUGAUUUCUCAUUUGAUGUCUACUUUUAUUUUAGGUUUAUUGGGAUCUACUAAUUAGACCCAAAUCUCAGUAGAGACACAAAACUAAUUCAUUUUAGAAUUGCAACUCAUUACUGUUUAACUCACUUGAUGUGAUAAUAAAAAUUAAAAGUUAUUGAAUAAAGGAAUUCUUUAUUGUAGAUUACAGCUAAUUCAGGCCUUCUUCAAAGAAACUUAAGAAAUUAUAAUGAUUUUCACAUUUUGGGGUUAUCACCAAAAAGAUAAUUUUUUUCUUUUUAUUAUUUUUCAAGAAAAAGAGAAAUAUUUCAGAAGUAAGAAUUCACGUCAAAAGCAAGCCGUGUGUGACGGGAUGGCACUUAACAGUAUUAAAGGAAAAGGUUCAAGAUGAUAGAAAGGAAAGGAAUAAGUAAAUUGAUGGAAAAGUGUAUAAGCAUGCUUUUCUCAUCCUUCCAUUGCCUUUUCAAGUUAAAAAGCACCUAAUAAAAGUUAGAAUAACAAUAUUUUUUAUUAUAAAAUAAAGAAGAGAAUGUAGAUUUAAAAUUAUUUUUAUAUACAUUGUCAAUGAAAUUUUUAUACUCUACAAUCAGAGUUAGAAAGUUGUCAUGUAUUAGAUUUAACUAAAUUAUAUUAUAAAUUAAUUAAUAAAUUAAUUAAUAAAUUAUAUUAUAUACUUUAAUUAAUAAAUUAAUAAUAAAUAAAGCAACAUAUGAAAAUAUUAUAACUUUUUUUGGUCCUAAAGAGUAGGGUUCGAGUCUCUCUUCCCUUAAUUAUAUAAAAAAAUCCAUUUCAAGUCUUCAUGAUUUGUGCUCUUUGAACUUUUUUAAGUCUUUUGUUUAGCACAAUAUCUUUUAAACAUUCAAGCCAAAUCUUUUUUAGGUAUUUUUUAUUGGCAAAGGAGCAAAACAAGUUUUUAACAAUCAUAAUUGAAAAGUCAAAAGAAUAUUUUAAUGAUUCGAACUUGAGAUGCAAUUAAAUUCUUAUAAAUUAAUACUUUUGAGAUCAUAAAAAAUUAUUAUUAAAUUGAAAUAUUAUUUUAUCAUUAAAUUAAUAAUUAAUUAAUUUAUAUAAUAAUUAAAUUUUUUUAUGCUUAAUUGUUGUAAAAAUUAGUCAUUUGGCAUCAGCCUUGACACUGGAGCCUGUUUCACCCAAAUGUACACAUAAAUUCUUAUUAUUAUAAUUUGGUUGUUGGCCCCCAAAUUAGAGAUCAAAAUUCUUAUUUCAAAUUAUUAUAAUAAAAGUAUGUACUACUACCUUUUUCAUCAAAUUUUUAGUUUUCAAUAUCCAAAUAAACAAAAGGUUAACACUGUUUUGAGUUGUUUGUAUUUUUUCCCUUUUCAUUUCUUUAAUAUUAUUUUUUCAUUCAUUACUUAUCGUUCGAAAAGAUAGAAUAUAAAUAAUAAUAAUUGGAUUUCUGGAACUUGAUUCAUAGUUUCCAUCAACACUUUAACUAUAAAACCGUUUAUUAUACAAGUACAAAUUUAAUUAACAAGUUCUUUACACUUUGUUUUUCCAUUAUUACCCAUUUUAAUUUGUUGUUUAGGAUGUUAGUAUUUGAUUGAGUAUUAAGCUCAAUAAGAUAUUUUAGAUUUUUAAAUGCUAUACUUUUUCGAACAUUGACAUUACCUAUACCACUCUUAAAUUGACAAAUGAAGUACCUGAGAAGUGGAGACAUCUCUUUUUCAAGUCUUUUUAAAUUGUUUUAUAUCAAUGAAAUUCAAGUCAAGUCUUCUCAACUUGAAAGUUUAUGUCUAGAAUCAAACUUAAAUUAAUGGAAUAAAAAGGAAAAGCGUAUGUGCCGUGUUAGAAAGAAAAGCAUCAAGGCCACUGUAUCCUAUCCCAUCUGCGACAGUUAGAAGGAUUUGCAUAUUUUCCUUGCUUUCUCAUUUGGUGUCUAUUUUCAUUUUAAGCUUAUCGGGAUGUGCUAAUUAGACCCAAAUUUCAGUAGAGACACAAAACUAAUUCAUCUUAAAAUCGCAACUCAUUACUGUUUAACUCACCUGACAUCUCUUUUUCAAGUCUUUGCAAAAUCUUUUAAAUUGUUUUAUAUUAAUGAAUUUCAAGUCAAAUCUUCUCAACUUGAAAAUUUAUGCCUGGAAUCAAAAUUAAAUUAAUGGAAUAAAAGGGAAAGUAUAUGUGUCGUGUUAGAAUGAAAAGCAUCAAGGCCGCUGCAUCCUAUCCCAUCUGAGACGUUAGUAGGAAUUGCAUAUUUUUCUUGAUUUCUCAUUUGAUGUCUACUUUUAUUUUAGGUUUAUUGGGAUCUACUAAUUAGACCCAAAUCUCAGCAGAGACACAAAACUAAUUCAUUUUAGAAUUGCAACUCAUUACUGUUUAACUCAUCACUUGAUGUGAUAAUAAAAAUUAAAAGUUAUUGAAUAAAGGAAUUCUUUAUUGUAGAUUACAGCUAAUUCAGGCCUUCUUCAAAGAAACUUUAAGAAAUUAUAAUGAUUUUCACAUUUUGGGUUUGUCACCCGAAAGAUAACUUUUUCUUUUUAUUAUUUUUCCAAGAAAAAGAGAGAUAUUUCAGAAGUAAGAAUUCAUGUCAAAAGCAAGCUGUGUGUGACGGGAUGGCACUUAACAAUAUUAAAGGAAAAGGGUCAAGAUGAUAGAAAGGAGAGGAAUCAGUAAAUUGAUGGAAAAGUGUAUAAGCAUGCUUUUCUCAUCCUUCCAUUGCUUUUUUAAGUUAAAAAGCACCUACUAAAAGUUAGAACAACAAUAUUUUUUGUUAUAAAAUAAAGAAGAGAAUGUAGAUUUAAAAAUUAUUUUUAUAUACAUCGUCAAUGAAAUUUUUAAACUCUACAAUCAGAGUUAGAAAGUAGUCAUGUAUCACAUUUAACUAUAUUAAUUUAAUUAAUAAAUUAAUAUAAUAAUAAAGCAACAGAUGAAAAUAUUAUAACUUCUUUUGGUUUUAUGCUGUUUGGGGUUUAUUUUGCUUUUAUUUUACUUCUUUGUAAUUUUAAGCCUAAAGUUAUUUUGACUUUGACACAUUACAAUAAAAUUGCAUACUCUUCAGAAAAAAAAUUAAAUCUUAGAAAUGUUUCUGUAGACAUGGUUUGUGAGCAUAUAAUUUCUUAAGCAAGCUACUUGUAUUGCUAGUUUCUUCAUCCUCCAUUAGUACUAUAGGUGAUUAUAUAGGUGCAUUACAUGUACAUAUACUUUUAUGUGUUUGCGAAAGUAAUUCUAGAACAAAAACCAAUUUUUUCUUUUUUCUUGAAAGGUGAUUUUAUUAGUACUAAAACCAAUAUGCCAUCCAAAGUCUCUACGCAAUCACUAAAGAGUACUUCUGUUGACAAUAAUUUGACUUAUGCAUCAUCAAGGCCUAUGGGAUCUCCUCAUGAAAAUCUUUACAAUUGAUAUUACAGCAGCAUAAAACCAUGGAGGACCAAAUAGGAAUUUAGUGAAAAAGUGAUUAUAGCAAUAAAUAAUAUUAUCACCAAUGGUAAGGUUGUUAAAUGUACCUUUUAUUAAGUCUAAAGUUAUUUUUAACACGUUCAUACAUUUAAUUUUUUUUUGAAAGAUUGAAGAUUCAUUCAUAACAGGGGAAGAAAAUCUCCCUUGAGAGAACAAAUUAUGACAGUGAUUUGUACACUAUGCCUGGAAGCAAAAAGCAAGCAUGAAAGCCAAAUCACCUGUAACUCUUUACGUAGAAAGGCCCUACCUAUACAGAAUUCACACUAGCCAACCGGCAAUAGAUCCACAAAAGGAACAGAUCCACACUCUGUAAGCAUUCACAAGAGCUCCAACAAAGCAAUACAAAAGCAUCCCCAGAAAAGCACACACGAGGAUUCACACCGCUAAACCAACCAUUCGUUUCACCAGUCAGUCCAGGGAAACACACAGAAGUCGCAAUAGAGGAAGAAUAACAGAAAGGGGACUUAUCUCUCAAUUAGCCGACAGCUCCCCUCACCUCUUAUCCACCGAAAAUUCUCAAUAGCUUAUUCUUUGAAUAAAAUAAAAUAAAAACUAGGGAAAACGUAAAAUGAGUAAAGUAGUGUCUUGCAAGAUAGAAAAGCAUCAACCAUGCUGUCCAGUUCACAUUUCAGAAAUGCCCUUUUUUAUGGGGGGUCGGGGUGCAAAUUCAACUGUUCUUUUCAAGAAAGCACCAGUAAUUACACAGCUUCUUAAUGUUCCAUAAUUGGAACAUAUAUUCUUAAGAUAUGUAUUCGACUUGUAUUGACAUAGCAUAUUCUUAUUGAUGUGGUGUUGAAUCUGAUGAUUUGACAUUCAAGAAUGAUGCAAUAAUUAAUGCUAUUGUGACGUUGAUCAAACACAUACAUGGAUUUUAAGUGAUGAUGUGAUGUUGAUGUGGUAUUACUAUGUUGCUGAGACAUUUUUAUAAGAAUUUAGAAAUAAAAAACUACAAAAAUGCUUUAAAUAAAAUAAAAAUAAAAAGCCACCAAUAUUUGUCUAGGAAAAAUUUUAUAUGAUUUAGGGGCCCAAACUUACAAAAUAAAAAAAAAAUAGAAGAUUAGAAUCUUAUCAAGAUAAUUCCCUUUUUUUUUCUAGUUAUUCCAAAACGGAAUCUAUUGCUUGAAAUUACUGUUGAAGCAUACUUUAGGUUUAGGAUACCAGCUGAGGGAAAAAUUGGUCAGAACUUGAUUUUGAAAUGCUUUGCAAUUGCUCUUGCAUCAUAUCAUAGUUAACACCAUCAUGAUUCGUGUCUCAUUCCAACUACAACAUUAAGUACCUUAUUCCUCCACGUAAAAGAGAGAAAGUUUUGAAGAAAACACAAUACAUAUCAUUUCGACCUUCGAAAAUUGUGCAUUUAGUUCAUUGGUUGGUGCAUGAUUUCUUGCCUAAAAAAAAAGAUUCAAAUCCCCCUUCUCUUAAUUAUAAAAAAAAAAUCAUUUCAAGUCUUCAUGAUUUGUGCUCUUUUAACUUAUUUAAGUCUUUUGUUUAACACAAUAUCUUUUAAACAUUCAAGCCAAAUCUUUUUUAAGUAUUUUUUAUUGGCAAAGAAGUAAAAUAAGUUUUUAACGAUCAUAAUUGAAAAGUCGAAUGAAUAUUUUAACAAUUCAAACUUGAGAUACAAUUAAAUUUUUAUAAAUUAAUAAUUUUGAGAUCACAAAAAUUUCUUAAUUAACUGAGAUAUCAUUUUAUCACAAAUUAAUAAUUUAUUAAUUUAUACAAUAAUUAAAUUUUUUUUAUGCUUAAUUGUUGUAUAAAUUAGUCAUUUGGCAUCAACCUUCACUACAAAAAAAUGAGUUUUAAGAACACUUAUUUAGGCGACAUAUUUUUUUGUAUAGUAAAAUUUUAAAAAGUGUAGCUAUUUAAACUUUUAACUUCACUUUUUUCACAUUUAGUAGCAAUAUAAGAAAGUGCAACCUUUGUUAAUGUACGCAAUUCCUAUCGUUACAUUUUAUUUAUAAUGCAUCUAAAAAUUUAUAUAAUGAGGUUAGAUCUACAAAAAUGUUCUAAAAAAUAUUUAAAAAAGUGUUAUUAAAAAUAUUUUUAGUAGCACAUUUUAAAAAUGUGUUGUCUUAGGUCAAAUUUGUUGUAGUGCUUGAUACUGGAGCCUGUUUCAUUCAAAAUACACUCACAGCAACAAUCACAUUACAUAAUUUGUAUAUAUCUAUUUAUGUAUAUUAAAUUGUGGUUCUUCACCUCCAAAUUAGAGAUCAAAAUUCUUAUUUCAAAUUAUUAUAAUGAAAGUAUGUACUACUGCCUUUUACAUCAAAUUUUUAAUUUUCAAUAUCCAAAUAAACAAAAGGUUAACAUUGUUUUGAGUUGUUUGUAUUUUUUCCCUUUUCAUUGCUUUAAUAUUAUUUUUUCAUUCAUUACUUAUCGUUCAAAAAGAUAAAAUAUAAAUAAUAAUAAUUGGAUUUCUGGAACUUGAUUCAUAGUUUCCAUCGACACUUUAACUAUAAAACCGUUUAUUAUACAAGUACAAAUUUAAUUAACAAGUUCUUUACACUUUGUUUUUCCAUUAUUACCCAUUUUAAUUUGUUGUUUAGGAUGUUAGUAUUUGAUUUAGUGUCAAGCUCAAUAAGAUAUUUUAGAUUUUAAAUGUUUUACUUUUUCGAACAUUGACAUUACCUAUACUACCUUUAAACUGACAAAUGAAGUACCUGAGAAGUGGAGACAUCUCCUUUUCAUGUCUUUGCAAAAUGUUUUAAAUUGUUUUAUAUUAAUGAAUUUCAAGUCAAGUCUUCUCAACUUGAAAGGUUAUGUCUAGAAUCAAAUUUAAAUUAAUGGAAUAAAAAGGAAAACCGUAUGUGCCGUGUUAGGAAGAAAAGCAUCAAAGCCACUGUAUCCUAUCCCAUCUGAGACAGAAGGAUUUGCAUAUUUUCCUAGCUUUCUCUUUUGGUGUCUAUUUUUAUUUUAAGCUUAUUGGGGUAUGCUAAUUAGAUCCAAAUCUCAGUAGAGACACAAAACUAGUCCAUCUUAAAAUCGCAACUCAUUACUGUCUAACUUACCUGACAUGAUAAUAAAAUAAAAGUUAUUGAAUAAAUGAAUUCUUUAUUGUAGAUUAUAGCUAAUUCAGGCCUUCGUCAAAGCAACUUUAAGAAAUCACAAUGAUUUUCACAUUUUGAAGUCGUCACCAAAAAGAUAACUUUUUCUUUUUAUUUUUUUUCCAAGAAAAAGAGAGAUAGCUCAAAAGCAAGAAUUCAUGUCAAAGCCAAGCCGUGUAUGACGAGAUGGCACUUAACAAUAUUAAGGGAAAAGCUUCAAGACGAUAGAAAGGAGAGGAAUUAGGAAAUUGCUGGAAAAGUGUAUAAGCAUGUUUUUCUCAUCAUUCCAUUGCUUUUUCAAGUUAAAAGGCACCUACUAAAAGUUAGAAUAACAAUUUUCUUCCUUAUAUUUUUGUUUUCACUAUUUAACUCACCUGAUAAAAAAUGAAUAAUUUAAAAAUAAGAUUUAUCAAUUUAUGAUAAAUCAAUUUAUUCAUAAAUAUAAUAUUCAAUAUUGAAUCAAUUUAUGAUACAUCAAUGAAUGGUAUAAAACAAACGAAAAGUAAGAAUAAUAUAACAUCAAAAUUGAAUAUUAUAAAGUAAAUUUUUUUAAAAUUGAUUUUAUUAGCACUAAAAACCAAUAUGCCAUCCGAAGUCUCUACACAAUUGAUAAAGACUCCUGUUGAUAUAUAAUUCUAACUUAUGUAUCAUGAAAAUCCUUACAAUUGAUAAUAUUAGAGCAGCAUAAAUAAAACCAUGGUGGACCAAUUAGGAAUUAGUGGAAAAGUGAUGACAGCAAUAAAUAAUUUUAUCAUUCAUGGCAAAGUUGUUAAAUGUAUCCUUUAUCAAGUGUAAAGUUACUUUUAACGCAUUCUUUCAUUUUGAUACAGUGAUUGAUGUAACUAAAUCAGAUUUCUCUUUCUUUAAAUAAAAUAAAAUAAAAUAAAUGUAAAAUGGGCUAAGUAAUGUCCUGUUAGAUAAAAAAGCAUGGACCAUGCUGUCUAGCUCACAUUGCUGAAAAGCCGUUUUUUAUAGGGGCUGGGGUGCGACUUCAACUUUUUGUUUCAAGAAAGCACCAGCAACAUAGAUUUGACAAUUUGUGUUAACGUGUCGUAAACGUAUCAGAUAGGAUUAAACACGAAAUAUGUUAAGGUUAAACACGAACACGACACAUUUAACAUUCGUGUCUUAAAUUUGAAACACGUACAUGUACACGUUUAAUACACGUGUAACACGACAUGACAUGAUUAACACGUUUAUUAAAUGUGUUAAUACACGACACGACACGAUUAAUAACACGUUUAACACGAUCAAAUAAAAAUAUUUACAAUUAAAUAUAAUUUUAUUAUUUAAAUUUAAAAUCUAUAAUUAUAAAAAUAAUUAUAAUAAAACAAAAAUAAUAAUAACAUCAAAUAAUCACUAAAAGUUAAAAAUUAGGAUUGAGCAUGUAUAAUUAUAUUAUACCUUUUAUAAAAUUAAAAAAACUUAUUAAAAUAAUUAUUUAAAAUUAUUUAUAUAACAUUAAAAUAGUUUUUAACUAUUAAUUUUUAAUAGGUUAAUAAAUGUGUCACGUAUACACGUUUAAACACGAUAACACGAUUAAGUAAACGUGUUUAAACAUGUUUGUCGUGUCAAACAUGUUAAGACAUAAAAAUUUUCGUGUCUUAACGCGUCUGAUACGAUUAGACACGAAACACGUUAACACUAAACCCAAAACCUGUUUAACCCAUAUCUUCUCGUGUCGUGUUCAAAAUUGCCAGGUCUACAGCAACAUCACAAGAUAUAAACUAGUUUUACACAGCUUCUUAAUGUUCCAUAACUGCUAUUCUUUUUUUUUUUUUUCUUCUCCUUCUGGGCGUUCCAAAAAGGAAUCUGUUGCUUGAAAUUACUGUUGAAGCAUACUUUUGUUAACACCAUAAUUCCCAGCUGAGGGAAAAAUUAGUCAGAACUUGAUUUUGCAAUUGCUUCUACAUCAGAUCAUAGUUAACACCAUCUUGAUUUCAUGUCUCCUUCCAAGUUCCAACUACAAUAUUAAGUCUGAGUUUGGUCUUUAUCUCAUUUGUCUUGUUGAUCUUUUGUUUUGGUUUUGUUCUGGCUGAAGUUGAGUCUGGUUUGUAUUUUCUUUGUAUUUUGUUCUUCAUAUGGGUUGCUGCAGAUUUUUGGUUGUUCCUUCCGGGAAAUGUUCGUUCCCCUGUUUCAUUAAUUAAUGAACUUUUACCUUUCAAAGAAAAAGAAAAAGAAGCCUACUAAAUAACUUGAGAUAUAUGAAAGGUCUAUUAUGUUUUAAUACAUUUAUCAUCAUCUCUUACAUGAAAGGUCUAUUAUGUUACCUUCCCGCAAGAUAUGAGUGAAAGAAACAUGAUUAAGAUGACGACGCAACGCAUCAAUCUCAUUAAAACCUUGCCAGCAGUCCCAAGGUCUAAGUGAUUCACUGUACACCCAUGCGAUAGCAAUUUUAGAGUCAAACUCAAUAGUUACAUGAGAGUUAGGAUACGGAGGGGAUGAAAGAAGUCUAAGAGCAUGAAGAAUUGCCAUGAGUUCUGCAAAAUUUGAAUCAUGGAUACCAAGUGGACCAAAGAAGACACCAACCACAAUUCCAUCAGAAUUUCUUAGAACUCCCACAUCCUGUUGGUCUUUUAGCAGAGCCAUUAACGUUAAAUUUAAAUUCCCCUACUACUGGUGGUUGCCAUUAAGUUUGAAGACGAUGAACAUGAGCUGUCUGUCGAUGAUGAAUGCAAAUAGAAGGUGCCAUCCACCAUCUAUUGUCAUCAAACUAGUACAUGUAUUGUACGUAAAUACUUAUUUUCAAAUUUAUUUUGAAAUAAAAUUUCAAGUAAAAUAAAAAUAUAUUUAAAAUAUAAAGUUAAUUAUCUAUAAAUAAAUAUAAUUAGUGUUUUAAUUAUAUAUAGUUGAUAUCUUAUAAUAUUAAUCAUUGAAGUAUUCAAAACUGUUAAAAUUAAUCAAAAUAUUUUUUAAUGAAAAUCAUUAAAUAUAAUUGGAAAUCUUAUUUUAACAAAUGAGAUAAAUAUUAUUAUAUUUAUAAUAAAAAAAUAUAUGUAAUCAAAAUUAUUCCAUGUAAUUAAAUUUUAGUAAUAUUAACGAUAAAAAUAUUUAAAAUAAUAAAUUUAAAAUAUAAUAAACAAAUAUGAUUGUUUCCAUGGAUCAAGAAGUUAUUCUAACAUUCAUACUUAUAUAUAAUUAUAUAUACCUACCAGCCAACUACAAAUUACACAACUGAUACGAUGUUGUUUGCUCAAAACAAAAUCAUUGCCCAGUACGUGUGUAAAUAUACAUGCACACAUGGACAUACAAACAUGUCUAUGCAUACAUCUUACACAUAGAUACAUCCAUUAGAUCAAGAUUAGACCUAAAAAUUAUCAUUAAUUGACAAAGAAAAACAAGUCAUGUUUCUUUAUCAAAUUAAGCCAUUUUUUUUCCAAUUUACUAACUGUCUUUGUGAAAAUAAAAGGAGGCAUGAUUAGUACCAUUAUUCUUUCUACAACUUAUAUUUCAUGGCACCUUAAUUUGCAGCCACAAAGGAAACAAACAGAAAUGAAAUAUCGAACAAAGAAUGAACUUUCUACGUAAAAUUCAAACAAUAAAACGAUUCAACACUAACAAUUGACCAGUCUCCGUUUGACAAAAAAAUUUCCAAACCCAUAAGUUGACUCUAAUAAUCGGCAACCUUUAGCAGACUGAAUGGUUAGGAGACGUGGGCCGGUUCUCAUCUGUCAGAACUGUGCAUGAUGUGGUCACGUAAACAUGUUCAGAUACUCAACCACUCACCAAAAAAUUACAUGUUUUUUUGCUAAUCGUGAGCUCUAAUAAAUGAAGAGCAAACCCAUAAAUCUGUGAAAAGUAUCUCCUGAUAGAGGAAACAUUAGUUACACUGAAUCCACUCAUGAAAGUAUACCUUUGACUCUGUUCAUUGGAAUCCUCAAAGACAUACCGACACUUUAAUAUGAUCAAAUAUUUCCACAUAAAGAAAAGUUAUUAAAUCAACGUCUCAAUGGUGACAGAAGCACUAGAACAAGAUGUAAAAUAGUAGUUGGUGCAGAAAGGCAAAUCAGAGAAGGUUUUGGUGCAAGGCGGCAUAUAUAGAAAACUCACCGGUUUUGACUAAGAACAUUGUUCACGAGAUUAUUAGGCUUAGUUUGUAGGUAACAUUUCGAACCAGCAAUUAUAGAAUCAAUGUGGGUUGCAACCUACUUCUUCACAGGAAAGAGUCCACUCCAGGAGCUGUCGCUUAGAUUAUUUUCAGCAAUGAGCCAUUUGGAAAAUUUCCAUAACAAAACUCAUUGUUCUCAUGAAAAGAUACAUAGAAAGCUCUAGAAAAAGGCCUAUAAACAUUUUUGAGAUAUUUUUAACGGCUUUUGAUUAUAGAUUUGCCAUGGAAAACAAGUAGGGAGUGAACAGAAAAGAAGCCGUGAUUAAUGGUGACCAGGUUGCAGCGUUGCUGGUUUAAUCCGUAUUAAAGAAAAAUUGUUCUGAGUUAAAACUUCAAACAAAUGAUGAAAAACCUUGUUAAAAAUUGAACAUAUAGCUAUCUCAUCAUUUCAGUUUUACCUUUAAAACAAAUAAUUAAAUAAUAGAUAAACACUGGAAAGCUUAAGCAGGCCAAAAAUUUGACUUGUAAGCUAAUAGUAGAGUAAGAAUGAUGAAAAUCCAAAACUAAGGUGCGUCUGGUUAAUUUCUUCUCUCGAAUUUUCUUUAGAUGAUUUGACAAAUAAAUUUAAAAGGAAAAUAUAAUUUCCUUAAUCAAUUUAGAUAACCUGAGGAAACAAAACAUGAAUUUCCUAAUUAUCUUUCUUACAUAUCUGAAGUUACCGUAGCAAAAACUGAAGUUUACUUCAAUGUGGAAUUGUGAAGAUGAACAGUGACAAAGUUAUUGUGAAUUUAUUUGUCUUAUUGUGCUCUGUUCCAAUUCCUGUGGUUUGUGAUUACUUGAAAUUUUGAAGAACUUUGAGAGAACACAAAUCACAAUCAACCAUCACUCGAUUAAUCAAAUCAUCACCUUAAUUUAUCCUGGACUAGGCAACUACAAUCAAAUUCUCACUAUUUAAACCCAAUUUCAUGACUUUCCAUCGCCUACCUGUAUGUUAUGUAAUGUGUUGUGAGCAGGCCUAAGGCUCAAAGACAUACCAAGUCCUAUCAGAAGGUUCUUAUGUGACUUCAACAAUAGUUACUCCAUCUGUCCCGAAAAGGAUAGGCUAUAUAUUCCCCAGCAAUUGUCAGCUGUCAGGGAAGGAUACCAACCAUAAUACUAUCUCUCCUUUCUCUCUUAUAUCCUCCCUGUUUAUUCUUUCCUUCUCUUCCUCCUUUGAUGAGUUUUCACUCACAUAAAGCAUCAGAAAAGGAAUCACAAGAAUGCUGGGAUUUGACCUCAUGCUCAAACAUGAAAAUAAUCAACAAUUAAAAUAGUAACGCAGCGGAAAAAUAAGAUAAUUUAAUCAAAAAAAUAGUUGAAUUCUACAGGAUCAAUGUUUGUGUUUUUCAUAUAACUUUUAAAUUAAUAAUGAACACUCAUAAGUUUAAGAGUUACAUACCUUGCUCUGGAUAUCGUAAUCAAGAGCCAAUUAAAUCCAAAUCUUUGCUUCUUCACCUUUAGGAUUUGUCAAAUCUUUAGCCACCCAAGUGUUUGGCCUCUAACAGUAAUCCACACAGUAACUGAAUAAGACCUUCUCAAAGGUAGAAUUUUUUUACUUGUGAUAGCAAGUAUUGUUUCUAAAACAAAAAAGGACCAAAAAUUCUUGCUGAAUCUUAUUUUUGUCAGAGAAAGAAAACUAUUUUUUUUUCUUAUUUUAUGAAAGCAGUUGAGAAGUGGUUGGAGGCUUCUUGUUUUUAGUUUGCUAAUAUAACAUAUUUAUAUAGCCAAACUAAUAUGUAACCUUAAAUACAACAGUUGUAUUUUAAUUUAAUUAAGUCUCUGAAAACUUAAUUAAUUUCUCACUUUAUUUUGGUCUCUUUCAAUUAAGUCUAACUUAAUUAAUUAUCCUUAUUUAAUCUCAAUCAUGUCACUUAAUGUGUGUGACCCAUUAGGCUUCUAACAUGUUGGCAAUAAAUAUAAAUCAUAAUCAAAUAUCAAUUUGAUAAUUAAUUUAUAUUUAUAGAUCAUGAGCGGCAUCUAGCAAUACAUCAUGACCACCUAAAUGUUAGAAAGUCAAUUAAAGAAUUUGACAAAGCCCUUCAGUGAUAAGCCUCUCAGUGCAAUACAGUCUUUUUAUCAAAUAUCCCGGAUAUGUCAUUAAGCAUGGCUCAGUGUCUACUUAUGACAUUCCAUAUUAGUUCCCAUAAUUCAUGACUAACCUUAUGAAUUUAGAAAACUAACUUUCCUCAAAUUCAUUAUGCUUUGGCCAAAGACUUCAUACAAGUUAAUCACGAAUUGAAAACAAGUGAGAUACAUCCCCUCAUAUCACUUGGGGUGAUGAAUCUUCUCUUGACCACUCAUUUACCUUCGCAUGCUUUAUGGCAUACCUAAAAGCACCCUGUUUGGGCAUCUGGUUGCUUCCAAACCCGUAGGGGUGAAAUCAAAGUAUGUCAUUCCCCAUACAAGAUGACCUGGUGUCUCAAGUAUAAGGACUAGUUGCACGACUAUCACAUGAGAACAUUUUCCAUAGACACUUGAGUGAAAUACCAAAUGGACUUCUCAUAGCGGGUCAGUGAACUUGUUCUUUAACAAGCACCUACACGUUAUCCCCAAGUAUCCCAUAUACUUCAAUCUAUGAGAUCGAUUGCUUACUUCCCAAGUAAGGAGGCUUAACAUGUACCAGUCUUUGAGCAUUGCCAAUGCCCUAUCUUGACAAUACAAUGACCAAGAACAAUUUUAGGAAUAUGGCUUUGAUGCAUAGUGAUCUCAUAAUUGUUACAAUUUUACAAUUCCCUUGCAAGGCCUUUAUAUUCUAUGGGCUUCAUCCAAUUAGUACUUAAUAACUCUUUAUUAUUGCACUAACAUGAAGGAAAACCUCUAUCACAUGUAAUUAUGUGAUUAAAUAUGCAUUAAAUGACAAUAUAUGUAUAUUUCUUGACCAAUCCAAUUGGCUUAAGGGCAUAUACCAACAAAGAAAACCUUAGAUGUUCCAUUUCUAUACAGGCCCAGACGCAUCAUCUCAGCCCAGAUCAUCCCAGUCCAUGUCUAACAACAUAAUGCACUUACAAAGACAAAUCGAAAGUAAUCUCUAAUAUUUAUUUAUUCAUAUUGGUUGUUUCAAGACUAUGCAUCACCAAUAUUACAUGGAUAAUUAUAUUAAAAAAUUAUAAUUGAUUAACAGUGUAACAAGUCAAACCUAAUUGUGUCCUUAGUGUAGAAUUCACUGAAAAAUUAAGCUAUUACAGUGCCAAAGAAACACAUAAUUUAAAAAAAAAAACCCUAAUUUUUGGACACCUAUAAAAGUUAGGUUAAGAAAUAUAAGCAAUAUAUACUAAAUCUUAUAUCUCUAUAAGUGUUUUUUUUAUGAGAUUAUAUUUACAAAUAAAAAUUAUAAUUACAUCAAAUAAUUUUAUAUAUAUAUUAUAAUAUAAAAUAAAUUUUUAAAUAAACCAAAAGUUAUCCACCCAUAAAAUUAGAUCUAUAUAGUACAACAAUAACUUUAUUUGAACUAGGUUAUCAUAGCAUAACAUAAAACUAAAGACAAUUCUGAAAGUUGAAUAAAUUAAAAAUAACAUCUUAAAGCAACCGGCUUGUGAAGAAAAGGUAAUCAAGAGAGGCUCUUGCCUCCAAAAUAAAGAAAAAAAAACAACCAAUUACUUGGUAAAAUAAAAGCACCUUGACAUUGAUACGUUGAACCUGCACUCAAACUUAAUUUCUCGAUUUGGGAUGCAAAGGAGUCCAAUGGAAACGUCCUCAAGGUAAUGGUAUUUCCAUCAAGUCCACCUGUUCGAAUCCUUCAAAAACUUGAUUUUGAUCUUCUGCAGCUUAGCAACAACGUUUUUCAUGUCAAUCCUUUCUUCUGGCAACUCUUUUGAACAUUCUAACGCCAAUUACAAAAUAGACAAUGCACAAUCCUUUAUUGCAACAUGUUCUCGCUCCCAGCUAUUGAUUAGCAAAUUGGCAUCUAUAACUUGAGUUAAUGCAAAUGGUAACGACUCAGUCACCCAAUGUUUUAAGCUCAUUUCUCCAACAAACAUUUCAUUUGUGGGCUUUUUUCUUGUUAAGGUUUCAAUUAGAAGAAUACCAAAACUAUACAUGUCGCCUUUUAUGGAAACAACUCCUUGUGUUCCGUAUUCUACAUGUAAGUGAUUAAAACCAUCAUCAAAGUAUGCAAUGAUUUUACAUGAAUUAUCAUAAUGGAUAAAAAAAGUCUAAAGUUUAAGCAUUACCUGGUGCCAUAUACCCAAUUGUUGCUAGUGUUAUGGUUUGUACCGUUGAAUCCUCUUUACUUAACAGCUUUGCAAUGCCAAAAUCACCCAAAUGUGCAACCAUAUCUUCAUCUAAUAGAACAUUGUUGGGUUUUAAAUCACAAUGGGCCACAGGACUUGUCUGACCAUGAUGGAGGUAUUCUAAUGCGGAGGCCACAUCAAUCAUAAUGUUCAACCUAUGCAAGAUAUUAAGAAAGUAGUUAUGAGAAUACAACCACUUCUCGAGGCUUCCAUUAGGCAUGAACUCAAGAACUAAAGCUUUAAAAUCAACAUUGCAGCAACUACUGAUGAUUUUGACUAAAUUCCGAUGGCGAAUGUUGCGCAAGACCUCACACUCAACGUCAAAGCUCUUAAAUGAUCUUUCAAACUCCAAAUUGAAGACUUUUAUGGCUAUGUUCAGUCCAUCUGAAAAAAUACCUUGGUAUACUGAGCCAAAACUCCCCACACCAAGUAAUUUACUUUCACAAAAACCAUUUGUGGCCUGAUAAAGCUCUUGGUAUGAAAUUCUUCUCCACUUUGCUAAACCAAUCGAAUUUUCUCGAUCAAUUUUUUGCUUUGCAUGCUUUUUUCGGCUUUGCAAGAAAACGACAAUUAAGGCUAGAAUUAAUAGCGUUGAGCCAACUGGCAAUAGAAUAAAUUCUAUAAGCUUAAUAGCUUUCCUUGAAUGUUUAGCAGAAUUACUUGUUCAUGGUGGGAGUUGUAGUCGAGGUGCACCACAUAGCGCUUCAUUCCCCAUGAAUGAUUGAAUUGAGUAGUUGGCAAAAGGUCCUCCAUUAGGAAUUUCUCCCUGCAAUCUAUUAAAUGAGACAUUCAAAAACUCGAGAUGCAAGAGUUUUUGCAAGGACUUUGGAAUAAUUCCAGAGAAAUUAUUCCUUGAUAGAUCCAAAAAUUGCAGUCCUAUCAGCCCACCCAAUAACUCAGGUAUAGACCCGUUCAAUCUGUUACCGGAUAAAGAAAGAUAAGUUAGGUCUUCAAGAGCACCAAUGCUACUCGGAAUUUCACUUGAAAAUUGAUUUUCGGAAAAAUCAAUCAUUGUAACAACCUUCCAAUUUCCAAUGUCAAUUGGGAGAUCCCCGCUAAGAAAAUUGGAAGAUAAGUCUAGUUGCAAGAUAUCCACAAGCCUUGUGAAGGUCGAGGGUAUUGAGCCAAUUAACUUGUUGGAGUCAACAAAUAGCUUUCUAAGAGAAAUGAUAUCACCCAAGCAUGUUGGUAUUGAUCCAGACAAUUGGUUACCUGUAAGAUUCAAGAAACCUAAACUCUUCAGAUGGCAUAACUCAGAUGGAAUAGAUCCUUCUAACUUAUUGCCAUGAAGAAAGAGACCUUGCAACUUUUCUAAUCUUCCAAUUGUGGUGGGAAUAGAUCCAAUCAAUUCAUUGUUAGGUAUGUACAAGUUGAUCAAGUUGAUUAGGUUGCCAAUCUCUCCUGGAAUGUUUCCUCCAAUGUUGCAGUGCGAAGCAGCGAUUGUUUGAAUAGAAAUAGAGAGAUUUCCUAUAGAGAUAGGAAGUUCAGCAUCGAUCAAUGGAUUAAAACAAAAAGACAAGAGCCUCAAGUCUUUGCAAUGAGCUAAAGAAGAGAGAAAGCUCAAUUCUGGAGAUGAAGGUGAGUGAGCUAAAUUAUUAUUCUGUAAGUUGAGAAAUUGUAGAUCUCUUAGAUUUCCGAGGCCAUUGGGAAAAUAUCCGGAAAAUGAAUUAUAUGACAAGUCAAGGUGCAUUAGCUUAGAGGCAUUACAGAUGGUGGUAGGUAUUGUUCCAUUUAACUCAUUAAAAUCAAUAGCAAGCCAUUCAAGUUUUGGAAGCCAAAGUCCCGUGCUCCAUGGAAGACGACUUGAGAGAUGGUUUGAAUUGAGUGAAAUGGCCCGCAGAGUUGAGCCAUUAAAGAUCUGAGGAGGGAUAUGUCCGAAAAUACUAUUACGUUCCAAAUCCAAAAUUUCUAAUUUUGGCAGGUUGCCUAUCUCAAGUGGUAUUUUACCUGCCACAAUAUCAGAAGAGUCAUUCGAAUUUGUUCUAGUGAUCUUGAAGUAAAUAACAAAAUUAAUCAUAAAAGUUUUACGCACAUUCUUAUUUUUAUAUUUUAUAUUUUAUAUUAUAGAUAUAUAUAAUAAAGAAGCAAACAAUUAAGAUUUGUAAAUAAUAUUAAUUAUUCAAAUAUUUACAACAGUUACAGCUCUAUAGAAACUAAACAUACAUGAGAAAAAAUAUAACUUAUUACCUGUCAAUUUAUUAAGGGCAAGAGCAAGCUCUGUCAGAAGUGUUAGGUUACCAAUCUGUUGUGGAAUUUCACCAGCGUAACGAAAUUGAUGCCUUAAUUAUUUUCAAACUUAGAAACAACUUAUAAGGGCCACUUGUUUGUCACAGUUUAAAAUUCAAAUACACUCGAGCAUUUGGCUUAUUAGUUAGUGAAUGAUCUCCCUUGUUAAAGAGUAAAGUUCAAAUCCCUCUUCUCUAAAUAAAAAAAAAAUUAAAAUUUAAAUAAUACAAAGCAAUAUAAUCUUGCACUUUCGAAACAAUUUGUUAUAAUUACUGGUUGAUGCAAUAUAAUCAUAGGGAAAUUUACAAAAUUUAAGGGCAUUUUCAUCUUAUUUUGUCCAUUUAUGUGCUCAAGAGAAAAGGAAGGGACGACAAAUAGAGCUUGGGGGGAGGGGGGUUGACAAGUCGGCGAAAGAAGGGGAGGAACAGAAGAGAGAGAGAGAGAGAGAGAGGAGGAAGAGUCACACCAGUUUAGACAAGUUUAUUUAAAUAAUGUAUGAAUAGCGGAAAAUCAGUCUUGACGAACAUCAAAUCUUAUACUUUACAUCAAAAAGAAAAAGGAUAAAAUAUACAACUAAAACGUAAUCAUAGUGAAUUUAAAAGAAGAUGUAAUAAGCAAUUAAAAGAAUUACGAGAUUGCAAAGUGUGACAUUGUUAAAAGAAAAAACCAAUAAAAAAAUGGACUAGAAAUAUGUUAAAAAUACGUCACAAUCUUUAUUUGUAUUUGUUUUUUUAAAUUAUUUAUUUGGAUUUGUUAAUAACAAAAUAACAAAAUUAAUUAUAAAAAUUUUACACACAUUUCUAUUUUUAUAUUUUAUAUUAUAGAUAUAUAUAACAAAGAGUCAAACAAUUAGGAUUUGUAAAUAAUAUUAUUCAAAUAUUUUCAACAGUUGCCGCUAUAGAGAAACUAAAUAUACAUGAGAAAAAAUAUAACUUAUUACCUGUCAAUUUAUUACUGGAAAAAUCAAGCUCUGUCAGAAAUGUUAAGUUACCAAUCUGUUGUGGAAUUUCACCUGCAUAAUGAAAUUGAUCCCUUAAUUAUUUUCAAAUUUAACAACUUAUAAGACCCACUUGUUUGUCAAACGAAACAAUCAAAAUUACCAAAGAAAGUUUAGAACUUAAAUAAUACAAAGCAAUAUAAUCUUCACGUUAUGGUUAACUUAUUAUUGGUUUUUUCAAUUUAUUUAAUAUAAUGACAAUAAAUUAGAAAAAGUCUAAACCACCAACAUAGAUAAGUAGAUAGUAUAUUUGAGUUUUUGUUUGAAUGAUUCGCGAAGAUAAUAGAAAUAAAAUUCUUGAUUGUAAAUGAAAAAGGAAUUAAAAAAAAGUGAAGAUCAAUGGUAUAAAUUAAUUUAAAUAAAAAACAAUGAGAUUAAAUAAAGAGGGUGAAUCUAUUACCAAAAACCACCAAAAUAUAGAAAAGAAAGAUAUGGAAAAUCCAGAUAAUAUCAUACACCCAACAAGAGGUAAAUUAUAAACUAUUUGUUACGAUUAUUAGUUGAUGCAAUAUAAUUAGGACAAUUGCUAUUUUCAAUUAAAAAUUUUACAUUUUUUCGUUUUGUUUCACUCAAGUGUGUUUUCUUAAUCUUAACUUCACAUAAAAAGAAAAAGGAUAAAGUAUACAUCAACUUAAAAGUCAUUGCAGCGAAUUUAAUAGAAGAAGUAAUAAGGAAUUAAAGGAAUGACUAGAUUGCAAAAAUGUGAUUGCGUUAAAAAAACAAACCCAAUAAAAAGAGAAACUAAAAUAUUGUAGGCCCAAAAAGAGAAAAAAAGAAAAAGACUUUGCUAUUGUGAGAAAGAAAGGACUAGAAAUAUGCUAAAAAUGCACCCAAUAUUUAUUUUUCUUUUACCUUUGAGGUUGUUGCCUGCAAUAUACAAAAGCUCGAGCAUAGUCGAAUUUCCUAUUUCUUUCGGAAUAGUUCCUUCGAAAUGAUUAUCAGAUAAGGAUAAAAUUUUUAACUCUUGACACUUGAAUAAACUCCUUGGAAUUAGACCAGAAAGGAGGUUAAAACUCAUGUAAAGCCCUUUUAAUUUAGGCAAACGAUCAAACAUAUCUGACGAGAUAUGACCAGUAAGGUUAUUAAAUGUUAAAGCAAUUUUUUGCAAGGAAGACAUGUUGAGUGGGAUGGAAGGUAUGGAACCAAUUAGCUGAUUGCAGCUAAGACGAAUCUCUAGCAAUGAAGAUAUGCUGAAGACUGAGGAAGGUAUGGAGCCUGAAAGCUGAUUGCUGUCCAAAUAUAAAAAUCUCAAGCUAGAAAGAUUUCCGAUUUCCACAGGGAUACGUCCUUGCAGAUUGUUGUUAUACAAGCUCAAGAACUCUAGUUUUGACAAAGAGCACAAAGAAGAUGGGAU
rnacentral:lncRNA from 1 species